rnacentral:lncRNA from 1 species
CGUUGAAUGCUACUCGGUACUGACCUCAACUCCCUACAAAACCAAAUCUCUAAUUUUUGAAGGGAAGUCAUGUCUCCCAUCCACUCCGGCAAUGAAAUAGAUUUGCAAUUUAUUAUAUACAAAGUUCGUAGGGAGGGGACACAUUGUAUGCCAUAGGGUAAUGUGGAGCAACUAGAGAUUCUGACAUUCCAAAGGGUAGUUAGUUGGGUCAUAUUGCUUGGUAGAGUCACCAGCUCUGGACAAUUCAUGAUACUCAAACUCUCCAAACAUGUCAAAUGUCGCACACCUUCAGAUAAUGAUUUCAAUUUCUCACAGUUGGAAAUACGCAAACUUCUAAGUGAGGUCAGACCUUCCAACCCGUGUUCUGAAAAAUACUCCAGACUAUCACAAGAAAUAAUGUCUAGUUCCUGUAGUGCACCCAACCCGCUGAGUUGGUCGGGUAAUACAACCACUCCUCUAACACUUAUAAUAUGCAAGGUCUUUAGACAAGGCAUAUUCUCCACAACCCCUUCCAUCAAGGAAGCAGCUUCGAAAAUAGAUACCUUCUUAACAGAAGGAAGACGUGGAAAUUUAAGGUUGGAGACGCCAACAAUUUUUAAUUGAGAAAGACGAGGGAGCAUCUCUACUCCUUCUUCCCUCAACAUCCUCUCCAAUUUUGGUAAUUUCUCCACACUCAAUUUCUCCAACAAUGGAAAUGCCUUCUCCUCCACACCAUCAUACGACUCACCAUCUAUCCACUUCACAUCUUUCAUUCCACCCACUUCUAGCCUUUUCAAGUGUGGUAGUUUACCAAGUGGAGGAAGCUCCUUACAGUUGUCACAGUCCAAGAGUAUAACUUCCACCAAGUCUCUCAGAACUCCCCCAUUUCUCAUCCAACUCGAUAAAUGUCUUCCUGGAUAUCCAUUUAUCCUAAAACUCUUCAGAGUUGAGGGAGGUUGUAGGGCUUCCAGUACUCUCUCAACGUUGACAUUACUACCUUCUGAAUUAGCACUACCACCCCAUGACAAGCGUAGGAUAUUCAAGUCCUUCUUACUAAUCAAAUUUGCUUGUUUAGCAUCCCAUUCAUUGGGGACCUUCUCAAGGCCUUCAAUUCUUAGCUUGCCUCCCAACUUUAAGCUAUGCAACUCUGCUAACCCACACCCUGCCUUUGAACCCACAACGAAAGUGUUCAGUGUUCUUAGAUGCCUUAACUUGCCAAUAUUCGGAGGCAUCUCUGAUAUUGACUUACAGUUAUUAAGCACAAUAUGUCUUAGAUCCUGUAAUUGUGUCAAUUCUUUGGGCAGCCUAAGUUGACUGAGAUGUUGCAGUUUCAAUAUUUGCAAUUUCGGCAACUGACAAAUUAUGUUAUUUAAGCUUGCUCCCGAACCCCAAUUCAAACUCAAGUAUCUCAAAUGUCCUAAAUCCUUGAGUGGGUAAAACAGAGAAGAACGUGUGCAUAAUGCUCGGAGACAAUGGGUUGAUGGCACCAGACAUUUAUUACCAAAAUCUAUAAAAGUCCGCAGGGAUUCAACUUUCUUGAAAGCAGUAAUAUCAACAGACACCUUAGAAUUUGACAAGCUUACAUAGUGAACUCUAGUUGGCAACUGAGUCAACCUUCCUUUCUCAAUAAUCACACAUUCUUCACCCAUAAUAGACUUGGCAAGAUCAUGAAAUAGAUCAUGCAUCUUGCAACUUCUAAUCAUACCAAACUCAUCAGACUCUGCUUCUUGAAAAAAUGAUCUACGGUAUAAUUUUUUCCACGCUUUAUUUCCAACAUCCUCCACUCCUACGUUUCCUUCAGAUUUAAUAAAUCCAUUAGCCAUCCAGAGAUGAAUUAGAUCUUCCUUAUCUAUUUCAAAAUCUUUGGGGAAAAUUGCACAAAAAGAAAAACAUCUCCUUAGAGACAACUCCAAAUUAGAAUAACUCAGUUUCAAAAAACGCAUAAUAGAAUUUUCCUCACGUAUAUUCCAAAUCUCACUUUCCUUUAAAUUUUCCCAUUGGCUUACCUCACUUUCAUCACGCAAAAGGCUUCCCAGUGUUUUGAUUGCAAGUGGCGAACCAACGCAUUUUCUGACUAUCUCUCUGCCAAUUGUCACGAGCUCUUCUAUUUGUUCUCUGUUUUGUCCAAACGCAUGGUGUUUGAACAAUGACCAACUGUCGUCUCCUGACAAUUCUUUCAAAUGGUAAGCAGGAUGUGUCCCCAUGAUGGAGGCAACUUCCUGCAGUCGAGUGGUGACCAAAAUGGCAGCUCCUUUUGCUCCCCUUGCACACUGCAACAUCCCCUUUAACUCCUUCCACCUCUCUUGCUCUUCAUUCCACAAAUCAUCAAGAACAAGUAAAUACCUUUUGCACUGCAAUGCUUCUUCAACCUUUUUCCGCAUUGCUUCUAAAGUAUGGAGAUUGGGGUUUUGACCAGUGACAUAUUCUAUGAUGGAUUGCAGUAUUCUCUUCGCAUUGAAAUCAUCUGAAACACAGAUCCAAAUUCUCAAGUCAAAAUGUUUACUUAUCCCGUGAUCGUUGAAGACCUGCUUGGCAAGAGUUGUUUUGCCAAGUCCACCCAUACCAACUAUGGGAUAGAUGGAGAGGUCUUCACUGUUACUAGCAUCUUCCAGGAGAAACUUCACAAUUUUCUCUUGAUCCUGGUCUCUGCCACAGAAUAUAGGUUCGGUAAUCACAGAGACAGUUUGGCGCCAAUCAUCCUCAUCAUUCACUGCUUGCUUCUCUGUGACACCCACACGUAAUUCAAACGUGAGCCUUUCUUCAUGAAUGUCAUGAAAUCUUUGGGUGAUGUCUUUCAUCCUCUUGCCAAUAUGAAAACGAAAGAGAAUGUCCUUAGGAUGGAGAGGGGAUAGGCAUGAAGCAUGUCCAUCAUGAGAGUGCAUCUUUGUGGAGUGAAUUGAACAUUCAUCCAAGAUAUCAUCCAGCACAUAUGCUGCAUCUGUGAGUUUUUGCAGCCAAUCCUUCACAGCAUGCUUUCUUAGUUGCUCUCUCUCAGCGUCUUUGAAGACAGCACGGAUUGCGGUGAGAUUGCUGGAAAGGUUCAGGGUCUGCUGUUCAACACCCCAAUAAGUUGCAAGUUGGUUUUGAAGAAAAGAUCCCAAAUUUUCAAUAACGAUUUCCAGUAAAGCCUCGGCCAUUUGCAGAAAGGAGAGGUUUUUGGAUGAUUGUAGUUGUGGAGAAGAAAGUACGGGGAGUAACAAUGAGUGGAUAAGAUUUUGUGAUCAUUUAUUGAAUUGAGAAUUGGUGGCCAUGGCAAUAAAAGUUUUGUCUCUGCUUGUGUUGACGAAGAGUGUUCAUUCGAUGAGUCAACUCAAACCAACCAUAUUAAUUGCAUAGCAAUCACACCGACAUGUCCACUUACUUUCUCUAUUAUUUCAGCUCAAAUUUCUUCUUCUUCUUCUUAUUAUUACUUUUGUUAUUUAUUCUUAUUAUUACUUUUCUUAUUUAUUUUUAUUAUUUAUUAUUAUUAUAAUCAUUUUAUAAAUUUAUUAUUAAUAAUUUAAAUUUUAUUAAUAUUUUAUUGUUAUUAUUAUUAUUUUAAUAAUCAAAAUAUUAUUUUAACAUUUCUUAUUAUUAUAUUUUUAUUAUGUUAUAUUAUAUAAUUAAUUUUAUUUAUUUUAUUAUACCAAAAAUAUAAAUAUUAAUAAAAUUUAUUAUAAUAAAAAAUAUAUUAUAUAUUUAAUGUAAUAAUUAUAUUUAUAAAUAUCAUCAAAAUUUUAUUAUAUAAUCAAUUAUGUAUUUAUAUAAUUGGUUAUGUAAAAAUAUAAAAUAUUCAUAUACAUAUAUAGAUAACUAUUAUUCUUUGUAAAUUUUAGCAAUUAUACAAAGAGUAACGUAAAUUUUUUUAUCUCAUUUUUUAUUUUUAAUUUAUUUUUAUAUUUUUUUAUAUUUUUGUUAUCUAUCAUGAAAUCCAUUAUUGACUUAUCCUUCAAGUUUUAGCAUGACACGACUCGAGUGAUCUAAUUUAUCAAGAAUUUGUUUCCUCGAAAUUCAUGUAUCCUACAACUGUUUGUUUUAAACACAAGACAUACAGAAAUAAUCAAUCAACUACAUUUCAAUCAUACUAUAUCAACCUAAAUUUUAACUACACAUAUUUUAACUACCAAUUAUUUAAAUUCUAAAUUUGGUAGCAAAAAACUUGGUAAUUAAUUAGAUACGAAUUUAGAAACUAUUUAUCAAUAAUAAAAACUAAUUUAGAAAUCAAUAAUUCUUUUAAUUUCUACAAUAGUUUCUAAUUUAAUCAAUGUAGCAACUAAUUAUAUUUUUAGUCUCUAAAAUUGGUUUUUAUUUAAUGAUUUUCUUGUAGUGUUUGUACAAACUCUUUCUUACCUUUGUUGGGUUGUUCCAAUAGUGUUUUGUAAUUCUUGUUCUUGUUGGAGUGUUUCCAAUAUUGUAUUUGAGAUUGACUUUAUUAUAGUAUUUGUUUGUGGUUGUAACAAGAGUUGAUAAGACUACCUUCCUAGGUGAAUAAAGAGUGGAUAAUGCUAAGAUCCUCUUAAAAUGGUUACAAGUAGAAAGGACACAUAUCCUCUUUGUUAUCCAUAGUUGAUUGAGGUUUAUAUUAUUUUAGUGUUUGAUAACCUUUUGAGGAGUGCUAAAGCAUUUAUUGUUGUCUUUGUGUUUUCACUCUUGUGUUAGUUUUGUACAAACAUUGGAUUGAUAAUGAAACCAUUUUUCAAAGGUGAAAAAUUGAGGACUAGAUGUAGGAUUAGUUGAAUUCAAACCAAUAUAAAUUUAUUGUGAUCUUUCUUUUACUUUAUCCUUCUCUUUAUAUUGCUAUCUAAUUCUUGUAUGAAUAGAUUCUCAAAUUAAUUGCAUUUUGAAUAAUUGCAUUUUGAAUAGUUGAAACCAUUUUUAAAAAUAAAACUUUAAAAAUAUAAAUGUUUUUUGUUAUUUGUAUCAAUCUUACUUCCAUUAAUAAUUGCAUUAAAUUUUUAUAACUUAAAGAAGUUUUAAAAUAAUUUCAAAAUGAAGAUUUUUAAACAAAAAAAUUUGGAAACCAAUUCACUCACCCUCUUAAUUUAAUCAAGUCAUUAUUUUUUUAACAAAGAAUACUCACUUUAAGCCUAGCUAAUAAAAUUGAAUUUUCAAGAAACUCAAUCCUACAAGACAAAGUUUAUUUCACAAGUUUCAAAUAUUAUUAAAAAAUCAUUAAAUAAAAACUAAUUUUAGAAAUUAAAAUAAUUAGUUACUAUAUUAACAAAAUUAGAGAUCAUUUUAUAAACUAAAAAAAAUUAUUAGUAUCUAAAAUAGUUUAUAUUAUUAAUAAAAAUUUAUGAAGUAGUUUCUAAAUUGGUAUCUAACCAUUAGUUAUUAAGGUUUUAACUAGUAGUUAUAAAAUCUUGAUAGCUAAUUUAAAUAUUUAUUAGAAAUUAUUUUAUAAUUUUUUAUUAAUAAUAGAAACUAUUUUAUAUACCAAUAAUUUUUUAAUUUAUAAAAUAGUAUAUAAAUUAGUUAAUAUAAUGAGUAAUUAUUUUUUUCUUUAAAUUAAAUUUUUAUUUAAUUAUUUUUUAUAGUGUAUAAAUAAUAUAAUAGAGAAAUCUCUUAUUUAUGGGAUGUCAAGGUGAGUUCAAGAAGUUAUCUAAGUAUGAAAAAGAAGUCAAACAACUUACUUUUGUAUUCAUAAUAAGUUAAUUUGUAUUCAUAAAGAUACAUUCAGUUAUUUUAAUAUCUAUUUGUAUAAAAACAAUUUACUCAUUCUAUUAGACAAUGUACAACUAAUAAAAUUAUUUUUUAAUUUUAUUAAUAUUGUUAUUAAAGGUUAGCUCACAAAGAUUACAAAUAAAACUCAUUUAACCUAUAUAUUGUAAGGUUGGGUGUAGAAAACUUACACUAAAUUUUUUAAAAUAAAAUAAAACAAAACUCAUUGCACUAUCACAUAACUAAUGAAAGAUAAUACUAGAGUAGAAAUGCUAAAUAAGAGCGACUAUUUUACAUUUACAAUGGCAGCUAUAGAGUCGCAUUUGAUUAGCACGCAUUCGUAAAUCAAAGAGAAAGAGAUACAAAUGCGGCUAUAUAGCCGUAUUUGUAAAUAUUAUUUAUAAGGGCGACUAUUUCUGGUAGCCGCAUUUGUAUAUGCUUUUGAAUCAGGUGACAGGGUUUAGGGAUAUAACAUUUACAAAUGCGGCUAUUACCAUAGUCGCAUUCGUAUAUGUGAUUUACAAAUGCGGUUAUUACCAAAGUCGCAUUCGUAAAUGUGAUUUAAAAAUGCGGUUUUGGUAAUAGCCGCAUUUGUAAAUCACAUAUACGAAUGCGGCUAUGGUAAUAGUUACAUUUGUAAAUCAUGCGCUGGACUUAUAAAUGCGACUAUGGUAAAUAAGCGCACUUGUAAAUAGUGGUUUUUUUUUAAUGCAAUCUGUUUAGUGCUAAUCCCAUAUAAAUUAACCUGUUUCAAUUAUAUAUACCAGUAAGACAAAUACAUAAAUCCAAAUAAAUUCAGAGAAUCAAAUAUAUAUUGAUCAAAAUGUACAUUACAAAAACUAAUCAAAUUACAUAUAAUCCCUACACUAUUGAUCAACUAUCCUAGAGUUAUAAAAAUUUAUGAAAUAUGUGGACCAAGAAUGUCUCACAUAUGAUAUGGCUUCUGUACCGACCAGUCCUCGGGCGUCGUUGACCACUAGUAGUAAAGGGACCACGUAAGCUGGGUCCCACGAGUGGCGUGGGCCAGUGUCUCGCGAGGCACGUGUGCUAAGGUACCGAAGAGUGGUCAAACAUCGAUCACCAGGAUGUGCCGAUGUGGCACUAGGCAGUGUAGAGAGGUCAGACAUCGGUGACUUGAACAGCAGAGCUGGGCCACGAGAGGUGGAUCUCAUACCACACACCAGUUAUCAGUUAGGGAGAAGCCUAGGUCACGAGAGUCCAUGCGUAUGGUGUGGAUGACGCGUUCAGGCGUAACACAAGUAAAGAGCCAAUGGAAGAGAUACGACCUGUAAGGGUCACGUUCCAGGGGUGGGUUGCAUGCAUGGCACGUGAACAACUAGGGUACUCCCAGGACGGGUGACCCCAGAGAUCAGGUGCACGAGGAGGCAUCCAGGUGGUCAUCCCGUUAGAGAUUGCACUCCAGUUAGGGAACCCUACGCGCUAGGUUACCCUCACCCCCUCAGGAAGCCUAUUUUACAUGGCGAAAAGGUGGUGAUGGAGGAGAAGUGACCCCUGUUUCCACAUUCUCAGACGACGUCCCCUAUCUAGAUUUCUCCUUUUCCACCAUCAGUGAUUGCUCAAGUUUUCGAUAACCCGAACAAGAGAGUAUGUUCGAGGUAACAUUCUUCAAAGGUGUCUCUUGAGCUUUCUUCCGACGAUCCUAUCAUAAUUGAAAUAAACAAAGUGAAUUAAAUAAGAUAAAGUUAUUAAUGUUAUAUAAAUAAAAAUAGUUAAGUUACUUCACUUACCAUCCAAGCCUCAUUUUCACGGCUUUCUUUAAAAAGACGUCAAUGUAAUGACUUAAAGUGAUGAAAUUUAAGUCCGAUAUUGGAUAUAAUCUUUGAUCGAAGUGGUUCCACAUCAGGAAUUUCAAAGUUUGCCUGGAAAAUAACAUCACCAAAUUAAAAUUAAUCAAUGAAUAUUAAAAAGCAUCAUAUGAUAACAAUAAUAAUGUAAAGUUUACCAGAACAUCCUCCCAGAUCAUGUUUUGAUCGACCUCUGACACCUCAUCCUAUGAAUUAAUCAAAAUGGAGAACCUCUCACGAGAAACAACUCCAAGAUAGCUCAUAAACUCAUUUGCUUUAGGACCAAAAGCCACUCUAGUGUUGACGUCAAUGUAACACGUGUCUUCUCACCAGCAGCACAUUUCAAUGCGAGACACUUCAAUCUAGUAGGUCCUUUGCUGCCUCAUUCGGAUCGAGGUCUGAUUGGAGUCUGAUCGUCAUCCAUAUCUUUUUUAAAAAAAUUAGGUAACAAACUUUAGUUAAUCUGCAUCGAAUUAAAAUCAUAUAAAAAUAAUACAUAAAAUUCUAAAUGCUUAUUUACGGGUUGCAUGUGGGUUGAAUGUUCAUAUGUAAAUUCCUUCACUGUGGUCUUUACGGGUUGCAUGUACAUCAUCAAGUACAUCGUCAUCUUUAUUAAUUAUCAUUGGUGUGAAUGAAUGGGGGUCACCAUUUUCAAUAUCAUCUAUGGUCUCCCCUUGUUUUUUCCUGUGUAAAACGACAUACCAAUGUUCUGACGUAGGAUCUUUCACGUAGAAAACCUAAGAUGCUUGUUGAACCAUUAUAAAUGGCUCAUCUCGAUACCCUAUCUUUCGAAAGUCCACUAGUGUGAAUCCUGAUUCAUCAAUUUUAACCCCACUUUUAUUGUCAACCCAUUUACACUUGAAAACUGGAACAUAAAACUUAGUGUAGUUAACCUUUCAUAUCUCUUUUAUAAACCCAUAGUAUGCCGUUGAUCCAAGUACUAGAUUUGUAUCUUUCGAAGUCGAAAACUGCAUUGACUCGGCUUCAAGAGUAACACCAGAAUUUUGAAUUGUACUCUUUUCAUCCAUAGACUUCGUGUAAAAUAUACAAUUAUUCACUUCGUACGUUGUACGUUGUACAUCAAACUUCAAUCCAGCAGCCAACCAGGUCAAUGUCUUUGAUGCUGUUGAAUCCUUGAACACCUCGUCUUUAAACCAAGGCAUGAAAGUUCUAUUAUGUUCCAUCAAGACCCAUUUCUCUGCUUGUCUUGGGUUAUUUGCCUUCAUAAUGGCUUUAUGAGCUUCUAUGUAAGGUAUAACUUCAUUUGUGUUAUUCAAUAUAUACAAAUGUGCUUGCAAGACUUCUGAUCGAGAUUUGCUUACAAUAUUCACAACACGUAAACAUUUACUUGUAGAACGUCUGUGGUGCCAUGAAUUAGCUGGAAGACCUAUUGGAUUUGCUUUAGACAUGUCCUCUGAACAAAAUUCAAUACUUUCUUUAGCUAUGUACCUUUCAAUCAUUGAAGCUUCUGGACGAUAAUGAUUUUUCACAUAACCUUUCAAAAUUUUCAUAUACCGCUCAACAGGAUACAUCCAUCUUAAGUACACUGGUCCACACAAUCUAACCUCUCUUACUAGAUGCACCACUAGAUGAACCAUGAUGUCAAAAAAAGAUGGAAGAAAAAACAUCUCCAAUUCACACAAGAUAAUAACAAUUUCAUUUUGAAGUUCAUCUAGUUUUCAUGGAUCAAUGACUUUACAACAGAUGGAAGAGAAGAAUGAGCACAAACGGGUUAUGGUAUGUCUAACAUUUUUUGCUAAGAUCUCACAAAUAGCUACCGGCAACAUUGCAUCAAGAUGUGACAAUCAUGAGACUUUAACCCAAUUAACUUCAAAUCUUGCAUUGACACUAGGCUCUUCACAUUUGAGGAAUGUCCUUGUGGCACUUUCACACCCUUUAGACAUUGACAAAAACCAAUUUUUUCAUCUUUUGACAUUGUGUAACAGGCUGGGGGCAAAUAUGCACGCUUACCUAUUUCUAUGAGUGCCAACUCGCCUCGUAUGUUCAUCUCAAUCAAAUCUAAACGAGUAUUUUAUACCAUCUUUCGUCUUCCCGUUAAUGUUAAGAAGUGUACCAAUUAAGCUAUCACACACAUUCUUCUCAACAUGCAUUACAUCUAUACAAUGUCUGACUUCUAACCUCGACCAGUACGGAAGAUCAAAGAAGAUUGAUUUCUUCUUCCAAAUGUUUGUCACAGAUGACUUUUUUUUUACUUACCAAAGGUGUGGUCUUUGUUAUGUACCUUUUCGUAAACCUCAACACCAGUUAAUGGAGUUGGUGGACCACUAGCCUCUUGGUGUCCAUUAAAGGCUUUUUUCAACCUCCGGUAAAGAUGAUGACUUCUAAGAAACCUCCGAUGUCGAAGAUAUACUGUCUUCCUUCCAUGUUUCAAUUGUUGAGAAGUAGUGUCUUCUUCGCAUAUUGGACAUGCUUUAUGACCCUUCACACUAUAACCUGAUAAGUUACCAUAUGCCGGAAAGUCAUUGAUGAUGCAAAAUAACAUGGCAUGAAGCUUGAAAGUUUCAUUAGCAUAUCCGUCAAAUACUUCAACACCCUGGUCCCACAUUAACUUCAAAUCUUUAAUUAGGGGACUUAGAUAAACAUCAAUAUCAUUCCCAGACUGUUUCGAGACGGAUAUCAUCAUAGAAAACAUCAUGUAUUUUCGCUUCAUGCACAAUUCAGGAGGUAAGUUGUAAAUAACUAGUAAAACAGGUCAAGAACUGUGAUUUGUACUCACAUUACUAAACUGAUUCAUUCCGUCUAUAGCUAAACCAAGUCGGAUAUUUCUUGAUUCUUUACCAAACUCUGGAAACUCAUCAUCAAAUUUCUUCCACUGAAUAGAAUCAACUGGAUGUCGGUACAUGCCAUCACAUUUCCUCUAAUCUACAGGCAUCGUUUGGGUUUGCAAACAAACGCUUCAUCCUUGGAAUGAUGGGAAGAUACCACAUAACCUUUAUUGGGGGUCCAUGUUUUUCUAUAUCUUCAAUAGUAUCAUAGGUCUCGUAGAUGGCACAACAUGAUAACCCACACCUCGUACAACUUUUCAACAAUUCAAAAUCUUUCCGGUAUAAUAUACAAUCAUUAGGACAUGCAUGUAUCUUUUUAUACUCCAUACCCAUUGGACAAAGAAUCUUUUUGGCCUCAUAAUUACGAUUAGGUAGAGUAUUUCCCUCUAGAAGCAUAUCCUUCAACAACUGAAGCAAUUCCGUGAAGUUUAUAUUAGUCCAUCCAUUUAUUACCUUCAAAUUCAUCAAUCUUAACACCACCAACAAUUGUGUGAAGUUAGUUGAUCUAGGAUACAAUGGAGUCUCUGCAUUGCUUGACAUACUUCCAUUUCCAUGCGCUUUUACAAAAGACUCAGCUCCUACAUCACGAAUCAUAUCCUCCAAUCGAUCAUCAUCUACAUCAUCGUGUACUGCUUCAUCCAUGGUGGACCCCACAUAUUCUUCAGUUACGGAAACACGUGGUAAAUUUAAUAAUUCACCAUGUCAUGUCCAAGUUUUAUAAGAUCGAAGAAACCCAUCACAUAGCAGGUGCUCCCUCAUUAUAUUAACAUCCAAUAUCCUUCCAUUCAAACAAUUAACGCACGGACACCUGAUCUUUGCACCAUCAUGACCACUAUUAAUCGCGUUACGUUGUGCAAAUUGUAUAAAUUCUUCUACUCCUCUUUCGUACUCGUCACUUAUAUGAACAAAAGUCAUCCAAUUUCGAUCCAUUAUAUAUUCUAGAAUGGUUAGGAUUUUUCAAUCAGUGUUCUUUCUCACGCGUUUGCCAUGGGUCGAACACCCCCGGACUCAAUACCAGAACGUAUUAUUGUCGUAGAUAACAUAUAAAGUAACAACUAACUACUAAAUAAUAUAAAUUACAUAAUACAUAAAAAAGAACAAAUUCAAAAUAUAAUAAGUAGUAAUACUAAAUAAUAUAAAUUUUAAAAAAUACAAAUUAUAAUAUAUAAAAAAACAUACAAAUUCAAAAUAUAAUAAAUACUAAAUAAUAUAAAAUUUAAAGUAUACAAAUUAUAAUACAUAAAAAACAUAAAAAUUCAAAAUAUAAUAAAUACUAAAUAAUAUAAAAUUUAAAAUAUACAAAUUAUAAUACAUAAAAAUAUAAAUUCAAAAAAUUAAAGAAAAAUUCAAAAAAAUUAAAACAGCACACCAACCUUGUGUGUGAACCAACGUUGGUGGUGAAGAGUGGCAGGGGAGUGCCAGCAACAGCGACAGCAGCGGAAGCGGUAGUGGAGCAGUGACGGAGCAGCCAAUGGAAUAAUACCUUCGACCACCAAUGCAAGAAUAAAAAACAAAUAUAAGGAAACAAACAAAAUUUAUAAAACGUACAUUUGUGAAGAUGAAGAGGAAGAGAGCGAUUCAAGAAACUUACAAACUUAUAAUGAAGAUGCAGAAAAAGAGAUAAACUUCUUACGCCAGUGCAGGAAUAGUGCAAACGAGAGGCAAGAGGAGAAAGAAACUACGAAAGUGUGUGGCGCGCUAAAAAACUUAGGGUAAAAAGGAUUUACAAAUGCGGCUAAACGUAAAAACCGCAUUUAUAAAUCAAAUUAAUUUAAAAAAUGUCACCGCGUUUUUUACGAAUGCUGUACAAAGCCGUACUAAAUAAAGAACAUUCUUUUCUUCAUUUUGCACUGAUGUAAUAAAAAGAUUAAGUAAGAAAAUACUUUAUCAAAGACCACUAAGAACAAAAAUAUUUAUAAAAGAAUAAAUAUAAAUGUGAUAAUUUAUUAGUGAAUAAAAAGGUAAUUAAUUUUCUUACACAUAAAAUGAAUAAUGAUAAUGACCUAGUAUUAUUUAUUGAGUUCACAUAGCAAUUGUAACGGAAUAGCGAGAAAGAAAAUAUCUGUAUUAUGAAAAGUUUUAUAACAUCUACAUAUCCAGAGCUAUCCAGAACAUUUUUUAUUUGAUUGAUAAUGAAACUGUACUGGCAUGGUCCGAAUGAGCGUUCACAUGACUCGGUCUUCUUCAUUGGACCGUACAAAUGCUCACAUAACUUGAUUUUCUUCACUGGACCGUACGAGUGCUCGCAUAACUCGAUUUCAUUCACUGGACCGUACGAGCAAUCGAGUUACUCGAUCUCCAUCAAUUAACCGACCGAUAUCUAUACUUAAGCAAAGUUAGGAAAGUUAAUAUGCGAUUAAGCGCUAACUAAUACAACUCUAAUCGCAGUCCAAUUACCUAAUCCUGUUAAACAAGUAAGGUCCAUUAGGAUGAUAUAAAUAACACAAAUUCCAAGAAUCAGGUACGUCAUUAUUUACAGUACUCUGACAACCAAGUGUCGAAUCUCUUUGCUGACUUGAGCAUCGAAGUGUCUUCUGCAGGUACCAUCCGAAUUUGUGCUUCGAGACAAACGAGAAGAAUGACGAGAAGGAAGAGAAGAUAAGCUUGCAAGGAAGGUGAGAGAUCUGUACGACUGAUCCACAGGAGUGAAAGAUGGUUGAUAUCAUUAGUUCAGGAGUGAAAGAUGGUUGAUAUCAUUAGUUUUGUAGACUCCAACUCUAUAAGAACAUAAGCCAAUUUUUAAAAGGUGAAGAAUUGAGAAGUAGAUGUAGGGUUGGUUGAAUUCGAAACGAUAUAAAUAUGUUACGUGAUCUUUCUUUUACUUUAUUCAUCUCUUUAUACUGCUAUUUAAUUCUUAUAUCAAUUAGAUUAUCAAAUUAAUUGCAUUCUUAUUUUGGAGUUGAAAUAGUUUAAAAAAACUUAAAAUAUAAAAAUAUUUUUUUGUUACAAUCAAUUCCUAUAUUAAUCUUCCUUUCACUAAUAAUUGCAUUUAUUUGUUAUAUCUUAAAGAAAUUUUAAAAGAAUUCUAAGAAAGGAAGUUAUCAAAAAAAAAUUUGAAAACCAAUUCAUUCAUCUACUUGGUUUAAUCAAGCCAUUCCCUUUUUCUAAUUAAAAAAAAAACUCACUUUGAACCUAGCUAAUAAAAUUGAAUUUUCAAAAAACCUAAACUGACAAAAUAAAUUUUAUUUCAUAAGUUUCAAAUAUAAAGAAUACAAUAGAGAAAUAUUUUAUUUAUAGGAUGUGAAGGUGAGUUCAAGAAGUUAUCCAAGGUAUGAAAGAGAUGGAAGUAGUUGGCUAAAAUUUGAAGUUAAAAUACAUACAAAGUACAACUCUCUUGGUUCUCUGCACAAAACCGAAGAGUACAAGGUAGGGAUUCCUCUCGAUUCCAAGAUACACACAAGACAGAGCUAGAGGUGUUACUUUGGUUAAAGAACCAUGAAUUCCUCUUUUCUUUAACAAUCAUAUGACAUACUCACACCUACAUACACUGUUCCUGCAAAAAAAAAAAACAUAUGUAUGAAAGUCAAAUAAUUGAAAUUAAAAUCCAUACGAGUUUCAUUUAUUUUAUUUUUUUAUCUUAACUUUAUAUAAAUAUGUAUGAAUAUCCGAUGGUGAGAACAAUUUUAUGUUAUACAUAUAUAAUAUAGAUAGUGUUAUGAGAAAUUACAAUAUGCUUUUUUUAAUCUAAUGCAAAAUUUAUUUAAAGAUUAUUUAACUUCAAAAAAUAAAUUUACACUUAGAGAGAAACAUAUGAAACAUUUCCCUAUAGUUAUGUCAGCAAUAUAUCCUAUCAUGAUUUAUCAUGAAUCAUUUAUGAAUAUUUGUUGGUUUUUUAGAAUAAUUCAGAGGAAGAUAUUUUAUUAUCUUUGCUAACAAUUACAUUUAUAGUAACUACAGUAACAAACUCUUUACUAAUUUUAUGAGUAGUUACCUAUAAAUAUUAAAUCAACAAUUAAAACAGAAUAACAAACCAUUAAAAAAAAACAGAAUUACUAACACUCCUCCUUGAUUUUUUGAACUGCAAAUUCCAAUCUUCUGUCUUGAGAAAUCAAACUUGUUGGCUGGAAGUGGCUUGGUAAACAAAUCUGCAAUUUUUAUUUUUUUCAUCCUCGCUUUGCAUAAUCUCCAUUCAACACCUUUUGGUUUGACAUAAGGUGCAGAUUCUAAAAGACUUUUGUCAAAGCCUAAGCUGAUAAGAUAAUCAUCAAUUCGGUUAUACCAUGUUCUGGGAACAUCUUUUAAGCCAUAAAUAACUUUAGACAACUUAUAAACUUUGUCUUCUUUUCCUUCCACAAUGAAACCUUUAGGUUGCUCAACAGAAAUUUUCUCUUCAAGAAAUCCAUUUAGGAAUGUUGACUUGACAUCCAUUUGAUGUACCUUUCUAUCUUGAGGUAUGUCAACAAGCUCCCGAGUUUUGUUCUUCUCAAUCAUAUAUACCUCUUCCUCCAUUGCCUUUUCCGCCUUUGGGUCAUUGAUAACUUCUUUGUGAUCCACAUGUUCACAUAUUGCAACGUUACAUCUAUGAUAUAUGUCAGAGAGUAAUCGAUUGCCUUUAAUUGGUGGAUCGUCUUCUAUUUCAGAUUUUUGCAUCUUGAGAAGUCCUUGAUCAGACGGCUCCUCCUGAAAUAGUUCUAAUGAGAAACUUUUGCCUCUCAUUUGUACCUUGAACAAAUCUUGUCAUGUAGCAUCCUUGAUCAAAUAGUGGUUAUCUUCAAAAAAACACCUUGAAGCCUUCUUGCAGCAACUGACCAACACUCAAUAAAUUUUUGUCUAUGUUAGGUACAUAUAACAUAGUUUUAGUACCUGAAUGUGUUGCUACAACAAUGGUUCCUAUUCCAUGUACUGAAAUGUGACCCCAUGGCCUAUCUUGACCUUUGAAAUUUUUGAAGGCUUCAACUCCUUGAAAAGUUUUUUGUCAUAAGUCAUGUGAUUUAUGCCUCCACUAUCAAUUAACCACGAUGCACUUUAAAUAUUGUUGGAGAAACCAGUUGCAACGAAAAGUACAUCCUCCUCCUCAUUUGCAAAUUGAGCAUCUACGUCUUUUUGCUCACUUUGGUUCACAUCUUGUUGCUCACUUUGGUUUCUACAAAUGACUGCUUCAUGCCCAAGUUGAUUGCACUUGUUGCACUUAGCAUCAGGUCUUCUCCAACACUUAAACGGUGGAUGACCUAACUUUUUGCAAUGCUUACAAGGAGGGUAAUUUCUCCUUUUGUGGUUAUUGUGUGCAACAACUUCUCCAUUUUCUUGCUGGUUCUGCUUGAUCUGGCUACCUUUGUUUCUCCAACCACCUUUAUGAUAAGGCUCCUUCUAUUGCUCCAUCUUUUCUCAUGGCUCUUCUUUGUUCCUGUGCUUGUAAAGCAUUUAAGAGCUCUGCAAGAGAAAUUUUUGAUAGGUCCUUUGUGUUCUCUAGGGUUGUUAUGGUGGCUUCAAACCUCUCUGGAACCGUUACAAGCAGUUUUUCCACAAUUCUUGAAUCUUUUAACACAGAUCCAAGCAAUGCUUAGAAGUCUGUCAGAGUACUCUUUUACGGUUUCUGACUCCUCCAUUCUCUGCAGUUCAAACUCCCUGAUUAGAUUCAGCACUUGCAUUCCACGAAUCCUCUCAUCACCCUUGAGGUAAUCCUAGAUUUCUUUUGCUGACUUCAAGGACAUUAUCCUUGUGAAUACCAUAGGAGAUACAGCUGCAAAUAGACAUGUUUUUGCCUUUGAUCUUUUCAUCUUCUGUUCCUUGUCUCCAUCAAAGACAGGUGGUGCCAUUGCUGAAAAAUUGAAACCUCCUUCCAUUGAUGCACUCUUUCCUCAAGAAGAUAGCUCUGAUACCAAUUGUUGGUUUUUUAGAAUAAUUCAAAGGAAGAUAUUUUAUUAUCUUUGCUAACAAUUACAUUUAUAGUAACUACAGUAACAAACUCUUAACUAAUUUUAUGAGCAGUUACCUAGAAAUAUUAAAUCAACAAUUAAAACAGAAUAACAAACAGUUAAAAAAACAGAAUUUCUAACAAUAUUUUAUUUUUCUUUGGUGCUUCAUGCUAUACAUUUUCAAAAGUAAAUUAAGAAUAGAAGUAAAUGUAAAAAUGUUCAGCUUCAAUGAAAUAUUACAUCACAAUCAGCAAAUGCAUGUAUCUUGAUGGUUUGAAUAUAGUACAUUGUAUCAGAGAAACGAAUAUAUGGUACUAAACAAUUAAUUCAACAAAAAAGUGACAAACUUUGAAUUUUCAAUUUGGCAUUACAUAAGUGUAUGAACCCUGCAAGUAAUUCAUGGCAAUUAACAUGUCCUUGACAUUCGGCAUUACACUGGGAACAUAGUUCAAAAAAGAGAUCACAAACACUCUCACCAUUCCCUUGGCAAAGCAUGGUGUAGGCAUGCAUUGAUAGGAAACACUAGGCCAGGAACAGAGUACAAUGAAAUCACAAACACUAGACCAAGCAAUGUUGCUAUAUUUUGCAUGCAAAGGCAAAGAUUAUGUUGCAGAGAAGGGUGAGUAUGGGAUACUUGCUGCUGCUUUAACAGUUGAAGCCAACAAAGGAUUGGUAUAAGCCUGCCAAGGAACACCACUAUUUUAAUAGUAGUGUUUCUUGACCUGGAAUGGAAUAUCUUUGAUCGGAUUGAUCCCAUGCCUGGACCUUAUACAACUUGUUAUUUCCGAACAGCACCACUCUACAUAAGUUCAUCUUUACAGGGUUUUAAACCAACAAACUACCACCGAAACCAUUUAUUAAAUUUCAUUUGAUUUUUUUUUAUUUCAGAUCUUUGUCUCAAUACAUGAUCACAACACAUAAGACCAAUAUAGUUAUAAGGCUCAACAAUAAUUAUCACCUAGCAAAAUCUUGAAAAUCAAGAACUCAGCACCAAUAUAUACAAUCCAUCCACCAAUAUCAGUCAAAGCUAUAUAGAGUAACAGUAACAGGUAAUAAAUCUGCAUUUUAUAAAUUUAACUAGGGUAAUGGGAUUAAUAAUAAUGGUGAACUUUUUCCUAUGGUAGGAAGCAAAGUUUUGGAACUGAGUUGUAGUUUCCCAUUUACUCCAGUUAAUCCAUGUAGAUAAUAAUAACCGUGCUAUUGGAAUCAUUGCUGGAGGAGUUGUUGUGCAGCUCCUGUAAUUGCACUUGUUUAUUAUAAAAGACGGAAACCAUAGGAUUUUUUAUUUGAUGUUGCAGGGGGUUGAUUAAAAGAAAAGAUGGUUUGCAUACUCAUCAAAACUGCAUAUGAUAGCCAUAAUUAACUGAUUUUUUUUUUGUGUACUUCAGUGGUAGUUGAUUUUUUUUCUUAAAAACAACGGUUGUUUUAUUGAAAUAACUGAUUGAACACAAACACACAUUUAAACAAAGUUUUUUCAAAUUAUUUUAAAAAUCAUUAAGUGUCAAAUAACAAGUUGUUUAAACAAUUUAAGUCUUAGCCUCAAACCUGUAAGCAAAAUCUUAUUCAAUUGAUUGAUUUGAAAAACAAUUGAUAAAAAAUUUUCAGCUUUUAAGAUAAAAAAAGAUAAAAAUUCAAAUGAGUUUGGAUCCUUUUAAAACGUGAAUUAAAAAAUUAAAAAUUACUAGAUAACACAUACUAACAAGAUUUUCAAAUUUUUCACAAAUUUGGAAUCAUCAAAGCAUAUUGUUCAAUAUAUGUCUCUUUAAAUAACAUAUAUCAUUUCCAAUCUGCAAUAAUUGAUUCGAAAUGAAAAAUAGGUUAAUUCACCAUUUAUAUAUAUGAGAUUGAAAUUUAUAGAGAUUGAAAUUUAUAGAGAUUAAAAUUUAUAUGAAUUUAAGUUAAGGUGUAAAUAUUAUUAUGUAUAUACUUUGAAAUUAAUAUACACUUAUUUAGAUAACGGUUUUAACUUGAUCUUUUUAUGUUAUUUAAUCUUCAAUUUUAUUUUUUAAAUAUAUAUUUUCUACAUUUUUAUAUGUAAGCACAGUGUCCUUUAAUUUAUAAUUAUUUUUUAACCGAAUCUCAUAUCAUAACGGAAGUAAUAUUUUAACUAAAGUAAUAUAAUAUAUAUAAAUAAGUAAUCAACUCUCAUUCUAAUUUUUUUAACACAAUGAAAAAAUAAUAAUUUUAACACAAUGAAAAAAAUAAUAAAUGAGACGUUGAAUGUUAGUGACCUCAACUCUCCACACCUCCAAAUCUCUAAUUUUUUUAGAGAAGUCAUGUCUUUCUCCAACGAUGGAAAUGCCUUCGGCUCCACACCAUCAUCCGACUCACCAUCUAUCCACUUCACAUAUUUCAUUCCAUCCACUUCUAGCCUUUUCAAGUGUUGUAGUUUACCAAGUGGAGGAAGCUCCUCACAGUUGCCACAAUUCCAGAGUGUAACUUCCACCAAGUCUCUCAGAACUUGUCAUCCAGCUGGGUAACUGCCUUCCCUGAUAUCCAUUCAUCCCAAAACUCUUUAGAGUUGAGGGAGGUUGCAGGGCUGGGCUUCCAGUACUCUCUCAAUGUUAACAUUACUUUAUCUUAAUUUUCUCCUCAUGCAGAAAGACAAAUAUGCAAAUUUAACUAGGAACAAUAAAUUUUCCAUUAUUUUGUUUAAGUUGAACAUUUGAAAUCUGUUCAUAAUGAAUAAGUUUGACGCAAACAGAGUAGGGUUAUUGUUUUCCUUAAUAUUUUUACCAUUUGGUGUUCUACUUUACACUAGAAAGUCUAAAGUGUUUGUUCACAUUACACCAUCUAAUAUGUUUCUUUAGAUUAAGAUCUAUUCUUUUUUUAGUAGACUCUAGUGCACUGAUAUUAAAAUAAAUUAUAAUUGAUGUUAUAAAGUAAAUUUAAAUUUAUGUUAACCUUGUAAAAUUGAUUAUUAGAUAACAUUUGCAGUCAAUUAUCUUACUAUUUCAUUAUUUCAUUAUUACGUUUGUGUUAACCUUUUAUAAUACGUUUAUUAUAUUAAAUUUACACUCACGCACUCACUUAUGUUACUAUUUGAUGGGAAAAAAACGUACGCGGAAGCAAUACACAUAAUCACGAAUCAACUGCAGAAAAUAAACAACACAGGAUUUAACGUGGUUCGGUCGCCAACUGCAACCUACACCCACACGAGCAACUAUUAGGUUUUAUUUCUUUCCUGUUGCGUACCAAAUUAUAAACACAAUAAUAUCUUUAAAUAAAGAUAAUAAAGGGGACACAAUGAUUAAGUUCAUUCACUAAACAUGGUGUCUAGUCAGCCCAACCCAAUUGGUCCUGACUUCAUACCCAACAAUCUCCCACUUGAAGCCAUUGAACAAUGUUCACCUGCGCUUCAACUGUGUACAUAUAUUGUUGUAAUCUGUCAACGAAACUCAAUGUUCCACCACUAGUUGCCACUAGCCUUCUUAAUCAUUUUGAAGACUUCGUUAAAACUCCUCUAAGUUUUAACACGUUAGUCACUGACCCAUCCUCUGUUCCUACUGGCUCCCACUUGCAAGAACUGUCGGAUCUUAGAACAACCUGAGAACAAACACUCUCCAUAUUCAACAAUAAAUUUUAUGGAGAAGUUUCAACAGCUGGAAUACUGGUUAUCCUAACCCACUGUUGUCUAGGAACCUCAGCUAAAGCACGCCCCGUGCUGCCACUGCCAUAAGUAUCUCUGACUAGUCUACCCGAACCUUUCCAUGCUCGUUUAUCCUGAAUCUGACCUGUGGCUCUGGGUUUCUCUCUUGUAAAGACAACCCUCUUCUGCCCAUGAGAUUCUGUGAAUCGGACUUUGUUUAUCUUUCAAACUGAGACGGUCACUCCCUCAAAAGAUAAUCCGACCAUAUACAACGAACCUCUCUUUCUUCCGCGGGCCAUGACAAUAUUUCCCUUGAUGACCUUCCACUGUUGAUUUCCGAACAUCACAUCAUGUCCUUGUUCGUCUAACUGCCUAACAGAAACCACACUUUUCGUUAAGCUUGGAACAACUCUGACAUCCUUCAAAGUCCAGAAAUCGACUGGCGUCUUCAACAUUAUGUCACCCAUAAUCGUAACAUCAAGAAUUUUGUUGUCCGCUAGUCUUACCUUUCUAAAGUCCCCAAUAACUAGAUUCUGCAAUGCUUCACUGUUGUGGGUAGCAUGAAAAGAAGCACCAGAAUCCAUGACCCAAGAAUCAUCCACAUUGCUAUCCGCGCAACAUACUAAAAGAUCCUUGUCCACGAAGUCUUCUGCAAUGUUGACUUGUUUAUCAUUUGGGCAUUGAUUCUUGAAAUGCCCCACCUCUUACCGUUACAACAUGUUACAACACAUUUUUCAUUCCAUGCACGUGUAGCCUUUUCAACUAUGGUAGUUUUCCAAGUGGAGGAAGCUCCUCACAGUUUUCACAGUCCAAGAGUAUAACUUCCACCAAGUCUCUCAGAACUGCACAAUUUCUCAUCCAACUCGAUAACUGUCUCCCCUUAUACCCUUUCAUCACAAAACUCUUCAGAGUUGAGUGAGGUUGCAGGGCUUCCAGUACUCUCUCAACGUUAACAUUACUACCUUCUGAAUUAGCACUACCACUCUAUGACAAGUGUAGGAUAUUCAACUCCUUCUUACCAAUCAAAUUUGCUUGUUUAGCAUCCCAUUCAUUGGGGACGUUCUCAAGGCCUUCGAUUCUCAGCGUGCCUCCCAGCUUUAAGCUAUGCAACUGUGCUAACCCAUAUCCUGCCUUUGAUCCCACAACGAAAGUGCUCAGUGUUCUUAGAUUCCUUAACUUGCCAAUAUUCAGAGGCAUCUCUUCGACGUCACAGUUAUCAAUCACAAUAUGUCUUAGAUCUUGUAAUUGCGUUAAUUCUUGGGUAGCCUAAGUUGCCUGAGAUAUUGCAGUUUCAAUAUUUGCAAUUUCGGCAACUUUAAGUUAUUUAAGCAUGUUGUUGAACCCUUUAUCAAACUCAAGUAUCUCAAUUGUGCUAAAUCAUUUAGUGAAGACAACAAAUAAGAUGUUGUGUGUAAUGCUUGUAGAUAGUGGUUUGAUGGCAACUGACCAAUAUCACCAAAAUCGAGAAAAGUCCGCAGGGACUCAACUUUCUUGAAAGCAGCCAUAUCGACAUAGACAUCAGAAUUUAACAGGUGCAAAUGGUGAACUCUAGUUGACAAGUGAGUCAACCUUCCUUUCUCAAUAAUCACACAUUCUUCACCCAUGAUAGACUUGGCAAGAUCAUAAAAUAAGUCAUGCAUCUUGAAACUUGUAAUUAUACCAAGCCUAUUAGACUUUGCUUCUUGAAAGAAUGAUAUGUGGUAUAAUUUUCUUUAACUGUCAUAGAACUACUUUUGUCCUGUAAAUCCCAAAUCUCACUUUCCUUUACAUUUUCUCAUUGUGUUACCUCCCUUUUAUUCCGCAAUAGGCUUCCCAGUGUUUUGAUUUCAAGCGGCAAACCAACGCAUUUUUUCACUAUCUCUUUGCCGAUUGUCACAAGCUCUUUUCUCUCUUGUUUUUUUUAAUUAUUUUCGAUUAUUAUUUAUGCCUAUUUUUAUUAUUAUUAAUGUUCGAAGCAAUAUCUGCAGUGCUAGUUUGGCGCCAAUCAUCAUCAUCAUGCAGUGCUUGCUUCUCUGUUACACCAUCACGUAACUCAAACAUACUUCUUUCUUCAUUAACACGGGCCAAGCAUGAACUUUGUCCGACAUUAGAGUUAACCUUUUUGGAUUGAAGUGAACAUUCAUCCAAGAUAUCAUCAAGCACAUAUAUGCUGCAUCUGUGAGUUUCUGCAGCCAAUUCUUCAGGACCUUGCUUGUUAUUUGCUUUUUCUCAGCGUCUCUGAGGACAGCACAGAUUGCAGUGAGAUUGCCAGAAAGCUUCUGAGUCUGCUGGUCAACACUCCAAUAACUUGCAAGUUGUUUUUGAACACAAGAUCCCAAAUUUUCAAUGACGAUUCCCAGUAAAACCUCGGCCAUUUGCAGAAAGGAGAGUUUUUGUGGAUGAUUGUGGUUGUGGAGAAGGAAGUACGGGAAGAGUGGUAACAAUGAGAGGAUAAGAAUUUUGUGGUGAUUGUAGAAAAUCAUCAAUUUUCAUUAACUGACAAUUGGUGGCCAUGGCAAUAGAAAGUUGUUGUUUUCUUCCUUUACUUGUGUUGACGAAGAGUAUUCAUACACCGAUAAAUUUCGCAACUUUUUCCACAUGUUUGUCACUUUUGUCGAAAAUAUUUUAUAAAAUAAAAGUACAGAAUUAUGUAUAAGUUAUCAAAAUUAGGGGAAAAUAGUUUUUGAAAUUAUGUAUAAGUUAUCUCUAUGGGGUUUUCUUAUCUGCUCACUAUUCUUAUCAUAUUCUAUAUCAUCUAUGCUUCAUCUCUAAGUCAAAAUAAUAAUAGUUUUGUUUGCCAGCUUAAAUAAUUUUCUCCUACUCAAUAUAUUUUAUUCCUUUUUUUUCAUAAUUCAAUCAAUUUUAUUUUAAUUUAAUUCUUUAACAAAAUAUACUGUCUUAGGUUUUGUUGUCACAAUUAUUAACUCUAUUAUCCACGUGUUUAUUAGAUUGACUAUUAUGUUUAAUAAAUCAUUUGUAUUAAUUUUCUUUCUUUAUUCGUAUCAACAUAAAAUAUGAUGGGAAAAAACAUAUUGGUUUUUAUAAUAAAUAUAUAUAUAUAGAGAUCAAAAGACAAAUAAAAGGAUAUUUAUAUAUAAUGAAUAAACUAUCUUUGUUAUCAUAAAUUAGUUUUAUUUUCUUCUUCUUCUUAUUAUUAUUACUUUUAUUUAAUUUUAUUAUUAUUUUUUAUCACUUAUUAUUUUGUUUACAAUUAUUUUAUUAUUAUAAUUAUUUUAUUAAUUUAUUAUUAUUAAUAUUUUAUUAUUAUUAUUAUUUUAAUAAUCAAAUUAUUAUAUUUUUAUUAUGUUAUAUUAUAUAAUUAAAUUUAUUUAUUUUAUUAUACCAAAAAUAUAAAUAUUAAUAAAAUUUAUUAUAAUGAAAAAUAUAAUAUAUAUAUUUAAUGUAAUAAUUAUAUUUAUAAAUAUAAUAAAUUAUUUAAUAUAUAAUCAAUUAUGUAUUUAUAUAAUUGGUUAUGUAAAAAUAUAAAAUAUUCAUAUACAUAUAUAGAUAACUAUUAUUCUUUGUAAAUUUAAGCAAUUAUACAAAGAGUAACGUAAAAAUUUUAUCUCAUUAUUAUUUUUAAUUUAUUUUUUUAUUUUUUUUAAACACAACAUACGGGAAUAAGCGUUCAACUACAUUUCAAUCAUACUAUAUCAACCAAAAUCUUAAGUACACAAUACUGACUAUAUUUAUAAUAUUAAGUAAUAUUCCAAUUCUCUUUUCACUAAAGAAUAUUGCAAUUAUAUUUGAAUGAUGAAUGUGAACAUUAAUAAUAGUUUGAACGCUAAUUGGUUUGUCCACGGACUAAUAGUUUGGUGAAAAGAGAAAUGUAGAUAUUACCAGCAACUUAAGUGAUUUAAAGGAUUGAUAUCCUCCUAUUAAUUAACUUUAUUUUUAGCUUGACAUCAUCAUAAAUUAAGAAUGAAGAUUAAUAUAUGUUUAGAGUGUCUUGACUUUCAAUUGUAAAGUUAUUUGAGUCUUUCACCCAAAUAUUCAAAAAAUCAGGAUACAAUCACUUUAAAAACGAGAUAAGAUGUUUUUAAAUAUGAAAAAUACUUUAAAAAAAUUUAAAAAUAUUAUAAUCGAUAAUUUCUCAUUUAAACAAUCAAAGUAAUUGAAAAUGUUGUCUAAGUGAUUUAAUAGAUUAUCUCACUUUUUAAAAAGUUUAAGAACAUUAUAACUGAUUAUCUCUCGUUUAAUUAAUCAAAUUAUCUCAUUUUUUAACAUAUUACAGUAGAGAGAUAGUCAAUUAUCUCACUUUUUUAAGAUAUUAAAUCAAAGAGUUGUGAAAACAUAUUUUAAUCAUUUAAUAGAUUAAACAACGAUUUAAUCAAUUAAACCAGAUAGAUAGCAAAUUAUUUCAUUUUUUAACAUAUUAAAUCAGUAUGAAAACCUAUUUUAUUCGUUUCAUCGAUUAAAACAAAAAUUGUUAUAUCUAUUUUUUAAAGACUAAUCAAUUAAAUACUAAAAUAAUCUAUUAUAAGUGUGAGAUUUAGUUUUUAUUUGUUAUUUAGAAACUCUAUAAAUAGAGCACUUAGCUUAAUGUUUUUAUAUAGAUUUUAAGAGGAUUGGCAUACUAAAGACUAAAAAUUAUUUGGUUUCUAAAUUAGUUUCUAUUAUGUUAAAUGGUUUCUAAAUUGGUGUUUAAUUAGUAACAAAAGUUUUUGCUACCAAAUUUAAAAUCUAAAUAAUUGGUAGCAAAAAUCUUAGUUGCUAAUUAGUAACAAAAGUUUUUGCUACCAAAUUUAAAAUCUAAAUAAUUGGUAGCAAAAAUCUUAGUUGCUAAUUAGACACCAAUUUAGAAAUCAUUCAACAAUAAUAGAAACUAAUUUAGAAACCAAUUUUUUUUUUUAGUUUCUAAAAUGGUCUCUAAUUUAGUCAUUAUAGCAACUAAUUAUUUUUUAUCUCUAAAAAUUGGUUUCAAUUUUAUGAUUUUCUUGUAGUGAUAUGAUUUUGAUGCAAUAUAAUAUGAGUUCUUAAAAGAGUUUCUUCCACUCAUCCCGUUUAAAAGAGUUUCAUAAUAUUUCAUAUUAAAAUAUAGACGCUUAUGAAUAUUAAUUGUUAAUUUAUAUAUAAAAUAAUUCUUAAUUUAUGAAUUUAUAUUUUUUUAUAUUUUUUAUGAUUUUUAAUUGAAUAAGAGCAUUUUUUUAAAAAAAAUUUGGUGUAAUUGCCAGUUUCUAGGGAAGAAUGAAAAUUUGGACUAAAGAAGAAUGAUAUAUGCUAAAAUGAGAAAGCUAGAAAGCCAUAAUGCAAAAAAAAGAAAAAAAAAAGAGUCAAACUCAGCCGCAAGAAUGCGUCUGAGCUUGAUCCAUUCUUAAAAAUGACUUUUAUAUGAACAUCAAUUCCAAUCAAACAAUAUAAUGUUAACAUGCUGAUCAAAAUACAUAAAAAUGAGCAAGAUGAAACUCAAUCCCUAUUUUUCUAAUUGAAGCAAUUACUCUUUGAUUUGUUUUCUUGUUAAUUCUUGCCAUUAUAAGAAUCUUCAAUUCAACUUUUGAUUGUUCUGUUCUAUAUUUAGCGAAUAUUGUAUUUGAAUAGUAAACUAUUCCUUGUGGAAUUGAUCCCUCUUAAGGACUUUAUUACUUUUGACAAUACGGUUCAUUUGCCGUAAAAAAUCAUCAAGUUUUUAACCUAGUUGUCGAGAAAUACAGUUUUCUAAAUAUUGUGAAUAAUUUUAUUGUUUGGAUUUGUUUUUAUAUUUUUUUUAUAUAUUUUUCUUUACAAUACAAUAAAUAAUUAGUUGCUAUAUUGAUUAAAUUAGAGACAAUUUUAGAAACUAAAAAAAAAUUGGUUUCUAAAUUAGUUUUUAUUAUUGUUAAAUAUUUUUUAAAUUAAUAUCUAUUAACUUUUGAAGUUUUUCUACCAUAAGAAUCUAAAUAAUUAGUACCAAUAUAUAAUAUUUAUAAAUGUAUGGAACAUAUAAAUGGUGUUAUCUACUUAACACAAGGCCAUAACUCAAACUAUGAUUGAAAAAUACGACGAAGGGUUCAAUUUUUUUUGAACAACUUCAAAAAAGUGAGGUGUGAAUGGCUGAAUUAUCUCACGGUAUAUAUAUAUAUAUAUAUAUAUAUAUAUAUAUAUAUAUAUAUAUAUAUAUAUAUAUAUAUAUAUNNNNNNNNNNNNNNNNNNNNNNNNNNNNNNNNNNNNNNNNNNNNNNNNNNNNNNNNNNNNNNNNNNNNNNNNNNNNNNNNNNNNNNNNNNNNNNNNNNNNUAAGGUAAGUAGGUAGUAGUAGUAGUAGUAUAUAUAUACUAUAUAUAUAUAUAUAUAUAUAUAUAUAUAUAUAUAUAUAUAUAUAUAUAUAUAUAUGUGUGUCGAAAACACUUUGCCCUGAAUUGUAGGCUUGUGUGAGAUUGCCACCGUAAUGUUUUUAUUUUUAUUCUUAUUUUCGCUACACCCUAUAAUGUUUGUGUUUCAUUGCAUGGAGUUUUGGAUAUGAUGCAUGAUGAGUGUGAAGCGAAAAAACAUGAAGUGCUAGAGAUUUUGGUGUUUAAGGCACCUUAAUCUUAUUUGAGUAUAGUUCAUGAAAGUGUGAAAUAUAAGCAGCAGGAUCACAGCAGAGAAAUUUAUUCAAUCCAUUAAACAAUACGCAAUCAGUAAAAAAAAAUAAUAUAAGACUUAUGCAGAAGGCAGGCGAAGUUGAUGUUUACAGAGAUUGUAGCAUAGAGGGCAGUGUUAAACUGAGCAUCAAUAUAUACAAUUCAUUCACCAAUAUCAGUCAAAGCUAUACAGAGCAACAGCAUGCAGUUUUGGAUAUGAUGCAUGAUGAGUGUGAAGCGAAAAAACAUGGAACAAAGGGACUUUUCUCUAUGAAGUGCUAGAGAUUUUGGUGUUUAAGGCCCCUUAAUCUUAUUUGAGUAUAGUUCAUGGAAGUGUGAAAUAUAAGCAGCAGGAUCAUAGCAGAGAAAUUUUAGACAUUAAAUCCUGCAGUAGUUAGAAAUCCUGACUUUAGGAUAGCAAUGGAUGAAUGAUUGGUAGAAUGUAAUCCCAUCUUCGUACUAAAAGAUGUACAUGAUGAAUGCACCUUUGCUUACAGGCACUUAAAGGUAUCAUAAAAAAAUAAAAGACAUAGGUAGAAGGCAGACCAAGUUGAUGUUUUCAGAGAUUGUAGCAUACAGGGCACUGUUAAACUCAGCACCAAUAUAUACAAUUCAUCCACCAAUAUCACUCAAAGCUAUACAGAAUAACAGCAACAGUUGAUUAAUUGAAGCACAUUAAUAAUAUAAAGGGAAAUUUCAAAUCUGCAUUUUAUAAAUUUAUCAGUCAUUUACUCAUCUACUUUGAUGGCAGGUUUGAAGCAGUUCCAUGAGCGAGAUGAUCGCUCGAUGCUUUCUGCACGCAAUUACAAACAUUAAUGUAUGCAGACUCACACAAUGAAGAGAAAUUAAAGAAAAUGAUACAAUCAUUCACUUACCACUAAAUGUUGAAGUCUUUUCCUCUCGGAGUGUGACGAGUUUUAUUUCUGGAAUGUGGUUUAUGUAUUGCCAAUCGUCUCCCGUUUCCUUCUCGCACCGCUUCUUCAGAUAAGGACAUUCGCUUAUAGUUAAAGAAGACAAGUUGGUGAGACGUUGAAUGCUACUCGGUAGUGACCUCAACUCCACACAGUUCAAAAUCUGUAAUUUUUGAAGAGAAGUAAUGUCUCCCAACCAGUUCGGCAAUGAAGUAGACGAGCAACCAGUUAUAUCCAAAGAUCGUAGGGAAGGGACACAUUGUAAGCCAUAGGGUAAUGUGGAGCAAUCGUCGAUUGUGACAGUCCGAAGGGCAGUUAGUAGGGUCAUAUUGCUUGGUAGAGUCACCAGUUCUGGACAUUUAUCGACUAUCAAAAUCUUCAGACGUGUCAAAUGUCGCACACCUUCAGAUAAGGAUUUUAAUUUCUUACAGUAGGAAAUAGUCAACAUUUUAAGAGAGCUCAGACCUUCCAACACAUGUUCUGAAAAAUACUCCAGAUCAUCCCAAAGACCAAUGCUUAGUUCCCGUAGUGCACCCAACCCACUGAGUUGGUCGGGUAAUACCACCUGUCCUUUAAUGAAAUCAAUAUCCAAGGUCUUUAGACCAGGCAUAUUCUCCACAACCCCUUCCCUGAAGAAAGUCCCAUCCCAAAUCCUAAGGUGCUGAACAGAAGGAAGACGUGGAAAUUUAAGGUUGGAGACGCCAUGAAUUCUUAUUAGAAAAAGACGAGGAAGCAUCUCUACUCCUUCUUCUCUCAACAUUCUCUCCAAUUUUAGUAAAUUCAGCACUGACAAAUACUCCAACGAUGGAAAUGCCUUCUCCUCCACACCAUCAUACGACUCACCAUCUAUCCACUUCACAUUUUCCAUUCCACCCACUUCUAGCCUUUUCAAGUGUGGUAGUUUACCAAGUGGGGGAAGCUCCUCACAGUUUUCACAGUUCAAAAGUUUAACUUCCACCAAGUCUCUCAGAACUGAACUAUUUCUCAUCCAACUCGAUAACUGUCUCCCCUUAAAUCUUUUCAUCACAAAACUCUUCAGAGUUGAGGGAGGUUGCAGGGCUUCCAGUACUCUCUCAACGUUGACAUUACUAUCUUCUGAAUUCGCACUACCACCCCAUGAUAAGUGUAGGAUAUUCAAGUCCUUCUUACCAAUCAAAUUUGCUUGUUUGGCAUCCCAUUCAUUGGGGACGUUCUCAAGGCCUUCAAUUUUCAGCGUGCCUCCCAGCUUUAAGCUAUGCAACUCUGCUAACCCACACCCUGUCUCUGAUCCCACAACGAAAGUGCUCAGUGUUCUUAGAUGCCUUAACUUGCCAAUAUUCGGAGGCAUCUCUAAUAUUGACACAUUCCUAUUAAUCACAAUAUGUCUUAGAUCCUGUAAUUGCGUCAAGUCUUUGGGCAGCCUAAGUUGGCUCAUAUUUUGUAGUUUCAAUAUUUGCAAUUUCGGCAACUGACAAAUUAUGUUAUUUAAGCUUGCUCUCGAAUUCCCAUCCAAACUCAAGUAUCUCAAAUGUGCUAAAUCAUUCAAUGGAGACAACACAAAAGAAGUUAUGCGUAAUGCUCGGAGACAAGGGUUUGAUGGCAAAUGACCAAUAUUACCAAUAUCGAGAAAAGUCCGCAGGGACUCAACUUUCUUGAAAGCAGCCAUGUCGACAGAGACGUCAGAAUUUAACACGUGCAAAUGGUGAACUCUAGUUGACAACUGAGUCAACCUUCCUUUCUCAAUAACCACACAUUCUUCACCCAUAAUAGACUGAGCAAGAUCAUGAAAUAGAUCAUGCAUCUUGCAACUUCUAAUCAUACCAAUAUCAUCAGACUUUGCUUCUUGAAAAAAUGAUCUACGAUAUAAUUUUUUCCACACUUUAUUUCCGACAUCCUCCACUUCUACAUUUCUUUCACAUUUAAUAAGUCCAUUAGCCAUCCAUAGAUGAAUUAGUUCUUCCUUGACUAUUUCAAAAUCUUUGGGGAAAAUUGCACAAAAAGAAAAGCAUCUCCUCAUAGACAACUCCAAAUUAGAAUAACUCAAUUUCAAAGCACGCAUGAUAGAAUUUUCCUCACAUGUCAUACAACUACUUUCCUCGCGUAUAUUCCAAAUCUCACUUUCCUUUACAUUUUCCCAUUGGCUUACCUCACCUUCAUCAUGCAAAAGGCUUCCCAGUGUUUUGAUUGCAAGUGGCGAACCAACGCAUUUUCUCACUAUCUCUCUGCCAAUUGUCACGAGCUCUUCUAUUUCCUCUCUGUUUGGUCCAAACGCAUGGUGUUUGAACAAUGACCAACUGUCGUCUCCUGACAAUUCUUUCAAAUGGUAAGCAGGAUGCGUCCCCAUCACGGAGGCAACUUCCUGCAGUCGAGUGGUGACCAAAAUUGCAGCUCCUUUUGCUCCCCUUGCACACUGCAACAUCCCUUUUAAGUCCUUCCCCUUCUCUUGGUCUUCAUUCCACACAUCAUCAAGAACAAGUAAAUACCUCUUGCUCUGCAACACUUCUUCAACCUUUUUCCGCAAUGCUUCUAAGGUAUUGAGAUUGGGAUUUUGUCUAGUGCAACAUUCUAUGAUGGAUUGUAAUAUGGUCUUGGUGUUGAAAUCAUCAGAAACACAAAUCCAAACUUUCAAGUCAAAAUGGUUGCGUACCCUGUGAUCAUUGAAGACGUGCUUGGCAAGUGUUGUUUUGCCAAGUCCACCCAUACCAACUAUGGGAUAGAUGGAGAGGUCUUCACUGUUACUGGCAUCUUCCAGGAGAAACUUCACAAUCUUCUCUCGAUCCUGGUCUCUGCCACAAAAUAUAGGUUCCGUAAUUACAGAGCUAGUUUGGCGCCAAUCAUCAUCAUCAUCAUCCACUGCUUGCUUCUCUGUGACACCCACACGUAAUUCAAAUGUGAGCCUUUCUUGAUGAAUGUCAUGAAAUCUUUGAGUGAUGUCUUUCAUCCUCUUUCCAAUAUGAAAACGAAAGAGAAUGUCCUUAGGAUGCACACGGGCCAAACAUGAACUUUGCCCAUCAUCAGAGUGCUCCUUUAUGGAUUGAAUUGAACAUUCAUCCAAGAUAUCAUCAAGCACAUAUGCUGCAUCUGUGAGUUUCUGCAGCCAAUCCUUCACAGCAUGGCUUGUUAGUUGCUUUCUCUCAGCAUCUCUGAGGACAGCACGGAUUGCAGUGAGAUUGCUGGAAAGCUUUUGAGCCUGCUGGUCAAGACCCCAAUAAGUUGCAAGUUGGUUUUGAACAAAAGAUCCCAAAUUUUCAAUCACGAUUUCCAGUAAAGCCUCGGCCAUAGGAAGAAACGAGAGCUGGAAUGAAGGGAAGGUUGGAGAAAAGUGAAGAAGAAUUUCUUUAGAAAUGUUUGUUGCAGUGAUUUAAUUUUCUUCGGUGUUGGAUAUAUGCAAAAUAAUUGAGAAGACAGAAUGAUGACACAAAAGAAAAUAAAUAAAGUGACUUUUGUUUCACAGCUUUAAAUGUAAUGAUUGACAUGCUAAAGAUAUUUUAAAUGAAUUGAUUUCUUACAAAGAAAAUUUCAAAUUUCUUACUUUAUAAAACCCAUCCAAAUUGAAAAAAAAAAUUGAAAAAAAAUCUAACAUAUACUAAUAAUUAAUUUUAAAUUUUAUAUGAAUAUAUUUUUUCUAUUAGGUAUCACAAAAAUUUAGUUAAUAAAAUAAUAAUAAAUUUUAAUUUUAACUUAAUUAAAUUUUAAUUACCCUUUUAAUUUAUUUUAUUAAGUGUUUAAAAUAUUUUUAUUUUGGUUUUGGUGUUGUAUUUUUUUUAAUGUUACUCUUUUUCUUUCUAUUUUCUACUUAUAAGUAACAAGUUAAUUAGAAAGUUGAAGAAGGAAAAACAGAAUAAUGGUGUGAUCCUGUUUACAGCAAGAUCAACUGACAAGAGAUAUUUAGAUAAAGAUAAUAAAUAUUGUAUACAUUCAUUAUAAUUUUUUUAAUAAAGACUAUUUUAAAAUAUCUAAAUUUACAAGAUACUUAAAUAUUAAAUGUUUGAUUUUUAACUAUUCUAAACGCUUAAUAAAAUCUUUAAAAUAUUAAAUUUAUACAUUUGAUGAAAUUUAUAUAUUUUAUUUUACAAAAUAUAAUACUUAUACGAAUAAAUUUAUCAAUUGCAAAAAAAUAAAAUCAAUAAUCAAUGAGAGAUAUAUGUUUUCUUUAAAUUUAUUUUGUUCAAGGAAGAAAAAGUAAUCAAUGUAAUUCUUUACAUUAAAAUUUGAUAUUUUUUAAUAUUUAUAUAGAUAAAACUAUCAAAUUAACUUUCAAAAGGGAAUGCAACAAAUAACUGUUAAGUCAUGUACACAAUGAUUCAUGUCGGAGUGAGAAACUCAAACUCACGUUAAAAAUCAACCUGACAUAGUAAAUUGUUUUAUUAGAAGUUAAGAUAGAAAAUCUUGAACCACUAUAUAUACGUUCUAACAUAGAUGUAAUAUUGGUUGAAUUCGAUUAAAUAUAAAUAUGACAUGUUAUCUUUAUCUUACUUUAUCCAUAUAUUUAUAUUGUUAUCUAAUUCUUGUAUGAAUUAGAUUAUCAAAUUAAUUGCAUUCUCAUGUUGGAGUUGAAACAGUUUAAACAAUCUUAAAAAAUAGAAAUAUUUUUUGUUACAAUCCAUUCUCAUAUAAUUUUGCUUCCACUAAUAAUUGCAUUAAUUUUUUUAUAUCUUAAAAGGAGUUUUAAAAGAAUUCUAAGAAAAGAGAUUAUUAAAAAAAAAAUUGAAAAUCAAUUCACUCACUUCUUGAUUUAAUCAAGUCAUUCCCUUUUUCUAAUAAAAAAACGCUCACUUUAACCUAGCUAAUAAAACUGAAUUUUCAAGAAACUCAAAGCUUAUUUCAUAAGUUUCACAUAUAAAGAAUACGUGAACGUGAGUUCAAGAAGUUAUCUAAGGUACGAAAGAGAUGAAAGUAGUUGGCUAAAAUUUGAAGUUAAAAGUACAACUCUCUUUGUUCAUGUAAUAAUGAAUAAUGAAUAGUUAUGUGCAUCAAUUAACUCUUUCUCUCCAACACUUUCUCAAGUAUUAACAAUUAAUUAUUUAGUUUCUAAAUUUGGUAGUAAAAUUCUUUAUUGUUAAUUAGAUACUAAUUUAAAAACUAUUUAACAAUAAUAAAAAUUAAUUUAAUUUUUUUUUUUUAGUUUCUAAAAUGGUUUCUAAUUUAGUUACUAUUGUAACUAAUUAUUUUGGUAUCUAAAAAUUGAUUUUUAUUUCAUGAUUUUCUUGUAGUGUAUAUUUACUUAACAAAUCUGGAUUGCUAUAUUUAGAUAUUAUAAGAUGUCAAAUUUGAUUCAAUUGUUUUAAAGUAGACUGGAGUUCAUUAUAUUGUUUUGUUUAAAGAAAACUAUAAACUAAAACUCUUCAAGUCUGGGGUUACUUGUAAGAACCGAGAAAAAUAGUCUUAGAGUAGAAAUGGUACAAUUAAAAUGGCACCUGAAUAUUUUAUUAUUAAAGUGAAAAGGCUAUAUAAAUAGAAAUUUAGUUAUUCAGGUUUCAUUUUAAAAAGAACUAUCAUCUCUCUAAAAACUCCUUUUUCCUUUCCUCUGCCUUCUCUCUAAAAUCUCGACCUCCUCGCUCAUCUGUUUGACGAUCGGAGUCCACCAUUGGACUCCUGGCAGCGAGAUCUACAAUAUUGACCGAUCAGAAUCUCUUUCAUAGAGUAUGUUCAUUUUUGUUCCCUUUUUCCUUUCCUCUCCCUUCUCUCUUAGAUUUUGACCUCCUCUUUCGUCAGUUUGAUGAUCAGAGUCUGCCAUUGGACUCCUGGCAGCGAACUCUACAAGAUUGACCGAUCAAAAUCUUAAAUAGAGUAAGUUCAUUCUUGGCUCUUUUUUCUUUGAGUUAGUUUUGAUCUGGUUGGGUUGCCUUUUAAUUUAAGUUUGCAUGUGAGGUUUUUAUCUUCAGAAUUAGUCUCUGUUAGCUCAGGGUCCUAGUGAUGUUCUCUUGAAUUACGUAUGGAACACUCUGUGGUGCNNNNNNNNNNNNNNNNNNNNNNNNNNNNNNNNNNNNNNNNNNNNNNNNNNNNNNNNNNNNNNNNNNNNNNNNNNNNNNNNNNNNNNNNNNNNNNNNNNNNUGGUGGGUUUGGAGCUCUUAGUGAGCAUCUGCUAAAGUCCAGGUAAGGGAAGCUAGUUUAAAAUCUUCAAUAGAACCCUAGGUUAGAAGAUUUGAAUGUGAGUGUGAUGUGAUCACCAAUUCCAAAUUUUGUUGCAAGAUUUCUUGUUUUGAGUAGAUUGUAGUUUGAUUGAAAUUGAAAGUGUUGUGAUUGAGAAUUGGUUGUUUGAUUUAAAUGGUUGUAGAAUUAGAAAUCAUAUAUAUGUAUAGAUGGAGAUAAUAACUUAAUGAUUCAAUGAGAGUGAUUGUAUCAUGUUGAACAGGAACUACUAAUGUAAUGUGUAGAUUUAUAAUUUAUGAAUCGAAUGAGAUGUUGAUUUAUAAUUUGAUAGGUAUAUUAAGUUAUGCAGAAUUUCACCCAAGCUAGCAAGUUCUAGCUCAAGCUAGAAAAUUAUGGGUGCUCUUUGGAGGAUUUUAGCUCAAGCUAGCGAAUUCUAGCUCAAGCUAAAAUUCUGGGUGCUCUCUAGAGGAUUUUAGUCCAAGCUAGCGAAUUUUAGCUCAAGCUAAAAUUCUAGGUGCUCUCUGGUGGAUUUUAGCUCAAGCUAGCGAAUUCUAGCUCAAGCUAAAGUCUAAAAAAAAUAAAAUAAUAAUAAAUAAAUAAAAAUAAAAAUAUAUUAAACUAAUUUUUAUUUGCUUUUAAAAGAUUGAUUUAUUUAUUUAUAUAUAGUUUUUCUUAUAAAGUGUGUAAACUUUUAUUUCAUGUAUAGUUAAUUGAAAAUCUCUUUAAUUAGACAUUUAUAUGAUUAGUCAAUGAAUUGUUGUGUAUUUUGGAAAUUUUAAACAUUGGUAUGAUUUGAUUGUUUGAUGGUGGAUAUUUUGAGGUUCAAAAUAUGAAUUCUAAUCAAGACAUAGUAUUUUCAGGAAAGAAAAUACCGUGUUAAGAUUGUUUAGGAUGUGCAUUGACUAGGGAUUCGUCUAGAAGGAGAUAUCCUGACUCUCCUGAGAUAAUGGAAUCAUAUAGAUGAAGUUAUUCAGGUGGUGAGAGUCGAAGGAGAUUCAUAUGAAUGGGUAAGUUGUUUGAAAGAUAAUUAACUUGACCUGUUAUAUGAAUUAACCCUGUCAUACUAGGAGAGAGAUGAUAUUGAGAUUAAUUAUGCGCAUAGCUGUGUGGAUUUCACNNNNNNNNNNNNNNNNNNNNNNNNNNNNNNNNNNNNNNNNNNNNNNNNNNNNNNNNNNNNNNNNNNNNNNNNNNNNNNNNNNNNNNNNNNNNNNNNNNNNNNNNNNNNNNNNNNNNNNNNNNNNNNNNNNNNNNNNNNNNNNNNNNNNNNNNNNNNNNNNNNNNNNNNNNNNNNNNNNNNNNNNNNNNNNNNNNNNNNNNNNNNNNNNNNNNNNNNNNNNNNUACCUAGCUUACCCUUUGUUUUGUUUUGUGGUUGUUUUUCUUUGAUCUGUGAUGAUCGUGUAUUUUACACGGGAGCAGAUGAUGUUACAGGUGAUAAAGUUUCUCGGUGAGAAGAUGGAUAAUGGAAAAUGUUUAUUUUUCUUUUGAAAUUUUGUUUUAAAAUUUAUGUAAAUGUUUCAAGUCUUAUGAAGAGAGAGAUAAUUUGAAACAUUAUAAUAAUGAAAUUUUAGAUAUAUUUGUAUUAUGUUUAUAUAUUUAUUUUAAUAUUUCAUACAGAUUAUGAUUAUAGAUAUGAAAAAAUAUAGGGAUGUUACAUUACCCUUUAUUCUGUUUUUAUCCUUUAUUCUGUUUUUAUUAUGGCAACCAUUUUUUAGGCUUAUUAAUACUCGUUACCCUUAAUAGCUUGGUAGGUAGGGCAAUUUUCUUGACUUUAAAAUUAUUGUAAUGGAAUCUUGAAAUUAAAAAACUAAGAUCAGAGUGGUGAUUUUGCAUGAAGAUCAAAUAGUUGUAAUUUAGUUUAUUACACACUUUCAUUGACUUCUCCUAUACCCGCUCCUCAUCAUUGAGAAUAAUAUACUAGAAGUUUAUGUCUUUGUUGUGGUCAAAUUAAUAAAAUAAUAAAUAAUCCUCAUAUUAUAAAUUAUGGAUUACAUUCAAUCCAAUAAGAAAAGAAUCUUUGAAGUUUAAAAAUUAUGAUUAUUAAAAAUAACUAAAUUUGAUUUGAUUAAGUUAAAAUUAUAUGAUUUUUUUAUAACAAUAAAACUUUUAUUCAAAUAUAGAGAAGUUAGAUCAUUGUAUUAAGUAAACCAAUAAAUGUAAUAUAUAGAAUUUAAAGUUGUCUUAUUAAUCUAAAAAUUAGAUUUUCACUUUUCUUAAAAAUAAUUUGUAUGAAAUAUAUAGAUAUUUUCUAUAAAUAAUGAAUUGUUUAAUCAAUUGUUUUAUGAUAUUGAUUUCACUGUGCGUCUUUUGUUAAAAAAAAACAUAAUCAAUUAUAGUUUCAAUGGAAUAUGUUAUUUUUAUAUGUUUUUGGAAAAAAAAAAGAAAUUGAUCAAAUAACAUAUAUCAUUUCCAACGUGUGAUUAUUGAUUCGAAAUAAAAAAUAGGUUAAUUCACCGUUUGUAUAUAUGAGAUUGAAAUUUAUGGAAAUUAAAAUUUAUAUGAAUUUAAGUUAAGAAAUGUGUAAAUAUUUUGAAAUUAAUAUACACUUAUUUAGAUUACGGUUUUAACUUGAAUUUGUUUAUGUUAUUUAAUCUUUAAUUUUAUUUUUUAAAUAUAUAUUUCUACAUUUUUAUAUGUAAAGACAAUGUCAAAUAAUUUAUAAUUAUUUUUUAACCGAAUUCUCAUAUCAUAAGAGGAGUAAUAUUUUAACUAAAGUCGUACAAUAUAUAUAAAUAAGUUAUCAACAUUCAUUCUAAUUUUUUUAACACAAUUACAAAAUAAUAAUUUACAAAAUUUAUUAAUUAAAAAAUAAUUUUAUACACAAAUACGUAUUUUAGACAGACCAAUAGAGUUUAGUAAGUUCUUUAUGUAUAAAACUUAGAAAUAAUUAAAAAAAAGCAUUAACAAAAUUAAGAUUGUGCAUUUGUAAGUGAAAAUGUUAUGUAAGAUCAUAGUGGGGAGUAGUUAGAAAUCCUGACUUUAGGAUAGCAAUGGAUGAAUGAUUGUGGUUUUUUUUUUUCAAACUAGUGUAAUUUUUUUUCUAUAUUCUCAAAAUGGGCAAUUUUUUUUUUCGUCAACCGCAAUGGAUAUUUAGAUUGAAUAAAGAGAUUUUGAAAAAAAAAAUGAAAAUCAAACAUAGAAUUUACGAUUUCUAACUAAAAUCGUAUUCCACAUAUACUAUUUUAAUAUUAAAAUAUAUUUUAAUAUAUUAAAUUUUUAAAAAAAAUCGUACAUAUAAAUACGAUUUCAACAUACGUUUAUAUAUAAUAAUAUAUAAAAUUAAAAAGAAUUGUAUAAUAAAUACAUUUUAAAUAUUUUAAUAUACAAUAAUUUGAAUAUAUAUUUUAGUAUUUAAAAUAGAAAUAAAAAUAAUAUAAAGUUAUAUAAAUUUAAUUUAUUAUUGUAACUUUAUUUUAUAUAUAAUUAAAGAAAAUUAAAUUUUAUUAUUUAAAAUAAUAAUAAUAGAAAAUUAGAUUAAUUUAAUUUACUAUUAUAAAUUUUUAUAUAUAAUAAAAGAAAAUUAGAUUUUUAUAAAAAAAUUAACUAAAUAAGUUUUAAGAAAAUAUUUUUUAUUAUAUAUAAUUAAAAAAUAACUGAAAUUUUAUUAUAUAUAAUUAAAAAAUUAAAUAUAACUUUUUGGAUUUUAAUAUAUUAAAAUUAUUUUGAAUUUUUAAUAAAUUGAAAAAAUUUAAUCGGAAAGCUAAAAUGGAAUUGAAAAUGAAUAAGUUUAAGAAGAACAUUGAUGACACUUGCUAGUAGGGAAAUUUGGCAACCAUGUUGUUGUGGUGGUAUGAAUAUUUGUGGUGCUUGAUUGGGGGAGGAUUGAAAUUGAACUUGUUGUCCAAAUUGUGCAACAUUUGAUGAAAAUCCAACAUUUGCAACAUAUGCACGGUGCCAUGUUUUCACGAGUGAAUAGGAAACACAAUAGAGAAUCUUUGCCAAAGUACCAAACUUUGAAAUAAAGGAUUAUGGAGUGUUUGAAUCAAAUAUGUCAUGCAGUGAUUCUCUCCACAUUUAGCAAGAUUCUCACGUAAAGCAAGUCAUGCCAUGAAAUGUCGGAAAAAAGCCAAAGUGAGUGAAGGAAAGUUCAUGUAUAGGAAAACAUGAAUUGAGUGAAAGCACAAUUCACUGCAAGCACAAAUAGCACAUAUAACUUGAGUGAAUGGGGGACUGGAAAACAUAUUCAAUUCCUCUUAAUAAUUUAAAACUUUCUGGUAACUAUGUUAUAUAUAUACAUAUACUGAAAGCAAACAACCAAUGAAAGGAACUCUUCUUGGAACCACAAAAUCAUCAAACUUAUUUCACAGUUUAGGAAAGAAAUUUUUGUGGGAAGUUUUGAUUGGAGCAAAACUUGUCUUAUAUAUUCUUCUUCACAAUGUAAUAAUUUAAAUUUUGUAUUGAAAUAUUUUCUAAAGUAUUCACGCUCAUUGCAUGCACUUUAUAAUAACAAUAUUAAUUACAUGUUGCAUGUGGUAGAUGAAUCCGUUUUACAUUGGAGACAGUUAUAUUAGCACCCAGGAGGAACCCGUAAUCAGAGAUAUUAUUAAUGAGUUUAGUGAAGACGACGAUGUUGAUGAUUUACCCGAAGAUGGUGGUUUCACAAUGUCAUCACUCCAAAAAAGUGAUUUCAAUAAUCGAUCUAGACAAAUAUCUCAAUAUGACCUUUCUGAACGAAUGACUUUUCCUAAUAAAGAGGCUACAUUGGUUGUCAUCAAACAAUAUCACAUAGCUGAAGGGUUCAAAUUUGUUGUCGUGGAGUCAAAAACGGAUCAAUAUGUAGCCCGGUGCAUUGACUACAAUAAUGGAUGUCAAUGGCGGCUUAGAGCAUCCUUCAGUAAAAUCCGUGAUACAUGGGAGAUAAAAAAUAUUGAAGCACCCCACACAUGUUUAUCGACCACUCUUUCUGAUGAUCACGUAAAUUUGGACUCCAACCAAAUUGCAACUGUAGUGGUCAAUUCCAUUAAAGCAAACCCAUCCAUCCCUGUGAAAAGUUUAAUCGCAAAAAUUAAAAGUCAUUAUGGUUAUUCUGUAACAUAUAAAAAAGCAUGGAUGACAACUUUUGAAAGAACCAAAUCUUGGUUUGUUGAACGAGGGACGAAGAUAGAGUGUAUGUUACGAGCUAGCCAUCAAUAUCCAGAAGAUAUUAUUGCCUUGUUACGGAAAAAUGAACAACAAUCGGCUAUGUGUCAUGUCCAAAGCUACAAUAGACAAAAUCCAGAGUUUGAUGUUCAAGAGCUAUCCACUGCCCAACUACAAUGCCUACCUAUGCCAUACACAGUAAGACUUAAUGACUAGUGGUGUGAUUCUGGGGAGUUUCAAGCUCUCCGAUUUCCUUGUGCUCAUGUUAUCGCUGUUUGUUCGGCAUGCCAUUUACAACUAACAACAUUCGUUGAUCCUAUUUAUAGUUUGCAGUAUAUUUUGAAGGCUUACGAAGUUGAAUUUCAUCCAGUUCAAAAUGAAGAUUAUUGGUCUACUUAUAUGGGACCGAAUUUCAUCUCGGACCCCUACAUGCGUCGUAAGGAAUUAGGCAGACCAACAACUAAUCGUAUACAUAAUUCCAAAUAAGCCAAAAAAUGUUGGAAUGAAAGCCACAAUAGAACAAAUUGUCCAUAUAGACAAUAGUAGAAUGUAAACUCUUGUAUUAUUUUUCUGCUUUCCAUGAUAAUUAAAUUUUUGGUUAACGUUCUUCAUUUUACUUUUUCAAUUAAAGUUUUUGCUUUAUUUGUAGCAUUUCGAAUUUAGAAUUUUACCAACUUAAUUUUUUAUUAUGAAUUAAAUUUAAUUUAAUCAUUUUUAAAAAUAAUCAAUUUAUAUUAUUUUAUAUUAUUAAAAUAUUACAUCAUUAAUUUUAUUAAAAAAUCAAAAUAGUUCUUAUGUAUAAUAAAAAAAAUCUGAAAACUUAUUUAGUUAAUUUUUUUAUAAAAAUAUAAAUUUCUUUAAUUAUAUAUAAAAAAAGUUAUAAUAGUAAAUUAAAUCUAUCUAAUUUUCUAUUAUUAUUGUUAUUAUUUUAAAUACUAAAAUUUAAUUUUAUUUAAUUAUAUAUAAAAUAAAUUUAUAAUAAUGAAUUAAAUUUUUCUAAUUUUAUAUUAUUUUUAUUUCUAUUUUAAAUAUUAAAAACAUAUAUACUAAAAUUAUUAUAUAUUAAAAUAUUUAAAACAUAUUUAUUAUAUAAUUCUUUUUAAUUUUAUAUAUUUUUAUAUAUAAACUUAGGAUGUUGAAAUCGUAUUUUAUAUAUACAAUUUUUUAUUUUUUAUUUUUUUUAAAAAAUUAAUAUGUUAAACUAUAUUUUAAUAUUAAAAUCGUACAUGGUGAAUACGAUUUUAGUUAAAAUUUUGUAUACAAUUUUUAAUUUUUUUCAAAAUCACUAUUGGGAUUGACUAUUUUAUUUUAUCAAAAUCUUCAUUUGCGAUUGACGAUUUACCCAUUUUAAAAAUAAAAUAAAAAAAUUGCUCAUUUUGAAAAUAUAAAAAAAUUGCACCACUUUGAGAAAAGAACAUGAUUGAUAGAAUGUAAUCCCAUAGAAGGUAGGCCGAGGAGCAUAGAGGGCAGUGUUAAACUGAGCACCAAUAUCUACAAUUCAUUGACCUAUAUCAGUGAAAGCUAUACAGAGUAACAGCAACAGGUGAUUAAUUGAAGAAAAGAGUAACACAUACCUCGGCUACUCGCACAUCAAAUCAGUGAUUUUCUCAUCAAUUAUACGAUCAAAUAAAUUAUUGCUUACUAGUUUGAUGGCAGGCUUGAAGCAGUUCCAUGAGCAAGAUGAUCGCCGGUUGCUCUCUUUACGCAAUUAGGAAGAUUAAUGUAUGCAGAGACUCAGACAGUAAGGAGAAAUUAAAGAAAAUGAAAUAAUCAUUCACUUACCACUAAAUUCUGAAAUCAUUCCAUAUGGGAAGUACUUGACUAUUCGUGUUGGAAGGUGACGUACGUAUUUCAAAUCCUUCCCUUUCCAGUUGCACCAAUCGUCCAGAUGAGGACAAUCUUUUAUAGUAAAAGAAGACAAGUUGGGGAGGUGUUGAAUGCUAAGCGGUACUGACCUCAACUCCCCACAGUUCCAAAUCUCUAAUGUUUUAAGAGAAGUCAAGUCUCCCAGCCAGUCCGGCAAUGAAGUAGACGUGUAACUGUCUAUAUGCAAAGUUUGUAGGGUGGAGACAAAUUUUAAGCCAUACGGUAAUGUGGAGCAACCCCCGAUUACGAAAAUCCGAAGGUUAGUUAGUUGGGUCAUAUUGUUUGGUAGAAUCAGCUCUGGACAAUACCAAAUACUUAAUUUCUCCAAUGAUGGAAAUGUCUUCUCCUUCACACCAUCAUACCACUCACCAUCUUUCCACUUCACAUUUUUCAUUCCACGCACGUCUAGUCUUUUCAAGUGUGGUAGUUUACCAAGUGGAGGAAGCUCCUCACAGUUUUCACAGUCCAAGAGUUUAACUUCCACCAAGUCUCUCAGAACUGAACCAUUUCUCAUCCAACUGGGAAACUGGCUUCCCUGAUAUCCAUUCAUCCCAAAACUCUUCAGAGUUGAUGGAGGUUCCAGGGCUUCCAGUACUCUCUCAACAUUAACAUUACUGCUACUACCUUCUGAAUUAGCACUACCACCCCAUGACAAAUAUAGCCGAUUCAACUCCUUCUUGCUUAUCAAAUUUGCUCCUUUGGCAACCCCUUCACUUUCCACAUUCUCAAGUCCUCUGAUAUGCAGCUUGCCUCCCAGCCUUAAGCCAUGUAACUCUGCCAACCCAUACCCCGGUGUUGAACGCACGGUGAAAAGGCUCAAUGUUCUUAGAUGCCUUAACUUGCCAAUAUUAGGAGGCAUCUCUGGUAUUGAAGAACACCUAUUAAUCACAAUAUGCCUCAAAUCCUGUAAUUGUGUUGAGUCUUUAGGAAACCCAUAAAGUUCAUGACAAUUUUCCAGUUUCAAUAUUUGCAAUCAUCAUCAUCAUCCACUGCUUGCUUCUCUGUGACACCCACACGUAAUUCAAACUUGAGCCUUUCUUCAUGAAUGUCAUGAAAUCUUUGAGUGAUGUCUUUCAUCCUCUUUCCAAUAUGAAAACGAAAGAGAAUGUCCUUGGGAUGCACACGGGCCAAGCAUGAACUUUGUCCGUCAUCAGAGUGCACCUUUUUGGAUUGAAGUGAACAUUCAUCCAAGAUAUCAUCAAGCACAUAUGCUGCAUCUGUGAGUUUCUGCAGCCAAUCCUUCACGGAAUGGCUUGUUAUUUGCCUUUUCUCAGCGUCUACGAGGACAGCACGGAUUGCGGGUGAGAUGGCUGGAAAGCUUUUGAGUGUGUUGAUCAACACCCCAAUAAGUUGCAAGUUGGUCUUGAACAACAGAUUGCAAGUUUUGAAACACAAUUCCCAGCAAAGCUUCAGCCAUUGGAAGGAAGGAGAGUUUGAAUGAAGGAAGGUUGGUGAUGAUUAUGGAGAAGAGAGGUAACGAGAAGUGAAUAAUAUUUUGGUUAGAAAGAAUUUCUUAUAUAAUUUAACUAACUUGGGCAGAAUGUUAGGAAGAUAAUUAUGCAUCAUUUACACGACUAUAGUCAUUACAUAAGCAAAGUAUAUCUUAUUUUGAAGUUUACCUGAUUACAAUGAAAAGUAUAUAAAUAUAUUCAUACUGUGAAAAAAAGAGAGAAUAAAAGUAGAUGAACAUUUUAAAAUAAAAUUCCAACGCUAUGCAAUCCUUCUUAUUGCACGUCAAGAAUAAUUUGUGAUCCCAAAAUAUAUUGAAUUCAUUACAGAAACUAUAACCAAUUAGGAUAGUUGAAAAGAUUCCAAAUCAAUCUUUGAAACAAUGUAAUAUUCUAUCUCUUUCCUCACUUCCUCCCAAGAUGAUAAUACCCUAAUACAUUUUUCAAUGAAAUUACAAAUAUUUAAACUUUUAAGUUGACAAUAACAAAAACAAAUGUAACUUAACAACAGUUCAAACUAUAUUGUGUAUUUAAAUAACUCUUUGUGAAAAAGUGAAAGUUAUGUAUAAUUAAAAGUAAUUUUAUAAUAUAUAUAUUUUUUUUAUCAUAUAUCUUAAAUAUAAUUUAUAAAUAAACAUAUUUAUUUCUUAUGAAUGUUAAAUAUAAAAAGGCAUAUAAUAAAAGAAAUCGAAACUUGAUUUGAGAAAAAUAUGUGACAUAUUUUAUGUGAUAUAAGUCCUUUUUUGUUUGAAAAAAAAAUUAAAAUAUCUUAUACGAUAUAAAUCGUAUUUAUUGAUUAAAUGUAGCUGCAACAAUACUAUUAUAAAAUUUUACUUGAAUGUGUAACAUUAAAAAUGAUUAAUUUAACAAAAGUAAUACUGUUUUAUAACAUAUGCUUCCGUGUUGAGAAUGAAGAAAUAUUGUUGAAAAAAAUGUUCAUAUAAUCUUAACAGAGUAGUAGAUGGUAAUUACAUGGACAGAGAGUUUAACAUAAUGGUGAUGAAAAAUAUAAGUACUUAGGUAUCUUUAUUUUUUAGUCGAUGCAAAUAUAUAUAUAUAUAUAUAUAUAUAAUUAAGUUAAAUAUGAGUACAAAUUGUGAAUGCUCAUAUAAUUUCGUAUUUAAAUACAUAAAAGAGAAAAAAAAACUAUACUAAUAGGUUCUAGGUUCUGUGUAAGUAUUGUUUUUAUAAAAUUAAAUUAUGUUGGAGAUUUUAUCACGAGAUAAUGAUAUCUCAUGAUAUAUUUUAUGAUAUAUAAAAGAGUAUAAACUUGACUGAUUUGAUAAAUACUCUUAUAUUAAAACAUAUCACAAAACAUUAAAAUAAAUAAAAUUUUAAAUUAAAAUAGUAAAAACAACAUAAAGAAAUAUAUAAAUAUAAAUAUAUAUAUAUAUAUAUAUUUUAUGUUUACCAAAGUAGAAUGAAAAGUAUAUAAAUGUAUUAAAAAGUAGAUUAACAUCUUAAAAAAAAUUAUAUCACCUUAAUGAUGGAAUUCCUUCUUGUUGUAGCUGAAGCUGAAUAAUAAGUUGUCAUCAAGCAAACCCAUAACCCAUUAGUAAAUUAAUCUUUGAAACAAUGCAACAUUCUAUCCUUUUCUUUUCUAUUCAAAACGUGUCAAUGAAAGUCACAAAUAUGUUGAACCUUAAGUUAUUCAUUUAGAAGAGAGAAAUGCCAACUCCAAUAUGAGACAAUAAAUUGUCUUAUUAUAAAAUACAAUCUUGAACGGGAUUCUAACCUCUAAAUGAAUAAUGUGUAUAUACGUUGUAUAAAUUUUUUGAAUAAAGAUUUUAGUCAACCAAAUUUUUAGACAACUUAUAAUUUAAAAGAAUGUUAAUAAAUAAUAGCAAUCAAAAUAAAAAUAUUUUUUUUAUAAAAAAUAAAAAAUAAAAAAUAAAAUUAUAUUUAUUAAUAGUCUUGCUUAGGAUUGUACUAUCACAUAACUAAUUAAAGAUAAUAAAAAAUUAAGUAAGAAAAUACUUUAUCAAAGACCACUAAAAACAAAAAUAUUUAUAAAAUAAUAAAUAUAAAAUGUGAUAAUUUAUUAGUAAAUAAAAAAGCUAAUUAAUUUUUUUACUUAUAAAAUGAAUAAUAAUAAUGACCUAGUGAUUAUUGAUUUUACACAAUAAUUGUAACGAAAAAGCAAGAAAAAUAAAUAUAUAUUAUGAAGAAAAAAAUAACCGAGAUUAUUUUUUAUUUAGUAUAGAUUAAUAUAAUCUCAUUCAAGAAGGAUAUGCUCAACAUUCAAAAUUAUAAAACAAUUCAAAAGUCCGAGCAAAAUCUAAAGGAUCUUAAUCCUAAUGAUCAUUCGACAUACAUUGUUAAAACUAUACAAGUGUCAAUAGAGGCAUUCAAACAACUACUAAAAGAUCAAAAGCAUUAAAGUCAUUCGGUCAGAAAUGAAAGAAGGACAAAAAGUCACUUCAUACCUCGAAGCAUCCAACGAUCACAUCUAGAAUCUUAUGAAAUAAAACGUUUCUCGAACCUGGAGGGCAAGUGUAUCAAUCGGUACUAGACAAGACAUGUCACUCGAUCUCGGUGACUGAUCGCAUUAAUAUAUAUUAAAGGUACUCAAUAAAUGACAACGAUAACAAUUAUGCGAACUCCCUAUGAAUUAUGAUUAUGUAUGUCCUACCAAAUCCAGGUGACAUCAAUAUACCAAUAUGCCAACAUACCAAUAUACCAAUAUACCUUCCUAUAAAUCAAGGAUCAUGUUAUAAAUCAGUUAGUAACUGAUAUUUGAUUGAUUUGGCCUAUCACACAAGGGCCUAUGACUAAACACUAUAAAUAAACCUUUUACAAAGGUGUAAGUGUAAGGUACACUUUAAUCAGCUUUCACUAUACACUCUUUACAUAUAGUACUUACUUGAUUGUCAGAGUACCUUUUUCAGGUCAACCCCGACUGAGUACCAACAAUUAAAGGAGGAGACUUAAAGUGAGGAGCAAGAAGGCAACCGACACAUCAACAAUUUUACAACCAGUUUCAGUUAUUAUCUAGGCCCUCUUUUGCUUAUACAGGAACAACAUAUUUCGACUAAAACUCAGAUUAUGUUCACAGUUAUAAAUCUAUUAAUAAUGAAAAUAAACACAAAAUUUAUUUUAAAGUAAACUCUCGACUCUAAGUUAAAAAUAACUUUUUUUUAAGUUCUUAUUUAUAUAAAUGAAACUGUUUAACCAAUUUUCAAAGUGGAACACACAAAUAGUUGUUAAGUCACAUGCACUUUAUAGAUGCAGGAAAAACCAACUAAUACUAUAAAUCAACCUAAAACAAUAAACAAUCUAAUGAGAAGUUGGGAUUAAGAUAGACAAUUUGAACCACCAAACAUUUGAACCUUCUUUUGAACCUCUAGAAGGUUUAAUAUCUCUAGAUAAUCUAAAAACUUUUAAACAUAAGUUUUACUUUAGUCAAUCUAAAAGCUUUUAAACAUAAGUUUUACAGAACCAAAAUUCACACAAGUUAUAAUUUAAAAGGAUGUCAACAAAUAAUAGUAAUCAAAAUAAAAUAAUUUUUUAUAAAAGACCAAAAUAAAUAAAAGGUAGGACUAAGUAUACAAAUAUACUUAUUAUUAGUCUUUUUUUUAAAUGAUGACGUAUUGCUAAUAAUAAGUAUUCUUUUUUUUUUAUCAAAGACCAAAAUAAAUAAAAGGUAGGACUAAGUAUACAAAUAUACUUAUUAUUAGUCUUUUUUUUAAAUGAUGACGUAUUGCUAAUAAUAAGUAUUCUUUUUUUUUUAUCAAAGACCAUUAGGAACAAAAUAUUUAUAAAAGAAUAAUAUAAAAUGUGAUAAUUUAUUAGUGAAUAGAAAAGCUAUUUAAAGUUUUUUAAAUAAAUCAAGCUAAUGACUUAGUGAUUGUUGGGUUCAUAUAGCAAUUAUAACAGAAAAAACAAGCAAGAAAAUAUUUGUAUUAUGAACGAAUUGGCCAUUCUAGAAUUCAAUUUUUUAUUUAUUUGAAUAUUAGCUUGUAGGGUAGUUGAAACUGAAUUCAGGAUUAUAUACCGGAUUAUAUUAACCGGUUUGUAAAUGAUAAAAGGAAAUCAGUUGGUACAAUUGGGUAUACAAUUUUGGAUCCAGUUUCAAUUAUCGGAUUACACAGGCCGGUAUUAAAAAAAAAGUGUUUGGAUGGAUCAUUCCAGUACAUUAUAAGGGUAUAUUUGAUAUUUCAAAAUUAUAUGGAGGUGUGGAAGGAGCAAUGAAGAUGUAGGGAAAAUCUGUCUUGAACAUUUACUUUCGUAUGAGUGGGCCGUAAGUCCAACUCUAGUUAGACUUAUUCAUGCAAGCAUUGUAUGUUCUGAUCUUAUUUUGAGUCAUGUAUUGCAAUGGAGACUGUUUCUUCCUGCACCUUCAUACCUUCUUCUCUCACCUCCAAAAAUUUUCGUAUUUCUAAAAAAACUUUUUUGUAAUAUUCUGGAUUAUGUAAUUCAGAAGUCAUUUUUUAAAUUUGUAAUUAGUUUUCGGAUUACAUAAUCUGAAAGCCUUUUUUCAAACACAUGAUUACUUUCUGAAUUACAUAAUCCGGAAGCUACUUUAUGGGGAUAGCACGGGAGGGAUAAAAAUAUAUUUUCAUGUUUUGUGAGAAAAGAAUAUAUGGAAGUGUAGGAAGAAACACUCUACAAAGGGUAUGACAUUUGUUUUGUGGCAAAUUCUUCCUGCCCGGAUCAAUUUCUGCCCCCGAUUUGUCAUUAAAAUGAUAAAAAUGUCUUUGCAAAAUAAAGAAAAUAACUUUAAAGGAAAGGAAGGUGUAGAUAAAAAAAUUACUUUGGGAAUUUUUUUUCUGAAAUACAUUUUGGAGAUUUGAAUUUCUGGAACAUAUUUAUGAAUUUUAGAUUUUUUUUUUCAAAAUGCAUUUUCAGAUUUUAUGUUCUGAAAUAUUUUUACAAAAUGUAUUUUUUGUAUUUUAGAUUUUUUUUAAAUUAUGUUUUUUUAAUUUCAGAUUUUCAAAUCCAGAAGAUAAUUUUAGAAAUGUUAGAAAGAUGAUAGGAUCCAACUUCAAAUUGAUAUGGUGCAGGAAGAAUUUGCCUUGUUUUGUAAAAUGAAUGAAAGAAAAAGAGAAGGCCAAGAAAGAGAGAAGAGGUUAAGAGGUAAGAAGGUUUUGGCUUUCCUAUUUGUAUGUGUGAAACUUGAACAGAGACAAACAAACCUGAAAAACCCACAUACCUUGGUGAAAUUUUUGGUUGUUUUGAAAUACGAGAGAUGAAGAUGAGAUUUUUUUUUUGGGUGAAAGAGAUAAAUAAGGGUAUUGCACAUAGAUAGAAGCAUAGAUUAGAGGGUAGAGAAAAGGUAAAGGAAUAGGUAAUUGAGAUGAUGGGAUGGUGUUGUUUCUCUGGUAGGCUAAAAUUUGUUGUUGGUUGCAACCUUAUAUUAAGUUUAUUUGAUACUUGAAGUCUAUGUGUAUUGUUAAGUUUUAAGUUUAGUCACUGAACUUAUGUUUAUUAUUCAAGGGCAUUUCAGAUUGCUUGAUUUUGUUUUGAUGAUCUGAAUGGAUGUUCUUGUGUUUUUGUACUAGGAAUUAUUGUAUAUUUUUGUCAGAUUUGAAAAGAUUAAAAUGUUAAUUUCAUUAAUUAAAUUUUUAGAGUGGUUCUGUAAAAAAUGGUUUGACUGAAUUUGAUUGUUUCUUUAUUGGGUGAUUGAUGAUCCAUAAGGUCUGUCAUGUUGGCUAAAGCCAGCAAAUGUGGGAAGCCGGAAAGGUUGGUGAGUCAUUGUAUAAAAAAAACCCAUAUGAAUCAACUUUUCUUUAACUGAGUAUUCCAAAAGUUCCUCAUCUCAUAGAGGCAUGUCCAUGUAAGAAUUGAAAGAAUAGCAAGGAAAUCACAAUACCUAGUUGAUCUCAUUCCAUUUUGUAAAUUAGACCCUAAGUUUUUGAAUUACUAACACUGAUAAACUUUUAAAAGUUUUGGAGCCUAAAUUGGGCCAAAAUUCUGUAUUCUGCUGCCGACGCUCGUAAUGAACAACUGGAUCAUUGUUUUGGAGUCAUACCAAACAGGUAGAAAAGAAGGCUUGAAUUUGUCAUGUACUCAUAGAAUAACAGCUUUUCAUUUUGCACAAUGCAGCCAGCCAACAGUCUCACAAGGUUGCAAUGCUGCAAUUUCUCAAUCAAUAUUACUUCAUUCUUGAAUUCCUCCCUCCUUGAACUGAUGUUUUUCAAAGCCUUUUAACAGCAAUUUGUCUUCCAUCUGGUAAUAUACCAUACAAAUUUUGUUCGUCAGAAAAACUGUUUGUAUUUUUUAGAAUAGUACUGAGAGCCAUCAUAGGAAGGUCAGUGUUCAUACUCUUCUCCUUAUCUACUUGUUCUUCAGAAAACAUUGAAUUUAGUUCCUCCUCUUGUAUUAUACUAUAUUUACUUAACAAAUCUGGAUUGUUAUAUUUAGACAUUAUAAGAUGUCAAAUUUGAUUCAACUGUUUUAAAGUAAACUGGAGUUCAUUAAAUUGUUUUGUUUAAAGAAACUAUAAACUAAAACUCUACAAGUCUGGUGCUGCCCCUUAUUCUGUUUUUAUUCUGGCAUUCACUUUUUGGGCUUAUUAAUACUCCUUACCCUAAUAGCUUGGUAGGUAGGGCAUUAUGGUUUCAACUCAUGCUCUCUUGUUCAGAUAAUAGUUCUAGAAUCAUUUAUGAUUUAGUUCCUCUCCUAAAUUUUUUAUUUUAUCCUUGUUUCAAUCUUUAUAUAUGGUAGUCUUCUUUUACAUGAUGUGGUUAAAUUGAUAUCUGGUUGUCAUGUUAUAAAAAUAGGCAUAGUUUCCAUUAUUAUUAUGUUCUCAUUAUAUUUUGUUUAGCUUAUAUAUGUGUUUGUUCUAUCAGAACCAAGGUUGUCAACCCAAAAGUCUAUGUAAACUUGACGAAGAUUCAAAAUCCUCAACUCAAGCUCAACAGAUCAAUUCAAGUUUUACUCAAUAUAUUUAAUUGUUGAAUAGUUACUCUACUUUCAUUCCUCAAGUUGAAUGUACUCAAAUUCAAAGCUCACUUAUAAGAUAAAAUACUUAUACAUGUAUGGAACAUAUAGACGGUGUUAUCUACUUAACACAAGGUCAUAACGCAAACUAUGAAGGAAAAAUACGAUGAAGGGUUCAAAUUUUUUGAACAACUUCGAAAAAAGAGGUGUGAAUGGCUGAAAUGGUUGUUUCAUUGCAUGGAGUUUUGGAUAUGAUGCAUGAUGAGUGUGAAGCGAAAAAACAUGGAGCAAAGGGACUUUUCUCUAUGAAGUGCUAGAGAUUUUGGUGUUUAAGGCACCUUAAUCUUAUUUGAGUAUAGUUCAUGAAAGUGUGAAAUAUAAACAGCAGGAUCACAGCAGAGGAAUUUUAGAUAUGAGAUUGUGCAUUAAAUCCUACAGUAGUUAGAAAUCCUGACUUUAGGAUAGCAAUGGAUGAAUGAUUGGUAGAAUCUAAUCCCAUUUUGGUAGUAAAAGAUGUACAUCAUGAAAGCACCUUUGCUUACAGGCACUUCAAGGAUCAUAAAAAAAAUAAAAGACAUAUGUAGAAGGCAGGCCAAGUUGAUGUUUACAGAGAUUCUAGCAUACAGGGCAGUGUUAAACUCAGCACCAAUAUAUACAAUUCAUUCAUCCACCAAUAUCAGUCAAAGCUAACAGGUGGUUAAUUGAAGAAAACAGUAACUCAUUUGUGAACCACAUUAAUAAUAUAAGGAAAAUUUGAAUCUGCAUUUUAUAAAUUUAUCUAGCUCAGGUAGUGGGACGUGGAAUCAGUCAUUUACUCAUUAACUAUACGAUCAAAAUGAAUUCCUUCUUACUACUUUGAUGGCAGGCUUGAAGCAGUUCCAUGAGUGAGAUGAUCGCGAGAUGCUUUCUGCACGCAAUUACAAACAUUAAUGUAUGCACAAACUCACACAGUAAGCAGAAGUUAUAGAAAAUGAUACAAUCAUUCACUUACCACUAAAUCUUGAAGUCCUUUCCUCAUAGAGUGCGUAGGAGUCGAGUUUUAUUUCUGGAAUGUGCUUUAUGUAUUGCCAAUCCUCUCCCGUUUCCCUUUUGCACCGCUUCUCCAGAUAAGGACAUUCGAGUAUAAUUAAAGAAGACAAGUUGGUGAGGCGUUUAAUGCUACUCGGUAAUGACCUCAACUCCCAACAGAACAAAAUCUCUAAUUUUUUAAGAGAAGUCAUGUCUCCCAGCCAGUCUGGCAAUGAAGUAGACAUGCAACCCAUUAAAUCCAAAGAUAGUAGGGAGGGGACACAUUGUAAGCCAUAGGGUAAUGUGGAGCAAUCCACAAUUGUAACAGUCCGAAGGGCAGUUAGUUGGCUUAUAUUGCUUGUUAGAGCCACCAGCUUUGGACAAUUGUUGAUACUCAAACGCCCAAGACAUGUCAAAUGUCGCACACCUUUAGAUAAUGAUUUUAAUUUCUCACAGUUGGAAAUACUCAAACUUUUAAGAGAGCUCAGACCUUCCAACACAUGUUCCGAAAAAUACUCCAGAUUAUACCAAAGUCCAAUGCCUAGUUCCUGUAGUGCACCCAACCCGCUGAGUUGGUCGGGUAAUACCACCUGUUCUUUAAUCAUUUCAAUCUCCAAGGCCUUCAGACAAGGCAUAUUCUCCACAACCCCUUCCAUGAUGGAAGCCGCUUCGCAAAUAGAUACCUUCUCAACAGAAGGAAGACGUGGAAAUUUAAGGUUGGAGACGCCAACAAUUGUUAAUUGAGAAAGACGAGGGAGCAUCUCUGCUCCUUCUUGCCUCAACAUCCUCUCCAACUUUGGUAAAUUCUCCAAACUCAAUUUCUCCAACGAUGGAAAUGCCUUCUCCUCCACACCAUCAUACGACUCACCAUCUAUCCACUUCACAUUUUUCAUUCCACGCACUUCUAGCCUUUUCAACUGUGGUAGUUUACCAAGUGGAGGAAACUCACAGUAUUCACAGUCGAAGAGUAUAACUUCCACCAAGUCUCUCAGAACUACAAGACUUCUCAUCCAACUGGGUAACUGCCUUCCCUGAUAUCCAUUCAUCCCAAAACUCUUCAGAGUUGAGGGAGGUUGUAGGGCUUCCAGUACUCUCUCAACGUUAACAUUACUUCCUUCUGAAUUAGCACUACCACCCCAUGACAAGUGUAGGAUAUUCAAGUCUUUCUUACCAAUCAAAUUUCCUUGUUUAGCAUCCCAUUCACUUGGGACGUUCUCAAGGCCUUCUAUUCUCAGCGUGCCUCCCAGCUUUAAGCCAUGCAACUCUGCUAACCCACACCCUGUCUUUGAUCCCACAACGAAAGUGCUCAAUGUUCUUAGAUUCCUUAACUUGCUAAUAUUCGGAGGCAUCUCUUCUACAUCACAGUUAUCAAUCACAAUAUGUCUUAGAUCCUGUAAUUGUGUCAAUUCUUUGGGUAGCCUAAGUUGACUGAGAUAUUGCAAUUUCAAUAUUUGCAAUUUCGGCAACUUUAAGUUAUUUAAGUUUGCUGUCGAACCCGUUUUCAAACUCAAGUAUCUCAAAUGUGCUAAAUCAUUCAGUGAAGACAACAGAGAAGAUGUUGUGUGUAAUGCUCUUAGAUAGUGGUUUGAUGGCAACUGACCAAUAUUACCAAAAUCGAGAAAAGUCCGUAGGGACUCAACUUUCUUAAAAGCAGCCAUAUCGACAGAGACAUCAGAAUUUAACACGUGCAAAUGGUGAACUCUAGUUGACAACUGAGUCAACCUUCCUUUCUCAAUAAUCAGACAUUCUUCACCCAUGAUAGACUUGGCAAGAUCAUAAAAUAAGUCAUGCAUCUUGAAACUUGUAAUUAUACCAAGCUUAUCAGACUUUCCUUCUUGAAAGAAUGAUCUGUGGUAUAAUUUUCUCCACACAUUAUUGCCGACGUCCUCCACUUCUAUAUUUCCUUCAGAUUUAAUAAAUUCAUUAGUCAUCCAGAGAUGAAUUAGUUCUUCCUUGUCUAUUUCAAAACCUUUGGGGAAGAUUGCACAGAAAGAAAAGCAUCUCCUCAACGACAAUUCCAAAUUAAAAUAGCUUACUUUCAAAGCACGCAUGAUAGAAUUUUCCUUAACUGUCAUAGAACUACUUUUCUCCUGUAAAUCCCAAAUCUCACUUUCCUUUACAUUUUCCCAUUGUGUUACCUCACUUUUAUUACGCAAUAGGCUUCCCAGUGUUUUGAUUGCAAGCGGCGAACCAACGCAUUUUUUUACUAUCUCUUUGCCGAUUACCACAAGCUCUUCCCUCUCUUCUCUGUUCGGUCCAAACGCAUGGCUUGUGAACAAUGACCAACUGUCGUCUCCUGAUAAUUCUUUCAAAUGGUAAGCACCAUGCGUCUCCAUGGUUGAAACAACUUCCUCGAGUCGAGUUGUCACCAAAGCAGCAGCUCCUUUUGCUCCCCUUGCACACUGCAACAUCCCUUUCAAAUUUGUCCAUUUCUCUUGGUCUUCAUUCCACACAUCAUCGAGAACAAGUAAAUACCUCUUGCUCUGCAACACUUCUUCAACCUUUUUCUGCAUUGCUUCUAAAGUAUGGAGAUUGGGGUUUUGACCAGUGACAUGUUCUAGAAUGGAUUGCAGUAUUGCCUUCACAUUGAAGUCAACAGAAACGUACACCCAAAUUGUCAAGUCAAAAUGUUUGCAUACCAUGGGAUCAUGGAAGACCUGUUUGGCAAGAGUUGUUUUGCCAAGUCCACCCAUACCAACUAUUGGAUAGAUGGAGAGGUCUUCACUUUCACUAGCAUCUUCGAGGAGAAACUUCACAAUUUUAUCUCGAUCCUGGUCUCUGCCACAGAAUAUGGGUUCGGUAAUCACAGAGAUAGUUUGGCGCCAAUCAUCAUCAUCAUCAUUCCUAGCUUGCUUCUCUGUUCCAAGAUCACGUAACUCAAACAUUCUUCUUUCUUCAUUAAUAUCGUGAAAUCUUUGGGUGAUGUCUCUCAUCCUCUUUCCAAUAUGGAAACGAAAGAGAAUGUCCUUGGGAUGCACACGGGCCAAGCAUGAACUUCGUCCGUCAUCAGAGUGCACUUUUUUUGAUUGAAGUGAACAUUCAUCCAAGAUAUCAUCAAGCACGUAUGCUGCAUCUGUGAGUUUCUGUAGCCAAUCCUUCACAGCAUGACUUGUUAUUAUCUUUCUCUCAGCGUCUCUGAGGACAGCACAAAUUGCGGUGAGAUGGCUGGAAAGCUUUUGAGUGUGUUGAUCAACACCCCAAUAAGUUGCAAGUUGGUCUUUAACAACAGAUUGCAAGUUUUGAAACACAAUUCCCAGCAAAGCGUCGGCCAUUGGGAGGAAGGAGAGUUUGAAUGAAGGAAAGGUGAUGAUUAUGGAAUAUGAGUGAAUAAUAUAAAUGAUUACAUAAGCAAAGUAUAUCUUAUUUUGAACUUUACCUCAUUACAAUGAAAAGUAUAUAAAUGUUUGAUGAUGCAAUCCUUCUUAUUGCACGCCAAGAAUAAUUUGUCUAGAACAUUCAACAAAAACUAUACUUAUUUAAUAUCUGUAACAAUAUAUAAAUAAUAAAUAGUCAAGUGAAGGAGACCCACAUGAAGUGGACCUUGGAACUCAAGCCCCAGACCUUGUUUGACGGCUUUACUAUUGAAGUCCACCCAGCCGCCCUUCCCAGCUCUAGCUUCGGCUGAACCCCACCUCUCCUGUCCCCAGCAACUCCCACAAAGGCUGAAGAAGACUCCUAUCCUCCCCUUCUCAAUAGGACCUUCAGCUAGACUGAACUGACUGUAACUCGCUCAAUAUAUAAACAAUAUAAAUAAAUUUUAAACUUUUAUACUAUUUUAUUAUGUAAAUGUUUAACAAAAAAAUAGAGUUUGUUUGAUCAACUUAAAUUUAACUUAGUUUUGUGUUAUAAAUAAAGUUAUACCCGAGCAUUUUUAUUAAAAUAUUCUUAAAAACUAAGCAUCUUGUUUUUGAAAUAAAUAAUAAAGAGAGUUCAUAUAAUCUUUAUAGAGUAAUAAAUGGUAAUUACAUGGACAGAGUUUAAAAUCAAGUGGCGAUUACAUAGAUGGAAAAUACAAGUACUUACGUGUGUUAAAUAAAAAUACAAAUUUCAAAUGCUCAUACAGUUUCGUAUUUAAAUACAUAAAAAGAGCAAAAACUAUAUUAUACAGGUUCUGUGUAACUAUUAUUCUUAUAAAAUUAUUUACUCUUGUAUUAAAACAUAUCACAAAACAUCAAAAUAAGAAAACUAUUAAAUUAAAAUAUUAGAAACUACAUAAAACAUAUAACAAUUGGUUGUUCCUAGAAGGUUAAUAUCAAGUUAAAACUUAUAGGCAAACAUCUCAUAUAAUACAUAUAAGACUUGGUUAGUUUAAUGAUUUACCAUUUAUGCUAUACAUUACAUUUAAAAAUUUCUUAUGAAACAUGUUUCAUUAUCGAGGAUUCCUUCACUAACUUACUUGAUAUUAUAAAUCUCUGUCUGAUUUCAUCACUGAAUACCCUUAUCUAUUUGACUCACAUAAUCCAAACUAAAAUUUGGUUGAAUCCUCUACAUUAAUAUUUAAAUUAUCUAUGGAUAAAUAAAUUAUAAAGGAGACAUUUGAAGAUAACUAGGGAAAUACUAUUUGGGUUAUGAUUAGGUUGUUUAAAUUUCUUGAGUGAUAAGAUAUUAUUUGAGCAUUAUCUAAAGAAAUACAUUAAUAGAGGAGAGAAUUAAGAUUGACUCUUCAUCACUCAAAUGUUACACCCUCACUUAGCCAAAUAGUUUAUUUUUAAAAAACUCUAAAAUGAAAGAAUAAUGUAACAUUGCAUUGAAUCUUUAAAAAUAUGCAAAAACCUAGCAUAAACACCUAAAACACUUAUAAGAAAUUACACUAAUUAUGAUAAUAUAUUUUUUUCAUCAGAUACUCACGUAUGAAAUCACAAGGAAAACAAAUAAAGUUAGCCAAAAAAAUAAUCUCCUAGCAUUAUUUAUUUGAGAAAUAGAAGAAAAAUAAUUUUAAAUAACUAAAAUUAAAUUUACAAUUUAUAAUUUUAGAGAUAAUUUAUAAUGUCUAAAAUAAUUGGAUUUUAGAAUCUAAAUAAUUUGUAGUUAAAACAUUGAUAACUAAUUAUAUACAAAUUUAGAAACUAUUUAUUAAUAAUUGAAACUAAUUUAGAAACUAAUAAUUUUUUUAGUCUUUAGAAUGAUCUCUAGUUUAAUCAAUAUAGUAACUAAUUAUUUUUUCUCUCUAAAAUUAGUUUUUAUUUAAUGAUUUUCUUGUAGUGAAUUUUCUAUUUAUAUUUUUUUAUAUAUAUUUAAAAAAAAUUAUAUAUUUUUUUUAAAAUGAAUAACUUUUAAUAAAAAAUAUUAUAUAUAAUUAAAGAAUAGUUGAAUUUUUAGAAAAUAAUUUUUUAUUAUAUAUAGUUAAAAUAUUAAAUACAUUAAAAUUAUUUUAAAUUCUUAAUAAAAUUAAUUAUGUGAUACUUCAAUAAUAUAAAAUAAUAUAAGUUAAUUAUUUAAAAAAAAAAUUAAUUCAUAAUAGAAAUUAAACGAGUAAAACACUAAAUUUGAAAUGCUAAAAUUAAAUCAGAAAUUUUAAUCUAGAACUAAUAGAGAACGUUAACCGGACACUACAACAAAAACUGCUUUUUUUUCCUACCAAUUUGGGAAGCAAACGACUAAAAGUGGAGAAAAAAAAAAGUCGGAUUUGCGUCGGUCACAGAGAUGACGGAAAAAGUGUGAAAGCAAAGUCUAUUUUACUUCUGCCAGCGGAAGCAAAUGGUUCAUAUAUCCUAUUAUGCAUUGGUGAUGUGGAGAAAAAAAAUAAAUAAAAAAUGUAAAAUCAGAUAUUACGUUGGCUUAGUUAAAGCAAAUUAUGUUAAAAAAAAAGUUUUUGUGUGAGUCUGUGAAAAAAAAUGGAAAAUAAAAAAAAAUGAUUUUUCCCGUAUUUCUUUUUUCUCCCGCAAAGAAUAAAAUAAACCAACCAUUCAAAUAAAAUCAUAGACAGAAUGAAAUAAAACAUUCAUCAUUCAGAUAAAAUCAUAAACAACAUAAACCUAAAAUCAUAAACAACAUAAACCGGAUAAAAUAAACCAAACAAUAAAAAUAAACCAUUCACCAUUCAAAUAAAAUAAAAAACAACAUAAACAUAAAAAAUAAAUAAUCAAAUCUAAAAAAAAAAAUUAAAUUUUUAAAAUUACCUUUCGUCAAUUAAGUGGAAGUUGGAGCAGAAGGUGGGAGUCACAUGUUGCAGCAACGCAGACUUAAUAAUAAAUUAUAAAAAAACAAAGAGUAGAAUGCAAAGAAGACCAUCUACAGGACUACGAUGGAGUAGGUAGGCUUGGGAUCUCUAGAGUGAAGUGAGAGAAAGAAAUUUAUAUUUAGGCUUUUAAUUUGGGACAAAGUAGUAUAGAAGAGUAAAAUUUCGCUAUAUAUUCAAGAUUUUGCACCAUGCGAAAGUGGAAACCUACUUCAUGUCAGUCGUGAUUGAUGUAAAAGGAAACAAACUUCUAAUUUACGUCGGUUCUAUGAUUUUGUGAUUAAAUUUUUAACUUUCAUUACAAAUAUAAUUAAUAAAUAUUACACAUAAAUUUAUAUUUUUAUAAAUUCUUUCCAAAUAAAUAAAUCAACCAAAUUUAAUAGAUAUUUAAUUCACCAUUUUCAUAAUAUUUUGAGCAAUUAAUUAAAUCUUAAUAAAUGAAAAUAGAACUUUAAACAAAAUAAUUUAAUUCAUAUAAAAAAUAAAUUAAAAUUAAACUAAACAUUGGAUUGGAAAGAUAUUCAAUGUUAUAACAACAUUCAAUGUUAAAUUUGUUAUUGUUGGGAAAGAAAUUGAUUCUUCUUCAUUUAUUGUUCUUCGAAAAGAAAACUUGAUUGAGAGUAUAAUAUAGAAAUGCUUUGGAAAAAUAUAUGAAAUUGUUUAUAAGUGCUCAUUGAUUGAAUUCACACACAUGGUAAAUAUUAAUUACCUAAGAUCAAAACAUAUCCAGUUUUAUUUCUUCUUGAAAUUUGAAAAAAAAAAUAUGCUUAGUUCAAAUUCUCUAUAAUCUCAUAUUUAAGAACUAAGCCUAGUAAAAUCACUACAAUAAAAGAAACAAAAUCUAUAAAUUUGUAAAUUUGUUAUUCACUGCAUUGGAGAACUGUAUUAACUCACUUUUUUUUUUUAUUACUAUUACUUUAUUUACAUUAAAAAAUUCAUUUAUAGCAUGCUAUGUACUAAAUGGUUGGUUUUAGAACACACCUGUGUCCUCGAUUAGUCACAUGUUCCUCCAUAAGAAAAUGGAAAUGAGGUCCAAUAAUUAAAGAAUAAAUUUGUUAUAUAUUCAAUUUGCACUUAUAGAACAUUUGGUAAAGUUUGGGACAAUUUAGAUAUUGUAGUAAUCUAACAAUUAAAAAUAAAUUACUCACUCACACUCACUUUUUAUGUUUGUAUUAUAUAUUUUGCGGAUAAAUCUUAAAAAUAACCUUAUGUUUCAUUAUUUAGAAGUCAAUUCUUUUGAACCACAAUGGAUAUCAAAUGAAAAUCUUGAUUUCAAAAUAAAUUGUUCUUUUAUAUAUUACAGAUGUUAUGAGACUCAAAGGUUUACUUACAAUUGUUCUUUUAAAUAAAUUGUUGUUAAAGUUACCAAUCAAAGGUUUACCUUGAUUUUUUCUUUUCUUAAGUUUACUUUCAAAAAAAAUUUCUUCUUUAUUUUUAAAUAAAUCUAUUAAAUUUUACAUUAAUUACUUCAUGUCAAAUUUAUAUCCCAAAAUUUAUAUGUAUUUUAUAUUUUAUAUGUCAUUAGUAAAAGUUAAAUAAGUAUUUUUUUUCUUUACUCGAUUAUUAUUUUUCUCUUUUUUCUAUUAUUUCUUAACUUUUUCAAAUAAUUUUUUUUAAUAUUAAACACUUUAAUCAACUAAUAAAUUUAAUUUAAUUAACUUAUAUCAAAAUUUAAAUUUCACUAUGAAAUAAUUUUUUCAAAACUAAUAUAUUUAUUACAAUAUUACAAUUCAAUAAAUUUAAAAUAAAUAAAUCUAUACACAUAAUAAAAAAAUUUAAAGAAAUUUAAAAGGUGAUAUCUAUGUGUCGGCCUGACCGAUGAAUCAAAUAAUAUUUUUUUUGGAUAUGUAAUGAAAGUUAUGGUGAACGCAUAAUCAAAUUAUUUCUGUCUCAUGCGUCGGUCUGGCUGACACAAUUUCUUUUUUUCACUUUCUUUUCACGUCCUCCAUGCGUCGGCUGCCCCCCGCAACAUCUUUUUGCGAUGAAUUUGCGUGAGUUUGGUCGACGCAACUCGCAUCCACUCUUGGCCAACACAAGUUUUACGCGGUUAAUAUCACAUUUUCUUGUAGUGGGACAAUUUGCUCUAUUGUGACCUUCGUCCCUACAGUGAGAGCAUUUGUUUGACUUAUUUAGAAGUAGUUCAUUCCUUUAAUUAUGUAUACCAUUAGUUGUUGUUUUUUAUUGGCAAGAAGCAAUAAAUUAAAAGGACAAUUUCAGGGAUGGUUCAACCCUUAAUACAGAAAAGAAAUAUUCAAAAAUACCUUUCCUAAAACACACUAAUCCAAAAUGAGACCUCCUAUUAUCUGACCCAACCCUGCCACUAAAAAACAAAAAGAACAAGGAUCAACCCUUUUAGAUUUUAAAUUGAAUUCAUGCAUACCAAAGGUUCUAGACACUAGUCAGAGAACAAGAAACUCGUUGACCGUAAUUAAAAGAGAUCCAUGACCAGACCUUUACCUGUGCUAGGAAGAAACACCAGUGUGGUUAACCACUCCACAUUUAAAUAAGCAAUUAUUCCUGUGUCUCCAAAUCUCGCUAACCAACACUAUCCAAAUGUUACCCAUAAUAAGAUUCACUGAACUGGACACAUCCAGAAUUUUAAAAUGUUAAAAGUGUAGACCCGGAACCAUAAGGUCAACUGAUCUAACUCCUAGCCAUUCAUAGCAAAGAUUCCAAACAGCCAAGCGACUCUAUAUCCAAAAAACAAAUGUCCUGUUGACUCCUUUGACUAUCUACACAAACUGCAAAGAUUACUCUCGACCCCCAUCCCUCUUCUCUCUAGAUUUGCUUUAAAAGUAAAUUUAUUCUUAAUUGCCCUCCAAGCUGUGACAUGAGCUGAAGGAAGUCCCUUAAUCUUCCAGAAAACCACCACUAUUUACACUAUGUUUAAAGUGGCGGGUGUUGCGGCGGGUAGCGUAAAACUGCCACAUUAAACUUUGUGGCGGCCAGUUCUAUGGCGGUUUGGGAAACUGCCACAACCGUAUAUUGUGACGGUUAUAAAUGCCAGUUUAUACAAAAAUAACCACCACAAUAUACAUUUUUUUUGUAGUGUUAGUAGUAUUACUAGUAUUACUACUAUUAUUAGUAUUAUAAUAAUACUAUUAUUACUACUAUUAUUAGUAUUACUAGUAUUAGCAGUAUUACUACUAUUACUAGUAUUACUAAUAUUACUAUAUUACUAGUAUUACUAAAUCAUAAUAAUAUUAAAGAAUUUGUUUGUGGUGGUGGUUAAACUUUCUUUGCUCACUAAAGUAUUGGUGGGUGCUAGAACAAAUUUGAGAGAAGAAGUCGUCGGAGAUUCCUCGAUUGGCCAACGAAAUGAAUGAAUCGUCCUAUUUUUUCUCUUUGUGCCUGUAUGAGAGUAUUGUUGUUUAGGUCCAAACCCUAAAAAUAUGUCCCGGUCAGAUUUAAGAUUCUCAAUUUGUCACGGAAAAUUAAAAGUAAAACAACAAUACCAAUAAUCAAUCAAGAACGGAAUAUUAAUAUAUAAGAUAUCACCUCCUCAAUACAUAAGAGUUUGAGCAGAUUACUCCCAAUUCCAAAGGGUAGAAUUAGCCACGUAUACUUCUAGCACCUUCAAUUUCUCCCAAUUGAGUUACAAUUCACUCUAUGGUAUUUUCCUCUCAAUCUGGCACACUAGGGUUGAGCCUCUAACCCUCUAUUUAUACUAGUUUUCUAGGGUUAGGUUGCUUUCUGUCUAAUGGACUAAAUGAUAAAACUUGAAAAAAGGCUCAAUCUUUCUUUGCAUCUUUUUCCAUUCUAGGACCUUCCAGCUUUCUCUUUUUAGCUCAAAUUAUUCUCCUUUACUCCAAAUCUUCAAUCCUUCCUAGAAAUCUGCAAUUAAUACCAAAUUUGAGAAUAAAGUGAUCUUAUUCAAAUAAAGCUCAUAAAAAAUGUAAAAAUGUAUAAAUUCAUAAAUUAAGGAUUAUUUUAUAUGUAAAUUAACAAUAAAUCCUCAUAAGUGCCUAUAUUUUAAUAUGAAAUAUUACUGAAAUUAGGCACUUAUCACUAUGCCAAACUACUUGGAUUGAUGCAGUUUGAAUAACUUUUUUAAUAUCCCAAACAAUAUAUCAUUCGUACAACAAUAUCAUCUGAUGGUAGAAGUGAUGAUGUUUCAACCCUUGGUUCCCAUCAAAUGACUCUGGAGGUUUUUGGUGGGUUCAACCAUCUGAAUCUUGUUAUUGUAUUCGAGAGCGAGAUUAUGUGUGCAAAAGAAAACCUAGUGAAAGAAGACACAACAAAUAUCUUUAAUUUUUUUAAUUUAAUAGAGAAGAAGAUCAGUUUAAAACAGAAAAGUAAGUAUCAAUCUCUUCACUUUCCUGCUAUCCUCGAACCUAUGACCUCCUUCAUCUUGAUGGAUUCUUCUGUGCAGAAAACCACAGGUGAAUAUGUAAACUUGUUUACUCUCAUUAGUAACUCAAAUAUGGACUCACUCUAAACUUCGAUUAUUGAAUAUGUUUCUGACAAUAGUUGUUACUUAACAGAUGUGAAAUGAAGUAUGUGUUGUUGGAGAUGGACCGAAUUUUAAGACCUGGUGGCCAUGUUAUCAUUCGAGAGUCCACUUAUUUUGUGGAUGCUGUUGCUACUGUGGGGAAGGGCAUGCGAUGGAUAUGUCUCAAAGAAAAGACUGAGUAUGGAGUUGACAAAGAGAAGGUUUUGAUAUGCCAGAAAAAGCUAUGGCAUUCAUCCAACACAGGUUCAAGAUGACAAACUCUGGAACCUCUGGAGUGGUAGAAUCGUAAAUCCAGAAGCAGAAGUUAAGGGAACGACUUCAGAGCCAUCCUCUACAAAAUAUUGAUUCAUUCUAUAAUUUAAGUCUAGAAUCGGUCAAUUUCAUUUAUCAGAUGGAAAAUUGGUAACUCAAUAAUCUGAUUUUGUUAAGUUAAUUAUAUAGAAAAUUUUCAUAUAGAUACCAUUCUUUAUAUGGCAUCAAUUGUAUCAGGUAUCUCUCGUAUAUCUACUUUUUCUUUUGUUGUUGUGUAAUAUCAAGUGAAUUCAUGUGAAAAAAUGGAAGUUUUUGAAUUCUACAGAAAGCAUAUGAUCUGCUACUAUACAUGAAUUGGAAUUCCUUAACAGAGAAAAUACAAUGUGUUGUAUUAAUGCUGGGUAGUAUUACAUUAGUACUCUAUGAUAAUUUAAAAUUGAAUGUCGUAUUAUAAAGAUUUUUAUUAAUAACAGCAGAAGCAUGCAACAUAAAAACCAUAAACAGAUGAGAAGAAAAUGGGAAGAGCAGAACAAGUUUUAUUUUUUCCACAAUAAUAUCGUAUACAUAGUCACAUGUUUCAUUCAUAUCAAAGUGAAUUUAUUAUCGCUGUCUUCCAAAUUACAAUACACAGUCUCAACAAGUUCAUUCUCCAUUUACGUUGUAAAACAAAAUAAAAGUCCUACAAACAUACUUAAAAUCACAUCCACUUGUAUACUGUCAUAGGAAACAUGCACAUUGGCAAUUGGUAAGCAACCGUACAUCACAGUAAAAGAUUACCCAUUAUCAAACACUUGUAUCGUGAAAUUUGACACUUCAUGUUUAUGAAGAUUCAAAAAGCUCAACUCAAACUCAUAAAAAGUUUAACUACUGCAAAAGUAAUAUUUUGUAAAAAUGUAAAGUGGUGUUCUUCUAGUAAGUUUUCCAAAUCAACAACACCUUAGUGAUAAUCCUCUCACCUUUAAUGACUUACACCAAUCACUCCUCCUGUUGUUUUAACAUGAAAUGAAUAGAAUUAAUAGAAACAUAUUAACACAAAUAGAGCUUGACCAGACAUUCUGCUAUGGAACAUAUUCAAACAUAACCUUGGGAAAUGAAACGCAACAAACAGAACUGUCCCUAAUUACUCAUCAAUCCAGUAAAAAACAUGCACAAUAUAAUGCCAGUUGGGAAAAUACAUAAAACACAUUAAGACAACAGAACACCUUAGAACUUGAGCACAAAUAAUGCAUCUUAGUUUUCAAGGCUUCCUUAUUUUCUACAACAAUUAUUUAUCUGUUCUACAACAAUUAUUUAUCUGUGAUAUUUACCUGUGAUAUUUAUCGCAUCUAGACUUAGAUUCAAGUUUUUAUUCAAUCAAUUUUAAUUGUUAAAUAGUUACUCUGCUUUGAUUCUUCAAGUUCAUAGAUAAUUUUGCAUUUUUUAUUAGAUAUUUUAUUUUUAUCUCUAAGAACAACAUAAUCAUGGACUUGCACGGUGAGCCUCAGUUGUAGAACUAAAUACAAAAUAUAAUUUGUCGAGGACUAAAUAAAAAUAUACUUGGUCUUACUUAAGUGAUGAAGUCUUGCCAAGGGUCACGUUAUCACAAAACUAUGAAAGAAAAUAAAAAAAAGACUAAAUAAGUGCUUUAUGAUUGAUUUAUGGAUUUAGAUCUAUGCUUGUUUAGUUUAGAAUUUCUUUUCUCUGAUCUGCCCUACAUAAUAUUCAAACAUUCUGCAUUAUUUUUAGUUUUCAUAUCUUCCGCUUUUUGAGAUUUCUUUAUUUGAAUUGAGCACUGCACAUGAAAAGUGAUUGUUUGAUCUCUUCCAAACGAGCCUUAUCUUCAUUCUAGAAGUGUUCAGAUGAAUUUGGUAGAGCAUUAAAAAGAAUACGAGCCUUAUCUUCAUUCUAGAGUUUCAUUUCAAGAUUAGGCACAGUGGCAGAAGAAAUACAUAAGUGCAUCUUUACAGGGUUUUAAAACAACAAACUACCACCGAAACCAUGUAUUGAAUUGCAAAUAUCUUCUGCUACUUAUAGCACCGUGACCAUACAAAAUUUAGUAACUAACCAUUUCUUAUCGAUAUGUUGUUUCUUAAAUGAUAUCUUGCAGCCUAAUAGAUAUAUCCUUUCAGAAAUGCAAACACAAAGAAUUGAAUCUAAACUUUAAGCCUACACAGUUAUUUUGAAUCAAAUUCAUGAGUGUCCACACUGGUGUUAGUAAGAAAUUUUUUCAAAAUCAAUUUUUAUACAUGUUAAAUAAACAAUUCAAAAUAAAAUUUUGUUCAUGUUAAGAAAACAAUCACAAAUCUUUCUUACCACUUACACGUUUAAAAACAAUUCAACAAACAAUAUUUGAUCAUAAACAAAUUCAAAUUUUAUUCCAAUUUAAGGCACGUGGAACACCAUAUAGCAGAUAACAAUUUGAAAUCACUUUCGAAAGUACCAUCAAUGACUACAUGGAGAACAAGAGCAAAGAAAAAUUAAAAGAAUGAUGCAUACCUGAGGAUUGAUCUUCUUAGAAUCACCGUUAAGCUUAUUCAUAGCAUCAUGCAUGCAAUCCAGAUCAACCACAUCAAAGACUUCAGCAAAAUCCUAAGGAGAGGAGAAAAAAAAGAUUAAAGAAAGAAUAGAAAUGAAUUUAUAUCAGGCAUUAAAUCAUCUAGAAAUUGGAUAUAAAAAAACUGAUUUCCUUUUACUACUUUAUCUGGACAAAAACAUUACUGACUAAGACUUGGUACAGUACGUGCAAAACAUCAACCAUAAAAGUGGGGAAUACUGAAACCUUGUUUUAUUAUUCAAUAUAUACACUGCGCAAAAGGCUACCCAAUUUUGAAGGACAAAGUGACACAUUAGGGAGAGAAGUAAACAAAACACUCCUGAAUUUACCACAAAAAGUCGGUUUCAUUGGGAAAAACAGAUGUAUUUCUGGAAUGUGGUUUAUGUAUUGCCAAUCCUCUCCCGUUUCCCUCUUGCACUGCAUCUUCAGAUAUGGACAUUCGCCUAUUAAUAAAGAAGACAAGUUGGUGAGGCGUUGAAUGCUACUCGGUAGUGACCUCAACUCCCUACAUAACGAAAUCUCUAAUUUUUUGAAGGGAAGUCAUAUCUCCCACCCACUCCGGCAAUGAAAUAGAUUUGCAAUUUAUUAUAUACAAAGUUCGUAGGGAGGGGACACAUUGUAAGCCAUACGGUAAUGUGGAGAAACUUGUUACGAAAGUGGACUUUAAGCCUAACUCAACCCCAUAAAACCGGCUUAUAGGGUUGAGGUUUGCACCCACUUAUAUACAAUGAAAGGCUCUAAUCUCUAGUCGAUGUGGGAUCUCCAACACACCCCCCUCACGCCGAGACUGCCAACUCGUGCGUGGGACUAUAUAUUUUGUGUGGUCUGAUAGCGGCCCGAUAGCGGGUGGCACGAUAGGCCCAACACAAACACUCGCUAGGAUAGGCUCGAAAUGACUCUGAUACCAUGUUACGAAAGUGGACUUUAAGCCUAACUCAACCCCAUAAAACCGACUCAUAGGGUUGAGGUUUGCACCCACUUAUAAAAAUGGCCAAUUGCAGUAAAAGAGCAAUAAAAGAGAGAGCCAAAAACAAGAACCGUGAAUACAGAGAAGUUCAGAGAAAGAGUGAGGAGAAGAUUUGAGAGAGAGAAAAAAUGAGAGAAAGAGGAUUUCAUUAAUUGAUUAAUGAAAAAUGUACAGUACAUUGUGUUAUGCAUAAGGUAAAACAAUAUAGGCACACGUAAGAGCCCAAAGACCCAAAAGGGCCCAAAAACAGAAAACAGAAAAAAAUAUAAUGGUUGCAGUAACAGAAAAUAUUCUAAUACAAAUACAAUAACAGAAAGAUAUUUUAACAUCCCCCCUCAAGCUGGGAAUAGAUAUUUUUCAUUCCCAGCUUGGAAUAUAAGGUCAUGAACAUCUUAGGUGGUAGAGGUUUCGUGAAAAAAUCUGCAGUUUGCAUGAAGGAGGAGACAGGAAGCAACUUGAUCAGUCCUUGAUUGAGUUUUUCUCGAACUACAUGGCAGUCAAUCUCUAUAUGCUUUGUUCGUUCGUGGAAAACUUGAUUGUGAGCAAUCAAGAGCAGGUUGAAUGAAGGGAAUUCGAAGAUCUUGUAAAAGGUAGACCAGCCAUUGAAUUUCGCAUGUGGUAGCAGCUAAUGCUCUGUAUUAUGCUUUAGAGGAGCUUCUUGAAAUUGUUUGUUGUUUCUUUGAUUUCCAGGAAAUUAAAGUCUCACCCAAAUAUACACAGAAGCCCGGGAUGGAUUUUCUGGUCUCGGGGCAAGUGGCCCAAUCUGAAUCGUUGUACGCUUUGAUCUGCACAGGAGUAUUGUUAUGGAGAAAGAUACCAGCACCAUGUGAGGCCUUUAAAUAUUUGAGAACAUGAAAAGAUGCCUGAGAAUGAAUGUUGGUAGGUGCAAAUACAAAAUGACUGAGGUGGUUAACAACAUAGGCAAUAUCUGGGCAUGUAUUGGUAAGGUAAAUGAGGCGUCCUACCAGUCUUCUAUAGGAUGUAGCUUCUUCUUCAUUGAGUCUUUCUCCUUUAUCAGUAGUGAGGCGAAGAGUAUGUGCCAUGGGUGUGAGAGAAGGAGCACAAGCAACCAUACCAGUUUCUUUAAGGAGAUCUAAGGUGUAUUUUUGUUGACUAAGGUGGAUACCAGUGUUGUUCCUUGCAAUUUCGAGGCCUAGAAAGUAUGUAAGAUCCCCUAAAUUCUUGAUGCAGAAAUGCUGAUGAAGCAAGGUUGUGAUUUGAUUAAUUUCAGCAAGGUUGUUCCCAAUUAAGACUAUGUCAUCCACAUAGACAAGAAGUGCAGUUAUUUUCUCUCCAUCAUGUUUCAAGAAAAGAGAGUGGUCAGCAGUGGAGAUAUUAUAGUUAUGAGAUUUGAGGAAAUUGGAAAGUUUGGCAUACCAUUGGCGUCCGGCUUGCUUGAGGCCAUACAGAGACCUUUGAAGUUUGCACACUUAUUUCUAUUUGCUACUGGAAAACCAGGGGGAAGCUUCAUGUAAACUUCUUCAUUUAAGUCUCCAUGAAGGAAAGCAUUGUUCACGUCCAAUUGCUUAAGAUCCCAAUCUUUUGCUGCAGCAAGAGCCAGGAGAAGCCUUAAAGUGGUUAACUUUGCUACUGGUGCAAACGUAUCUAAGAAGUCUAGACCCUCCAUUUGAUUGUAGCCUUUCGCUACUAGCCUGGCUUUAUAUCUUUCUAUAGUACCAUUUGAGUGAUAUUUGAUCUUGUAAACCCAUCUACAACCAAUGGCAGAUUUUCCAGGGGGAAGAUCUGUAAUACUCCAGGUCUGAUUAGCUGCAAGGGCUGCUAACUCAUUCUGCAUUGCUUGGACCCAAAAAGGAUUUUGAAUGGCUGCCUCAUAGUUUUGAGGCUCAUCAUGAGAAGAGAUCGACAUUAUGGUAUGUCUAAAAUUAGAGGAUAAGGAAUUAAAAUUAAUGUAAGUUUGUAUGGGAUACUUGGUACUAACCUGAUUACUGCUAGUAUGGAAGUCUUGCAAAUAGAUUGGCAUCCUUCUAUUACGGUCAGAUCUUCUGAGGGUAACAGCAGGCACGUCAUUGUUAUCAACACAAAGAUCAUCAUCAUUUUUAUCAGGAGAACUAUGGUCAUUAUGCAGAUUUAUGUCAUCAUAAGUUUGAGCAUAGUGUUGUGGUAUGGGAAGCGAAAGACUGUUGGGAUCUUUUUCAUUUUUCAAAAGAUAUGGAAAACAAUUUUCAUAAAAAACAACAUUCCUGGAAACUUCAAUUUUGUGAUUUUUUAAGUUUAGAAAGACAAAACCUUUGGUGUGUGGUUUAAAACCAAGAAAGACACCAGGAACAGCGCGACUGUCCAGCUUCUUUCUAUGAGCAACAAGAGUAGAGGAAUAGCACAAACAACCAAAGAUACGCAAGUCAGAAAUGUCACACAACUUUCCAUGCAAUUUUUCAUAUGGUGUUUCAUUUUUUAGCAAAGGAGUAGGAAUACAAUUAAUUAAGAAAACAGCAUGUUGGACAGCAAAAUUCCAGAAAUUAGCAGGGAGUUUGGAAUGAAAAAGGAGAGAUCUUGUAACGUUUAAAAUAUGUUGAUGCUUUCGUUCAACAACACCAUUUUGCUCGGGUGUUUCUAUGCAUGAAGUUUGAUGUAAAAUGCCCUUUGAAGCAAAAAAAUCUUUCAUCACAAAUUCAACACCAUUAUCAGUACGAAUAGAUUUGACUUUUGUUUGAAAGUGAUUUUCAACGUAAGAGACAAAACUCACAACAUUAGCUCUAACUUCAGACUUAUUUUGCAUAGAAAAAAUCGAAGUAAAGCGGGAAAAAUCAUCAACAACAGUGAGAAAAUAUCUAUGGUCGUGCAUAGAGAUAACAGAACAAGGACCCCAUACAUCCAUGUGAAUUAAAUCAAAUAUAUGUGCAGAAUGAGUAGUGCUAAGAGAAAAUGGCAGUUUCUUUUGUUUAGCUUGGUGACAAGCAUCACAAAAAUAAGACUUUUCAACAGAUAUAUCAGGAUAGUAGGUUUGUAAAAUCUUUAGUCUCUCAUCAGAAGGAUGACCUAAUCUUUGAUGCCAAAGACCAACAGUUUUAGUUAUACAAUUUAAGAGAGGAGGAACAUGCUGUGAAAUGGAUCUAUCUAAACAAUAUAAGCCACCAAUCAAAUCAGCUGAACCAAUCCUGUCUCUGGUUCUGCUGUCCUGUAUGAUACACUUGUUAGAGCAGAAAGUUAAAUGACAUUGAAGGCAAGAAGUAAGUUUUGAUAUAGAGAUUAGAUUGAAAGAAAAAGCUGGAACAUAUAGAACAUUUGUGAGGCUAAUUUUGUCAUUGAGAUUAACAGUUCCUGAAUAAUUGGAAGUAACAUAGUGGCCAUUGGGUAAUUUUAUGAGAAUUGGAUUGAUACGAUGAUAGAUGGAAAAAUCGGAUAAAGUAAAACAAACAUGAUCUGUUGCUCCAGAAUCUAAAAUCCAAGUAUAUUUAUUUAAUGAAGGAAUCUUUAAGGCAUGUGUGUUACAUGCAGAGCUAGAGUCCCGGUCUUGUUGACUUGUAUCAGCAGCAAAAGACCCAACCUGAUUCACUUGAACUUGUCCAGCAGAGGUGUUUGCUUGUUUGAGAAGGUUGGUUAAGAUUUGAUAUUGCUGCUGAGUAAAAUGAGUAUCGCCAUUCUCAUUGUUGUUGGAAUCAUACUCCUCUUGGGUGGCAAUGUUGUUGACAGAAUAAUUUUUACCAUUUUGGAAUUUGUAACCGGGUGGGUAACCAUGCUUCUUAUAACAUGUAUCAACAGUGUGGCCAGUUCUGUUGCAGUGUGUGCAGACCUUUCUAUUACUAUUGUGACUGACCUUUUUCUCAUUCUGAUUGGGAAAACCAUGUUUCUUAAAACACACUCUAUCAUUAUGACCAUUCUUACCACAAAAGGAGCAAACAACAUAAGACUGCACAUUACUCUUGUUAACCAUGGGUUGAACAUUCUUUAUAUUAGCAAUCAAAGCAUUACUACUCAAUUGUCGCUCUUGUUGAGCUACUAAAGAAAAGAUUUUUGAUAUAGGUGGGACAGGUUCCAUUAAAAGGACAUGGGAUUUAACGUUGCUAUACUGAUCAUUUAGACCUCUCAAAAAUUGCAUGGCUUGGUCUUCUCUUUUUCGUUGAGAAACAAUAGAGGAAAUAUUGUAAGUACAAUUCUUGCAGAUGCAAACAGAUUCGGGUCUGAAAUUUUCCAACUCAUCCCAAAUCACCCUUAACUUUGUAAAAUAGUCGGUUAUUGAGAGCUCACCUUGGUUUAAGGAGGAUGCCUCCAUUUGGAGGUCAGAAAUGCGUGAGAGGUCACCUUGAGAAUAUCAACUUUGUCCAUCCAGACGAUGCUUUGACGAAUGGGGACGGAAAUAGAGUGGACCAGCCACGAGACCACCAUGUUGUUGCACCGAUUCCAUGCCGAGAAGGUGGAAUCUGUCUUUGCUGGUUGUGUAGCGGUUCCAUCUACGAACUCGAGUUUAUCCUUAGCGCUUAACACCGUGAGCAUCAACCGACUCCAUGGAUGAUAAUUGCUAGGGUCCAACACCGACGAGACAAGAGGAGUCACUGGAUUCUCGCUUGGAUGAAGAUACAGAUAACUUGGGGCUGAUUUCUCCUCUUCCUUCUUCAUCCCGAGAGGUAAAUCUGUUCAAAAGAAACCAAAUCAAGGAUUAAGAUUAGAAGAAAAAAAAAACAGAACAAGAAAAAACGAGAAAUCAAAGAAAAAUAGAGGAGGGGCGGAAGAGUGAAAGAGAAGGGAAAGAAAGAUCGGUGAGACAGGAUCAAUGAGGAAUCAGAGAUGAAGCGCAGCAGAGCUCUUCCAAGAAGAGCUUUGAUACCAUCACAAAAAUGGUCAAUUGCAGUAAAAGAGGAAUAAAAGAGAGAGCCAAAAACAAGAACCGUGAAUACCGAGAAGUUCAGAGAAAGAGUGAGGAGAAGCUUUGAGAGAGAGAAAAAAUGAGAGAAAAAGGAUUUCAUUAAUUGAUUAAUGAAAAAUGUACAGUACAUUGUGUUAUGCAGAAGGUAAAACAAUAUAGGCACACGUAAGAGCCCAAAGACCCAAAAGGGCCCAAAAACAGAAAACAGACAAAAUAUAAUGGUUGCAGUAAUAGAAAAUAUUCUAAUACAAAUACAAUAACAGAAAGAUAUUUUAACAAAACUCCCAAUUGUGACCGUCUGAAGGGCAGUUAGUUGGCUCAUAUUGCUUGGUAGAGCCACCAGCUCUGGACAAGACCAGAUACUUAAAUUCUCCAAACAUAUUAAAUGUCGCACACCUUUGAGAAAAUGAUUUUAAUUUCUCACACUUGUAAAUACUCAACUUUUAAGUGGUAAGGUAGUACCAUGACUCCUUUAAUCACCCUAAUAUCCAGGGUCUUUAGACACCCCAUAUUCUCCCCAACCCCUUCAAUGAAGGAAGUCGCUGCGUCAAUUCUCCUAGCAUAUAGCUUCUCAGCAGAAGGAAGAUGUGGGACUUUAAGGUUCAUCACACCAUCAAUUCUUAAUUGGGAGAGACGAGGGACCAUCUCUAUUCCUUCAUCUCUCAACAACCUCUCCAAAGUUGGUAAAUUCUCCACCCUCAAUUCCUCCAACGAUGGAAAUGCCUUCUCUUCCACAGCUUCAUACGACUCACCAUCUAUCCACUUCACAUUUUUCAUUCCACGCACGUCUAGCCUUUUCAACUGUGGUAGUUUACCAAGUGGAGGAAGCUCCUCACAGUUGUCACAAUCCAAGAGUUUAACUUCCACCAAGUCUCUCAGAACUGCACCAUUUCUCAUCCAACUCGAUAACUGUCUUCCCUUAUACCCUUUCAUCACGAAACUCUUCAGAGUUGAGGGAGGUUGCAGGGCUCCCAGUACUCUCUCAACGUUAACAUUACUACCUUCUGAAUUAGCACUACCACCCCAUGACAAGUGUAGGAUAUUCAAGUCCUUCUUACCAAUUAAAUUUGCUUGUUUAGCAUCCCAUUCAUUCGGGACGUUCUCAAGGCCUUCGAUUCUCAGCGUGCCUCCCAACUUUAAGCUAUGCAACUCUGUUAACUCACACCCUGCCUUUGAACCCACAAUGUAAGUGCUCAGUGUUCUUAGAUGCCUCAACUUGCCAAUAUUCGGAGGCAUCUCUGAUAUUGACUCACACUUAUUAAUCACAAUAUGUCUUAGAUCCUGUAAUUGGGUUAAUUCUUUGGGCAACCUAAGUUGGCUCAUAUUUUCUAGUUUCAAUAUUUGCAAUUUUGGCAACUGACAAAUUGAAUUAAGCAAGCAUGCCUUCGAACUCCAACGCACACUCAAGUAUCUCAAAUGUGCUAAAUCAUUCCGUGGAGACAACACAAAAUAACUAAUGCAUAAUGCUCGGAGACAACGGGUUGAUGGCACCAGGCCAGUAUUACCAAAAUCAAGAAAAGUCCGGAGGGACUCAACUUUCUUGAAUGCAGCCAUAUCUACAGAGAUAUUAGAACUUAACACGUGCAAAUGGUGAACUCUAGUUGACAAUUGAGUCAACCUUCCUUUCUCAAUAAUCAUACAUUCUUCACCCAUAAUAGACUGGGCAAGAUCAUGAAAUAGAUCAUACAUCUUGCAACUUCCAAUCAUACCAAUCUCAUCAGACUGUGCUUCUUGAAAAAAUGAUCUACGGUCUAAUUUUUUCCACACUUUAUUUCCAACAUCCUCCACUUCUACGUUUCCUUCAGAUUUAAUAAAUCCAUUAGCCAUCCAAAGAUGAAUUACUUCUUCCUUGACUAUUUCAAAAUCUUUGGGGAAAAUUGCACAAAAAGAAAAGCAUCUCCUCAGAGACAACUCCAAAUUAGAAUAGCUCAGUUUCAAAGCACGCAUGAUAGAAUUUUCCUCACGUAUAUUCCAAAUCUCACUUUCUUUUACAUUUUCCCAUUGGCUUACCUCACUUUCAUCACGCAGAAGGCUUCCUAGUGUUUUGAUUGCAAGUGGCGAACCAACGCAUUUUCUCACUAUCUCUCUGCCAAUUGCCACGAGCUCUUCUAUUUCUUCUUUGUUUUGUCCAAACGCAUGGUGUUUGAACAAUUACCAACUGUCGUCAUCCGAUAAUUUUUUCAAAAGAUACGCAGGGUGUGUCUCCAUGGUGGAAGCAACUUCCUCGAGUCCAGUGGUGACCAAAAUAGUAGCUCCUUUAGCUGCCCUAGCACAGUGCAACUUCCCCUUCAACUGCUUCCAUUUCUCUUGGUCUUCAUUCCACACAUCAUCAAGAACAAGUAAAUACCUCUUGCUCUGCAACACUUCUUCAACCUUUUUCCGCACUGCUUCUAAGGUCUUGAGAUUGGGAUUUUGUCCCGUGCAACAUUCUAUGAUGGAUUCUAGUAUUGUCUUGGUGUUGAAAUCAUCAGAAACACAAACCCAAAUUGUCAAGUCAAAAUGGUUGCAUACCCUGUGAUCAUUGAAGACCUGCUUGACAAGUGUUGUUUUGCCAAGUCCACCCAUACCAACUAUGGGAUAUACGGAGAGGUCUUCACUGUUCUUGGCAUCUUCCAGAAGAAACUUCACAAUUUGCUCUCGAUCCUGGUCUCUGCCAUAGACUAUAGGUUCUGUAAUGUCAGAGCUAGUUUGGCGCCAAUCAACAUCAUCAUUCAUUGCUUGCUUCUCUGUUACACCAUCACGUAACUCAAACAUGCUUCUUUCUUCAUUGAUAUCGUGAAAUCUUUGGGUGAUGUCUUUCAUCCUCUUUCCAAUAUGAAAACGAAAGAGAAUGUCCCUGGGAUGCACACGGGCCAAGCAUGAACUUCGUUCGUCACCAGAGUGCACCUUUUUGGAUUGAAGUGAACAAUCAUCCAAGAUAUCAUCAAGCACAUAUGUUGCGUCUGUGAGUUUCUGCAGCCAAUCCUUCACAGCCUGGCUUGUUAUUUGCUUUCUCUGAGCGUCGUUGAGGACAGCACGAAUUGCGGUGAGAUGGCUGGAAAGCUUUUGAGUGUGUUGAUCAACACCCCAAUAAGUUGCAAGUUGGUCUUUAACAACAGAUUGCAAGUUUUGAAACACAGUUCCCAGCAAAGCGCCAGCCAUUGGAAGGAAGGAGAGCUAGAAUGAAAGAAAGGUUGGUGAUGAUUAUGGAGAAAAGAGGCAACAAUGAGUUAAUAAUAUUUUAGUUAGAAGGAUUUUCAUAUGUAAUUUAACUGACUUGGGCAGAAUGUUUGGAAUAUAAUUAUGCAUCAUUUACACUACUAUAGUGAUUACAUAAGCAAAGUAUAUCUUAUUUUGAACUUUACCUGAUUACAAUGAAAAGUAUAUAAAUAUAUUCAUACUGUGAAAAAAGAGAGAGAAUAAAAGUAGAUGAACAUCAUAAAAAAUAAAAUUCCAACGCUAUCGCUAUGCAAUCCUUCUUACUGCACGUCAAGAAUAAUUUGUGAUCCCAAAGUAUAUUGAAUUCAUUACGGAAACUAUAACCAAUUAGGAGAGUUCAAAAGGUUCCAAAUCAAUCUUUGAAUCAAUGCAAUAUUCUAUCUCUUUCCUCACUUCAUCCCAAGAUCAUACCCUAAUACAUUUUUCAAUCAAAUCACAAAAAAAAUUUAACUUAAUAAUAGUUCAAACUAUAUUGUGUAUUUAAAUAACUCUUUGUGAAAAAGUGGAAGUUAUGUAUAAUUAAAAAUAAUUCUAUAAUAUAUAUAUAUAUAUAUAUAACUUUUUUUUAUCAUAUAUCUAAAAUAUAAUUUAUAAAUAAACAUAUUUAUUUGAUAUAAAUGUUAAAUAUAAAAAGGCAUAUAAUAAAAGAAAUCAAAUUAAACUAACUCAAAUUGGCUUAUUGGCUUCAAAUUUACGUUUUUCUAUAAAUUCAAACUUAUAUAAAAAAAAUCUUAAAAUCGUUUUGAAAGAAAUAAUAAAAAAUCAUAGUUUUUAGAAAAGUUAUCGAGUGUAACUUACUUGGAACUUAAGCCAAUAUUUUUUUAUACGACUAGCUAGUUUUGAUUCGAAACUUAAGGGAUUUUGAGAAAAAUAUGUGCCAUAUUUUAUGUGAUACAAGACCUUAUUUGUUUGAAAAAAAUUUAAAGUAUUUUAUACUAUAUAAAUCAUAUUUAUUGAUUCAAUAUAUCUCCAAUAAUAUUAUUAUAAAUUUUUACUUGAAUGUGUAACGUUAAAAAUGAGUAUUUUUUUUAAAAAAAAACUUUAAUGGAAGGUAUCAUUAUGUUAUUUGCCAUCUCAAUUAAUCUGCGACAUCAAGUAACAACAAUAGUAAUUUAACAAAAAUAAUACUAUUUUAUAACAUACGCUUGCGUGAAGAGAAUGAAGAAAUAUUGUUGAAGAAAGAGUUCAUACAAUCUUAAGAGAGUAGUAGAUGGUACUUACAUGGAGAGAGUUUAACAUCAAAUGUCGAUUACACAAGUACUUACGUGUCAUUUAUUUCUUAGUUGAUGCAAAAAAUAUAUAAUAUUAAGUUAAAUAAAAAUACAAAUUGCAAAUGUCCAUACAAUUUCGUAUUUAAAUACAUAAAAAGAGUACAAACUAUAUUAUACACAUUAUGUGUGUAAGUAUUGUUCUUAUAAAAUUAAAUUACGUUGGAGAUCAUCACGAGAUAAUAACAUCUCAUAAUAUAUAAGUGAGUAAAAACUUUAUCAUAUAAAUUAAUUUUAUAAGAUUGAAUUAUUCUUCUAUUAAAACAUAUCACAAAAUAUUAAAAUAAUCAAAAUAUUAAAUUAAUAUAAUAGAAAAAACAUAAAUAAAUAAUUAUAUAAUCAUUCUACAAAAGCCAUUCAUCUUAUCCAUAUAAUAUAUAUAAUAUCAAUUAUUUGUUCCUAUAAGAUUAAUACCAAAGUUCAUAUUUAUAGAUCAACAACUUUUAAUAUUUGUUAAUUCACUAAUUUACCAUUUAUGUUCCUUUAACAAUUUCUUAUAAAACAUGUCUCAUUGAAUAUCAAUUAUUCCUUUAUCAUUGACUUGAUGUUAUAAAUCUUUAUCGGAUUUCACCUAGUAAUAUCAUUGUCUAUUUGACUCAAUCUAUACUAGAAUCUGAAACUAAAAUUUGGUUGAAUCCUCUAACUUAAUAUUCAAAUUAUCUAUGCAUACAUCAAUUUUAAAGGAACAUUUAAAGAUAACUAGGGAAAUAUUAUUUGGGUAAUGAUUAGGUUGCUUAAAUUUCUUGAAUGGUAAAACAUCAUUUGAGCGUUAUCUAAAGAGAUACAUUAAUGGAGAGGAGAGAAUUAAGAUUAUUAUUUAUUUAAAUUAUUUAGAUUCUAAAUUUGGUAGAAAAAUCUUGAUAACUAAUUUUUGUCUCUAUAAUUGGUUUUUAUUUAAUGAUUUUUUUUAGUUAUACUUUCUUAACUUUUGUAUUUUAACAUGAGUUUACAAUACUUUAUAAAAUAUGUUACAAUAUAAAAAUGUUUUACUUCAAAAAAAUAAUAUUUUAUUUAAAACUUAAGUUUGUUUAUUUUGUUUUUCAAAAAGAUAGUAUUAUUUCUUUAUCCUUGACUAUACGUUUAAAAUUAAAAAAUAAUUUGAAUUUUGUAUUUGAUAAUUAAUAUUUAUUUUUAAAUAUUAAAUUCUAAAGUCAUAACAAUACCUAUGUUAUCUUUAUGUACGUUUUGGAGAUUCAAUAUUGACUAAAAAUAAGAAUAAAUUAUAAUUUUAAUAUAUAUAUAUAUUUAUAUAAAAGUGAGAAUGUAAAUUUUAUCUUAUAAAUUAGUUUUGAUAUUAAAUUUUAAUCUAGUUUUUUAAUAUAAUAAAGUAUAUUAAAAAAUAUAUCUUAUUAGAUUUGAAGAAACUAUUAUAUCACUCAGUUGAAUUUCUAUCACAUCACUCAUAAAAAACCUUAUUCUGUAAUUCAAGUUGAUUAAUGACAGAAACUACAAGAAAAUCAUAAUCAUCAAAUAGAAACUAAUUUUUUAGAGACCAAAAUAAUUAGUUGCAAUAGUAACUAAAUUAGAUACCAUUUUAAAAACUAAAAAAAAAAUUGGUUUCUAAAUUAGUUUCUAUUAUUAUUAAAUAGUUUCUAAAUUGGUAUUUAAUUAGCAACCAAUGUUUUUGUUACCAAAUUUAGAAACUAAAUAAUUGGUAGUUAAAACAUUGGUUGCUAAUUAGAUACCAAUCUAGAAAUUAUUUAAUAAUAAUAGAAACUCAUUUAGAAACCAAUUUUUUUUAGUUUAUAAAAUGGUCUCUAAUUUAGUUACUAUUACAACUAAUUAUUUUGGUCUCUAAAAAUUGGUUUCUAUUUCAUGAUUUUCUUGUAGUGAGAUAAAAUUUCACUUUAAUUAAGGAUAAAAAAUAUUGGAUCAUGUUAUAAGUACUAAGUAACAUGUUAUUUAUAAAAAAAGUGAUCAUAUUAUAAUUAUCAUGCAACAUAAUUCUAAAAGUAUUAAGCAUAAUGUUAAAAAAAAUCAAUAUCUUAAUAUUCAUAUCAAUAAAUAAAUAUUUUGUCUCCUUUACAAAAAUAGAUGUUAUAUAUAAAUCUUAAUCUACGGACUAAUUCAACCACAAUUAAUUUUAAUAAUCACUUUUCAGAUAUUUUUUUCUCAAAAUUUCAAAGAUAUGUUUUUAUCAAUUAUUUUUUAGUUGAGGCUUUAAAAGUAGAAGAAAUCGUAAUAAAUGUAUUUCUAAUAAUUUACUAUCUCGAGAUGGUUUUAACUAAUAACCAAUUUUAAAUAUAGUGACUGCAGAAGCAAGGUAUAUUUUAUUUUGAAGUUUACCAAAGUAAAAUGAAAAGUAUAUAAAUGUAUUCAAAAGUAGAUUAAUAUCUUAAAAUAAAUUCCAUCACCUUAAUUAUGGAAUCUCUUGUUGUUGUAGCUUAAGAAUAAGUUCUCAUGAAGGAAACCCAUAACCCAUUAGUAAAUUAAUCUUUGAAAGAAUGCAACAUGUGGGUUAUGACUCACCUUUCCGUUUUCUUGGCAUAAUUGGGAGGUUACUUGCCACAAUUAAUUGUAAUCAAAUGGAGGUUUCUUACUACAAUUAAUUGUCAUCAAAGGGAGGUUAAUUACCAUUAGUUGUCUUUAUUAUUAUGGUCUCCUAAAACCACUAUAUAUAGUGGCUUCCUUCUAGCAAUGUAACACACACAACAAACAACAACGCACACUUGUUUCCUCUCUCUUUUCCUAUACUCUCUAUUUCUUUUCUUGGGGGUAAGUGUUUAACCCAUAUAGAGAGAAUUUGUUUUGAGGCUAUUUAUCUAUUAGUCUGAGAGGAAUUCAUUGUACUCCCAGUACCAUUAUAGUGGAAGUUUUGGCUCUCUCGCCAGUGGUUUUUUACCUCUAUUUAAAGAGGUUUUCCACCUAAAAAUUCUGGUAUCAUUCUCACUUUACUUGUUACUUUAAUUUCUCAUAAUCUUUUGUUGAAAUUAUUACGCUUCCACACACGAUAUCCCUACAAAUUGGCAUCAGAGCUUUUCGAUAAUUCAACCAUGAUCUAUUGUUCAAUAAUGUCAAAAUUGAAUAUUGAGAAAUUUGAUGGUAAAAUCAGCUUUGCUGUCUGGCGAGUCCAGAUGCUAGUUGUUCUCACCCAGAAUGGUUUAAAGAAAGUUUUGACAGGUAAAAUGAUGAGACCAACCACUAUGACAGAGGAGCAGUGGGAUGAGAUGGAUGAAAAGGCAUUGUCUGCAAUCCAGUUAUGCUUGUCUCGUGAGGUGUUGCGUGAGGUCAUCAACGAGAAAACUACAGCAGGCAUAUGGAGUAAAUUGGAGUCUCUAUACAUGACCAAAAGUCUUGCAAACAAACUCCGGUUAAAGGAGCGACUCUUUACACUCUGAAUGUCCGAAGGUACUCCCAUCCAAUCUCACCUUGAUGAAUUUAAUUCCAUCAUAAUUGAUUUGGAAAAUUUGGAUGUUAAAAUUGAUGACGAGGACAAAAGACGCAUGUCACAUGUCCCGUAUUCAAAUGCAAUUGGAAGUCUCAUGUAUGCUAUGGUAUGUACUAGAACUGAUUUAACUUAUGUUGUUAGCAUUGUUAGCAGGUUCAUGCAAAAUCCAGGCAAGACACACUGGGAAGCCGUUAAAUGGAUACUUCGUUAUCUGAAAGGUUCUCCAGAUCUUGGUUUGGUAUUUGAUCAACAUAGAGUCGAUCCCGGAGGAGCAGUUGGCUAUGUUGAUGCUGACUAUGGUGGUGAUUUAGAUCGGAGAAGGUCACUUUCAGCCUACAUUUUUACCCUAUGUGGGUCUGCUAUCAGUUGGUAUUCUUCACUUCAAGCCAUUGCGGUUUUGUCCACCACUGAAGCAGAACAUAUUGCUGCUACAGAAGGUAUGAAAGAGGCUAUAUGNNNNNNNNNNNNNNNNNNNNNNNNNNNNNNNNNNNNNNNNNNNNNNNNNNNNNNNNNNNNNNNNNNNNNNNNNNNNNNNNNNNNNNNNNNNNNNNNNNNNACUUAACCAGGAACCGUAAGUAUCACUCAAGGACCAAGCACAUUGAAAUUAAACACCAUUUUAUCCGAGACAUUGUUGAUACAGGAGAUAUAAUUGUUGAAAAAAUUCAUACGGCCGAAAAUCCUGUAUACAUGUUGACCAAGCCAGUUCCUUCGGCUAAGUUCGAUCAUUGUCUGAACUUAGCUGGUAUUAUCCAUACUUAAUCUAGGCUUCAUGACGAGAGAGUGUUCCAGUCAAAGGCAAGUCAAGGUGGAGAUUUGUGGGUUAUGACUGAUAAGUGCCUAAGUUCAGUAAUAUUUCAUAUUAAAAUAUAGGCACUUAUGAGGAUUUAUUGUUAAUUUACAUAUAAAAUAAUCCCUAAUUUAUGAAUUUAUACCUUUUUACAUUUUUAUGAGCUUUAUUUGAAUAAGAGCAUUUUAUUCACAAAUUUGGUGUUAAUUGCAAAUUUCUAGGGAAGAUUGAAGAUUUGGAUUAAAGAUGAAUGAUUUGAGCUAAAAAGAUAAAGAUGGAAGGUCUCAUAAUGGAAAAAGAUGCAAAGAAAGAUUGAGCCUUUUUUUAUGUUUUAUCAUUUAGCCCAUUAACGUGACACAGGAAACAACCUAACCCUAGAAAACUAGGAUAAAUAGAGGGCUAGAGGCUCAACCCUAGUGUGCCAGAUUGAGAGGAAAACACCAUAGAGUGAAUUGUAACCCAAUUGGGAGAAUGAAAGGUGCUAGAAGUAUGCGUAGCUAAUUCUACCAUUUGGGAUUGGGAGUAAUCUUCUCAAACUCUUAUGUAUUGAGGUGAUAUCUUAUAUAUUAAUAUUCAGUUCUUGAUUGAUUAUUGGUAUUGUUGUUUUACUUUUAACUUUCCGUGACAAAUUGAGAAUCUUAAAUCUGACCGAGAGGUAUUUUUAGGGUUUGGACCUAAACAUCAAUACUUAGCAUAUUUGAGUGCUAGGGAUAGACUUGAAAUGUUAAUUGCCAUUAACGUCUGAGUGUGAUUCUAAGUUGUUUUUAUAAAUAUGCGAGGGAUCGAUAUUUAGGAAACAUUCUUAAGGAUUUUAUAUGCGAGAGAUCGAUAUAAAUGAAUUUUCUACGGGCAUCAAUUUCAAUCAAAGAACUCAAUAUUAACAUGCUAAUCAAAAUACAUGAGAGUGGGAGAGAUGAAACCUAAUCCCUAUUUUUCCAAUUGAAGCAACUAAUUCUUUGUUUGUUUUCUUAUUGAUCAGUGCCAACACAAUCACUUCUAAACUCUUUUUAUUGUUAUGUUGUUAUAUUUAGCAAAUAUCGUACUUGAUAAUUUACUGUUCCUUGUGGGAUCGAUAUCCGUCCUUAGGGACAAUUAUUACUUCUGACAAACGCGGUGCACUUGCCGUAAAAAGUCAUCAAUGACUCACCUUUCCGUUUUCUUGGCAUAAUUAGGAGGUUACUUGCCACAAUUAAGUGUAAUCAAAUGGAGGUUUCUUACUACAAGUAAUUGUCAUCAAAGGGAGGUUAAUUACCAUUAAUUGUCUUUAUUAUUGUUGUCUCCUAGAACCACUAUAUAUAGUGGCUUCCUUCUAGCAAUGUAACACACACAACAAACAGCAACACACACUUGUUUCCUUUCUCUUUUCCUAUACUUUCUAUUUCUUCUCUUGGGUAUAAGUGUUUAACCCAUAUAGAGAGAUUUGUUUUGAGGCUAUUUAUCUAUUAGCCUGAGAGGAAUUCAUUGUACUCCCAAUACCAUUAUAGUGGAAGUUUUGGUUCUCUCGCCAGUGGGUUUUUACCUCUAUUUAAAGGGGUUUUCCACCUAAAAAUUCUGGUAUCAUUCUCACUUUACUUGUUACUUUAAUUUCUCAUAAUCUUUGGUUGAAAUUAUUACACUUCCGCACACGAUAUCCCUACACAACAUUCUAUCGUUUUCUUUUUAUCUUCUAAAUGUGUCAAUGAAAGUUACAAAUAUGUUAAACCUUAAGUUAUUCAUUUAGAGGGAGAAAGGUCACUCCAAUAUGAAGCAAUAAAUUGUCUUAUUAAAAAAAUACAAUCUUCAACCUCUAAAUAAUAUAAUGUGUAUAGACGUUUUAUAAAAAGUUUAAAUAUAGAUUUUAGUGAGGGGUUUUGACCAUCAUGGGACCUUUUUUUCUCGUUUUUACUAAAAUGGGGUCGUUUUCAACACGACUUUAUCACGUCAGCCUGAAGUCGUGCCAAGUUGGCAUGACUUCUGCCACGCCAAUUCCUAAAGUCGUGCCAACUUGGCAUGACUUUGUCCACGUCAUAUAUAUAUAUAUAUAUAUAUAUAUAUAUUAAUUUUCUUGUAAAAUUUUCUUAUUUAUAUAUUGAGUAGUAAGUUAUGUAAUGUUUAAAAUUAAUUUGAUACAUAAUUUUCUAAGGGUGUUAGUUUUAAGCAAUAAAAAAUAAAUAAUUGUGUAUGAAUCAUGUUUGACGGUAAUGUAAUAUAUUAAUUUGGUUAUUAGAUUAAUAAAAAAUAUGAAAAAAAAAUGUUCAUAUUACAGAACCGAAUGUCACAAUAGAAGCAAUUGUCCACACAAACAAGCUUGAUAAUAAAAUUCAAUUUCAAGUUUGAUUAUUAAUUUCCUCAUUUUCUUUACCUAAGUAUUUAAAUUCCUUCAAAAAAAAUUAUUUAUCAAAUUAAUUUCAAAUAUUACAUAACUUAUAAUUUUAAUUAUAAUAUAUAUUUAUUUAAAAACAAGAAAUUUUUUUAGAAAAAUAUGAUGUGGACAAAGUCGUGCCAACUUGACACGAUUUCAAGUUGACGUGGCAGAAAUCGUGCCAAGUUGGCACGACAUCAGGCUGACAUGGCAAAGUCGUGCCAACUUGGCACGACUUCUACAUAUGAAGUCGUGCCAAGGUUGUAUGACUUGCCCCAGAUUUAUAAUUUUUUUUACAGCAACCCCAUUUUGGUAAAAACAAAAAAAAAGGCCCCAUGAUAAAAAAACCUUUUAGUGAACUAAAUUUUUAGACAACUUAUAACUUAAAAGGAUGUUAACAAAUAAUAGCAAUCAAAUAAUUUUUUUUAUAAAAAAUAAAUAAAAAAUAUAAUUAAAUAUAAAAUUAUAUUUAUUAUUGGUGUUGCGGAGGAAUAUUGCACUAUCACAUAACUAAUUAAAAAUAAAUAAAAAAUUAAGUAAGAAGAUACUUUAUAAGAACACUAAAAACAAAAAUAUUUAUAAAAGAAGAAAUGUAAAUGUGAUAAUUUAUUAGUAAAUAAAAAAGCUAAUUAAUUUUUUACUUAUAAAAUGAAUAAUAAUAAUGACAUAGUAAUUAUCGAGUUUACAAUAAUAAUUGUAACGAAAAAGCAAGAAAAAUAAAUAUAUAUUAUUGAAAAAAAAACAGAUUAUUUUUAUUUAGUAUAGAUUAAUAUAAUAUGAUAAAUAAAUUUAAUUAAUAAUGAUUUUUUUAACCUUCUUUAAAUUACAAAAAUUUAUUUUAAAAUUUUACCAAAAUAACGAAGUUUUGAUAACUUGGUUUUGGUAACUUUGGGUUAAAUUUCAAAAAAUAUUUUAAAAUAAUAAACAAAAUAGAAGAUUUUCUUAACAAAAUUAUUUUAAAACCUUAGAAAAAACACUAGGUUUUUUCAAAUAAAUAAAUAUGUUUUAAAAAUUGGUUGCCGUUAACUUUAAGCCUGGACCCAAACCCAGUACGGUAAACUCCGAUCACGCACCAUCAUUGCCACCGGAGUCUAUUCCAUAGUCGCCGAGAACACUUGUUCGAUGUUCCGAUGCUUUAUUGCGCAGAUAUCACUAAUCCACAAGCCUUUUCACGCGAAAGAGAAUGUUCACGCGUUUAAUGUCGGUAAGUGGAGGAACAAAAUAUCCCAAAACUAUUCAAAAUCUCUCUUCCUUUUUCUCUGGCAUCGUUUUACACUAUUGAUUUUUCCAAUGCAGUAUCGGUUCCAUUUGCUUUCGUCUGUGACCUCAGAAGUGCUCGUGGAUAAAGGCCAAUCGUUUUUGCUGGCUCGGGGCACGUUUUGAAUUUAUCUUGUUUUUUUUGCAUAAUAAUUAGUUUUUCGAUAUUUCUUUUACGGAAUUAAAUGUUCUGCUUAUUAGCUUUGGUCAGUUGCGGUUUUGUCACGAAAACAGAGGAGUCUCUGAUUUCGAGAAUACCGUUUAGAUGUCGUUAUUUCCAUGCAACAGGUUUGGUUGAAUCAAACGUGAAUUGCAUUGUUUUUAUUAAUAUUUGUGAUUUGUGAUGUCUUAUACGUUGACGUUUUCAUUUGGUUUCCCUUUUAUUGUAUUGUUCCAGCAUUGUCUUCUUCUACUGGACUACUGCCGACUCGCCGAGUUCUUGGUGUUCCUGAAUAUGCCUGUUAGGACGAGAUAAAGAAGGCAUUUCACUUGGUGCGUGAGUAUUAGGAAUCUCUUGUUUUGUAUGGCUUAGACAAAUAUUGAUUGAUGAAAUCUAUGCAUGUUAGGCUAGGUACAGCGAAGGUGAAGUCUAUUUGAAGAUUGUCAUGUUUUUUUUGACAAUGAUGAUGAUUCAAUUUAAUAUAGAACACUUUUUGUUGGAGAGAUGAAAUUUUAUUUCAAUUGAUUUGUACUUGUAACAACAAUGUCAAAUUACUCUAUUCUCGGUCAGAGGAAUAUUUUAUUUCGACUACUCUGUACUUGUUAGGAGUGACAACAAUGGGAGAUUAGAUGAUCUAUUCUCAGUCAUGACAAUAAUUUAAUGUCACCGAACCAGGUUUACCUAUAAGGAUAGGGAAAUAUUAUAGUUACUAACCAGGUUUAAUCGUUCAUAUGCUUGUUUUUAACCUAUAAAAAACAUGUAUGGAGAAAUAUUUUAUUGUUUGUGUUCUCGCCGAUUGACCUGGAUCGAGUCUUGGUGGUGGAUUUUGGGCCAACUUUUCUUUUCCACAAUUGCUACUUUGAGAUGCUUGAAAUCCACAAUGAGGGAGCUCCACCUAUUGACAAAACUCCGACGAUCAAGUUUGCGAGAGCAUAUACUAUGAGUAUAGUGUCUAGGUCUAGUGUGGAAUAGCACUUACCUUUGAUCAGGGUCUUAAAGCCCUUUUAUAGUUCUCGUAGAUCCCCUCUUUAGGAGUUAACAAACAUAAAGAUAUUCUGUUAAUAUAUCCCCUUUAUGGGUGUGGGUAGAGUUGUGAAUCUUGAGCUUUUAAGAAAUAGUGAGAUUGAAAAAUUAGAGCAGUAAAAAUGAGUUUGUUAAGAUGAAUGUGUUGUUGUAAGAAGAAAAAGAACAUAAUACAGGAUGAUUGUAUAAGAAAAGAUAUUGGUGGUAACAUAAGUGUGACAAUGAUUGAGAAAAAGAUAAUAUAAAAUCAGUUUAUAUGGUUCGUAUAUGUGCAAAGGCAGCCAUUGGUGAGGAGAGUGGAUAUCAUGUUUUAUACUUUAAGAAGAAGGGACAGAGGGAGGCAAGAAUUGCAUUGUAGGAAAUUAUUAAAAGGGAUCUCAUGCUGAAUAAUGAUCCUGAGAAUUUGGAUUUAUUGUGGUCCUCAAAGGAUGGCAUAUAACUUUUGGACCUCUGUCCAAAACUAUGCUUUUAGGUAAUCCAUGAAAUCUUACCACUUCUUUAAAGAAGAGUCUAUUCACAACCAUAUCAAAAGCUUUUGUUGUCCUAGGAAGUUCUAAUAUAAAUCAUAUGCUUAUGUCUUCUCAUGGAGCACUUGCAAAAGGGAGCAUAGAGUUCAUGAGACAUUGUCUUAGAGUUAGUUUUAAAAUAAGAAAUUAUUAAAAGGGAUCUCAUGCUGAAUAAUGUUCCUGAGAAUUUGGAUUUCAACUGAGCCUAAUUAUAUUGUGUUAGCCAUGUAGCUGAUCUCUUGUGAAAUAAAGCUAAUUUUGCUGAGCACUACAUUUUCUCCAGUUUUUACUUCAUUUUUAUCUAAUUUAGGAGAGAGAAAAUUCCAUACCUAGCAGUGGCACUCAAGGUUAGUUCAUACUUAUCAGUCUUCUAUAGGUGCAGCUAAAAUGAUAUAUAUGACCUAUAACAUUAUAAUAAAUUGUGGUCCAGAGUGAGACUUGUACCGACCAGUUCUCGGACUUCGGCGUUGACCACAGUUGUGGUGGGGCUUCGAAGGCUAGGUCCCACGAGGAGCAUGGCUCAGUGUCUCGCGAAGCACGUGAGUCAAGGUGGCCGAGGUGUGUGCUCGGCGUCGGGUGAAGGCCUCGGACCUCGGCGACCUGAACAAAAAAAGAUGGGCCAAAAUGGUGGUUUCCAAGCCACACUCCAGUUAUCAGUAAGGGAGAAGCCUAGGCCAUGGGGGAUCCGUGCGCGGGGUGUGGAUGACGCCUUAUGGCGUAACACAGUUAAAGAGCCACUGGGAAAGAGACGACUCAGAAGGGUCACAUCCCAUGGGUGAUCUGCAUGCAAGGCACGCGACUACUAGGGCGCUCCCAGGGCGGAUGGCCCCAGAGAUUGGGUGCAUGAGUUGGCACCCAAGUGGUCAUCCCGGGGAGGUCGCACUCUAGUAAAGGGGUCUUACGCGCCAAAUGGCCCUAAGAAUGGGUGAUAGUGGCACUAAGGCACACCUACAGUAAGCCCAGUUACGGUUAGCGAAAAGGGCGGGAAACCCUGAAGUAUAUUAAGGGUAACAACCAACAUAACAAGGUACGCAAUCCUAACACAAGUACACACACAGAAUUACACUGAGAGUUUUGGUGUUUCCUGACCCUUAGACUGACUUGAGCGUCGGAGUGCAAACGGCCGCGAGGGCGUCCUUUGUCUUUGCGUUUCAGGUGUUCGAAGGAGAAGGAACGCAGAGAUUCUUGGACGUGAGGUUGUCGUAGCAAGACUGAUCAAAUAAUUUCUUUUCCUGCCUACAAUCAUGUCAAGAGUAACUAUUAAUGGUCCAAGUCAUUCAUCCAAAGUCAUUGAGAAAAUAUAGAUUCUUCUUAUGUAAACUACACAGUAGCUCUUAGUUUUUAGUAGAACACUAAGCAACCAAUUAGGAACGUACGCCAAUAACAUAAAUAAAUCCAGCUUAGUAUGUAAAUUUAAAACACAAUGGAAUUGUCAUAUAACGGGAGUAAUAUUUUAAGUAAAGUCGGAUAAUAUAUAUAAAUAGGUAAUCAACUCUCAUUCUAUUUUUUUUUAACACAAUGACGAAAUAAUAAUUUUAACUUAUUAUAAUUAAUUAAGUCAAUCACAAUUUUUUUAUAAUUUUUUUCUUAAUUCUGUUGUAAUUUGUAAUACAACAAUAAACAAUUGAUUGAAUAAUUAAACAUACAUUUGAGCACUACUACUACAUAGAAAUAAAAAAAAAAGUAACAUUUUAAUUAUUUAUACCUGAACAUAUGACUUUUAAAGAUUACUUUUAACUAGAAAAAAUUCUUUAAAUAUAAAAAUUAUUAUAGUCAAAUAAUUUAUCAUAAAGACCCUUUAUUUUAGAACUGGAAAUAGCUGAGUCAUAUUUGUUCAACUAUAUUUUAAUUACUGUAUAUUUUACGUACAGAUGAGUCUCUCUUUUUAAGUCCAUAGUCCCUAUCCACAAAAAUUUGCAUGAUAAAAAUUUGUGUACUCUGUAUUUUAAAUGGAUUUUAACUUUUACAAACUGUAUUUGAUGGAUUUGUGUCUCCUUUUUUGUGGUUUUUGUUGAUGAAUGCGGAAGCUCCAUGGAUUGAUGGUGGUACAAGGUUCUCCUAAGAGUUGUGAUAGCCUUGUAGGUGCAUGAGAAGUAGGAAGAGUAGGAGUGGUUCGGCCAACUUCCUUUGUAGGUGAAGGUUUGAAGAUUAAAAGCCUAUUCCUAAGAGAGUUUAGGCAAGGAGUGAGAAUGACACAAUUUUGGCAGCAUUCCACUAUUCAAUUAAUCUUUGAAAUACAUGAGCCAAGCCCUCUUAUUUAUAGUGUUUAGAGGGCUGGAAAUUCAAAAGAAAGUGGAGGGAAAUUCAUAUGAGAAGCAUUUGAAUAUGGAGCCAAUUCUUAGUCACAAGGGAAGUGUGACUUGGUUUCUUUUUUUUGGCACCUCCUAAAUCUACACCUACACCUUCUUUUUAUGUCACAUGAAAGGUGUGACUUAGCUUUAUACAUUUGCACCUCUUAUAUCUAUAUCUACACCUCCCUUUAUGUUCUACUAAAAAUAAUCAAAAUUAAUUACAAAAAAAGACAUCCAAUGAUUCUUGGUUGGCCCAAAUCUUCUAUUUGUUGGGCUUGAGCUGAAGCUUGAACUUGUAUUUGGGCUUGGGCUUGAGCUUUUUCUAUCAUGGGCUUGGGCCUCUUCCAUCAUCCCCUCCCUCUUGAAAAGGAUUUGUCCUCAAAUCCAAUGCUUCUUCUUCAUCAUCAUUAUGUGGAUGUAUGUGGCUGGAUGGUGUCCAUCAUCUCCUCCUUCUUGAGAAAAUCUAUCCUCAGAUCCACAGGGUCGAUCUCAGAUAGCAGCCUCUUGCUUUGACAACUAUGCUCGUCCUCCCGGAUCAAACGUCCAUCUAUGGGAAUCAUCAAACAAAGCAAAUGAGUUAGUUGAAGCAGUUGUAUAACAAUCAACUUUAUGAAGUUGCCAUUCCUCUUGUUUUUCUAUUGUUUUUGGCAACUUCUCAUAAUAUUUCUCUAUUUGUUGUUGUAUUUGUUCUUGAAUCCUCUCAUGCAUUUUUUUAGCAAAUUCAGCUUUUGUAACUCCUUCCUUAUGCACAAAGGUAUGUGGAUUAGGAAGGGGUAAUAAAUCUAAAGGAGUAAGAGGAUCAAACCCAUAUACAACUUCAAAUGAAGAAAUAUUAGUAGUCUUGUGAACUACUUUAUUGUAUUCAAACUCAAUAUGGAAAAGAUACUCAUCCCUAGAGUUGUGGUUGUCUCUCACGAUUACCCUAGGCAUAGUAGAAAGAGCUAUAUUUUCAACUUUGUUUUCACCAUUCGUUUGAGGAAGACUAGAAAUUGAAAUUUUCAACUUAGUUCUAAAUAUUUCCAAAAGAGUCCUCAAAGGAUGGCAUAUAACUUUUGGACCUCUAUCCAAAACUAUGCUUUUAGGUAAUCCAUGAAAUCUUACCACUUCUCUAAAGAAGAGCCUAUUCAAAACCAUAAAAAUGAAGUCAAAACCUUUUGUUGUCCUAGGAAGUUCUAAUAUAAAUCCUAUGUUUAUGUCUUCCCAUGGAGCACUUGCAAAAGGUGAAGGAGCAUAGAGUUUGAUAAGUGUCUAAUUUCAGUAAUAUUUCAUAUUAAAAUAUAGGCACUUAUGAGGAUUUAUUGCUAAUUUACAUAUAAAAUAAUCCCUAAUUUAUGAAUUUAUACCUUUUUACAUUUUUUAUGAUCUUUAUUUGAAUAAGAGUAUUUUAUUAACAAAUUUUAUCAACUCUAAAUUGGCCCAUGAGUUCUCCUUCAUGAAGAAUUUAUUUUUUAUGUGUGAAGGUAGUCUCGUUGGUACGACCAUGGAGCAUGGAAUUUUGAACACUUAGCAAUGGUCAUAUCAAUAAAACAUGACAAGUUUCGUUAGGCACUACAUCACAUAAAACUUUAUCUUUGUAGGUGCCUAUAGAUAACUCGACCUUCACUUGUUGGCUAGUUUCUAUUUUUAUAUUUUUUUCACUCUCACUAUUUUCUUUGUCUUGGAUACUAUGGUCACCUUUGUCCCUUAAGAUCAUAGAUCUUUCAUUGGAACAAUGAGGUGCUAAAUGACUUUUACCAAGAUAUUCUAAACAUUGAUUUAUUCUAGCUUGAGUGUGUGAAAUAUGCUCGAAUAGGUUUUGGGAAAGUUCUAGGGAUGUUUCUUUUAUAUGUUCUUCCCCUAUUUGGAACUCAUCCUUGUCAUAAGAUUCAAAGUAUGAACUUUGUUUUUGACUUGAUUGUUUUCUCAAAAUUUGUUUUUCAAUUUUAAUGCUAAGUUGAAUCAAGUCAUUAAAAUCUCUAUAAGGUAAAAGUUCAACUUUGUUUCUUAUCUCNNNNNNNNNNNNNNNNNNNNNNNNNNNNNNNNNNNNNNNNNNNNNNNNNNNNNNNNNNNNNNNNNNNNNNNNNNNNNNNNNNNNNNNNNNNNNNNNNNNNAGUUUGAGACCACUUAAAAACCUAGAUAUGGUGGUAUGGUUGUCCUCAUUAGCCAUUGCCCUUUUUAUAUAUAUCGCCAUCUUUUGCCAAUAUUCUUCUACACUUAGAUUUUUUUUGAUGAAGUCCUUGGAGUUUGUCCAUUGACUUCCUUUUGUAGGAUGAGGGAAUAUGACGACAUCUCAAGGCUCCCCUAAGGUUAUUCCAAUAUGUAAUGGGAGGGUCCUUGUGGAGAUGUCUCUCUCUUUUUAGGGCAAUCCACCAAUUCAUAGCAUUUCCUUUAAAACUUAAGAUGGCUAAGGGUACCUUUCUUUCCUCACUUACUCUAUGGCAAGCAAACAAUUGUUCUACCUUCAUUUCCCAAUCUAGAUAGGUUUCUACAUUUUCUUUCCCAUGGAAAUAAGGUAGAUCUACCCUAACCUCCUUAGUGCUUUCUUGUUCUUUUCUUUCUCUUCUAGUUCUCCUAGGGGGUGGUUGAUAAUAUUCAUUUAUCCUAAGACUUUCUUCCCCAAAAGAUUCAUGAUUGUGAGAACUAGAUGCAUGUGAAUAUAUUUUUUUACAUUUUUGAGAGCUUUCAUCCUUUUCUUUAGUCAUUUUCAACUCUUUGAUUUGUACCUCAUGUUCCAAUUCUCUAUAUGAGAAUGAUUGAAAGUCCUUGACUAAUUGUUUUAAAAGAGAUUUGAUGGACUUUAUAUCACUUUCACUAAAUUUAGAAGAAUGAGUUGACAUGACUAAAGAUUUGUGUUUAAAAGUAUUUUACCUCAAGAAAGAAAAGGAAAGUAGUGAAGGUAGCUUUACAGGAAAGAGAGGUGAGUCACUAAGACUUCUUAAGUACCAAGUCUUUCCUUGCCAAAAUCUAUCCCUCAAAAACUUCACACAAUUCUUUUUCUAAGUAAAUUACUUAUAUCACAAUUAGGAAUGAAAAGUCAAAUUUUAUGCAAAGGAAAACAAUGCAAAGCAAUUUAACAAACAAAGCAAUUAAGCAAUGCUAAACAAGUAAUUAACGUAAAGCAAAUAGCUAAACACAAUUAAAGAUUGCUAAUCUACAAAGCUUAAAACUAGACGUUUCCUAAGUGAGGCUUCUAGACACUUUGAGCCUUUGAAGACAUACUCACCGUCUACACGUGAUUAAUCCACUAAUUAAACAAAGGUUAAAUGUAAUUACAACUCAAAGAAAUACAAAGAAAUUGAAUUGCACAAAUUAAAUUUCAGCUUUCUAUACUAUGCACUCCUUUGGCUUGUAGUUGCUCUUCUUUAUUGUGUCCUUCAAAGUGUAUGUGUUUGGUAUUUGUAUUUGUGUUUGUUGUUGCUCCUUGCCUUAACCUCUUAUGAAUAGACAAUUAAAUUCUCCAAAACAGUACCUACUAAGUAGAGCUAGACUCACCUCAAAGUCAAUUCCACUUAACAAGCACCAAUUGAAUUUAUCCACCAACAAUUUAGAGGUCAAGAAAAGAAAGCAAGAAACAAAUUAAAUUUUAAAAAAAAUACCACAGCAAAUGGAUUUGAAUUAUGUGACACAACUUAGAAAGAGUUCUGAAUAAAAUUGGAUAAGAAAAUAAAAAUAGGCACUCAAUAAAGGAUGACACACAAAAAGAACCUAAAGAAAGGUAUUAGAAUUGAUUUGAAAAACUAAAAUAGCACUACUGGAAAAAUUUAGGUUCAGAAAGCGUGACUUAAAAUAUCUAUGCUGAGCUGUCAAUUUUGAAUUUGCUUAUGAAAAUUUAACCACAAACGAUUCAAUGUCUUAGCAAGCUUUUGGCGCUGGAAUCACACCAAAAACAUGCACCAAAUAAUUGUGAUAAAGUUUUCAAAAUCACUGUCCAACUACCGUAUAUUUUGGCACCAGGAUGCACUCUUUUUUUGUUUUAUUUAUCAUUUUUUCUCUAUUUUUUAUUUUCAUCUGAUUCUUUUUUUCUUGAUUUUCUAACACAUCAAACUGUAUAAAUCCAGAUUUUCAGAAUUUUUCUCCAACGUAUUUAAAAUUCAUAACAAAAAACAGCCAGCACAGAACUUGAAAAACAGAGUAGUCCUAAUUCUGAAAUUUAAAAACAGAAUGAGAAACUUCAAAAACACAAUGGAGUAGAUGUAUAUGAAUUUGUAUGGAUCUAUCACACAAAUAUGAACUCAAUAUAAAAGUAAAAUGCACCAAAGGAUCAACAAACACAUAAAUAUAAUUCUGGACUCAAAUUAAAUCAAGAAACCAAAAUUAUCAACAAAUUUAGCACAACAAGGAUUUGAUGACAAAUUAGGAAAUACAUGACUAGACAAAACAUCAAAGGAUUCAGAAAAUAAAAUGACUCAAGACAAAUCAUAUGAACCGAACAAAAAUUCAAACAAGACUCAAACAACCUAAAAUCAAAACAGCAACACAAUUUCAUAUAGAUUCCUACACAAAAUAUGAAAAUAAGAAGCUCAAGAACAAUUUGAACAUUUUGCACCGAUUGAAUUGCUUAAAACAGCAACUAAAUCAAAUUAAAAAGCAAAAAACAGCAUGACAACAUGAACAAGUGAUGAACAACACGGAAAUAAGAAGAACACAAACACAAAAAUGAGAGAAGACACUUAGCUCUUGUAGAACUUAUGCUCAUGAUACCAAAUGAUGGAUUUGUGUCUCCUUUCUUGCGGUUUUUGUUGAUGAAUGCGGAAGCUCCAUGGCUUGAUGGUGGAACAAGGCUCUCCUAAGAGUUGUGAUAGCCUUGGAGGUGCAUGAGAAGUAGGAAGAGUAGGAGUGGUUCGGACAACUCCCUUUGUAGGUGAAGGUUUGAAGAUUAAAAGCCUAUUCCUAAGAGAGUUUAGGCAAGGAGUGAGAAUGACACAAUUUUGGCACCAUUUCACUAUUCAAUUAAUCUUUGAAAUACAUGAGCCAAGCCCUCUUAUUUAUAGUGUUUAGAGGGCUGAAAAUUCAAAAGAAAGUGGAGGAAAAUUCAAAUGAGAAGCAAUUGAAUAUGGAGCCAAUUCCUAGUCACAAGGGAAGUGUGAUUUGGUUUCUUUUUAUUGGCACCUCCUAAAUCUACACCUACAUCUUCUUUUUAUGUCACAUGGCAGGUGUGACUUAGCUUUAUACAUUUGCACCUCUUAUAUCUAUAUCUACACCUCCCUUUAUGUUCUACUAAAAAUACUCAAAAGUAAUUACAAAAAAGACAUCCAAUGAUGCUUUGUUGGCCCAAAUCUUCUAUUUGUUGGGUUUGAGCAGAAGCUUGAACUUGUAUUUGGACUUAUGCUUGAACUUUUUUUAUCUUGGGCUUGGACCUCUUCCAUAAGUAUUUGUCCCACAAAAACUAUAGGUUAAAUAAAUGAGUUUGCAUUUACAAAUAUACAUUCAAUUUUUUUUAACAUUUAUUUGUAUAAGAAAAAAUUAUUGAAUCCAUUAAACAAUACGCAAUCAAUAAAAAAAAUAAAAUAAUAAAAGACUUAUGUAGAAGACAGGCCAAGUUGAUAUUUUGAGAGACUGUAGCAUAGAGGGCAGUGUUAAACUGAGCAUAAAUGUAUGUACAGAAUUACGAACAUUAAUGUAUGUACAGACUGAGACAGUAAGGAGAAAUUAAAGAAAAUGAUACAAUCAUUCACUUACCACAAAAUCUUGAAGUCUUUUUCUCUGGGUCUGUGUAGUACAGUCUUAUUUCUGGAAUGUACUUUAUGUAUUGCAAAUCCUCUCCCGUUUCUCUCUUGCACCGCUUCUUUAAAUAAGGACAUCCGUCUAUAAUUAAAGAAGAAAAGUUGGUGAGGCGUUGAAUGCUACUCGGUACUGACUUAAACUUCUCACACCACCGAAUCUUUAACUUUUGAAGAGAAGUAAGGUCUCCCAGCUAGUCGGGCAAUGAAGUAGAGUGCAAUCGCUUAUAUCCAAAGUUCGUAUGGAGGGAACACGUUGUAAGCCAUUCGGUAAUGUCGAGCAAUAGUUGAUUCUGACAGUCCGAAGGGCAGUUAGUUGGAUCAGUUAAUGGAAUUUUUUCAUUAAAUGAAAGUUAUCAUGAUUUUUAUAAAAUAAAAUAAAAUAAAAUAAAAUAAAAUAAAAUAAAAUAAAAUAAAAUUUUGAUUUCUAAAUAGAUGGAGUGGAAGAGAAAGUAAAGGAAAGAGAAGGAAAAGUUAGGAGAGAUAAAAGAUGGGGGAGGGAGAUAAAAGAGAGAAAGGAGCUUUCGAGAAAGGAAUUUUAAAUCUUCAUAUUUGGAGCUAUGAUGUUAUUGUCUUUAGUGAAGAUGAGGUUAAACUUUUGUUUAUAUUAAUUUUAAUAAAUUCAUUUUUGUUUUAUUAACAUUUUAUUUAUUUAUUAUUAUUUAUUUAUUUUUAUUUGUGUAUUAAUUUUAUUUAUUACCUGUUACGCACGUCUUAAAUUUUUGUAUUUAUCUUUUGUACUAGUUUUAUUUAUUUUAUUUAUCUAUUUUCUUUAUUUGUAGUUAUGUAAUGUUCUUAUCUAUUUAUUUUAUCUAUAUUUAAUUACGUAUUGAUACUAUUUAUUUAUUUUAUUUAUUUCUAAUUAUACUGAUUAUAUAUAUUUAUCCUUUUGCGGGAAGAGUCUGCCUUAUAAAAUCUGUUAUAAAUGCCGUUCCACUCUUUUAUCUAUCCUUCUUUAAAGCCCCAACUGGAGUGUGUAAGGAAAUCACUAAGCUACAACGGAAAUUUUUGUGGGGGUGGGGAAAGGAAGGGAGGAAAAUCGCCUGGACUAGUUGGGAAAAUAUCUGUAAAGCGAAAGAAGAGGGUGGUCUUGGCAUUAAACGUAUCGACUUAUUUAAUAAGGCUCUCUUGGCAAAAUGGCUAUGGAGGUUAGAUUCCAAUGAGCGUGGACUUUGGAAGGAGGUUUUGGAAUCUAAGUAUGAUUUGAGGAGGUUAUUGAACUCAUGUACACCGAAUCGAAAUAAGUUCACAUCUAGAUGGUGAAAUGACUUAUCUAGAGUUGGACUAUCAGACCAAGGCGACAACUGGUUUAAACAUAAUACAUAUUGGAAAGCUGGAAAAGGGGACAAGAUCAAAAUUUGGGAAGAUGAAUGGCUAGCUAUUGGCCAACUCAAAGUAAGGUAUGAAAGAAUGUACAACAACUCUGUGCUUAAAGACAAGACUAUCAGAAGUUUUGGCAGAUGGAAUAUAGAUCGGUGGGAGUGGAUGUUUAGUUGGAGAAGAGAAUGGUUUGAAUGGGAGAAGACCUUGGUAGAUGACUUCAUGUCAAUAAUAUCAAUGGCGUCAUUUCAACCAGAUAAUGAGGAUGUAAGGUUAUGGAACGACCCCCAUCAUACUCUUUCUCGGUUAAAUCUGCUUAUAAUAAGCUAGCUAAUUACAGGCAAGGGGGGUAUCAGUGUUUGGUUCUUUCUGGGAUCUGAAGGCAAUGCCCUCAGCUUUGUUCUUUGUAUGGAGAGCCUUUUCGGAUAGGAUCGCGACAAAACAAAAUCUGCAUAAGAGGGGUGUGCCACUAAGGGAUACUUUAUGUGCUUUAUGCGGAAGGGAAGAGGAGACUUCUACGCAUAUCCUUCUCUCAUGUAGGGAGUCAAGUAAAGUGUGGAAUAUGUGCUUUAGUUGGUUGGGAAUCUAUUCGGUGAAUCACAACGUGCUGAAUAAUCACUUCGAACAAUUCUCUAGCAUCUGCUUUAAUAAGGAAGGCAAUAGACUUUGGAUGAGUUUGUGGGUCUCAAUUGUAUGGACUAUAUGGAAGCAUAGAAAUAGGGUCACCUUUAAUCAAGCAAAGGUAGAUGUAGAGGAAAUUUUUACUAUGGCAGAAGUACAAUCUUGGGUUUGGAUGAAACAUAAAGAUAAGAGAGUUACUUUCUCCUUUUCGGACUGGAUUCUAUCACCUUUCACAUGCAUCAAUAUGGUAACAAGGUAAGGGUGGUAUCUCUGUCUUUUUGUUUGCCUAACCUUUUACAUAUUUCUGUUCGCAAAUUACAGGAGUCUGGAUAAUCUUUGUACUUGAUGAAUGUUAUGGUCGGACGUUUUGUAAUAUGUUUGUAGAAGUUAUCUGUCUUGAUUCAAUGUUUUAGACUUAUGCGGUGGGAAGGUUAUCUUUUUUGAUACAGGCUCAGCUGUGGGGAGCAUAAUUUUUCCCAGUAAAAGGGAGUAGAAAGAGAAGAAGUACAUUGAAGGAAGAGGAGCUGUUUUAUUAUGUUUUUAUUGUUAUGUAAGGUGGAGGAAGAGGAAUCACUUUUUUGUGGGGAGGCUUUGGCAUGAAGACGAAGACUAAGCUGGAAGUGGCUUUAAGAUUAAUGUUUUUUAUAAGAAUUCCUGAACUGGUGUAGCUACGAAGGGUUAUUCCACUAUAUGCUUUGCUGUUAGUCUGAGAUUGGAAUUGUAAUCUAGUAAUAGGGCUCUAUGCAGCCACUGGUUUUUAGUUGGGAUGUUUGGGUACAACUUUUAGGAGUAGCUAAAAGAGAAAGGGAAGUCUGAAGUGUGUAUCUAUACUAGGCAUUAGGAUACCAUAAUGUUGGUGUGAAGACUAUUAUGCAGGCUGCUGGGGUUGUUUUUUAUUGGAGUCAAUGUGUGUUUGGUGAAGUAGUUUAUUUUAAAUAGCUGGUAGAACUAGUUUUAAGGUUCUUUGUAUUAGGGUUGAGAUACCCCUAAAGUGUCUCUAUUUUAAUUUAAUUAAUUCUUUGCUGAAAAAAAAAAAUCACCAUUUACAUAAUGUACUUAUUUGUUUAUCUUCAAUUAUAUCGACUUAUUUAUUUAUUUUUACUUUCAAUCAUACAUUAAUCUUAAUUAUUUAUUUAUUUUUUAUAAUCAGUUAAAUAUUGAUUCUAUUUAUUUUUUAUAAUUAUACAUUGGUUCUAUUUUUCUUAUGUUUAAUUACGCACUUAUCCUAUUUAUUUCUUUAUAUAUUUUUAUUAUUUUAUUUUCAUGUAAUAUAAUUUUUUCAAUUCAAAGAAAUAUAUUUAGCAACUAUUUUUCAUUGGUAGCAAUUUUAUUACUGAAAAUAUUAGUUGUUAUUUUGGUAGCAGUUUAUCACUUAGGAAACAAAUUCAGCAAUUAAAAAUUGAUGAGAACUAUAACUUCUAUACUAACAAAAUUUUGUAAUCAUAUUAUGAUUAUUGUAAUGUUUAUUAUUAUUAUUAUUAUAAUUAGUAUUAUGUUUAUUGUUAUUAUUAUUAUAAUUAUUAUAUUAAUAAUAAUCAAAACAAUAAUCCUAAUAAUAAAGUAAUCAAAAUAAUAAUAAUAAUAAAAUUAUAAUCAUAAUAAUAAAAUAAUUAUAAUAUAUCACUAUAAAAUAAUUACUAUCAUAAUAAUAAAAUAAUUGUAAUUUAUAGUGAUAUAUUUAUAUUUAACGAUCAAUUUGGUUGCUAUAUUAAUGUAAAUUAACUAAAAUAUUAAAUUCGAUUGUAAUUUCUAAUAAUAUAUUUGUGUUUAACGAUAAUUUAAUUUCAGUCGUUAAAUUAGUGACGAAACUAAAUUGAACCGUUGGCUUGUAUAAAAUUAGCAAUCUUAAUCAAAUUCGUUUGUUAAUUUACAUGGAGAGAUUUAUAUUUAGCGAUCAAUUUAUUUAUUUUUUUUUAAAUUAGUAUAAAGUAAUAACAAAAACUAAAUUUAAUCUUAAGUUAUAGAAAUAUAGUUACUGAAACCAAAUUUCGAUUGACCUAAAAUUAAUUACGUCGUCUAACUAAACACACACUAUGAAACCAAAACCAUAACUAUGUUAAUAAAACUGUAACAAUUAAUAUUUAUAGAAAAAUAUAUACAUAUUUCAUACAAACUUAUUUUUAAGAAAAGUGAAAAUAUAAUUUUUAGAUUAAAAGGAAAACUUUAAAUUCUAUAAAAAUGUCCUAUUACAUUUAUUAGUUUACUUAAUACGAUGAUCUAACUUCUUUAUAUUUGAAGAGAACUUUUAUUGCUAUAAAAAAAAUCAUAUCAUUCUUGUUAACUUAAUCAAAUCAAAUUUAGUUAUUUUUAAUUUAAAUUUGUAUUAGACUUUAAAAUUUAUAUGAAUUUAAGUUGAGAAAAGUGUAAACAUGAUUAGGUAAAUAUUUUGAAAUUAAUAUAAGUUAUUUAGAUUUCGGGUUUAACUUGAAAAAAAGUGUCAUUUUAUUUAAUUUUCAAUUUCACUUUUUGAAUAUACAUUUUCUAUAGUGUGAGAUAAUUCAUAAUUAUUUUUUAACUGAAUUUUCGUAACGGAAAUAAUAUUUUAAUUAAAAAUAAUAAUAAAUAUAAAUAAGUUAUCAACACUUAUUCUAAAUUUAUUUUUAACACAAUAACAAAAUAAUAAUCGUACACAUUUAUUAAUUAAAAAAAUAAUUUUAAUCUACAAUAUCAAUUAAAUUACUCAUAAAUUUUUUUCUUAGUGUUUUAGAAAUUUAUAAUACAAUGACAAACAAUUGAUUGGGUAAUAAAACAUACAUUUGAUGAGCAAUAAUACUACAUAAAAAAAAGGGUAACAUUUUAGUUAUUUACACGUGAACGUAAAACUUUUAAAGAUUACUUUUAACCAAAAAAAUUCUUUAACUAUAAAAAUUAUUAUAGUCAAUUAAAUUAUUUUAAAGAGUCUUUAUUUUAGAACUGGAAAUAGUUGAGUUAUAUUUGUCUAACUUUGAUGGUGUAGAUAUCUUAAGCAUAACCUCUGCAUGCUUAAGUGUAUAGUUUCUUAAGGUGCAUGUGCUCAUGAUCUUCUGCUGAAUCAGCAGAGGGUGAAGCCUGGAGUGUGGAGGGUAUACUCCAGAAAGAAGAAAAGUGGGAUUAAUAAUAAUGUUCAACUUUUUCCUAUGCUAGGAAGCUAAGUUUUGGAACUGAGUUGAGUUGUAGUUUCCCUUUUACUCCAGUUAAUCCAUGUAGGUAAUAAUAACUGUGCUAUUGGAAUCAUUGCUGGAAGUUGUUGUGCAGUUCCUGUAAUUGCACUUGUUUAUUAUAAAAGAAGGAAACCAUAGGAUUUUAUAUUUAAUGUUGCAGGGGGAUGAUUAAAAGAAAAGAUGGUUUGCAUACUGAUCAAAGCUGCAUAUGAUAGCCAUAAUUAACUGAUUUUUUUGUGUCAUAUGGUCAGCUUAAAAGGUUUUCACUGCACGAACUGCAAGUUGCAACAGAUACCUUUAACAACAAAAACAUUCUUAGUAGAGGUGGAUUUGGCAAGGUGUUAUAUAGAGAAGGCUUAACAAAUAAGAUCUUGUAGCGGUAAAAAGACUCAAAGAGGAACAAACCCAGGGUGGAGAGAUGCAAUUUCAAACUGAAGUGGAAAUGAUCAUAGAUUAACAUCAUUUGAUUAUCUAGAUUAUAAAGAUUCGAAAUGAGAAAAACAAAAUAAGUAUGAACAAAAUUGGUUUCAUUAUCAUUUCUGAUAAAUAUAAUUUUCUUAUUAAAUUGUCUUUCAAUUAUUUCAUUAAAAUCUCUCAAACAAUUUUCUAUUUCAAAUUUGUGUUUCACAGAAAACAUUCAAAUAUAUAUAAUUAUCUACUAUGGUAAAAAAGUACCUUUGAUGAUUGAUGGUUGAAUUUUACAAGUACCUAAAUGUUGAAGUAGAUUAAGUCAAAAGAUUGAUUUACAUAUGUGAUUGAAAUUACAAGUAUGCAUAAAAGAUACAAAAAAUACAACCAGGCAACAUAGUCAUUCUAUAAAUAGAAAUGUUUCUAAGCUUAAAAUGUUACAAAGCAUUAAGAGGAUAAGAAGAUUUCAUGGUUGAAGAAAAAUUGAUUUAACUAAAAUUUUUAGGAGUUAAUAUUGAAAGAGAUUCUGUGAGCUCAUCUAAGGAAUCAAUCAUCUUCAAUGUUCUGACAUCCUGUAUGGAACAUACGUUAGAUAAAAAAACAAGUGAGCAAUGUACUAAUUUUGGACACAAAAAUCAUAUUCAAAGAUAAAUUUGACAAAUAUAAAAGUUGGGCCAAUGUGAGAUUGGGAGUGAGAUAGACAUUUCUAUUUAAUAACUUGUGUAAAACAAAAUGAUGAUAAAUAAAAGUCAUACAAACAUACUUAAAAUCAAAUCCACUAGCAUGCAGUCAUAGGAAACAUUCCCAUUGGCAAUUGGUAAGCAACCGUACGUCACAGUAAAUGCUUACCAAAUAAUCAUAACCAUUAUCAAAGACUUGUUUCGUAAAAUUUGACACUUCAUGAUGAGUGCAUUGAUUUGUGUCCAGAAAAUUCCGUUAUGUCCAGAAAAUUUAACAUUGAUUUGUGUCCAAGACUUUUAAUCGAUCAUUUAUAUUGCUCAACAUUGAUUUGUGUCCAAAAAUUUAUAUUGCUUACACCUAAUAGUAGUGUUUCUUUGUCAUGGAAUAUCUUUGAUCAUAUUUUUAAUCUCAGAAUUUAAGACAAUCAGGACACUGCAAUUUCAUAUUAUGUAGUAGCUGUGUUUACAUCACCUUAAUUUUGAAAUUUCUUUGUGUUCUUCCUUUUAAGGCAUGCUUUCUUAUGACAAUGAAAACAUUUAAACUUGCUUUUAGAUUGAUCUAUGGAUUUAGAUCUAUGCUUGUUUGAUUUGGAAUUUCUUUUAUCUGAUCUGUCUCUCAUAAUAUUCAAACUUUCUGCAUUAUGUUUAGUUUUCAUCUCUUCCGCUUUUUGAGAUUUCUUUAUUUGAAUUGAGCACUGCACAUGAAAAGUGAUUGUUUGAUCUCUUCCAAACGAAAUAACAUCCUAUAAGUUUUCAUAUGAAUUUGGUAGAGCAUUAAAAAGACUACAAGCCUUAUCUUCAUUCUCCAGUUUCAUUUCAAGAUUCUCUAUAUGUGAAGGCACUGACAAAGGACAGUGGCAGAAGAAAUAAUCUUUACUUGGUUUUAAAACAACAAACUACCACCAAAACCACCAUUUAAUAAAUUGCUUCUGCUACUCCUAGCACAGUGACCAUACAAAACUUAGUAACUAACCAUUUCUUAUCUAUAUGCUCUGUUUCUCAAAUGAUAUCUUCCAGCCUAGUAGAUAUAUUUUGAAGAAUUGCAAGCACAAAUAAUUGAAUCCAAACUUUAAGCCUACACAGUUAUUUUGAAUCAUAUUAAUGAGUGUCCACACUAGUGUUAGUAAGCAAUUUUUUCAAAAUCAAUUUUAUACUUGUUAAAUAAACAAUUCAAAUUAAAAUUUUGUACAUGUUAAGCAAACAAUCACAAAUCUCUCUUACCACUUACACUUUCAAAACAAUUCAGUAAACAAUAUUUGAUCCUAAACAAAUUCAAAACCAAAUUUUAUACCAAUUUGAGGCACAUGGAACACUAUAUAGCAGAUAAAGAUUUGAAAUCACUUUGGAAAGUACCAUGAAUGACUACAUAGAGAACAAAAGCACAGAAAAAUUAAAAGAAUGAUGCAUACCUGAGGUUUGAUCUUCUUAGAAUCCCUGUUAAGCUUAUUCAUAGCAUCAUGCAUGCAAUCCAGAUCAGCCACAACAAAGACUUUAGAAAAAUCCUGAGGUGAGGAGAAAAAAAGAGGUUAAAGAAAGAAUAGAAAUGAUUUUCUAUCAGGCAUUAUAUCACCUAGAAAUUGCAUAUAAAAAAACUGAUUUCCUUUUACUACUUUAUCUUGACAAAAACAUUACUGACUAAGCUAAAUCAUAAGAUACACUGUAUGAAAUGAGAACACAUCAAACAUAAAAAUGGGGAAUACUGAAACCUUGUUUUAUUAUUCAAUAUAUACACUGCGCAAAAGGCUACCCAAUUUUUGAAGGAAAGAGUUACACAUUAGGGAAAGAAGUAAACAAGUUGGUGAGGCGUUGAAUACUACUCGGUAGUGACCUCAACUCCUCACAGAACCAAAUCCCUAAUUUUUGAAGAGAAGUCAUGUCUCCCAGCCAGUCAGGCAAUGAAGUAGACGUGCAAUAGGUUAUAUCCAAAGUUUGUAGAGAGGGGAUACUUUGUAAACCAUUUGGUAAUGUGGAGAAAUGGUCGAUUUCGAAAGUCCGAAGGGCAGUUAGUUGGAUCAUAUUACUUGACAAGAAGAGAUACUCAAAAUCUCCAAACAUGUCAGAUAUCGCACACCUUCGGAUAAUGAUUUUAAGUUCUCACAGUUGGAAAUACUCAAACUUUUAAGAGAUCUCAGACCUAGAUUAUACCAAUGUUCAAUGCGUAGUUUCUGGAGUGCACCCAACCCGCUGAGUUGGUCGGGUAAUACCACCACUCCUUCAAUCUCCAAGAUCUUUAGACAAGGCAUAUUCUCUACAACCCCUUCCAUCAAGGAAGCCGCUUCGUCAAUUCAUCCAGCAUAAAGUUUCUCAACAGAAGGAAGACGUGGGAAUUUAAGGUUGGAGACGUCAUAAAUAGUUAAUUCAGAAAGACAAGGGAGCAUCUCUACUCCUUCUUCCCUCAACAUCCUCUCCAAUUUUGGUAAAUUCUUCACCCACAAAUACUCCAACGUUGGAAAUGCCUUCUCCUCUACACCAUCAUACCUCUCACCAUCUAUACACUUCACAUUUUUUAUUCCUAGCACAUAUAGCCUUUUCAAGUGUGGUAGUUUACCAAGUGGAGGAAGCUCCUCACAGUUGUCACAGCCCCAGAGUGUAACUUCCACCAAGUCUCUCAGAACUGCAUCAUUUCUCAUCCAAUUGGAUAAUUGUCUACCCUUAUAUCUUCUCAUCAUAAAACUCUUCAGAGUUGAGGGAGGUUGCAGGGCUUCCAGUACUCUCUCAACGUUAACAUUACUACCUUUUGAAUUAGCUAGCACUACCACCCCAUGACAAGUCUAGGAUAUUCAAGUCCUUCUUACCAAUCAAAUUUGCUUGUUUAGCAUCCCAUUCAUUGGGGACGUUCUCAAGGCCUUUGAUUCUCAGCUUGCCUCCAAGCUUUAAGCUAUGCAACUCUGCUAACCCACACCCUGCCUUUGAUCCCACAACGUAAGUGCUCAGUGUUCUUAGAUGCCUUAACUUGCCAAUAUUCUGAGGCAUCUCAUUUACACCACAGUUAUCAAUCACAAUAUGUCUUAGAUCCUGUAAUAUCGUCAAUUCUUUGGGCAUCCUAAGUUGGCUCAUAUUUUGUAGUUUCUAUAUUUGCAAUUUGGGCAAUUGACAAAUUAAGUUAUUUAAGCUUGAUCCCGAACCAAGAUUCAAACUCAAGUAUCUCAAAUGUGCUAAAUCCUUAAGCGGAGACGACAGAGAAGACCUUGUGCAUAAUACUCGGAGACAAUGGGUUGAUGGCAAACUAUUACCAAAACUCAGAAAAGUCCGCAGGGAUUCAACUUUCUUGAAAGCAACCAUAUUGACAGAAACAUCAUGAUUUAACAAGUGCAAAUGGUGAACUCUAGUUGGCAACUGAGUCAACCUUCCUUUCUCAACAAUCACACAUUCUUCAUCCAUAAUAGACUGGGCAAGAUCAUGAAAUAGAUCAUGCAUCUUGCAACUUCUAAUCAUACCAAACUCAUCAGACUUUGCUUCUUGAAAAAAUGAUCUACGUUAUAAUUUGUUCCACACUUUAUUUCCAACAUCCUCCACUUCUACGUUUCCUUCAGAUUUAAUAAAUCCAUUAGCCAUCCAGAGAUGAAUUAGAUCCUCCUUAUCUAUUUCAAAAUCUUUGGGGAAAAUUGCACAAAAAGAAAAGCAUCUCCUCAAAGACAACUCCAAAUUAGAAUAGCUCAAUUUCAAAGUACGUAUGAUAGAAUUUUCUUCUCGUGUCAUAGAACUACUUUCCUCUCGUAUAUUCCAAAUCUCAUUUUCUUUUACAUUUUCCCACUGGCUUACCUCACUUUUAUCACGCAAAAGACUUCCCAGUGUUUUGAUUGCAAGUGGCGAACCAACGCAUCUUCUCACUAUCUCUCUGCCAAUUGCCACAAGCUCUUCUAUUUCUUCUCUGUUUUGUCCAAAUGCAUGGUGUUUGAACAAUGACCAACUGUCGUCUCCUGACAAUCCUGUCAAAUGGUAAGCAGAAUGCGUCUCCAUGGUGGAAGCAACUUCCUGGAGUCGAGUGGUGACCAAAAUGGUAGCUCCUUUUGCUGCCCUUGCACAGUGCAACUUCCCCUUCAACUGCUUCCAUUUCUCUUUGUCUUCAUUCCACACAUCAUCAAGAACAAGUAAAUACCUCUUGCUCUGCAAUACUUCUUCAACUUUUUUACGGACUGCUUCUAAGGUAUUGAGAUUGGGAUUUUGUCCAGUGCAACAUUCUAUGAUGGAUUGUAGUAUGGUCUUGGAGUUGAAAUCAUCAGAAACACAAACCCAAAUUGUCAAGUCAAAAUGGUUGCAUACCCUGUGAUCAUUGAAGACCAGCUUGGCAAGUGUUGUUUUGCCAAGUCCACCCAUACCAACUAUGGGAUAGACGGAGAGGUCUUCACUGUUACUGGCAUCUUCCAGAAGAAACUUCACAAUUUGCUCUCGAUCCUGGUCUCUGCCAUAGAGUGUAGGUUCUGUAAUGUCAGAGCUAGUUUGGCGCCAAUCAUCGUCCACUGUUUGCACCUCCGUGACCCCAAGUUCUAAAUGAAACCUGCUCUUUUCUUGAUGAAUGUCUUGAAAUCUUUGGGUGAUGUGUUUCAUCCUCUUGCCAAUAUUGAAACGAAAGAGAAUGUCCUUAGGAUGGAGAGGGGAUAGGCAUGAAGUAUGUCCAUCAUCAGAGUGGACCUUUGUGGAGUGAAUUGAACAUUCAUCCAAGAUAUCAUCUAGCACAUAUGCUGCAUCUGUGAGUUUAUGCAGCCAAUUCUUCAGGACCUCACUUGUUAUUUGCUUUUUCUCAGCAUCUCUGAGGACAGCACGGAUUGCAGUGAGAUUGGUGGAAAGGUUUUGAGUCUGUUGGUCAACACCCCAAAACGUUGCAAGUUGGUCUUGGACAAAAGAUUGCAAGUUGUGAAUUACAAUUCCCAGCAAAGCCUCAGCCAUUUGCAGAAAUGUGAUUUUUUUGGAUGAUUGUGGUUGUGGAGAAGGAAGUACGGGGAAAAGUGCUAACAGUGAUUGGAAGGUGAUCUUAGAAAAUGAUCAAUUGGCAAGAAAAAGUUGUUGUUUUCUUCCUUGGCAAGUGGCCCCUCUUUACUUUUGUUGACGAAGAGUGUUGAUAGUAUUGAAUUUCUUCAUGAACAGCAUAAGGAACUUCCAGAAAGAAGGAGAUGAAUCAGAGGCAUAACAUUGUGCGAGUGAGAGACACGUGUUAAGAAAGAAAUAUUUUUUGUAUAUUAUUGAAAAAGAACGUUGCAGCUUUACAUCAUAUAUUGGCAUGGUGUAUAUUCAGAACACCAAGCUUGGUAACAAGUUUAUGAAAAACUGCAUAGUUGAGAGACUUUGUAAGAAUGUCUGCUGGUUGUUCUUGAGAGCUUAUGGGAAGAAGGUGAAAAAGCCCAUGUUGUAAUUUCUCUCUUACUACAUGGCAGUCAAUAUCCAGAUGUUUGGUUCUCUCAUGAAAUCCGUUGUUGUGAGCUAUAUGCCUUGCCGACUGGCUGUCACAAAAGAGGCUUGCAGCAUUGUUGACUUUGAUGCAGAGAUCUUCGAGAAGGUAUACAAGCCAUUGUAUUUCACAACAUGUGGUGGCUAAAGCACGAUAUUCAGCUUCAGAGGAUGAUCUAGAAAUGGUACUUCGCUUCUUGGUUUUCCAGGAUAUCAAGGAGUCUCCAAGGAAGAUGCAAAAACCAGUGGUUGAGCGGCGUGUGGUGAUACAAGAAGCCCAGUCUGAGUCACUAAAAGCUUUAAGUUGAAUGUCAGUACUUUUAGGAAAGAAUAUACCUUGUGCUGGAGAGGACUUGAUGUAUCUCAAAAUUCUCUGAACAGCUUGGUGAUGAAGCUUUGAUGGAGCCUGGACAAACUGACUGAGGAAUUGAACAGAGAAGCUAAUAUCUGGUCUGGUGUUCACAAGAUAUAAUAACCUUCCAAUGAUUCUUCGGUAUAGAGUUAUGUUGUGNNNNNNNNNNNNNNNNNNNNNNNNNNNNNNNNNNNNNNNNNNNNNNNNNNNNNNNNNNNNNNNNNNNNNNNNNNNNNNNNNNNNNNNNNNNNNNNNNNNNUCGUUCUUCUGUGUCAUAGGAGUGUUUGCAGGUUUAGCACCAAGCAUACCUGCAUCAGUCAAAAUAUCGAGAGCAUACUUUCUUUGGCAUAUAUGUAUACCUUUAUGUGUUCUAGCAAUUUCCAGACCCAAGAAAAACUUGAGAUGCCCCAAAUCUUUUAUUUUGAAAGCAGAAUUUAAAGAAUUUUUUACAAUAUCUAUGUCUUUUAUAUCAUUUCCAGCAAUCAAUAUAUCAUCCACAUAUAUAAGUAAAGCAAUAAAUGAAGUCUCAGAUUUUCUGAUGAAAAGGGAAUUAUCAGCUCUGGAUUGAACAAAAUUGAUGUUGUAAAGAAAGGAACUUAACUUAUCAUACCAUUGUUUGCUGGCCUGUUUCAGACCAUACAAAGCUUUGGUUAACUUGCAAACCUGAUUACUUUUCACUGUGGUGAUACCAGGAGGCAAGCUCAUGUAAACUUCUUCUUGUAGAUCUCCAUGCAAGAAAGCAUUGUUCACAUCCAGCUGUUCCAAGUGCCAAUCCAUAACAGCAGCUACAGCCAAGAUGGUGCGUAUAGUUGUGAGUCUUGCUACAGGUGAGUAGGUGUCCAUGUAGUCAAUGCCUUCACGUUGUGUGUAGCCUUUUGCUACAAGUCUUGCUUUGUACCGUUCAAUUUCACCAUCUGCCUUGUGUUUGACUUUAUACACCCAUUUGCAGCCAAUGGGAAUCUUGUUGUGAGGAAGAUCUAUUAUAUCCCAGGUUUUAUUUACUUCUAGUGCCUCUAUUUAAGCUCUCAUAGCCUCCAUCCAUUCAGGGUAGCAUUUUGCCUCCUCAUAACAUUUUGGUUCAGUUUUAAAGGAGAUAGACAAGGUAUAUUUUAGUUGUUUUUCAGAUAAACUUUUAUAGGACAUAACCGAAUAAAGAGGAUAACGUACCUUUUCUUUCAAUUUUUCUUCACAUGGUGAUAUCAUGAGCUGAUGAUGAUAGUCUUCAAGAAAUGUUGGUGUUCUCCUGGUUCUGGUGGACCGCCUCAAUUGUUCUUGUUCUAUGGAAUUUCCAGCUUCAUUUUGUGUAGAGAGAUCACCAUGCAUCAUGUUUUCCCUUUGUGCAGUUCGGUUUUCUGUCUCCCUUUGUACAUGAGCAUCAUCAUAUGUUAUUCUUGUGAAGUCAUCUUCUUCUUGUAUGACAGCUUGAUCAAUUCUAUUUUGAAACUUGCCAAAAAAAGAUUCAUAGAAAAUAACAUUCCUAGAUAUAAAAACUUCUCUAGUUUGAAUAUCCAUAACAACAUAACCCUUUGUACCUUGUUUAAAACCAAGAAAAAUACACUUACGUGCCCUAGGGUCAAGCUUAUGUCUAUUUUGUUCAAGAGUAGAUGCAAAGCAAAGACAACCAAAGACUUUAAUAUCAGAAAGACAAGGUGCAAUAUUAUAUAAGAGUUCAUAAGGAGAUUUGUUAUGAAUAACAGGGGAAGGAAGGCGAUUAAUCAGAAAAACAGAAUGCAAAACAACAUAACACCAAAAGACUUUGGGUAAUCUGGACUGAAAAAUAAGGCAUCGAGUGAUAUUAAGAAUAUGUUGGUGUUUCCUCUCAACAAUAGAGUUUUGUUGAGGGGUUUCAUUACAAGAGGUUUGAUGAAUUAUGCCAUGCCUUUCAUAAAAAUCUUUCCAAUAGAACUCUUUACCGUUGUCAGUUCUAAUAAUUUUUACAUUCCUGUUGAACUGAUUUUUAACAUAAACAACAAAACUUUGUAAAAGCUCUCUAGUUUCGCUUUUAUUUUUCACCAGAUGAACCCAUGUAUGUCUGCUAAAAUCAUCCACAAUGGUUAAAAAAUAUUUAUGACCAUGCAAAGAAGGAGUACCUAGAGGUCCCCAUAUGUCUAUGUGAAUGAGAUCAAAAACAUUUUGACUAUUUGUUUUGCUAAGAGGGAAAGACAAUUUAUGUUGUUUUGCAAGAUGACAAGGAGCACAAACAUUCUUAUCAUUGUAAUGUAUAUCAGAAUAUUGCUUAGCUAAACAAUCUAAUAUUCUAUUUGAGGGAUGACCCAUCCUACAAUGCCAAACAUCCAGAUUAUUUACAGUAUCAAAAGAAUCAACAUGUAAAGUGUACACAGAGUUGUUUUCUUCAUCAGCAUACAAAUGAUAGAGCCCAUUUUGAAUCUCAGCUUGACCAAUCAUCUUCAAGGAAUUUUUCUCCUGAAUUUGACAAAUAUUGUGAGUAAAAACAAGUUGACAAUUUAAAGAAGAUAUAAGGCGUUGAACAGAUAUGAUAUUUAGGGUAAAAUUUGGAAUAUACAGAACAUUAUGCAGAGUAAUGUUUUUGGAAAGAAAAACAGUUCCAGCAUGAGUAGCAUACACAUAUUGAUUGUUAGGUAGCUUGACCCUUAAUGAUUUUAUUUUGUGAUAGCUUAUAAAUAGGGAAAUAGAGCAAGCUACGUGAUCAGUAGCACCCGUGUCAAGAAUCCAGAAAGACUUACCCUUUUUACCUGGAUUUUGUUUUGAAGUUUCACCCAUGGCAUUGAUUACGGUUUGUUCGUUGCCUUUUGAAUUUUGUAUCAUGUCAAUGAGCUGUUGCAGUUGCUCAGGAUUGAGGACUUCAAAGAUUUUCUCAUUAUGAAUCUUAGCUUGUGAAAACUCUUCAUUCUCACCAUUACAAUCCUCGUUUCUUUCAAUAGCAUUUGCAGUGUAGUUCGUUCUCUGCUUCAUCCAUGGUGGAAGACCGUGUUUCGAAUAACAUUCAUCAGCGGUGUGGUUCAUCUUGUUACAGAAAGAGCAUUGCUUCCCAUAGUUCUUUCCUCUUCCUCUUCCUUGGUUGCGCCAUCCAUGAUUAACCUUGUUGUUCGUUCUUUGACUCUGAUGAUUGACGCUAUUGAGCAAGAUCUUUGUAUCUAUGCCUAUAUUUUCAUUCAGAUGCCUUUCCUGCUGCAGAACAAGGGAGAAGACGCGAUUGAUAUUUGGUAGAGGUUCCAUGAGUAAGACUUGCGUUUUGACAGUGUUAUAAUUUUCUCCCAAUCCUUUUAAGAAACACAUAACCCGUUCGGAGUCUCUGUAACUCGCCAUUGUCUUCAUCACAUUACAACUGCAUUUUACUUUGCAAAUACAGGUUGGUAAUGGUCGCAAAGAAUCCAGUUCCUCCCACAAAAUCUUUGAGUCUGUGAAGUAAUCUGUGAUGUUCCGCUCUCCUUGUUUGAUAGAAUUGAUUUCUUGUAAGAGAUCAGAAGCGCGAAAAUGAUUGCUUUUUGAGAAUCGUUCUUUAAGGUCUUCCCACAACUCCUUUGCAUUGUCAAUAUACACGGUGCUUUGUGCUAUCUGAGUAGUCAGCGUGCGUGUGAUCCAUGAAACCACCAUGACGUUGCAUCUUUCCCGGGCUUCGUAUUUUUCGUCAUCACGGGUUGGUUCCAAGAUAUCACCAUUAACGAAUUUGAACUUGUUCUUUGAGAGUAGGGCUCGUUUCAUAGACCGGCUCCAGGAGUGAUAAUUGGAUCCGUCAAGUUGUGGCGUAACAAGAAUCACACCUGGGUUUUCUCCUGGAUGAAGAUAAUAUGCACUGAUAGGGUUUUGUUGAUCAUCUUGUUUGGUCGCAGCCAUGGAAAGGAACAAGGAAAAUCAAGAAGCAAAGAAAGAGAAAUUAAAGGGAUGAAAGGGAAGAAGAAAACCGGUGGCAGCAUAAGGAACUUCCAGAAAGAAGGAGAUGAAUCAGAGGCAUAACAUUGUGAGUGAGAGACACGUGUUAAGAAAGAAAUAUUUUUUUGUAUAUUAUUGAAAAAGAACGUUGCAGCUUUACAUCAUAUAUUGGCAUGGUGUGUGAAAAGAAAAAGGAUUAUUGGGCUGAACUAAAGCUAACUAAACCUUAGGCCCAACAAACCCAAAACAUCAAAAGAUAGAAUGAGUGAACAACUCAAAGCAACCAUAGAAUUGCAUAGCAACUUCCCUCUCUUCCUUCCACUGUUUCCACUUACUUUCUCUUUCAUUUGCCAUCAAAUUUCCCAACUCUUUCCACAACAUGUUUAUCUCUUUCCUCGAAAAUAUUUCAUAAAAUAAAAAUACAGAAUUAUUUAUAUGUUCUUAAAAUUAGGGGAAAAUAGUUUUUCAAAUUAUGUAUAAGUUUUGUUAUCUUUAUUCGUAUCAGCAUAUAAAACAUAUGAUACAAUUAUUGUUCAACUGUAUUAUAUUCAGAGAAUAUUUCUCACUAAUUUUCACCUAAACAUAUAUUACUUUCUAAAACCCAUAUAAAUUAAAAAUUUAUCUGAAAAAAUAUAAUAUAUAUUAAUAAUUUAUUUUAAAUUUUAUACAAAUAUUUUUUUCUAUUUAUAUAUAAAGUCUGAACAUUGAAAAUAAUUAAAACAUUUUUAAAAAUUAUUAUGAUUAAAUAAAAUAAAUAAAAAAAUAUAAUUAAGAAAUUAAUUAAUUAAUUAAAAAAAUAUAAUAUUUAAUUAUUAAAAAAUAAUUGUCUAAAAGAACUAUCUAAUGGAUAUGAAGUAAUAAACUAAAUAAAUAAAUAAAAUAUAAAAGAUAAUAAGGAAUGUUUUCAUUUAAUGAAAGUUAUCAUGAUUUUUAUAAAAUAAAAUUUUGAUUUAUAAAUAGGUGGAGUGGAAGAGAAGGUGAAGGAAAGACAAGGAGAAGUUAGGAGAGAGAGAAGGGAUAGGGAGAAAAAAAAGAGAAAGGAGAUUUGGAGGAAGUAAUUUUAAAUCUUCACAUUUGAAGUUUGAUUUUAUUUUGUCACUCCAAUAAGGAAUUAAUGUUAAACUUUUUUAUUUUAAUAUUAAUAAACUUUUUUUUAAAUUAUUUAUUUAUCUUUAAUUACAUAUUAAUUUUAUUUAUAUGUUUUAAUUAUCACCUGUUAGACACGUCUUAAAUUUUUUAUUUAUCUCUCGUUCUAUUUAUUUAUUUAUUUUAUUUAUCUUAUGUUACACAUUAGUUUUAUUUUAUUUAUUUCUAAUUAUUUAAUAGUCAUAUUUAUUUAUUUUAUUUAUAUUUAAUUACGUAUUAAUACUAUUUAUUAAUUUUAUCUAUCUCUAAUUACACAUUGGUUAUAUUUAUUUAUCUCAUUUAUUUUAAAUUACGCAUUAUACCUAUACCUAUUUAUUUGAUUUUACCUACCGUUCUGUAUUGGUCUUAGUUAUGAUUUUUAUAUCCAAUUAAACACUGGUUUUAUUUAUUUAUUUAUUUUAUCUAUACUUAAACAUUGAUUCUAGUUAUUUAUUUAUUUAUAUCUUCAAUUACGCAUUUAUCCUAUUUAUUUGUUUAUAUAUUUUUAUUAUUUUAUUUUUCUGUAAUAUAACUUUUUCAAUUCAAAGAUAUACAUAGUAAUAAUAAAAAUAAAUUAAAAGUAAUUAUUAUUUUUUAUUUAAUGUGUUUAGAUAAAAGAAAGUUGUUUGUAUGUUUUAUUAUUAUCUUUUAUAUUUGUUUGUAUUUGUUUGAAUGGUGCAUAUAGACUAUUGUUAAAAUAAAUAUGACAAUUUUUAACCGUCCUCAUCAUGUUAUGUGAUUCUUGAAAGUGUAAAAGAAUAUGUCAGUUGAGAACAUUGAGUUAAGAUCAUGUUAAUGUAUAAGUCUUUGUAUUUGAGAAGUCACAAUUUGGUAUAUGGUGGGAAGAAAGGUAGGAAUCAAGUGGGGUUUAAGGAAGUUACCAAGUAGGUGAAUAUAUGGAUAGUUCAGAAUAGCACCAUGAACUAUGACAUUCAUAGAGAAAACUUGGAAUUGUUCGAUCCAUGCUCAACAUCGUCAAGGUUAGGUAAUCCGUAUAUAAAGUAGAAACCUAAAAACGUUAUAUUUGUGUUGUUAUGGAACACCUUGGAUUACGUAUAAGGAUAAGAAAAAGCCUUGUUUAGUUAUAUGUCUCUGAUAACACUUGUUAACAUUUUCUUAGGCUAAUUUAUCUUCUAACAUUUGCUCUUAUUGUUUGUUUUUAGCAGAGAUUUAUGUUUUCUGUUAUAAAUAAGACUUGAAAAAUAAAUCGAAAAAUAUUAUGACUAAAAAAAAUGAUAAAAAAUUAUUUUUUAAAAAAUAAGUUAGUUAUUUAUUUAAUUACGAAAAUAUAAUAAUUAAUUACUAAAAAUAAUUAUUUAAUAAACCUUCCAAUAGAUAAGAAGGAAUAAAAAUAAAUAAAAUAUAAAGGAUAAGAUGAAAUAUAAUUAAUGAAGGAAUCUUCAUCGUGACUUUACAACAAAAAAUUAAAAUUAAAUUACUUUGUGACUUAUAAAUAAGUGGAAUGGGAGAGAAGGUGAAUGAAUGGCAGGUGAAGCAACUAGAGAAAAAAAAGAAAAAGAGAGAGAAAGGACAUUUGGCGUAAGUAAGUUUUAUUAUAUAGAGGAGAAUUGAGGUUAAACUUUUUUUAUAUUAAUCUUAAUAAAUUUAUGUGUAUUUUAUUAAUUUUAUUUAUUUAUUUUGAAUUCUAUAUUAUCAUAGUCUCUUUAUUUUAUUAUUUUUAUUAAUUUUCACUUAAUCAUUGCUCGUAUUUAUUUAUUUUCAGUGAUAUGGUACUAUUUAUUUAUUUUAUGUUAUUUAAUUAACAUUCAGUACUUAUUUUAUUUAUUUAUUUUAUUUAUCUUUACUUACAUUGUUCUAGUUAUUUUAUUUAUCUCAAUUGAUUCUACUUAUUUUAUUUAUUUAUUUUAUUUAUCUUUACUUACAUUAUUUUAGUUAUUUUAUUUAUCUUCAAUUACGUAUUGAUUUUAUUUAUUUAUCUUUAGUUAGACACUAGUUCUAUCACAAACAAGUCUAUAUUGUGCGUUAAGUUUAUUAAAAUUGAUAUUUAAGACUUAUAAAGACCUCACUCUUUCCUACUUGUUUUUAUAUAUACCUAUUGUAUGAGUAGAAACUACUUGUUUUUAUAUAUACAUAUUGUAUGAGUAGAAAGAGAACUUGUUGACUAAAAUAUGUUUAUAAAGAUUUUGGAAGUCUUCUAUAGAAGAUCGACUCAUGAAAAGUUUAGAAUAUUGAAAACAUAUAGAUUGAUCUCUAUAUUGAUGUAAAACUCUUAUUAUUCUAUAAAAUUUAUAUAAUUUUAUAAUAUAAUAAAUAAAUAUAAACAUGUAAAAUAUUGACAUACAUUAAUAUCUAGAUAUUAAUGAGAUUAUGUUAUGAUUAAUAUUCUCUAAACAAUUUUUAUUGAAGAAAUAAAAUCUACUAGUUGGAGUGUUAUAAUGAACCUAAACAAAAGGAACGACUCACUUUAAGUUUUGUUUCCGUAAAUGGAUUUGUGCCUAUGGAUAAAAAAAUAGAAAAAACAAAAAAAAAAUAAUAAUAAGAUAAAAGUUUCAUAGUAAUUUUAAUUUUUCUUUAUAUACGUAAAUGUUUUAUAUAGUAAAUAUUUUAUUAUAUUUAUAAAUAUAAUAAAAUUAAAACUAUUAACUAAUAAUAAAAUUAUAAUUUAUUAUUUAAUUAAAAUUAAUUUAUGAUGACAAAGGUAAUUUAGUCAUUAUAUAUAAAUAUUAUUUUAUUUUUCUUUGAUCUCUCGAUAUUUUUUUAUUAUAAAAAUCAAUAUGUUUUUUCCCAUCAUAUGUUUUAUGUUGAUACGAAUAAAGAAAGAAAAAUAAUAUAAAUAAUUUAUUAAACAUAAUAGUCAAUCUAAUAAACACGUUGACUCACCACUUGUGUUUACGUUGUUUUGAGCCUUUUGUUUAAGUUAAUUGAAGAGUGGGUGAGUAUAGUAAAAAAGUGGAUACAGAUUGUAAAAUGACUCACCACUUGACAUGGAAAGCAUGGAUGUGGCAUGAGAAGCAUGAACAUCCACAUGAAUCUUCCUUAAUGGAGAGAAUCCUCACUAAUUAAGAAGUGAUAUUUUUCAAUCUCUCAUUUGAGAGGAAUCUCUCAAAUAAGAGGAAGACACUUGUCAACCUCUCAUUUGAGAGGAUCAUAAGCACGAAACAUGUUAUAUCACGUGUCACCUUGCCAUUGGAGAGUUUUUAGGACAAGUCUCCUAUAAAUAGGAGUGUACCUCUAUUGUAAAGUUUAACUUGAAAUUAGUAAUGAAAUGCUACUCAUUUUUUGCCAUUCUACUUGUUCCUAAGUUCUCCAUAGGUUGGUCUCCUUCAAGACUUAGCAUAUACUCUUUCUGUUGGGUAUGAAGUCAGGACCAAUUGGGUUGGACUGAGUAGACACCAUGUUUUAGUGAGUGGGCUUAAUCAUUGUGUCCCUUUAUUAUAUCUAUUUAUCUUUAUUUAAAGAGAUCAUUGUACUUGUAAUUGGGGUGCAACAGGAUAGAAUGAAAACCUAAUAGUUGCCCGUGUGGAUGUAGGUUGCAGGUGACGACCGAACCACGUUAAAUCAUGUGUUGUUUAUUUUCUGCAGUUAAUUUGUGAUUAUGUAUGUUGCUUCCGCGUGCGCUUUUCCCAUCAAGGGGCAUUAGAGCUUAGGUUUGUUUACACACUAGAGAUCUGAUCAGCAGAAAUUAAUCAACUGAGACGUGAAAGUUACGAUUGCACCGGCAUCCAAAAGCUAGGGUUUCGCAGUGGCUAGAGCAGCAUCCCAAAACUAGGGUUUCGCAGGGGUUGCAGUAGCGUCCCAAAGUUAGGGUUUCGCAGAGGCUGCAACAGCGUUCCAAAGCUAGGGUUUCGUAGGGGCUGCAACAGCGUCCCAAGGCUUAGGGUUUCACAGCGGUGCAAGGAGGAGGCUCCUAGAUCUGCUUCACAACAGCGGUGACCAGCAACGGUGGUGGUGCGGAGCGCCAGUGUAGUGGGGACUGCGACCAAGUUUGUUGGUAAGUGAUUUUGGGUGGUGCAAUUUUUGAGGUCUUGAUUUAAAAAAAAAAUUGUCAAGAUCUGAAAUUAGUUGUACCGAGUAUCUCGACUAGUCGUUUGAGAUGGUAGAGGACGGGAAGUUCCGAAUUAAAAAUUCGAUGGUACAAAUUUCAGUUGGUGGAAAAUGCAAGAUGAGGAUUUGCGAGUUCAGUUACUGAGCACAUCAAUAUGAUCUUAGCCAGACUUACGUCAAUGGGCAUUAAGUUCGAUGAUGAAGUUCAAGCUUUACUAUUGCUAUUGUCUUUGCCUGACAGUUGGUCCGGAACGGGUACAGUAGUUACCAAUUCAGCAGGAUCCGAUGGAUUCACUUUUGAGAAGAUUCGUGAUCUCAUUCUUGGCAAGGAUGUCCGAAGAAGGAGUUCUGGGGAAUUAUCUAGUGAAUCGCUAUAUGUCAUUGGAGGUAAGAAUAAUACCAAAGAUAGUGGGAGCAAGAACAAAAGAAGGAGUCAGUCAAAGACUCGGGAUUGCUCAAGUGUAACAUGUUGGAACUGGAAGGAGGUGGGGGCAUUUCAGGAAUCAAUGCCCAAAUGAUAAACAAGUCAACAUUGCAGAAGACUCCGCGGACGAGGACCUUUUAGUCUGUUGCGCGGAUAGUAGUGUGGAUUCCUGGGUCAUGGAUUCUGAAGCAUUGCAGAAUCUAGUUAUUGGAGACUUUGGAAAGGUAAGACUAGCGGACAACAUAACUUUUGAUGUUACGGGCAUGGGUGACAUAGUGUUGAAGACACCAGUUGGUUUCUGGACUUUGAAGAAUGUCAGAGUUGUUCCAAGCUUGAGGAAAAGUUUGAUUUCUGUUAGGCAGUUGGACGGACAUGGACAUGAAGUGAAGUUCGGAAAUCAGCAGUGGAAGGUCGUCAAGGGAAAUCUUGUCAUGACCUGCAGAAGAAAGAGAGGUUCGUUGUAUAGAGCCAGAUUAUCGUGUCUGAGGGAGUGACCAUCCCAGUUCAGAAGAUAAACAAAGUCCGGUUCACAGAAUCUCAUGGGCAGAAGAGGGUUGUCUUUACAAGAGAGAAACCCAGAGCCACAGGUCAGAUUCAGGAUGAACGAGCAUGGAAAGGUUCAGGUAGACCGGUCAGAGGUACUUGUGGCAGUGGGAGCAUGGGUUGUGCUUCAGCUAAGGUUCCUAGACGAUAGUGGGUUAGGAGAACCAGUAUUCCAACGGUUGAAACUUCUCCAGAAAAUUUCUUGUUGAAUAUGGAGAGUGUUUGUUCUCAAGUUGUUCCAGGAUCCGGCGUUCCUGUAAGUGGGAGUCGGUAGGAAUAGAGAACGGGUCAGUGAAUGACGUGUUGAAACUCAGGGGAGUUUUAACGAACUCUUCAAAAUGAUUAAGAAGGCUGGUGGCAACUAGAGGUGGAACAUUGAGUUCCGUCGACAGAUUACAGAAGUACAUGUACACAGUUGAAACGCAGUUGAACAUUGUUCCGUGAAUUCAAGUGGGAGAUUGUUGGGUAUGAAGUCAAGACCAAUUGGGUUGGGCUGACAAGACACCAUGUACACAGUUGAAGCGCAGGUGAACAUUGUUCCGUGACUUCAAGUGGGAGAUUGUUGGGUAUGAAGUCAGGACCAAUUGGGUUGGACUGAGUAGACACCAUGUUUUAGUGAGUGGGCUUAAUCAUUGUGUCCCUUUAUUAUAUCUAUUUAUCUUUAUUUAAAGAGAUCAUUGUACUUGUAAUUGGGGUGCAACAGGAUAGAAUGAAAACCUAAUAGUUGUCCGUGUGGAUGUAGGUUGUAGUUGGCGACCGAACCACGUUAAAUCAUGUGUUGUUUAUUUUCUGCAGUUGAUUUGUGAUUAUGUGUGUUGUUUCCGCGUGCGUUUUUCCCAUCACUUUCCUGGUGAGUUUGUCUCACCUCUCACUUUCACAAAUUUCUAACUCCAUUUCAAUCCAUGAAAAUUUGUCUUGAGUUUCUUUAAUGCUUUCACUCCUCAAAUAUUCUUUAUCAUUCAUCCAAAAAAGAAAUUACAAAGAUCACUAUUAGAAAAAUAACGUUUUUCCAUCAGAAUCUAUGAAGAAGAAAUGAUAAACAAACAUGAAAAAGGUCUUAAGAUAAAAAUGUUGUAUAGAAAUAGUAAUAGACUAAUAUUUGUUUGUAAUUAUCAAAAUUAAAUUAAAAGUUUUUAACUUAAAUUUAACAAAUUACUUAUUAUAAGCUUACAAUUUAAAAUUUCAUUAUAGUUUUAAUUUAAAUUUUUUAAAGUGGACAAGUAAAUAAAUUAAUCGAUUUUGUCUUGUUAGUGACCCACUAUGUUAGCGAGCUAAAUGGAACAAGUCAUGACAGGUUAAUAAGUGGAACCACUUAGUUUGAUCCAAUACGUUCAAUCCACUUUCUCACCUCUACUUACAAAAUCAUCAUCUUUAUGAUAACAAACGUCACAACUUUUAUGUUUGUAACACCUCAGCUAUAUUAUAGAUAUAAUUGUUAUUUAAUUAUAAAUUGAGAGUAGAUUUUUUUUAUUUUUAUUUUUUUGCAAUAAGAUUUUCUUAAAGAAAACAUUAAUCAUAAUAUAAUCUCAUAGAUAUAAAUGUAUGUCAAUAUUUUACAUUUUUAUAAUUAUUCAUAGUAUAUUACAAAACCAUAUAUGUUUCACACAAUAAUAAGAGUUCUACAUCAUAAAAUAAAACUAUUUGUAUAUUUAAAUACUUUAAAUUCUUCAUGAGAUUCUAGAGGAUACCUCCUAAAACAUUUCUUAAUAAUUCUUACUGAGCAGGUUUGUUUUGCUUAUAUUCGUAUAACAAAUCCAUAUCAGAAAAUAUUACAAAAUAGAACAGAGAUGAACAAAAGGGGAACAGAGAUGAACAAAAGAGUAAACUGAAGACAAAGGAUAUGAGAAUGAAUAUCUCUUCUUUCUUAUUAUUCAAAUGAAAAAAUGGUCUGAAUAUAUACAAGUAGUACACUCAUUUUAGGGUUUAACUAAAGAAGGAAAUAAUCAAUAUUAAAUACUAGAAUCAUAACACACAAAGAUAAAAAAAUAAAGGUUAUUCUCUUCUAUAAAGAGAAAUAACUGAUAAUUAGAAAAGACACUCAAUUAUUCUUUUUCUAUAAAGAGAAACAACUGAUAAUUAGAAAAGACUCCCAUAGAACAGAGAUGAACAAAAGAGUAAACUGAAGACAAAGGAUAUGAGAAUGAAUAUCUCUUCUUUCUUAUUUUUCAAAUCAAAAAAUGGUCUGAAUAUAUACAAGCAGUACACUCAUUUUAGGGUUUAACUAAAGAAGGAAAUAAUCAAUAUUAAAUACUAGAAUCAUAACACACAAAGAUAAAAUAAAGGUUAUUCUCUUCUAUAAAGAGAAAUAACUGAUAAUUAGAAAAGACACUCAAUUAUUCUUUUCUAUAAAGAGAAACAACUGAUAAUUAGAAAAGACUCCCAAUUAAUAUUAGGAUCCUUCUGUAAAUCUGGUAUCUGUAUCCUUUAAUAUCCCGCCACAAGAUGGAGAGCAAAUAUUGAUGAGACCCAGCUUGGAACAAAUAUUCUUAAAAGAUUGAGGACUUAAAGCUUUGGUAUAAAUAUCAGCCAGUUGCUCUGUGGUGGAUAUGGGAAUCAAAUGGAUGAGACCCUUCUUUAAUUUUUCUCUGACCACGUGACAAUCUAUUUCUAUAUGUUUUGUACGCUUGUGAAAUACUAGAUUUGCUGCAAUGUAUCUUGCUGAGUCAUUGUCACAGUAUAAAAGAGAUGGUUGCUCAAAAGGAACUUUGAAAUCUUGAAGAAGAUAAGUUAGCCAUUGAAUUUCACAUGUAACAGUGGUCAUUGCCCUAUAUGCAGCUUCACAAGAACUCUUUGAUAUUGUUCCUUACUUCUUUGAUUUCCAAGAUAUGAGACAAUUCCCAAGAUACACACUAAAACCAGUCACUGAUUGUCUUGAAUCACUGCAGGUGCCCCAAUCACUAUCACAAAAGGCUUUGAGAUGAACAGAAGUAGUGGAAGAGAAAAAUAGACCAAGACUUGGAGCCACUUUGAUAUAUCUGAGAAUUCUAAUCGCUGCAUUAUAGUGAACAAUUGUAGGCUUAGCAAGAAACUGAGAAAGUUGUUGCACAGAAAAUGUUAUGUCAGGUCGGGUAUUAGUGAGAUACAUAAGCCUUCCAAUCAAUCUUCUGUAGGCUUGAAUAUCUGUGAAAGGAAUACUUCCAGUAGAAGAGAAUUUCUCAUGAUUAUCAAUAGGAGUGGGUGCAGGUUUGCAGGCUAAAAGACCUGCAUCGGUUAAUAAUUCCAAUGCAUAUUUCCUUUGAUUUACCAUUAUUCCUGUCUUACUUCUUGCUACUUCUAGACCAAGAAAGUAUCUUAAAUUCCCAAGAUCUUUAAUCUUGAAUGUCUGAUUCAAGGCUUGUUUGAUUCGAACAAUCUCUUCUUUAUCAUUUGCUGCCAAUAUUAUAUCAUCCACAUAUACCAAUAAUGCUGUAAAAGAUCCUUCAGAAGAAUUAAUGAACAAGGAAUGAUCAUUCAUAGAUUGAGUAUAUCUCAUAGAAAGAAAAAAUGAUGACAGUUUGACAAACCAUUCUCUGCUGGCUUAUUUAAGGCCAUAUAAAGCCUUUUUUAGUUUACAAACUUUUCCUGGUGGAAUAGAAGUCAAUCCAGGAGGAGCAACCAUGUAUACAUCUUCUUUCAAAUCUCCAUGUAAAAAGGCAUUGUUUAUGUCUAAUUGUUUCAAUUCCCAAUUAUAAAUAGAAGCUAAAGAAAGAAGCAACCUUAUGGUGGUCAUCUUUGCUACUGGAGAGAAAGUAUCGAGGUAGUCAAUGCCUUCUGUUUGUGUAUAUCCCUUUGCCACUAACCUUGCUUUAUACCUUUCAAUUGUUCCAUCAGCCUUAUAUUUUAUUUUGAAUACCCAUUUGCAACCUAUGGCAGCUUUGUUCUGAGGCAAAAGAGCAGUCUCCCAAGUUUGAUUUGACUCUAAAGCAGAUAUCUCACAUUGUAUAGCUUUUCUCCAACAGUCAUGUUUCACAGCUUCAGAAUAAGUGUUUGGCUCAACAUGUGAAGAAAGAGACAUAACAAAAGAUUUGUAAGAAGGUGAUAAAUUGCUAUAAGACAAAACAGAAUUCAAAGGAUAUUUAACGCUUGAAGAUGUACUGGAAACAUUAAGAUUACAAUGAUAAUCCUUUAAAUACUCAGGUGAUUUGUUUAUUCUUGUGCUCAUUCGGACAGAUGGAUCUGAUUCAGAACUUUGUUCUAUAUCAUGAUUUUCAUUGAGGUUUUGGUCUAUAUGGGAACAAUCUUCUUCUGAAACCUCAAUUUGUGACUCACAAUUAUUAUCACUGCUAUUUUCAACAUUAUCACAAGGUGUAUUAUCACAAGAUGCAAGAAUGGCUUGUGAUGGCUGACUUAAGACAAAUUGAUCUUCAGCAAACAAAGUUUGAUCAUUAAUGUCGGGAUUGUUAGUUUCAUUGCUAGUAUCUUGAACCCUUUGGUAUGGAAAAACAUGUUCAUAAAAGACAACAUCCCUAGACACAAAAAUUUCUCUUGAUUGAAUAUUCAACAAAAUAUACCCUUUUGUCCCCCGUUGAAAACCAAUAAAAACACAUUUUGAUGCUCUUGGAUCAAAUUUUCUUCUAUUUGUUGACAAGGUGCUAGCAUAACAUAAAGAACCAAACACCUUUAAUCCAUUAAAAUUUGCAUCAGUUUUGAAAAGCAUUUCAUGAGGAGAAGAAUAGUUUAAAACAGGUGUGGGAAGCAUGUUUAUAAUAUGCGCAGCAUGUAUCACAGAAUAUGACCAAUAAAUUUUGGGUAAAUGAGAUUGUAUCAUAAGAGCUCUUGCUACAUCUAAUAAAUGACCAUGUUUCCUUUCAACUAUACUAUUUUGUUGUGGAGUAUUGACACAUGAUGUUUGAUGUAUUAUUCCUUUACUGACAAAAAAAUUAGUCAUGAAAAAUUCAGUUCCAUUAUCACUUCUUAUUAUUUUAAUUGUUGUCUCAAACUGUGUUUGAACUAAAAUAACAAAAUCUUCCAAAACCUUAACAACUUCAGAUUUUUGUUUCAAAAGAAAAAUCCAUGUGUACCUCGAAUAGUCAUCAACUAUGGUCAAAAAAUAUUUAUGACCAUGAAUUGAUGGUAUUGAGUAUGGUCCCCAAACAUCUACAUGAAUCAAAUCAAAACAUUUUUUUGAUUUAGAUGUACUAAUAGUGAUGGAAGAGGGCCAAGCACAACCUUUCAUGAAAAGCAAGAGCCAAGUCAAGAACGUCCAAGAUCAAGCUAGGAGCGUCUAAGACCAAGCUAGGAGCGUCUAGGACCAAGCUAGGAGCGUCUAGGACAAGAAGACCAAGCUAGGGGCGUCUAAGACAAGCUAGGAGCGUCUAGGACAAGAAGACUUGGAUCAAAGCUAUGAAUGGGAGAGUGGCUUACUAGCACAAAUUCCGUGAAGGCCCAACAAGUGUAGUUUAGCUUUAAUUGGGGUGUAAAUAGCAUAGCCAUNNNNNNNNNNNNNNNNNNNNNNNNNNNNNNNNNNNNNNNNNNNNNNNNNNNNNNNNNNNNNNNNNNNNNNNNNNNNNNNNNNNNNNNNNNNNNNNNNNNNNNNNNNNNNNNNNNNNNNNNNCACCCAUGUGCUCCAUGUGCCCAUGUGCCUCACAUUUACAUUUCAUUUUGCUCACAUUUCAUGUGGAAUUAGCUUAGGAUUUACGGCCUCCUUAGCCUAUAAAAGGAGAUGCCUAGCUCUUGUAUUUUCAAGAUUAAUGAGAGUAAAGUUAUGUUGCCAACAUUGUGCCAUACUUUGCUUUUGCCUAGUUUCUAGGACCUAAUCUUCAUCUUCAUCACCUACCAUAAGGCUGGCCGAACCUCCCUCUUUCCAUACACAUCAUGCACCUUCAAGAUCACCAUAGCUCCUAGGAAGAUCUUGCACAUUUCAAUCCAUAGCUUCCGCACCCUUGAUCAUGAUUCCGAGAAGAGCUCCAUGAAUUUGCCAUCAAAUAGGAAAAUAAAGUCUUUUUUGCUUUGCAAAAUGACAAACAUCACAAACAAAAGAUUUGUUAUAUUUAACAAAAGAAAAUUUAUUCUUGAUAACAUCAAUACAUUUAUUUGAAAUAUGACCUAAUCGAAAAUGCCAAAGGGUUUCUAGAUCACUAGCACUGACAUUAACAUUAUUGAUGGUGUGUGUACAUUCAAGGGGUUUAAUUUGAAAUUUAUGGUAAGAUGGGAUCCUGAGUAUAUAAAGUCUAUCUUGCGUCUUAGCGAUUCCAAUCAUCUUCAUUGUUAUUUUGUCAUGAAUGUGACAACCAUUAGAGUCAAAGGUAAGAACACAAGAUAGUUUAUCAAUCAAUUUUGCUACGGAAAGAAGAUUAAAAUUGAAGCAAGGAAUGUACAAAACAUUGUCUAUGACAUGACUUUGAUUGAGAAAAACACUUCCAGAAUAAUUGGCAAUGACUUGAUUUCUAUUUGGUAAUUUGACAUAAAUAGGAUCAAUUUGAUGAUAUGAAGUGAAAUAAGUUAAAGAUGAACAAAUGUGAUCAGUAGCACCAUUAUCAAUAAUCCAAGAACUAAAAGAAGAAAUAAAAUUAUUACCUGUUUGAUUGGAGGGAUUGGAGGGAGUAAUAGAGACUUGAUUAGAAGCAUUGCCACUGGAUUUGGUCUGUUGUAUACUGCUCAGGAGUAAAACCAAUUUGUUGAAACUCCACUUCUGACUUUGAACCUUCAUGAUUAUGCUCAUUAUUAUUGAAAUUUGUAUUAUGAAAAACUGCAUUAGUAUGACUCUGAUCAUGAUUCUGAUUUUUGAACUUGAAAUGAGGUGGAAAGCCAUGCUUUUUAUAGCAUGUAUCAAUGGUAUGCCAUGUCCUUCCACAAUGACUACAAAUUUUGGAAGUAUAUCCUCUUCCAUUGCUUCCUCUUCCGUAUCCAACACCUCUGCCAUAGGUUGUAGCAUUGUUUUUAUAACCUCCUUUGCUAGUAGCAAUCAUUGCCUUGGAUUGAUCACCAAAUAUUUGCCUCUCUUGUUGUGUAACAAGAGAGAAAACUUUAUUCAAGGAUGGCAAAGGGUCCAUCAAUAAAAUUUGAGUUCUCACAGUCGAAUAAUUAUCAUUUAGCCCCCUUAGAAAUUUGAUAAUCUGGUCUUGUGUUUUAUAUUUAGAAACAUUCACAAGAGUAUUGCAUUUAGAGGCACAUGAAGAAGCGGAUAACGGGUGGAAAAGAUCAAGUUCAUCCCAAAGAAUUUUUAAUUGAGUGAAAUAGUUUGUAACAGUCAACUCACCUUGUUUAAAAGAAGAAAUCAUCUCCUGGAUAUCAGAAAUACGAAUCAUGUCUCCUUGUGAGAACCUUUCCUUUAAAUCAUUCCAUAUGUCAAAGGCAUUGUCCAUACAGAUGAUGCUCUACACGAUGGAUUGAGAAACAACCUUGAGAAUCCACGAAACUGUUGGGAAAAACGGGUAAUUUUCCCACUAAAACAAAACCCUAACAGAGCUACCCGACCAAUAAUAUUGAAUAAAUAAAGCGGAAUAAUAAAAGAGAUAAAGAGGAAAAAAACACACCAGAAAAUUGUUAACGGAGUUCGGCCUGUUUAGCCUAAUCUCCGAGCACACCUGAAAUAGCCUGCUUUUAUUAUUAUGGGAGAAGAUAUUACAACUUGGGAUAUUUAACAGUGAAGGAUGAGCGUUUAAUUUAUAACCCUCAAACCUCCUUCCCAAACAAUGAACCCACCGAUGUGGGACUCGGGAUUAAGCCAAAAUCAACAAAUCUCCACCUUGGCUUAAUUUCAACUCUCACCUAAUACAAAUCUUCUCAAAACAUAACAAAAACAAACUUUGUAGUGCUUUAAAUUUGCGCCUCCGGGCGCCAACUUCAAAUGUGCAAGAUAUUAACCAAGUCUAAACAAUGUUCAAAUUUGGCCCUUGUAACCACCUUGGUGAGCAUAUCUACAGGAUUCUCCGUAGUAUGAAUCUUCUGGAGAACAAUCUCCUCUUCUUCGAGAAUCUCACGCACAAAGUGAUAGCGAACAUCAAUGUGCUUCGUCCGUGCAUGAAAGACUUGAUUCUUUGCUAAAUGAAUAGCACUCUGACUGUCAGAAUAUAACUCAAGUUGUUUCUGACCAACUCCCAAGUCUUUAAGCAACCCAUGAAGCCAAAUUGCUUCCUUCACAGCCUCUGUAAUCGCCAUAUACUCUGCCACUGUCGUAGACAAAGCCACCAUAGACUGCAAGGUAGACUUCCAACUAACUGGCGCUUUUGCUAAAGUAAACAAAUAGCCAGUUGUAGACCGUCGCUUAUCCAAAUCACCUGCAUAAUCAGAAUCACAAUAUCCAACUAUGCAUUGACCAAGUGAUUCAUCUUGCUCAAAUGUCAAUCCAACAUCUAAGGUAUNNNNNNNNNNNNNNNNNNNNNNNNNNNNNNNNNNNNNNNNNNNNNNNNNNNNNNNNNNNNNNNNNNNNNNNNNNNNNNNNNNNNNNNNNNNNNNNNNNNNNNNNNNNNNNNNNNNNNNNNNNNNNNNNNNNNNNNNNNNNNNNNNNNNNNNNNNNNNNNNNNNNNNNNNNNNNNNNNNNNNNNNNNNNNNNNNNNNNNNNNNNNNNNNNNNNNNNNNNNNNNNNNNNNNNNNNNNNNNNNNNNNNNNNNNNNNNNNNNNNNNNNNNNNNNNNNNNNNNNNNNNNNNNNNNNNNNNNNNNNNNNNNNNNNNNNNNNNNNNNNNNNNNNNNNNNNNNNNNNNNNNNNNNNNNNNNNNNNNNNNNNNNNNNNNNNNNNNNNNNNNNNNNNNNNNNNNNNNNNGAGCCUUUAACCUGUCAAUCUCAACUUGGCUCUUUGCUGCAAUCAGCAUAUCAUCAACAUAUAAGAGUAUGUAAAUGUAGGAACCAUCUUCAAGUUUGCGCAAAUACACACAGUGAUCAUAUUUGCUUCUCUUGUACUUCUGAUCCUUCAUGAACUUAUCAAAUCGUUUGUACCACUGUCUCGGAGAUUGUUUCAGUCCGUACAAUGAUUUGCUAAGUUUACAAACCCAAUCUUCUUUACCAUCAACCUUGUAUCCUUCUGGUUGAGUCAUAUAGAUUUCCUCCUUCAAAUCACCGUGUAGGAACGCGGUCUUUACGUCAAGUUGAGCUAGCUCCAAAUUCAACUGUGCUACCAAGGCCAACAAAAUUCGAAUGGAGGAAUGUUUAACAACUGGAGAAAAUACCUCAUUAUAAUCAAUUCUCUCCCUCUGAGCAAAGCCUUUAGCAACCAACCUUGCCUUGUAGCGAACAUCUUCUUUAUUAGGAAAUCCUUCUUUCUUUGCAAAUACCCAUUUGCACCCAAUUGCCUUCUUACCUUUUAGUAAUUGUGCCAGCUUCCACGUCUUGUUCUUCUUCAAAGACUGCAUCUCCUCUUCCAUCUCACCUGCCCAAUUACCACUCUCUGAACUCAGAAUGGCUUCUGGGUAAGUGGAUGGAAUGUCAUCAACAACUGGAAGUGCAUAAGCAACCAUAUCCAUGAAACGAGCAGGCUUCUGAAUAUCUCGUUUCUGUCUUCUAACUGCAAUUGGCGCUGAUUGCUGUUGAGAUUCUUGGGUAGGAACCUCUUCCUCAUCCGACUCUUCUUCUGCCAUAGGAGAGUCACUUGUGGUAUUUCGUGUUGGGAUCACCACUGUCGGCUCAAACUCCACCUGCUUCCGGGUACACUCCACCUAUUGUGGAGUACUAUCAGCUCCUUCUGGAUUUACCUUCUUUAACAUGGAAGAUUCAUCAAAGGUAACAUCCCUGCUGAUAAUCGUCUUCUUUGCCUCUAGACACCACAAACGGUAUCCCUUCACUCCAGGACUAAAGCCCAUGAAAAGAGCCUUCUUUGCCCGUGGAUCCAACUUUGAUUCAAUCACAUGAUAAUAUGCAAUAGAACCAAAAACAUGCAAAGAAUCAUAAUCAGUUGCAGGUUUUCCAGACCAUACCUCUAACGGGGUUUUGCCAUCUAUAACAGAUGAUGGCAAACGAUUGAUGAGAUGUUGAGCGUAUGUCACAGCCUCAGCCCAAAACUCUCUACCUAACUCAGCAUUAGACAACAUACAACGAACUUUCUCCACAAGUGUCUUGUUCAUACGCUCCGACACCCCAUUUUGCUGUGGUGUUUUUCUAACAGUGAAGUGCCGAACUAUGCCACAAUCUUGGCAUACCUUCAGGAAGGGAUCACUCUUAUAUUCUCCUCCAUUGUCUGUUCGGAGAACCUUAAUCUUCCUUCCUGUCUGGUUUUCAACUUGAGCUUUCCACUCCAGGAGAGUUUGGGUGUUUACUAUGAAGAACAAAAAUGAUGUGCUCUUCGUUGUUUUCCCAGAACACAAUGCUCACAAAAUUCAAGUUUGCAAGCCUUCGUACCUUUCAACAAUCCCUGCUUGGUAAGAAUUUGCAAGGAUUUCUCUUCAGCAUGUCCCAACCUCAUAUGCCACAACUUCGUUGCCUCAGCAUCCUUCUUAGUGCUAGAAGUUGAUGUCGCUACUGUCUCCACCACUGUACUACCUUGAUAGUAAUACAGAUUGUUCUUCCUCACGCCUUUCAACAUCAUCAGUGCUCCUGAAGUUGUUUUAAGAAUUCCAUCUCGCAUCGUCACAACUAGACCUUUAGAUUCUAAAGCCCCCAAUGAGAUGAGAUUCUUCUUCAACUUUGGCACGUACCGUACAUCCCGCAAAAUUCUGGUGGCCACCCAUCUGGAUACGAUGAUGCUGAAAGCGAGACAAUUAAAGAGAUAUCUGAUUCCACGUCACUUUUGCAUUCUGCAACAUUUGCAUCUUGUGGAGUCUUCCCUUUCUUCUGCAGUUUUGGACAGUCUUUCUUCCAGUGUCCUUUCUCAUGACAGAAAGCACACUCAUCUUUGGCAACGGCUCGACCUUUAGACUUAGACCUCCCUCUUCUCCCCUUUGUUUGGCUUUGCUGACGACCUCUUGCCACCAAUGCUUCUUCUGAUGUCGUUGAUUUGGUUUUCAUUUUAUCCUGCUUUCUCAAUUCAUGACUAUAUAAAGCAGAACAAACAGCAUCUAACGACACAUUCUCCUUCCCGUGAAGGAGCGUAGUCUCCAAAUGUUCAAAUUCAUCAGGAAGAGAUGAUAACAACAACAAAGCCAAAUCCUCAUCCUCAAACUUCACAUCUAAAUUCAACAGGUCUGCUACUAAUUGAUUAAACAUAGUGAUGUGUGCAUUCAUAGUUGUACCUUGUUGGUAGUCAAAUCGGAACAACCUUUUCUUCAUCAGGAGCUUGUUCUGACCACUUUUCUUCAGAAACUUGUCCUCCAAUGCCUUCCACAGUUUGUGUGUAGAAGUCUCGUUUUUUACAGCAUACUUCUGCUCUCUGGACAGGCAGGAUCGAAUAGUUCCGCAUGCCAACCGGUUGAUGAUGCUCCAGACUUUCUCCUCUACCUCUUCUGGUUUCUCUCCUUCAAUAGCAAUAUCAAGACCCUGCUGAAAAAGAGAGUCCAAGACCUCUCCUUGCCACAUGCCAAAAUGCCCAGUGCCAUCAAAUAUUUCCACCGCCAAUUUCAAAGUGGACUCCGGGAACCUCGACCAUGAUGACGAGGAGCCCGAAACUCUGGAUACAUCCUUCGCUUCUUCUUCUUGAUUUGCCAUUACAAACUCAAAAUAUAAUAUUCAAUAUUACAAAUAAUUUCAAACAACCCAAGGGCGAACCUUCGGCUCUUGAUACCACUUGUUGGGAAAAACGGGUAAUUUUCCCACUAAAACAAAACCCUAACAGAGCUACCCGACAAAUAAUAUUGAAUAAAUAAAGCGGAAUAAUAAAAGAGAUAAAGAGGAAAAAAACACACCAGAAAAUUGUUAACGGAGUUCGGCCUGUUUAGCCUAAUCUCCGAGCACACCUGAAAUAGCCUGCUUUUAUUAUUAUGGGAGAAGAUAUUACAACUUGGGAUAUUUAACAGUGAAGGAGGAGCGUUUAAUUUAUAACCCUCAAACCUCCUUCCCAAACAAUGAACCCACCGAUGUGGGACUCGGGAUUAAGCCAAAAUCAACAGAAACAACCAACAUAUUGGCUCUUUGCCAUGUUGGAAACAAUGAUUUGGUACGAUUGGGAGCUUCUAUAGUUCCAUCAAUGAAACCUAUUUUGUUCUUUGAAAUUAGGCUAAUUUGAAAUGAACGAGACCAAUGAUGAUAAUUUGGUCCCUCAAGAAUAAUAGGAACAAUAAGAAAGGAAGGAUUAUCUAAUGAACUAACAUGGUAAGGUGAACUAAGAUCUUGUGAGGGAUCAUCAACUUCACCCAUGAAUAAAUGUAGCAAGCAGAGCUCUGAUACCAUAUUACAAAAUAGAACAGAGAUGAACAAAAGAGUAAACCGAAGACAAAGGAUAUGAGAAUGAAUAUCUCUUCUUUCUUAUUAUUCAAAUCAAAAAAUGGUCUGAAUAUAUACAAGUAGUAUACUCAUUUUAGGGUUUAACUAAAGAAGGAAAUAAUCAAUAUUAAAUAUUAUAAUCAUAACACACAAAGAUAAAAUAAAGGUUAUUCCCUUCUAUAAAGAGAAAUAACUGAUAAUUAGAAAAGACACUCAAUUAUUAUUUUUUUAUAAAGAGAAACAACUGAUAAUUAGAAAAGACUCUCAAUUAAUAUUAGGAUCCUUCUGUAACUCUCUCUCAAUUAAUAUUAGGAUCCUUCUGUAACUCUGGUAUCCGUAUACUUUAAUAGAAAAAAAAAAAACACAGAAAGGAGUGAGGUUUGUAUAUCUUAAAUAUCAAUCUUAAUAAAUUUAACAUACAAUAAGGGUUUAUGACUAGACCUAUAACCAUAAUAAUGGGGGUCUAUGAUUUGACUUAUAACCAUAAGACUUAAUCUCACUUUAUCAUACAUAUGGAUUCAUAUUCCACUUUUGAUUAUCUACUUUGAAUAUCAAAAGUUACUUGGAAAGUGAUUAGGUAAUUGAGUAUUUCUCAUCAAAAACAUUGGUACAAUAAUAAUUAUUUUUCUCAAAAAUUAUGGCCAUCUACUAAUAAAAAAAAUAUUUCCGUCAUUCUCUAGACAAUAAGUGUCAUAAUUGAAAUCAACACUUUAUCUUAAUUUUCUCCUCAUGCAAGAACACAAUGUCAAAACAAGAUAGAAAACACCCACUAUUACAUUAUGGAGAGGCACAGCACCGUAAAGAAAAAGAGCAUUUAUGUCCAUUAUCCAAUCCAGAGCAAAACCAAAAUUAAUAUCCUAAAAUUACUUCUGCCUCUCCAUCUUCAUAUUCUUUAGGCAAGAUUCAUUAUUGUGGAACACUUAUAAAAAAUAGAUAAUAUAAACCCUAAAUAAAAGUAAAUAAUAUUAUUCAUAUCACCUUCAUUAUUUCUCCUAUCUAAUUGACUUAAUUAUUUAACAAAAAAUUUAUAAAGAAAUACUUACAAUUUUUUGGAUUGUCUAACAUAGAAAAACGCUAGUCAAUAAUGAAAAAACUGUAAACAUAGAUAAAAGGUAAGCAGAAUUUACAUAUUUCGACUAAAGCUCAGUUUAUGUUCACAGUUAUAAAUCUAUAUUAAGAAUGAAAAUAAAAUUACAAUACAAAAUUUAUCUCAAAGUAAACUCUUACUCUAACUUAAAAAGAUAACUUUUUUUACAAGGUCAUAUUUAUAUAAGUGAAACUGCUUAACCAACUUUAAAAAUGGAACACACAAAUAAUUGUUAAGUCAUAUACACAAUGAUUAAUGAGAAGUUUGGAUUAAGACUAUUACAAAGUGGACUUUAAGUCUAACUCAACAGUUCGUGCGUGGGAUAAACAUAUUAUGGGUGGUCCGAUAACGGGUGGCACGAUAAGCCUAACAAACACUUGCUAGGAUAAGAUUGAAAUGACUCUGAUACCAUAUUAUGAAAUAGAACAGAGAUGACUAAAAGAGUAAAAGGAAGGUAAAGGAUAUGAGAAUGAAUAUCUCAUUUUCUUGUUAUUCAAAUAAAAACAAAUGGUCUGAAUAUAUACCAAGUAGUACACACUCAUUCUAGGUUUAACUAAAGAGGGAAAAAAUCAAUAAUUAAAUACUAGAAUCAUAACACACAAAGACAAAAUAAAGGUUAUUCAUAUCUAUAAAGAGAAACAACUGAUAAUUAGAAAAGACACCAAAUUAUUCUCUUCCAUAUUACAAAGUGGACUUUAAGCCUAACUCAACCCCAUAAAACCAGCUCAUAAGGUUGAGGUUUGCACCCACUUAUAUACAAUGAAAUGUUCUCAUCUCUAGUCGAUGUGAGAUCUCCAACAAAGGCAAAAAAUCUUGAAUCACUAAACAUUUGAACCUCUCUAAAAGUUCUAAUAUUUCUAGACAAUCUAAAAACAUUUAAACAUAAGUUGUACGACAAUCUAAAAAGUUUUAAACAUAAGUUUUACUGAACCAAAAUUCACACAAGUUAUAAUUUAAAAGGAUACCAACAAAUAAUAGUGAUAAAAAUAAAAUAUUUUUUUUAUAAAAGACUAAAAUAAAUAAAAAGUAGAACUAAGUAUAAAAAUAUACUUAUUAUUAGUCUUUUUUAAAUGACGACGUAUUGCUAAUAAUAAGAAAAUAUUCAUCAAAGACCAGUAGGAACAAAAAUAUUUAUAAAAAGAAUAAUAUAAAAUGUGAUAAUUUAUUAGCGAAUAGAAAAGCUAUUUAAAGUUUUUUAAAUGAAUAAUGCUAAUGACUUAGUGAUUGUUGAGAUUAUAACGGAAAAGAAAGGAAGAAAAUAUUGUAUUAUGAAGGUGGCCAUUCCAGAAUUCAAUUUUUUAUUUAUUUGAAUAUAAGCUUGUAUAGUAGUUGAAAUUGAAUCCGGAUUAUACAAAUCGGUUUGUAAAUGAUAAAACGAAAUCAGUUUGUACAAUCUGAUAUAAAAUCUCGAAUCUAGUUUCAACUAUCAGAUUGCAUAAGCUGUAUUUAAAAUAAAAAAGAAUGGAGCAAUUUAUUUGAACAACUCUACUUGGACAUAUUCACGCAAGCGAGCAUUGUAUCUUCUCAUCUUAUUUUGAGUCAUGUAUUGCAAAGGGUAUCACGUUUGUUUUUGUGGCAAAUUCGUCCUGUCCCAUAUCAAUUUCUGCACCCGAUUUACAAAAAUGUUUUUGUAAAAUAAUAAAAAUAUUCUUAAAUGAAAUAAGAGUGUGGAUAAAAAAUUAUUUUCAAAACCUCUUUUCUGAAAUACAUAUUCAGAUUUUAAUUUCUGGAACAUAUUUCUGAAUUUCUGAAUUUUUUUUCUUUUUCAAAAUGCAUUUCCAGGAACUUAUUUUCCUGUAUUUUUUGCAUUUCAAUUUUUUUUUAAUUUUAUUUUUUGAAUUCCAAAUUUUCAAUUCCGGAAUAAAAGAUAAUUUUAGAAACGUUAGAAAGAUUAAAUGAUCCAAAUUCAAAUUGAUACGGUGCGUGAAGAAUUUGCAUUGUUUUGUUUGUGAAAGAAUUGUAAAAGAAUGAGAGUGGGUAAAUAAAUUGAAUGAAAGAAAAAGAGACGGCCAAGAAAGAGAGAAGAGGUUAAGAGGUAAAAAGGUUUUGUCUUUCCUAUUUGUAUGUGUGAAACUUGAACAGAGAGAAACAAACCUGAAAAACCCACAUACCUUGGUGAAAAUUUUUGUUCUUCUGAAAUACGAGAGAUGAAGAUGAAAUUGUUUUUGGGUGAAAGAGAGAAACAAGGGUAUUGAAUAUAGAUAGAUGCAUGGAUUAGAGGCUAGAGGAAAGGUAGAUGAUGGGAUGGUGUUGUUUCUCUGGUAGGCUAAAAUUUGUUGUUGGUUGCAACCUUAUAUUAAGUUUAUUUCAUACUUGAAGUCUAUGUGUAUUGUAAAAAAUGGUUUGGGUGAAUUGAUUGUUUCUUUAUUGCGUGAUUGAUGAUCCAUAAGGUCUGUCAUGUUGGCUAAAGCCAGGAAAUAUGGGAAGCCGGAAAAGUUGGUGAGUCAUUGUAUAAAAAAAACCUAUAUGAAUCAACUUUUUCUUUAAAUGAGUAUUCCAAAAAUUCUUCAUCUCAUAGAGUCAUCAUAGGAAGGUCAAUGGUCAAAUUAAUAAAAUAAUAAAUAUUUCUCAUAUUACAAAUUGUUCUCACUGGUUGAUUGUCGGUUCAGGCUCCUUUGGUCUCUUCUGGAAUUUGUACUUCCCUUGGUUAAUGAAUGUUUUACCUGCAGAGACAAAAGGGCGCCCUUACGGUCGUUUGUACUUCGACGCUCAAGUCAGUAAGGAUUAAAGAACAAUAAGUAUGUAAAACAAUUUCAGUCUUAGAAACGGCGUAUCUUUACCAGGGAUCUCAACUCCCUUUCAUAGACUGCUUAGGUUACCUCAUUGUAACAACUCUUCUCUCACCAGAGCCUUAUCUCUAGUAAAAUUAGGUUUGCUCGAGGACAUUCUGUUGUUACACAAUCUUAGCGCAACAACCGCACAGAAUCUUCCUUUUUGGAGUGCAAAUCUUAACAGCAUGGCCGCCAGGGUACUAACUCAUGUACCAGCAUUACGGGGCCCAUCUAUUAUUGUAGGUGCCCUAGUCCUUACGUAUCAUGCAUGCAACUUUCCCCUGAAAACCCUAGCGCUCUUGGGCCUUGUCGUCUUAAGGGAUAUUUAUUUGUGUUAGACCCAAAUGUACUAUACACACCAGAUGCACUUUCUUGCGGACUAGGCUUUUCAUUUAUACACAGGUUUCAACACACAUAUCUCUGGGGACCACUUACGUGGUCCACUAUCUCGACCAGACCAUCGAGCCGACCUGUUCCACAGGUAUCGAUGUCCGAUGCCUAAUGUCUGGUCCAGUACACAAAUUAUCAAUUAACUUUAAUCCAAUAACAUAAAACUUUGAAGUUUAAUAAUUAUGAUUAUUAAAAAUAACUAAAUUUGAUUUGAUUAAGUUAAUAAGAAUGAUAUGACUUUCUUAUAUAAUAAAACUUUUAUUCAAAUAUGGAGAAGUUAGAUCAUUGUAUGAAAAAAGAAAACAAAUUGAUCAAAUAACAUAUAUCAUUUCCAAUUUGUGAUUAUUGAUUGGAAAUGGAAAAUAGGUUAAUUCACCAUUUGUAUAUAUGAGAUUGAAAUUUAUAGAGAUUAAAAAUUAUAUGAAUUGAAGUUAAGAAAUGUGUAAAUAUGAUUAUGUAGAAGGCAGGCCAAGUUGAUAUUUUGAGAGAUUGUAGAAUACAGGGCAGUGUUAAACUCAACACCAAUAUAUACAAUUCAUCCACCAAUAUCAGUCAAAGCUAUAAAGAGCAACAGUAACAGGUGAUUAAUUGAAGAAAACAGUAACACAUUUGUGAACCACAUUAAUAUAAGGAAAAUUUCAAAUCUGCAUUUUAUAAAUUUAUCUAGCUCGACUACUGGCACGUGGAAUCAAUCAUUUACUCAUCUACUUUGAAGGCAGGCUUGAAGCAAUUAUGAUACAGAAAAGGUCGGAUGGUCUCUGCACGCAAUUACGAACAUUAAUGUAUGCAGGACACAGUAAGGAGAAAUUAAAGAAAAUGAAACAAUCAUUCACUUACCACAAAAUCUUUAGUACAGUUGUAUUUCUGGAAUGUGGUUUAUGUAUUGCCAAUCCUCUCCCAUUUCCCUCUUGCACCGCUUCUUCAGAUAAGGACAUCCGCAUAUAAUUAAAGAAGACAAGUUGGUGAGGCGUUGAAUGCUACUCGGUAGUGACCUCAACUCCCCACAGUUCCAAAUCUGUAAUUCUUGAAGAGAAGUCAUGUCUCCCAACCAGUCCGGCAAUGAAGUAGUCGUGCAAUCCCUUAUAUCCAAAGUUCGUAAAGAGGGGACACAAUGUAAGCCAUACGGUAAUGUGGAGAAACCCCCGAUUGUGACCGUCUGAAGGGCAGUUAGUUGGCUCAUAUUGCUUGGUAGAGCCACCAGCUCUGGACAAGACCAGAUACUUAAAUCCUCCAAACAUGUUAAAUGUCGCACACCUUCGAAAAGUGAUUUUAAUUUCUCACACUAGUAAAUACUCAAACUUUUAAGAGAGCUCAGACCUUCCAACACAUGGUCUGAAAAAUACUCCAAAUCAUCACAAGAUUCAAUAAAUAGUUCCUGUAGUGAACCCAACCCUCUGAGUUGGUCGGGUAAUACCACCAGUUCUUUAAUCCUUUCAAUCUCCAAGGUCUUUAGACAAGGCAUAUUCUCCACAACCCCUUCCAUCAAGGAAGCCCCUUUGUCAAUGUCUGCAGCAUAAAAUUUAUCAACAGAAGGAAGACGUGGAAAUUUAAGGUUGGAGACGCCAACAAUUGUUAAUUGAGAAAGACGAGGGAGCAUUUCUACUCCUUCUUCCCUCAACAUCCUCUCCAAUUUUGGUAAAUUCUUCACAAUCAAUUCCUUCAACGAUGGAAAUGCCUUCUCCACACCAUCAUACCACUCACCAUCUAUCCACUUCACAUUUUUCAUUUCACGCACGUCUAGCCUUUUCAACUGUGGUAGUUUGCCAAGUGGAGGAAGCUCCUCACAGUUGUCACAGUCCAAGAGUAUAACUUCCACCAAGUCUCUCAGAACUGCACCAUUUCUCAUCCAACUCGAUAACUGUCUCCCCUUAUACCCUUUCAUCAUAAAACUCUUCAGAGUUGAGGGAGGUUGUAGGGCUUCCAGUACUCUCUUAACGUUAACAUUACUACCUUCUGAAUUAGUACUACCACCCCAUGACAAGCGUAGGAUAUUUAAGUCCUUCUUACCAAUCAAAUUUGCUUGUUUAACAUCCCAUUCAUUGGGGACGUUCUCAAGGCCUUUGAUUCUCAGCUUGCCUCCAAGCUUUAAGCUAUGCAACUCUGCUAACCCACACCCUGCCUUUGAUCCCACAACAUAAGUGCUCAGUGUUCUUAGAUGCCUUAACUUGCCAAUAUUCUGAGGCAUCUCUUUUACAUCACACUUAUCAAUCACAAUAUGUCUUAGAUCCUGUAAUAUCGUCAAUUUUUUGGGCAGCCUAAGGUCAAAGACAUCUUUCAAUUUCAAUAUUUGCAAUUUCGGCAACUGACAAAUUGAAUUAAGCAACCUUGCCUCUAAAUCCCCACACAAUGUCAAGUAUCUCAAAUGUGCUAAAUCAUUCAGUGGAGACAACACAGAAAAACUUGUACGUAAUGCUCGAAGACAAUGGGUUGAUGGCACCAGGCGUCUAUAACUAAAAUUCACAAAAGUCCGCAAGGACUCAACUUUCUUGAAAGCAGCCAUAUCGAUAGAGCCAUUCAAAUUUAAGCAUACAUAGUGAACUCUAGUUGGCAACUGAGUCAACCUUCCUUUCUCAAUAAUCACACAUUCUUCACCCAUAAUAGUCUGGGCAAGAUCAUGAAAUAGAUCAUGCAUCUUGCAACUUCUAAUCAUACCAAGCUUAUCAUACUUUGCUUCUUGAAAAAAUGAUCUACGGUAUAAUUUUUUCCACACUUUAUUUCCAACAUCCUCCACUUCUACGUUUCCUUCAGAUUUAAUAAAUCCAUUAGCCAUCCAAAGAUGAAUUAGAUCUUCCUUAUCUAUUUCAAAAUCUUUGGGGAAAAUUGCACAAAAAGAAAAGCAUCUUCUCAGAGACAACUCCAAAUUAGAAUAGCUCAGUUUCAAAAAACGCAUAAUAGAAUUUUCCUCACGUAUUUUCCAAAUCUCACUUUCCUUUAGAUUUUCCCAUUGGCUUACCUCACUUUCAUCACGCAAAAGGCUUCCCAGUGUUUUGAUUGCAAGUGGUGAACCAACGCAUUUUCUCACUAUCUCUCUGCCAAUUGUCACGAGCUCUUCUAUUUCUUCUCUGUUUUGUCCAAACGCAUGGUGUUUGAACAAUGACCAACUGUCGUCUCCUGACAAUUCUUUCAAAUAGUAAGCAGGAUGUGUCCCCAUGAUGGAGGCAACUUCCUGCAGUCGAGUGGUGACCAAAAUGGCAUCUCCUUUUGCUCCCCUUGCACAUUGCAACAUCCCCUUUAACUCCUUCCACUUCUCUUGGUCUUCAUUCCACACAUCAUCAAGAACAAGUAAAUACCUCUUGCUCUGCAAUGCUUCUUCAACCUUUUUCCGCAUUGCUUCUAAAGUAUGGAGAUUGGGGUUUUGACCAUUGACAUAUUCUAGGAUGGAUUGCAAUAUUCUCUUCGCAUUGAAAUCAUCUGAAACACAGAUCCAAAUUCUCAAGUUAAAAUGUUUACUUAUCUCGUGAUCGUUGAAGACCUGCUUGGCAAGAGUUGUUUUGCCAAGUCCACCCAUACCAACUAUGGGAUAGAUGGAGAGGUCUUCACUGUUACUAGCAUCUUCCAGGAGAAACUUCACAAUUUUCUCUUGAUCUUUGUCUCUGCCACAGAAUAUAGGUUCGGUAAUCACAGAGCUAGUUUGGCGCCAAUCAUCAUCAUCAUCCACUGCUUGCUUCUCAGUGACACCCACACGUAAUUCAAACCUGAGCCUUUCUUGAUGAAUGUCAUGAAAUCUUUGAGUGAUGUCUUUCAUCCGCUUUUCAAUAUGAAAACGAAAGAGAAUGUCCAUAGGAUGGAGAGGGGAUAGGCAUGAAGUAUGUCGAUCAUGAGAGUGCAUCUUUGUGGAGUGAAUUGAACAUUCAUCCAAGAUAUCAUCCAGCACAUAUGCUGCAUCUGUGAGUUUUUGCAGCCAAUCCUUCACAGCAUGCUUUCUUAGUUGCUCUCUCUCAGCGUCUUUGAGGACAGCACGGAUUGCGGUGAGAUUGCUGGAAAGGUUCAGCGUCUGCUGGUCAACACCCCAAUAAGUUGCAAGUUGGUUUUGAAGAAAAGAUCCCAAAUUUUCAAUAAUGAUUUCCAGUAAAGCCUCGGCCAUUAGCAGAAAGGAGAGGUUUUUGGAUGAUUGUAGUUGUGGAGAAAGAAGUACGGGGAAGAGUACUAACAAUGAGUGGAUAAGAUUUUGUGAUCAUUUAUUGAAUUGAGAAUUGGUGGCCAUGGCAAUAAAAGUUUUGUCUCUGCUUGUGUUGACGAAGAGUGUUCAUUCGAUGAGUGAACUCAAACCAACCAUAUUAAUUGCAUAGCAAUCACACCGACAUGUCCACUUACUUUCUCUAUUAUUUCAGCUCAAAUUUUCUUCUUCUUCUUCUUCUUAUUAUUACUUUUAUUAUUUAUUUUUACUUUUAUUAUUUAUUAUUUUGUUUACAAUUAUUUUAUUAUUAUAAUCAUUUUAUAAAUUUAUUAUUAAUAAUUUAAAUUUUAUUAAUAUUUUAUUGUUAUUAUUAUUAUUUUAAUAAUCAAAUUAUUAUUUUAACAUUUCUUAUUAUUAUAUUUUUAUUAUGUUAUAUUAUAUAAUUAAUUUUAUUUAUUUUAUUAUACCAAAAAUAUAAAUAUUAAUAAAAUUUAUUAUAAUAAAAAUAUAUAUUAUAUAUUUAAUGUAAUAAUUAUAUUUAUAAAUAUCAUCAAAAUUUUAUUAUAUAAUCAAUUAUGUAUUUAUAUAAUUGGUUAUGUAAAAAUAUAAAAUAUUCAUAUACAUAUAUAGAUAACUAUUAUUCUUUGUAAAUUUUAGCAAUUAUACAAAGAGUAACGUAAAUUUUUUUAUCUCAUUUUUUAUUUUUAAUUAUUUUAUUUUAUUUUAUUUUUGUUAUCUAUCAUGAAAUCCAUUUAUCGAAACAAAGGAACCUUUAAAGUUUUUAAAGUGAGUUUUUCCUUUGGGUUCAUAGUUAGUGAAGUGUACACAUUCAAACAUUAUUGACUUAUCCUUCAAGUUUUAGCAUGACACGACUCGAGUGAUCUAAUUUAUCAAGAAUUUGUCUCCUCGAAAUUCAUGUAUCCUACAACUGUUUGGCUUAAACACAGACAUACAAAAAUAAUCAAUCAACUACAUUUCAAUCAUACUAUAUCAAACAAAAUCUUAACUACACAUAUUUUAACUACAAAUUAUUUAAAUUCUAAAUUUGGUAGCAAAAAAUUUGAUAGUUAAUUAGAUACGAAUUUAAAAACUAUUUAUCAAUAAUAGAAACUAAUUUAGAAAUCAAUAAUUUUUUUAAUCUCUAAAAUAGUUUCUAAUUUAAUCAAUGUAGCAACUAAUUAUAUUUUUGGUCUCUAAAAUUGGUUUUUAUUUAAUGAUUUUGUUGUAGUGUUUGAACAAACUCUUUCUUACCUUUGUUGGGUUGUUCCAAUAGUGUUUUGUAAUUCUUGUUAUUGUUGGAGUGUUUCCAAUAUUGUAUUUGAGAUUGGCUUUGUUAUAGUAUUUGUUUGUGGUUGUAACAAGAGUUGAUAAGACUACCUUCCUAGGUGAAUAAAGAGUGGAUAAUGCUAAGAUCCUCUUAAAAUGGUUACAAGUAGAUAGGACACAUAUCCUCUUUGUUAUCCAUAGUUGAUUGAGGUUUAUAUUAUUUUAGUGUUUGAUAACCUUUUGAGGAGUGUUAAAGCAUUUAUUGUUGUCUUUGUGUUUUCACUCUUGUGUUCUUGUGUUAGUUUUGUACAAACAUUGGAUUGAUAAUGAAACCAUUUUUUCAAAGGUGAAAAAUUGAGGACUAGAUGUAGAAUUGGUUGAAUAUCCUAAAAAAUACUUGAGUCUGUCCAUCUUCAUAUUCUUUAGGUUCCAGGGUUGAUUAUUUUGGAAGACUUAGAGAAAAUAAUAACAUAAACCCUAAAUAAAAGUAAACUACAACAUUAUUUAUAUCCCACUGAUUAUAUAUAUAAAAGAAAAUAUGUUACUUUUACUCUCUAGUUAACUUAAUUAUUUAACAAAUAAUUUGUAAGGAAAAAUACUUACAAUUUAUUGGUCAGUCUAACACAGACAAACGUUAGAUAAUAAUGAAGAAACUGUAAAAACAUAUAAAAGGUAAACAAGGAAAAGUAAAUGAAUCAACAGAAAAAUUUAUAUAGUUUGAUUGAAACUCAAUCUACAUUUACAAUUAAAAAUUUAUUAAGAAAGAAUAUAAGAUUACAAUACAAAAUCUAUUCUAAAGUGAAUUUUCAAUUUUAAGUUGUUAAUUUUUCUUUUAACAAGAUCAAUCAUACUUAUAUAGAUAAAACUAUCAAACUAACUUUUAAAGGGAAUGCGUCAAAUAAUUGUUAUGUACACAGUGAUUCAAUUUGGAAUGAGAAACGCCAUGCUAAAAGUUAACUUGACACAGUAAAUUGUCUUAUUAGAAGUUCUGAUUAUGAUAGGAAAUCUUAAAUACAUUUUAACCUCUAAAUGGUCUAAUGUGUCUAGACAGUCUUUAAAACUUUUGAAUAUAGAUUUUAGUCAACCAAAUCUUUACACAAGUUAUAACUUAAAUAAUAGCAAUGAAAAUACAAAUAUUUUUUAUAAAAAAAAAUAAUAAUAAGUAGGACUAAAUAUAAAAAUAUACUUAUUAUUAAUCUUAUAGGGAUUGCAUUAUCGCAUAACUAAUGAAAGAUAAUAAAAAAGAUUAAGUAAGAAAAUAAUUUAUCAAAGACCACUAAGAACAAAAAUAUUUAUAAAAGAAUAAAUAUAUGAUAAUUUCCUUAGAUUCUAAAUUUGGUAGCGAAAAUCUCGGUAACUAAUUAGAUAAUAAUUUAGAAACUAUUUAAUCAUCCUAAUAUUAAUUGGGAGUCUCUUUUCUAAUUAUCAGUUGUUUCUCUGUAUAGAAAAGAAGAAUAAUUGGGUGUCUUUUCUAAUGAUCAGUUAUUUCUCUUUAUAGAAGGGAAUAACCUUUAUUUUUAUGUUUGUGUGUUAUGAUUCUAGUAUUUAAUAUUGAUUAUUUCCUUCUUUAGUUAAACCCUAGAAUGACUGUACUACUUGUAUAUAUUCAGACCCAUUUGUUUUGAUUUGAAUAAUAAGAAAGAAGAGAUAUUCAUUCUCAUAUCCUUUGUCUUCAGUUUACUCUUUUGUUCAUCUCUGUUCCCCUUUUGUUCAUCUCUGUUCUAUUUUGUAAUAUGGUAUCAGAGCUCUGAUCAUCAGAGCUCUGCUUGCUACAUUUAUUCAUGGGUGAAGUUGAUGAUCCCUCACAAGAUCUUAGUUCACCUUACCAUGUUAGUUCAUCAGAUAAUCCUUCCGUUCUUAUUGUCCCUAUUAUUCUUGAUGGACCAAAUUAUCAUCAUUGGUCUCGUUCGUUUCAAAUUAGCUUAAUUUCAAAGAACAAAAUAGGUUUCAUUGAUGGAACUAUAGAAGCUCCCAAUCGUACCAAAUCAUUGUUUCCAACAUGGCAGAGAGCCAAUAUGUUGGUUGUUUUGUGGAUUCUCAAGGCUGUUUCUCAAUCCAUCGCACAGAGCAUCAUCUGUAUGGACAAUGCCUUUGACAUAUGGAAUGAUUUAAAGGAAAGGUUCUCACAAGGAGACAUGAUUCGUAUUUCUGAUAUCCAAGAGAUGAUUUCUUCUUUUAAACAAGGUGAGUUGACUGUUACAAACUAUUUCACUCAGUUAAAAAUUCUUUGGGAUGAACUUGGUCUUUUCUGCCCGCUAUCCGCUUCUUCAUGUGCCUCUAAAUGCAAUACUCUUGUGAAUGUUUCUAAAUAUAAAACACAAGACCAGAUUAUCAAAUUUCUAAAGGGGCUUAAUGAUAAUUAUUCGACUGUGAGAACUCAAAUUUUAUUGAUGGACCCUUUGCCAUCCUUGAAUAAAGUUUGCUCUCUUGUUACACAACAAGAGAGGCAAAUAUUUGGUGAUCAAUCCAAGGCAAUGAUUGCUACUAGCAAAGGAGGUUAUANNNNNNNNNNNNNNNNNNNNNNNNNNNNNNNNNNNNNNNNNNNNNNNNNNNNNNNNNNNNNNNNNNNNNNNNNNNNNNNNNNNNNNNNNNNNNNNNNNNNAUGGAAGAGGAUAUACUUCCAAAAUUUGUAGUCAUUGUGGAAGGACAGGGCAUACCAUUGAUACAUGCUAUAAAAAGCAUGGCUUUCCACCUCAUUUCAAGUUCAAAAAUCAGAAUCAUGAAGGUUCAAAGUCAGAAGUGGAGUCUCAACAAAUUGGUUUUACUCCUGAGCAGUAUCAAACAUUGUUAGCUCUUUUACAACAGACCAAAUCCAGUGGCAAUGCUUCUAAUCAAGUCUCUAUUAUUCCCUCCAAUCAAACAGGUAAUAAUUUUAUUUCUUCUUUUAGUUCUUGGAUUAUUGAUAGUGGUGCUACUGAUCACAUUUGUUCAUCUUUAACUUAUUUCACUUCAUAUCAUCAAAUUGAUCCUAUUUAUGUCAAAUUACCAAAUGGAAAUCAAGUCAUUGCCAAUUAUUCUGGAAGUGUUUUUCUCAAUCAAAAUCAUGUCACAAACAAUGUUUUGUACAUUCCUUGCUUCAAUUUUAAUCUUCUUUCCGUAGCAAAAUUGAUUGAUAAACUAUCUUGUGUUCUUACCUUUGACUCUAAUGGUUGUCACAUUCAUGACAAAAUAACAAUGAAGAUGAUUGGAAUCGCUAAGACGCAAGAUAGACUUUAUAUACUCAGGAUCCCAUUUGGUAAUUGUUUAGGGUUUAGGGUUUAGGGCAACAUGAUCGUCGAUUGAUAGUCGGUGGUCGUCGCCAUGCGUGCGUAGUCGGUGGUCGUCGAAGGUAUGUAAAGUCAAAGAUGAUCACCGGUCGGUGAAGCGGCGCUGUCAACAUGAUCGCCGUUUGAGGAACGACGACCCCCACUGUGUAGUCGGUGGUCGUUGAAUAUGCAAAGGGCAACAUGAUCGCCGGUCGAGGAAACGGCGAUCACCAUGCGUGCGUAGUCGGUGGUCGCCAAAGGUAUGUAAAGUCAAAGAUGAUCACCGGUCGGUGAAGCGGCGCUGUCAACAUGAUCGCCGUUUGAGGAACGACGACCCCCACUGUGUAGUCGGUGGUCGUCGAAUAUGCAAAGGGCAACAUGAUCGCCGGUCGAGGAAACGACGUUCACCUUAGGUCUCCAUGAUCGCGAUCGAUGAAGUGGCGUUCUCCAUGUGUGUAGUCGGUGGUCGCCGAAGUAUUGUAGAGGUCAACAAGAUCGCUGGUCGAGGGAGCGGCGUUCUCCAUAUGUGGGUAGUCGCGUGGCGAGGUGAAAGUAUGCGACUUGGGUCCUGGGAGGUUCGGUAUAGUUGAGUGUUGCUUUGAGGUAACCUGAUGGUUAUAUUUUUUGGGUAUGGUUUCUCUCUUUAAGGUUGUUCUGCUGCAACCAUAAAGGAGAGCUUCUUUUGUGGAUGAUGUAGGAAGUCCACUACUGGUUACAGUAUAUGGGUUGGGAUACCCCUGAAGUAUCCCCUUAAUUCUAUUUAUUCAUUGCUGAUAAAAAAAAAAAAAUACUCAGGAUCCCAUCUUACCAGAAAUUUCAAAUUAAACCCCUUGAAUGUACACACACCAUCAAUACUGUUAAUGUCAUUGCUAGUGAUCUAGAAACCCUUUGGCAUUUUCGAUUAGGUCAUAUUUCNNNNNNNNNNNNNNNNNNNNNNNNNNNNNNNNNNNNNNNNNNNNNNNNNNNNNNNNNNNNNNNNNNNNNNNNNNNNNNNNNNNNNNNNNNNNNNNNNNNNNNNNNNNNNNNNNNNNNNNNNNNNNNNNNNNNNNNNNUUGAUUUGAUUCAUGUAGAUGUUUGGGGACCAUACUCAAUACCAUCAAUUCAUGGUCAUAAAUAUUUUUUGACCAUAGUUGAUGACUAUUCGAGGUACACAUGGAUUUUUCUUUUGAAACAAAAAUCUGAAGUUGUUAAGGUUUUGGAAGAUUUUGUUAUUUUUGUUCAAACACAGUUUGAGACAACAAUAAAAAUAAUAAGAAGUGACAAUGGAACUGAAUUUUUCAUGACUAAUUUUUUUGUCAGUAAAGGAAUAAUACAUCAAACAUCAUGUGUCAAUACUCCACAACAAAAUAGUAUAGUUGAAAGGAAACAUGGUCAUUUAUUAGAUGUAGCAAGAGCUUUUAUGAUACAAUCUCAUUUACCCAAAAUUUAUUGGUCAUAUUCUGUGAUACAUGCUGCGCAUAUUAUAAACAUGCUUCCCACNNNNNNNNNNNNNNNNNNNNNNNNNNNNNNNNNNNNNNNNNNNNNNNNNNNNNNNNNNNNNNNNNNNNNNNNNNNNNNNNNNNNNNNNNNNNNNNNNNNNCUUUAUGUUAUGCUAGCACCUUGUCAACAAAUAGAAGAAAAUUUGAUCCAAGAGCAUCAAAAUGUGUUUUUAUUGGCUUUCAACGGGGGACAAAAGGAUAUAUUUUGUUGAAUAUUCAAUCAAGAGAAAUUUUUGUGUCUAGGGAUGUUGUCUUUUAUGAACAUGUUUUUCCAUACCAAAGGGUUCAAGAUACUAGCAAUGAAACUAACAAUCCCGACGUUAAUGAUCAAAUUUUGUUUGCUGAAGAUCAAUUUGUCUUAAGUCAGCCAUCACAAGCCAUUCUUGCACCUUGUGAUAAUACACCUUGUGAUAAUGUUGAAAAUAGUAGUGAUAAUAAUUGUGAGUCACAAAUUGAGGUUUCAGAAGAAGAUUGUUCCCAUAUAGACCAAAACCUCAAUGAAAAUCAUGAUAUAGAACAAAAUUCUGAAUCAGAUCCAUCUAUCCGAAUGAGCACAAGAAUAAAAAAAUCACCUGAGUAUUUAAAGGAUUAUCAUUGUAAUCUUAAUGUUUCCAGUACAUCUUCAAGUGUUAAAUAUCCUUUGAAUUUUGUUUUGUCUUAUAGCAAUUUAUCACCUUCUUACAAAUCUUUUGUUAUGUCUAUUUCUUCACAUGUUGAGCCAAACACUUAUUCUGAAGCUGUGAAACAUGACUGUUGGAGAAAAGCUAUACAAUGUGAGAUAUCUGCUUUAGAGUCAAAUCAAACUUGGGAGACUGCUCUUCUGCCUCAGAACAAAGCUGCCAUAGGUUGCAAAUGGGUAUUCAAAAUAAAAUAUAAGGCUGAUGGAAUAAUUGAAAGGUAUAAAGCAAGGUUAGUGGCAAAGGGAUAUACACAAACAGAAGGCAUUGACUACCUCGAUACUUUCUCUCCAGUAGCAAAGAUGACCACCAUAAGGUUGCUUCUUUCUUUAGCUUCUAUUUAUAAUUGGGAAUUUAAACAAUUAGACAUAAACAAUGCCUUUUUACAUGGAGAUUUGAAAGAAGAUGUAUACAUGGUUGAUCCUCCUGGAUUGACUUCUAUUCCACUAGGAAAAGUUUGUAAACUAAAAAAAGGCUUUAUAUGGCCUUAAACAAGCCAGCAGAGAAUGGUUUGCCAAACUGUCGUCAUUUUUGCUUUCUAUGGGAUAUACUCACUCUAUGAAUGAUCAUUCCUUGUUCAUUAAUUCUUCUGAAGGAUCUUUUACAGCAUUAUUGGUAUAUGUGGAUGAUAUAAUAUUGGCAGGAAAUGAUAAAGAAGAGAUUGUUCGAAUUAAACAAGCCUUGAAUCAGACAUUCAAGAUUAAAGAUCUUGGGAAUUUAAGAUACUUUCUUGGUCUAGAAGUAGCCAGAAGUAAGACAGGAAUAAUGGUAAAUCAAAGGAAAUAUGCAUUGGAAUUAUUAACCGAUGCAGGUCUUUUAGCCUGCAAACCUGCACCCACUCCUAUUGAUAAUCAUGAGCAAUUCUCUUCUACUGGAAGUAUUCCUUUCACAGAUAUUCAAGCCUGCAGAAGAUUGAUUGGAAGGCUUAUGUAUCUCACUAAUACCCGACCUGACAUAACAUUUUCUGUGCAACAACUUUCUCAGUUUCUUGCUAAGCCUACAAUUAUUCACUAUAAUGCAGCAAUUAGAAUUCUCAGAUAUAUCAAAGGGGCUCCAAGUCUUGGUCUAUUUUUCUCUUCCACUACUUCUGUUCAUCUCAAAGCCUUUUGUGAUAGUGAUUGGGGCACGUGCAGUGAUUCAAGACAAUCAGUGACUGGUUUUAGUGUGUAUCUUGGGAAUUCUCUCAUAUCUUGGAAAUCAAAUAUUAACACAAUAAAAUGAAUAAUGAUAAUGAUCUAGUGAUUAUUGAGUUCACAUAGCAAUUAUAACGGAAAAUCAAUAAAGAAAAUAUAUGUAUUAUGAAAAGUUUUAUACACAUUUACAUAUUCAAAGUUGAUUAAGAUUGAUAUCAUUAAAGUGUUUGAUAUCCUCUUGACGAGUACUCAACAAUUUAUUCUUAUCCUGGUGUUUGUAAUUGUUGUGUUGUUUUGAAUAAACAUUUGAUUGAUAAUGGAACCAUUUUUUCAAGGGUGAAAAAUUAAGAAUUAAAUGUAGGAUUGGUUGAAUUCGAAUCAAAAUAAAUAUAUUAUGUGAUAUUUCUCUUACUUUAUCCAUCUCUUUAUAUUGUUAUAUUGUUAUCUAAUUCUUGUAUGAAUUACAUUAUCAAAUUAAUUGCAUUCUCAUUUUAUUGUUAUCAUCAUUUCUUAUAUCAAUUUUGUUUCCACUAAUAAUUUAUUAAUUGUUUAUAUCUUAAAGAAGUUUUAAAAGAAUUAUAAGAAAAGAGAUUAUUAAACAAAAAAAUUUGAAAAUCAAUUCACUCACCCUCUUGGUUUAAUCAAGUCAUUCCUUUUUUCUAAUAAAAAACACUCACUUUGAACCUAGCUAAUAAAAUUGAAUUUUCAAGAAACUCAAAGCUUAUUUCAUAAUUUUUAAAUAUAAAGAAUACAAUAGAAAAUUCUUUUAUUUAUAGGAUGUGAACGUGAGUUCAAGAAGUUAUCUAAGGUAUGAAAGAGAUGGAAGUAGUUGGCUAAAAUUUGAAGUUAAAAUACAUUCAAAGUACAACUCUCUUGGUUCAUGUAAUAAUGAAUACUUAUGUGCAUCAACUAACUUUAAUUACUACUAAUCAAGUUAAUUACAAGGCAAUAUUUUACAAAGUCUCUAGUUUCAAUGUAUAAAGUUUCAUUGUAUUUAUUGAUAAAAAAAUUUAAAUUAAAACUAUCUCAAGUUCAAUUAACAAGAUAUGUAACAUGAAUUUUCUAUCCCUCAUCUCAUAUUUUAAUAUUUUUCUUCAACAUAUCUUCAUUAACCAUAUUGAAAAAAACAAAAAAGAAGUUAUCACUUUAUAAAAUAAAGAAUUCCGAAAUGAAUAUCUAUUUUUAUGGCUUAUGUCACUUUUGGAUUUUGUUUCUUUCCAUUAGAGUUUCUCUUAGAUUUCUAUGAUUUCUAUUAUGAUUAAAAAUUAUAUGUAUGACAUAUAACAUGCUUAUAAGAAAUUGUGAUCAAUUAAAAAUUUAUUUUCCUAUCUACAACUUUAUUUAAAGUAAUUAUCAAUCACGUUAAAGAGUAAUUAUAAUCGUCCAUGUCAUUUAUUGUUCUACCAAAGUCAUUGAAAAAAUAAAGAUUCUUUUAUGUAAACAACACAGUAGCUCUUAAUUUUUAAUAGAACCUAAACAAGCAAUUAGGAACGUACGCCAAUAACAUAAAUAAAUCCAGCUUAGUAUGUAAAUUUUAAACACAAUGGAGAUCUAAUAACUUCUCUGCAGUACAAGGUAGGGAUUCCUCUGCUUUAGUUGCAUGGUACCGAUGGAAGUAUUAUUAUCUUCUAUUUUAAAAAAUUUCAGAUGUAGAAAUAACAUGAAAAGGAGUAAAAAGAAAUCAAUAAUAUUGAAUGCAAUGCGUUCGGGUGUUUAAGGGUAAGUAGAAAACAACAACUAGACAAUGCGUUCGGGUGUUUAAGGGUAAGUAGAAAACAACAACUAGACAAAUAUUGGCUUAUGUGAUUAAGUAGCUAAAACCAACACUUCCCUGGUGCUAUUAUGUACCAAAAUAUCAGUAUAUAAUGGGUUUUUGAUUAUGAUGGGGUUAUUUUUUUUUUUUACCAAAAUAGGGUUCGUUUAAAAAAAAUUACAAAUUUAGGUAAGUGGUGCCAAUUUGGCAUGACUUCAUACACAGAAAUUGUUCCAAUUUGACACGACUCUGUCAUGUCAUACUAAAGUCGUACCAACUUGGCACGACUUUUGCCCUAUCAUACUGAAGUCGUGUCAACUUGACACGACUUCUGCCACGUUAUACGGAAGUCGUGCCAACUUGGCACGACUUCUGCCAUGUCAUAAUUUUUUUUUUAAUUUUAUUGUUUAUAUAUUGGGUAGUAAGUUAUGUAAUGUUAAAAAUUAAUUUGAUACAUAAUUUUCUAAGGGUGUUAGUUUUAAGGAAAACAAAACUGGAUAUAUAAUUAUUUUUAAAUUAUUUAAUUAUUUCAAAAUAAUUACAAAUUAUUUAUAUUAUUUGACUUAUUUAAAAUUUAUAUAAUUAUUUUUAAAUUAUUUAAUUAUUUCAAAAUAAUUACAGUAAUUAUACCUUUUUAUAUUUUAAUAUAAAUGACAUUAAAAAAAUUAACAAGUUUAAAAAAUGUAUUAUUUGAAUUGUGAUAAAAAAAAUUAUUACUUCAUAACAAAAUGAAUAAUUGUGAUACACGAUUAUCCAAUUUUUUGUUCCUUAAAACUAUGACUCUUAGAAAAUUAUGUAUCAAAUUAAUUUUUAACAUUACAUAACUUACUACCCAAUAUAUAAAUAAUAAAAUAUAAAAAAAAAAUGACGUGGCAGAAAUUGUGUCAAGUUGGCACGACUUCAGUAUGACAUGACAAAGUCGUGUCAAAUUGGGACGAUUUGUACAUAUGAAAUCGUGCCAAAUUGACACGACUUGCCUAAAUUUGUAAUUUUUUUAAACGGACCAUAUUUUAAUAAAAAAAAAAAAACCUCAUUAUGGCCAAAAACCCGUAUAUAACAGCAGCCCACAAAUAUAAUGAAAAUGCAAAUACCAUAAACAUUCUUUGACUAAGAAUAAUCAACCUGUAUCAAAUGCUACAGAAAAACUAAGAUAAGCUAAGUUCACCUAUUAAAUGGCUAUAGUGGGACCACCAAUUGAAGAAGCAACGUUGCUAUGCUAUAUUUCGCAGGCAAAGGCAAAGAUUAUGUUGCAGGGAAGGGUGAGUAUGGGAUACUUGCUGCUGCUUCAACAGUUGAAGCCAACAAAGAAUUGGUAUAAGCCUGCCAAGAAACAGCACUAUUUUAAUUUGUCAAGAUUAUUGUCAGAUCUUAAACAUUUUAAUUUGGUUUUCAUUUCAUUUUUUAUUGUCAGUUCUUAUACAACUUGUUAUUUCCCAACAACACCACUCUACAUAAGAGCAUCUUUACCGGGUAUUAAAACAACAAACUACCACCGAAAUCAUUUAUUAAAUUGCAAAUAUCUUCUACUCAUAGCACCGUGUCCAUACAUAACUUAGUAACUAACCAUUUCUUAUCGAUAUGCUCUGUUUCUCAAAUGAUAUCUUGCAGCCUAGUAGAUAUAUUUUGUAGAAUUGCAAACACAAACAAUUGAAUCCAAACUUUAAGCCUACACAGUUAUUUUGAAUCAAAUUAAUGAGUUUCCACAGUAGUGUUAGUAAACAUUUUUUUCAAAAUCAAUUUUUAUACAUGUCAAAGAAACAAUUCAAAAUAAUUUUUUAUACAUGUUAAGCAAACAAUCACAAAUCUCUCUUACCACUUACACUUUCAAAACAAUUUAGUAAACAAUAUUUGAUCCUAAACAAAUUCAAAACCAAAUUUUAUACCAAUUUGAGGCACAUAGAACACUACAUAGCAGAUAAAAAUCUGAAAUCACUUUGGAAAGUACCAUCAAUGACUACAUAGAGAACAAAAGCACACAAAAAUUAAAAGAAUGAUGCAUACCAGAGGAUUGAUCUUCUUAGAAUCACUGUUAAGCUUAUUCAUAGCAUCAUGCAUGCAAUCCAGAACAGUCACAGCAAAGACUUCAGCAAAAUCCUGAGGUGAGGAGAAAAAAAAAGGUUAAAGAAAGAAUAGAAAUAAUUUUAUAUCAGGCAUUAUAUCAACUGCAAAUUGCAUAUAAAAAAACUGAUUUCCUUUUAUUAGUUUAUCUGGACAAAAGCAUAGUGACUAAGCUUAAUCAUAAGAUACAUUGUAUGAAAUGAGAAGCUGGUACAGUAUAUGCCAAACAUCAACCAUAAAAGAGGGGAAUACUGAAACCUUGUUUUAUUAUUCAAUAUAUACACUACGCAAAAGGCUACCCAAUUUUUGAAAAACAGAGUGACACAUUAGGGAGAGAAGUAAACAAAACACUCUUGAAUUUACCACAAAAAGUCGGUUUCAUUUGGAAAAACAGUUGUAUUUCUGGAAUAUGCUUUAUGUAUUGCCAAUCCUCUCCCGUUUCCCUCUUGCACCGCUUCUUCAGAUAUGGACAUUCGCGUAUAUUUAAAGAAGACAAGUUGGUGAGGCGUUGAAUACUACUCGGUAUUGACCUCAGCUCCUCACAAUACCCAAUCUCUAAUUUUUGAAGAGAAGUCAUGUCUCCCACCCAGUCCGGCAAUGAAGUAGAUCGGGUAACUGAAUAUAUCCAAAGUUCGUAGGGAGGGGCACAUUGUAAGCCAUAGGGUAACGUGGAGCAAUGGUGGAUUCUGACCGUUCGAAGGGCAGUUAGUUGGGUCAUAUUGCUUGGUAGAGUCACCAGCUCUGGACAAUUCAUGAUACUCAAACUCUCCAAACAUGUCAAAUGUCGCACACCUUCAGAUAAUGAUUUCAAUUUCUCACCGUUGGUAAUAAUCAAACUUCUAAGUGAGGUCAGACCUUCCAACCCGUGUUCUGAAAAAUACUCCAGACUAUCACAAGAAAUAAUGUGUAGUUCCUGUAGUGCACCCAACCCGCUGAGUUGGUCGGGUAAUACCACCACUCCUCUAAUAAUAUGCAAGGUCUUUAGACAAGGCAUAUUCUCCACAACCCCUUCCAUCAAGGAAGCAGCUUCGAAAAUAGAUACCUUCUCAACAGAAGGAAGACGUGGAAAUUUAAGGUUGGAGAUGCCACCAAUACGUAAUAGGGAAAGACGAGGGAGCAUCUCUACUCCUUCUUCCCUCAACAUCCUCUCCAUUUUUGGUAAGUUCUCCAAACUCAAUUCCACCAACGAUGGAAAUGCCUUCUCCUCCACACCAUCAUACGACUCAUCAUCUAUCCACUUCACAUUUUUCAUUCCACCCACUUUUAGCCUUUUCAACUGUUGUAGUUUACCAAGUGGAGGAAGCUCCUCACAGUUGUCACAGUUCAAGAGUGUAACUUCCCCCAAGUCUCUCAGAACUGGACCACUUCUCAUCCAACUUGAUAACUGUCUCCCCUGAUAUCCUCUCAUCCCAAAACUCUUUAAACUUGAGGGAGGUUGCAGGGUUCUAGUACUCUUUCAACGUUAACAUUACUACCUUUUGAAUUAGCACUACCACCCCAUGACAAGUCUAGGAUAUUCAAGUCCUUCUUACCAAUCAAAUUUGCUUGUUUAGCAUCCCAUUCAUUGGGGACCUUCUCAAGGCCUUCGAUUCUCAGCGUGCCUCCCAGCUUUAAGCUAUGCAACUCUGAUAACCCACACCCUAACUUUGAACCCACAACAAAAGUGCUCAGUGUUCUUAGAUGCCUUAACUUGCCAAUAUUCGGAGGCAUCUCUGAUAUUGAAUAACAGUUAUUAAUCACAAUAUGUCUUAGAUCCUGUAAUUGCGUCAAUUCUUUGGGCAGCCUAAGGUGGUAGAGAUGUUGUAGUUUCAAUAUUUGCAAUUUCGGCAACUGACAAAUUAAUUUAUGUAAGCCUUUUCCAGAACCCCAAUUCCAACUCAAGUAUCUCAAAUGUGCUAAAUCCUUGACUGGGAACACUGAAUAAGAAGUUGUGCAUAGUGCUCGGAGACAAUGGGUUGAUGGCACCAGGCCAAUAUCACCCAAAUCUAGAAAAGUCCGAAGGGAUUCAACUUUCUUGAAAGCAGUUUUCUUGAAAGCAGUUUUCUUGAAAGCAGUCAUAUCAACAACCAUCUUAGAAUUGAACAAGCUUGCAUAGUGAACUCUAGUUGACAACGGAGUCAACCUUCCUUUCUCAAUAAUCACACAUUCUUCACCCAUAAUAGACUGGGCAAGAUCAUGAAAUAGAUCAUGCAUCUUGCAACUUCUAAUCAUACCAAGCUUAUCAAACUUUGCUUCUUGAAAAAAUGAUCUACGGUAUAAUUUGUUCCACACUUUAUUUCCAACAUCCUCCACUUCUAUGUUUCCUUCAGAUUUAAUAAAUCCAUUAGCCAUCCAGAGAUGAAUUAGAUCUUCCUUGACUAUUUCAAAAUCUUUGGGAAAAAUUGCACAGAAAGAAAAGCAUAUCCUCAGAGACAACUCCAAAUUAGAAUAACUUAGUUUCAAAGCACGCAUAAUAGAAUUUUCCUCACAUAUAUUCCAAAUCUCACUUUCCUUUACAUUUUCCCAUUGGCUUACCUCACUUUCAUCACGCAAAAGGCUGCCCAGUGUUUUGAUUGCAAGCGGCGAACCAACGCAUUUUUUCACUAUCUCUUUGCCAAUUGCCACAAGCUCUUCCCGCCCUUUUCUGUUUGGUCCAAACGCAUGGCUUGUGAACAAUGACCAACUGUCGUCUCUUGAUAAUUCUUUCAAAUGGUAAGCGCCAUGCGUUCUAAUGGCUAAUGAAGUGGUAGAGGACAUCAGACGACGAGGGCAAAGUGGGCUAUGCCUAAAGGUCGACUUCGAAAAAGCGUACGACUCGGUUAGAUGGGAGUUUUUGUACGAUAUGAUGGGAAAGAUGGGGUUUCAUAGAAAGUGGAUCAGAUGGAUCCAGGGCUGUCUGGAAAGUGCCUCUAUCUCUGUGCUGGUGAAUGGAAGCCCGACAGACGAAUUUAAACCUGAGAGAGGGUUGAGGCAGGGAUACCCACUUGCCCCCUUUCUUUUUUUGAUAGCAGCGGAAGGCUUGUCAGGGUUGGUAAGGCAAGCUGUGAAGGCUAACUUACUAUCUGGUUUGAGGGUCGGGAGAAAAGAGGUUGAGAUAAGUAUCUUACAGUUUGUUGAUGACACUCUUUUCUUCUGUGAGGACUCUCUUAGUAAUGUGGUGACUUUAAAGGCUAUCCUUAGAGGGUUUGAGGUAGCGUCAGGCCUCAAGAUAAACUUCCACAAGUCCAGGAUUACAGGUAUUAAUGUGCAUAGGAACAACAUCCGCUGUUAUUUGAGGACCUUGAAUUGUGCGGAGAUGACAGUACCUUUCAAGUAUUUAGGGCUUGAGGUGGGAGGCAACCCGAGGAGGAAGAAGUUCUGGGAGCCAGUCAUUGAUAAGUUGGAGAGCAGGCUAAGCACGUGGAGAGGGAGGUUCUUAUCAAUGGCAGGUAGAAUCUGUGUUAUUAAAUCGGUGCUUACAGCAGUACCCCUGCACUACCUUUCCAUGUUCAAAGCACCUGUUUCGGUUUGUAAGAACAUCAAGCGUAUUCAAAGAAGGUUCCUAUGGGGCUGGGGGAAGGAAAAGAAAACCGAUCUCAUGGGUCAGGUGGGAAAAUGUGUGCAAACCAAAACAGGAAGGAGGGCUGGGGAUCAUAGAUAUACGUGAUUUCAAUUAUGCUCUGAUGGCAAAAUGGAAGUGGAGGUGGCUCUCAGAUGAAAAAGGAAGAUGGAAGGAUGUCUUGGAGUCGAAAUAUGGAGGAGGUGGUGAGGGGACUAACCAACCAUUAAAGCUGCAGUCUUGGUGGUGGAGGGACCUACAUAAAGUUUGUAUGGAGGGAGGAGGAGAGGGAUGGUUCCAAGCUGAAAUGGGUUGGAGGAUAGGGUGCAGUGACAGAGUGAAAUUCUGGGAUGACGUGUGGGUUGGGAAUACCAAUCUCAAAUCCGCGUUCCCCAGAUUUUACACCAUAUUAUGUAAUCAGUGUCAAACAGUGGAAGAGGUAGUCAUGUGGGAAGGGGACGUCUGGCGAUGGAACUUAAGAUGGAGGCGGGCCAGGUUCGAGUGGGAGUCGGUGAUGGAAACAGACCUAGUCUCAUAUAUUUCUAGGGCUGUUAUUACACGGCAGGAGCAAGACACUCGGGUAUGGGGGAUCAAUGAUAAGGGGUGUUUCUCAGUGAAAUCAGCUUAUGCGAGCAUAAGAGGAGAUGGCACCUGCAAUGCUGUUUUUGACCUCCUUUGGAAGGCCAAGGCUUUUCCCUCUGUUCUGACCACUGCGUGGGGGUCCUUACUGGAUAGACUACCAACUAGAGAAUGCCUGAGUAGGAGGGGGGUGACGAUGGAAUCCACUUUAUGCGAGUUUUGCCAUUCUAAAAUUGAAACCAGCCAUCACUUAUUUUUUGAGUGUCAAGUGGUAGUGCGUGUUUGGGACUUAUGUCAUAGAUGGCUAGGCAUCCUUUCUGUUCAACACAAUGGUCUGAGUAAUCACUUUGAAAGUUUCACUUUGAUUCAGGCCAGUAACAAACAAGACGAUUUGGAAAGGUAUCUGGACUGCUAUAGUACGAGUGUAUGGGAACAUAGGAACUUGGUCGCGUUCAAGCAAGGAGUUGUAGAUGCUGAAGAGAUGUUACAACAAGCUCAACUGAAAUCAUGGCUGUGGAUGAAGCAUAAGGUAUGCAGGUUCAAUUACUCUUUUGUGGAUUGGGUUUUAAACCCAAUCUUAUGUAUCAAGAGCUAUAAGUAAUGGACCUCCAAAGUAAAGUCCGGUCCAGGAAAGGCAGAAGGGUUUGUGGAAGAUUGGAAGAUCUGUAGGCCUGUUAGCAUUUGUGGUAAGAUCGUUGGGUUGUAGGUGCUGUGUUCAAUAGGCGCAAGCUAAGGCGCGACUGGGAUGGAUGGAGGCUAUGGUUCUGUUCGCUCGGCGGAAUGGCUAGGGCAUGCUCGAAGAGAUUGUUGCCUUGGCCUGGGGAGCUCUAUAAUUAACGGGGUAUAUGACUGUUACGUAACAUGGUGCAUGUAUGGACUGGUAUGGAGUAAGGAUUGUAGGGGAUGUCUGUGGUCGAUCGAAGUUAUGCAAAGGUCAACAUGAUCGUCGGUCGACGAAGCGGCGUUCUCCAUACGUGUGUAAUCGGUGGUCGCCGGUCGUUAUACAAGGAUAACAUGAUCGCCGGUCGAUGACACGACGAUCUCCAUGCGUGUGGAGUCAGUGGUCGUCGAAGUUAUGCAAAGGUCAUCGCGGGUCGACGAAGCGGCGUUCUCCAUAUGUGUGUAGUCGGUGAUCGCCGAAGUUAUACAAGGUUAACAUGAUCGCCGGUCGAUGAAACGGCGAUCUCCAUGCGUGUGUAGCUGGUGGUCGUCGAAAUUAUGCAAAGGUAAACAUGACCUCCAUGGUCGAUGAAAUGGCGAUCUCCAUGCGCUAGUCGGUGGUCGCCGAAGGCAAAGGUAAACAUGAUCGCCGGUCGAUGAAGCGGCGAUCUCCAUGAGCGCGUAGUCGGUGGUCGGUGAAGUUGUGUAUCAUUGCCGUAUUCGAAGAACGGAAGAUCAGGUACUGAAAAUCACUGAGGUAGACACAUCGCCGGGUUUGUGCUGGUUCGAUAAAGAUGUCUGUUAACCUUAAUAAGAGCAAUGAGAUGGGGAUUUCCCGAGUGGAUCCUCCUCGAGAGCAGGGUUUACUUAGGUCAAAGCAUACAUGGCGAGAAGCAUUGGCGACAGGCGAUCUUGCUUGGGUAUAUUUUUGGGUAUGUUUUUCUCACUUUAAGGUUGUUUUGUUCCAACCAUAAAGGAGAGAUAGGAAGUCCUUUUGUGGUUUUUGUAUAUGGGUUGGGAUACCCCUGAAGUAUCCCCUUUAAUUUUAUUUAUUCAUUGCUGAUAAAAAAAAAAAAAGUAAUAUCAACAGACACCUUAGAAUUUGACAAGCUUACAUAGUGAACUCUAGUUGGCAACUGAGUCAACCUUCCAUUCUCAAUAAUCACACAUUCUUCACCCAUAAUAGAUUGGGCAAGAUCAUGAAAUAGAUCAUGCAUCUUGCAACUUCUAAUCAUACCAAGCUUAGCAUACUUUGCUUCUUGAAAAAUUGAUCUACGGUAUAAUUUUUUCCACACUUUAUUUCCAACAUCCUCCACUUCUACGUUUCCUUUAGAUUUAAUAAAUCCAUUAGCCAUCCAGAGAUGAAUUAGAUCUUCCUUGUCAAUUUCAAAAUCUUUGGGAAAAAUUGCACAAAAAGAAAAGCAUAUCCUCAGAGACAACUCCAAAUUAGAAUAACUUAGUUUCAAAGCACGCAUAAUAGAAUUUUCCUCACAUAUAUUCCAAAUCUCACUUUCCUUUACAUUUUCCCAUUGGCUUACCUCACUUUCAUCACGCAAAAGGCUGCCCAGUGUUUUGAUUGCAAGCGGCGAACCAACGCAUUUUUUCACUAUCUCUUUGCCAAUUGCCACAAGCUCUUCCCGCCCUUUUCUGUUUGGUCCAAACGCAUGGCUUGUGAACAAUGACCAACUGUCGUCUCUUGAUAAUUCUUUCAAAUGGUAAGCGCCAUGCGUCUCCAUGGUGGAAACAACUUCCUGGAGUCGAGUGGUGACCAAAAUGGUAGCUCCUUUUGCUGCCCUUGCACACUGCAACUUCCCCUUCAACUGCUUCCAUUUCUCUUGGUCUUCAUUCCACACAUCAUCAAGAACAAGUAAAUACCUCUUGCUCUGCAACACUUCUUCAACCUUUUUCCGCACUGCUUCUAAGGUAUUGAGAUUGGGAUUUUGUCCAAUGCAACAUUCUAUGAUGGAUUGUAGUAUUGUCAUUGUGUUGAAAUCAUCAGAAACACAAACCCAAAUUGUCAAGUCAAAAUGGUUGCAUACCCUGUGAUCAUUGAAGACCUGCUUGGCAAGUGUUGUUUUGCCAAGUCCACCCAUACCAACUAUAGGAUACGGAGAGGUCUUCACUGUUACUGGCAUCUUCCAAAAGAAAUUUCACAAUUUGCUCUCGAUCUUCGUCUCUGCCAUAGACUCUAGGUUCUGUAAUGUCAGAGCUAGUUGGGCGCCAAUAACCAUCAUCAUCAUCAUCCAGUGCUUGCUUCUCUGUGACACCAUCAUCACGUAACUCAAACAUGCGUCUUUCUUCAUUAAUGUCGUGAAAUCUUUGGGUGAUGUCUUUCAUCCUCUUUCCAAUAUGAAAACGAAAGAGAAUGUCCCUGAAAUGCACACGGGCCAAGCAUGAACUUCGUCCAUCAUCAGAGAGCACCUUUUUGGAUUGAAGUGAACAUUCAUCCAAGAUAUCAUCAAGCACAUAUGUUGCAUCUGUGAGUUUCUGCAGCCAAUUCUUCACAGUAUGGCUUGUUAUUUACUUUCUCUCAGCGUCUGUGAGGACAGCACGGAUUGCGGUGAGAUUGCUGGAAAGCUUUUGAGUCUGUUGAUCAACACCCAAUAAGUUGUAAGUUGGUCUUUAACAGCAGAUUGCAAGUUUUGAAUCACAGUUCCCAGCAAAGCGUCAGCCAUUGGAAGGAAGGAGAAUUUGAAUGAAGAAAAGGUUGGUGAUUGAUUAUGGAGAAGAGAGGCAACGAUGAGUCAAUAAUAUUUUGGUUAGAAAGAAUUUCUUAUAUAAUUUAAUUUUCUUGGGCAGAAUGAUUGGAAUAUAAUUAUGCAUCAUUUACACGACUAUAUUCAUUAUAUAAGCAAAGUAUAUCUUAUUUUGAAGUUUACAUGAUUACAAUGAAAAGUAUAUAAAUAUAUUCAUACUGUGAAAAAAAAGAGAGAGAAUAAAAGUAGAUGAACAUCUUAAAAUAAAAUUCCAACCCUAUGCAAUCCUUCUUAUUGCACGUCAAGAAUAAUUUGUGAUCCCAAAAUAUAUUGAAUUCAUUACGGAAGUUAAUCAUUUCUUGAAUAUAUCAUUUAUUGAAUAUAUGUAUACCUCCAACUUCAAAAUUGUUUGAGUUACUAAAACAUAAUUACAAAGUCAUAGUUAAGCUAUUCGUACUUAAGAUUUGUUUAUUUAAAAAAAACAAUUAAAAAUAGACAAAAAAAAUCAUCUCCUAGCAUUAUUUAUUUGAGAAAUAGAUGAAAAAUAAUUUUAAAAUACUAAAUGUAACAAAGAAAAAAAUGUAGAGAAUAGAAAUUUUAAAUCAACACCCACUGAAUCAAUAUCCUAAUUUCCUUAUACUUAACCACAAAAUGACUUUCUUAUGAUAAAUUAUUAAUAAAAUAAAUUUGUAAUGUAUCUGGUAAGUAAAAAAAUUAGAAUAUGAAAAUUGAUUGUGAAUUACAACCUAACAUUAGAGCCCUUUCAGAGAAAAAGCAACAUGUUUCAUAUUUUCUUUAUUUCUCAAUGCGUACCUAAAAAUAUUAUAUCUUAAAACUUUUACAGGUUUUUUUGAGUUUUAGUUUUACAAAUUUUCUACUUUACACAAAUUAUUCAUAUUUUAUUAUUUUAAAUUAUCACCGUAUUUUUCUUAACUUUUGUAUUUUAACUCAUUUUAAAGUUUACAAUACUUUAUAAAAUAUGUUAUAAUAUAAAAAUGUUUUACAAGUUUUUUAAAGUUUAAGUUUUUUUGUUUAUUUUGUUUUUCAAAAAGAUAGUCUUAUUUCUUUAUCCUUGACUAUAUGUUUAAAAUUAAAAAAUGAAUUAAAUUUUGUAUUUGAUAAUUAAUCUUUCUAAUAUGUUAUUUUUAGAUAUUAAAUUCUAAAUUCAUAACGAUACCUAUGUUAUAUGUUAUUUUAUCUAUGUUUAGAGAUUCAACCUUGACUUAAAAUAAGACUAAAUUAUAUUUUUAAUAUAUAUAAAAUGAGAGUGUAAAUUUUAUCUUACAGAUUUGUUUGUGAUAUUAAAUUUUAUCUUCCUUUUUAAAAUGAUAAAGUACAUAAAAAAAUAUAUCUUAUUAGAUUUGAUGAAACUAUUAUAUCAUUUAUUAUUUAACUUCUAUUACAUCACUCAUAAAAAAUUUAUUCUUGAAAAAUUUAUUCUCACGUUCAAGUUGAUCAAUCCUGGAUACGAGAGAUUGUGAUGAAGAUUUCACCUUAAUUAAGGAUAACAAAAUAUUGGAUGAUGUUAUAAGUAUUAAGUAACAUGUUAUUUAUAAAAAGUGAUCAUAUUAUAAUUAUCACUACAAGAAAAUCAUCAAAUAGAAACCAAUUUUUAGAAACCAAAAUAAUUAGUUGCAAUAGUAACUAAAUUAGAAACCAUAUUUUAGAAACUAAAACAAAAAUUGGUUUCUAAAUUAGUUUAUAUUAUUUUCUAUUAUUGUUAAAUAGUUUCUAAAUUGGUCUUUAAUUAGCAACCAAGGUUUUAGAGACUAAAUAUCUAAUUAGCAACCAAUGUUUUAUCUACACGCCGGUCGACGCAAAGAUGUNNNNNNNNNNNNNNNNNNNNNNNNNNNNNNNNNNNNNNNNNNNNNNNNNNNNNNNNNNNNNNNNNNNNNNNNNNNNNNNNNNNNNNNNNNNNNNNNNNNNGGGUUUUAGAGACUAAAUAUCUAAUUAGCAACCAAUGUUUUAUCUACCAAUUAUUUAGUUUCUAAAUUUAGUCUCUAAAACCUUGGUUGCUAAUUAAAGACCAAUUUAGAAACUAUUUAACAAUAAUAGAAAAUAAUAUAAACUAAUUUAGAAACCAAUUUUUGUUUUAGUUUCUAAAAUGGUCUCUAAUUUAGUUACUAUUGCAACUAAUUAUUUUGGUCUCUAAAAAUUGGUUUCUAUGUCGUGAUUUUCUUGUAGUGUAUCAUGCAACUUAAUUCUAAAAGUAUUAAGCAUCAUGUUAAAAAAACAUCAAUAUCUUAAAAAUUAUAUCAAUAAAUAAAUAAAUAUGUUAGAUGUUAUAUAUAAAUCUUAAUAUACGGACUAAUUCAAUCACAAUUAAUUUUAAUGAUCACUACACGAAAAAUUCAAUUUAUGUACGGAAAAAAUCCGUAGGUAACAGAACCCUGGUAAAACUUGAAGCCAAGUUCCUUGAACAAGGUCCAUAAAAGCUUUAAUCAUUACACCACUCAAGUUUUAUUGUCAUGUUAAGAUUAUUAUUACUUAUGAGUAUAAUUAUCAAUAUUAAUAUUAUUAAUAUUAUUAAAUAUUAUUAAUUUUAUUAAAUAUUAUUAUUACUAAUAUUAAUAAUUUUGUUAUAUUAUUAAUAUCAUUAAUAUUAUUAUUAUUAUUAAUAUUAUUCAUAUUAUUAAUAUAAUACUAAUUAUAUUAUUUAAAUUAUUAUAUUAAUAUUAUUAAUUUUAUAAUAUUAAUAAUAUGUACACUUAUUAGUUAUGGUUAUUAUUAUUUAUGAAUAUUAAUUAUGAUUUUAUAAUUCUUCAUAUUAUAAUAAUAUUUUUAAUAUUAUAUAUAUAAUUAUUAUGAUAAUAGUUUGUAGAUAAUAGAAAUUCGUGGGUGAUAGUUCGUAAGUAAUAUUGAUUCGUGGGUAAUAGUUGGUAACAGAGAUCCGUAGGUAAAAGUUGGUAGGUAAUAAGAUUUGUGGGUAAUAGUUGGUUGGUAAUGUUGAAUUUACCUACGAAUUCAGAAUUUGUGGGUAAUGUCUUGAAUUUACCUACGGACUCAGAUUCGUGGAUUAAAAUUUGUAGAUAAUAUUAAUUUUUUUUUGUAAUGAUGUUUGUAUCAGUUCAAGUUUCAAAAUUUCUAAUAAUUUACUAUCUCGAGAUGGUUUUAACCAAUAACUAAUUUUAAAUAUAGUGAUUGCUUCUUCACGGUAUAUUUUAUUUUGAAGCUUACCAAAGUAGGAUGAAAAAUAUAUAAAUGUAUUAAAAAAUAUAUUAACAUCUUCAAAAAAAAUUCCAUCACCUUAAUGAUGAAAUCCCUUCUUGUUGUAGCUCAAGAAUAAGUUGUCAUUAAGGAAAUCCAUAACCCAUUAGUAAAUUAAUCUUUGAAACAAUGCAACAUUCUAUCCUUUUCUUUUAUCUUUUAGAUAUGUCAAUCAAAGUUACAAAUUUGUUGAACCUAAAGUUAUUCAUUUAGGAGGGAGAAACACCAAUCCAAUAUGAAGCUAAAUUGUCUUAUUAAAAAUACAUGAACUAGGUUAUAACCUCUAAAUGAUAUAAUGUGUUUCUGCUUGUAUUGUUCCAGCAUUGUCUUCUUCCACUGAACGAGACUACUGCCGAGUUCUUGGUGUGUUCUUGGUGUUCCUGAAUAUGCCAGUUAGGACGAGAUGAAGAAGACAUUUCUUGUUUUGUAUGGCUUAGACAAAUAUUGAUUGAUGAAAUCUAUGCAUGUUAGGCUAGGUAAAGCGAAGGUGAAGUCUAUUGGAAGAUUGUCAUGUGUUUUUUGGGCAAUGAGAGGAUGAUUCAAUUUCAUUUAGAACACUUUUUGUCGGAGAGAUGAAAUUUCAUUUCAAUUGCUUUGUACUUGGUAACAUCAAUGUCAAAUUACUCUAUUCUCGAUCAGAGGAAUAUUUUAUUUCGAUUACUUUGUACUUGUUAGGAGUGACAACAAUGGCAAAUUAGAUGAUCUAUUAUCAGUCACGACAAUAAUUUAAUGUUACCGAACCAGGUUUAGCUAUAAGGAUAGGGAAAUCUUAUAAUUAAUAAGGUUUAACCGUUCAUAUGCUUGUUAACCUAUAAAAAACAUGUAUGGAGGAAUAUUUUUUUUGUUUGAGAACUCGUGAAGGCAAGACGGGGACUUUCUUAUAAGGAUAGGUUUCCAUUAAGACUCAUCUUUGAGUUCAUGUUUAAUUUGGUCCUCGAUGUGCGUUCAAGAGACAAAAACUAUUUUUAAAUGAUAUUUUCUGUGGACAUUAUAGUUUUGAUGGAGGAAACAAGGUAGAUGUUAACUAUAAAUUUGGGUUUUGGAGAUUGGCAUCAAAACCAAAGGUUUUUCCUUGAGAAGGGGUACUACGCAUGCAAUAUAUGCAAUUUUUUAGCAAAAAAACAAUAGAAAAAUUACUUGAAAGUAGAAAUUGGAAAUGUCUAACAUAUUACAGAAUUUUUAGGAAAUUAAUGAAGAUGUCAUCAAAGGAGAAAACAUUGAGAGUUGUAUGAGAGCACAAAUCUCCUACCAAGCUAAAAGAGAAGUUUUUUCGUAUUGCAGUAUGAUAGUAGGAUUAAUUAUACUCUAUUGUGAAUCUUGAGCUUUUAAGAAAUAGUGAGAGAGAGAAAUUAGAGAAGAAAAAAUGAGUUUGUUAAGAUGAAUGUGUUGUUGUAAAAAAAAGGACAUAAUAGAGGAUGAUUGGUUAAGAAAAGAUAUUGGUGGUAACUUAAGUGUGACAAUGAUUGAGGAAAAGAUAAUAUAAAAUCAGUUUUUAUGGUUUCGAUAUGUGCAAAGGCAGCCACUGGUGUGAGGAGAGUGGAUCUCAUGGUUUUUACUUUGAAAAGAAGGGACAUAGGGAGGCUAGAAUUGCAUUGUAGGAAAUUAUUAAAAGGGAUCUCAUGCUGAAUAAUGUUCCUAAGAAUUUGCAUUUCAACUGAGCCUAAUUAUAUUGUGUUAACCAUGUAGCUGAACUCUUGUGAAAUAAAGCUAAUUUUGCUGAGCACUACAUUUUCUCUAGUUCUUACUUCAUUUUUAUCUAAUUUAGGAGAGGAAAAAUUUCAUACCAAGCACAGGUUAGUUCAGACUUAUCAGUCUUCUAUAGGUGCAGCUAAAAAGAUAUCUAUAACACAUAACAUUAUAAUAAAUUGUGGUCCACAGUGAGACUGAUCAAAUCAUUUCUUUUCCUGCCUACAAUCAUGUCAAGAGUAAUUGUUAAUGGUCCAAGUCAUUCAUUGUUCUACCAAAGUCAUUUAGAAAAUAGAGAUUCUUCUAUGUAAACAACACACUAGCUCUUAGUUUUUAAUAGAACACUAAGCAACCAUUUAGGAACAUACGCCAAUAACAUAAAUAAAUCCAGCUUAGUAUGUAAAUUUUAAACACAAUGGAGAUCUAAUAACUUCUCUGCACAAAACCAAACAGUACAAGGUAGGGAUUCCUUUCGAUUCCAAAAUACAUACAAGUCUCUUGAGAUAACAUCACUAGCGUCUAUCACUGCAUCUGAUGUAUUGUCCAUUCUAAAAUUCGGAGUUUCAUUUCGGUUUUGUCUUUAAAAGAAUUUUCGGUUUUGUUCUUACAUCACAAUCAAAUGCAUGUAUCUGAUGGUUUGAAUAUAGUACAUUGUAUCUAAGAAACGAAUAUAUGGUACUAAACAAUUAAUUCAACAAAAAAGUGACAAACUUUCAAUUUGGCAUUACAUAAGUGUAUGAACCCUCUAAGUAAUUCAACCUCAAAAAUCAAAUAGAUCAGACAUAUAUAAGAGAAGCAUCAAGGUAGCCAAAAAGCAUUUGUUUACUGUAUCAAUAAUUUUUGAAGGACUAAUGUUUAUGCGUGGCAGCAGUGAAGUUUAUACAUGGAAUCCUCGGAAGCAAAUUUGCCACUUUUCUCUACUUUUCUUAGUAGCAACCAUGGCAAAUUAAAAGGGUUCUGACUACUGCUUAGGCUUUUUUUUUUUGUGGAAAAUUCUGCAGCAACCAUGGCAAAUCAAAAUCUAUGGGUUGGUUUUGUUAUGUCUUCUUUUCAUGUGAUUGCCGAUUCUUAUAUAAGGAUUGAGAUCCUGAAGUAUUCCUCUUAAUUUUAUUUUAUUUUUUAUUGAUAAAAACAAAUAAUUUUUUAAAAUUUCAUUUAACAUGUACUUCACAUUCGCCAUUACACUAGGAACAUAGUCCAAAAAAGAAAUCACAAACACUCUCACCGUUCCCUUGGCAAAGCAUGGUGUAGGCAUGCAUUGAUAGGAAAGAGUUAUAAUAUUCUUUUAUUUAUUUUGUUGGAAAAAGUAGUAUUCAUUGUAUGUUAGUUUUUCUUGGUAGUUUUAGUCUUAUAGCCCCAGCAUAACUUUCAAACAUGUAUAGUUGUAUAAUAUUUUAAUUUUACUUUUUAAAGACUUAUUUGGCAAUGGAAGCUGGUUACACAGAGAAAGUCGAUGAACCAUGUCAAUGGUACUCCCUAGACAGGUUUCUGGACAUCGAAGGUAAGUAUAUAAUGAACAUGUAAAUACCAGUACACAUUCUUUGACUAAGAAUAAUCAACCUGUCUCAAAUGCUAUAGAAAAACUAAGAUAAGCUAAGUUCACCUAUUAAAUGGCUAUAGUGGGACCACCAAUUGAAGAAGCAAUGUUGCUAUAGUUCUUGUUUCUUCUCUCAGGGUAGAUCCUUUUAAGGCAUGCUUUCUUGUGACAAUGAAAACAUUAAAACUUGAUUUGAGAUUGAUUUAAGGAUUUAGAUUUAUGCUUGUUUAGUUUGGAAUUUCUUUUCUCUGAUCUGCCCCACAUAAUAUUCAAAUAUUCUGCAUUAUUUUUAGUUUUCAUCUCUUCCGCUUUUGAGAUUUCUUUAUUUGAAUUGAGCACUGCACAUGAAAAGUGAUUGUUUGAUCUCUUCCAAACGAAAUAACAUCCUAGAAGUGCUCAUAUGAAUUUGGUAGAGUAUUAAAAAGAAUACGAGCCUUAUCUUCAUUCUAGAGUUUCAUUUCAAGAUUAGGCACUGAAAAAUGAAAAAGGACAGUGGCAGAAGAAAGACAUAAGUGCAUCUUUACAGGGUUUUAAAACAACAAACUACCACCGAAACCAUUUAUUAAAUUGCAAAUAUCUUCUGCUACUUGUAGCACCGUGACCAUACAAAACUUAGUAACUAACCAUUUCUUAUCAAUAUGCUGUUUCUUAAAUGAUAUCUUGCAGCCUAAUAGAUAUAUCCUUGCAGAAAUGCAAACACAAAGAAUUGAAUCUAAACUUUAAGCCAACACAGUUAUUUUGAAUCAAAUUCAUGAGUGUCUACACUGGUGUUAGUAAGCAAUUUUUUCAAAAUCAAUUUUUAUAAUGUUAAAUAAACAAUUCAAAAUAAAAUUUUGUACAUGUUAAGCAAACAAUCACAAAUCUCUCUUACCACUUACACUUUCAAAACAGUUCAGUCAACAAUAUUUGAUCCUAAACAAAUUCAAAACCAAAUACUAUACCAAUUUGAGGCACAUGGAACACUAUAUAGCAGAUAACAAUUUGAAAUCACUUUGGAAAGUACCAUCACUGACUACAUGGAGAACAAAAGCAAAGAAAUAUUAAAAGAAUGAUGCAUGCAUGAGGAUUGAUCUUCUUAGAAUCACUGUUAAGCUUAUUCAUAGCAUCAUGCAUGUAAUCCAGAUCAGCCACAACAAAGACUUCAGCAUAAUCCUGAGAUGAGGAGAAAAAAACAUUAGAAAUGAUUUUAUAUCAGGCAUUAUAUCUCCUAGAAAUUGCACAUAAAAAAAACGGAUUUCCUUUUACUACUUUAUCUGGACAAAAACAUUACUGACUAAGCUGAAUCAUAAGAUACAUUGUAUGAAAUGAGAAGACAUCAAACAUAAAGUGGGGAUACAGAAACCUUAUUUUAUUAUUCAAUAUAUACACUACGCAAAAGGCUACCCAAUUUUUGAAGGACAGAGUGACACACUAGGGAGAGAAGUAAACAAAACACUCUUGAAUUUACCACAAAAAGUUUUAGGAUGACGUGAAUCGAGUGGUCUAAUUUAUCAAGAGUUUCUUUAUAGACAUUCGGAAUUCGCGUAUCAUAAACUGAUUGUUUUAGACACAAACAUGUAGGAAUAGGCAUUUGACUACAUUUCAAUCAUACUAUAUCAACACAAAUCUUAAGUACACAACCGUAAGUCAAUGAGCCAAAAACUAAUAGACGAUUAUAGGUGUAAAACUCGUAUCAAUAUGAAAAUUCAAUAGUUUCUUAAUAGGGAAUAUAUGAUAGUACACUACCUUGAGCUAAGAGAGUUGAUUCGAUAAAAAACUACUAAUGUAUUAAUCAUUGUACACAGUCACUCAGUCUGAAGUCGAUGCAAUGAAGAGAUUGAUCAUAUUUUUAAGAAGUAGAAUCUAGAGAUGGAGUGCAUGUGAUGCAAUCACAAACAAUGAAAGAUGCAGGUGUGAGAAUAGAAAAGGAGUUCUGGCCACUUGGACAUGACUCACUCAUACUCAACCAUAUAGUCAAACAAACUAAAUUUACCCAUGCUUUCCCCGUUUCCCUCUUGUACAGCUUCUUCAGACAUUGAAAGCUACUUGGUAGUGAUCUCAAUUCCUCACAUUCCAAUAUCUUUAGUUCCUAUAGUGCACCCACCCUACUAAUUAAGUUGCUCCGGCAGUACCUUCAGAUUUUUCAUGGAUGCAAUUACCAACUUCUUUAGACAACCCAUAUUCUCCCCAACCCUUUCCAUGAAACAAGUCGUUGCCUCACCUAUGAUGGUGAACAUAAUAAUAACAAUGAUAAUAAUAAUAAUAAGAUUUUUUUUUUUAUCAGCAAUAAAUAGAUAAAAUUAAGAGGGAUACUUCAGGGUAUCCCAACCCGUAUACAUCAACCACAUAGUUACACUCCCCUUUAUGGCUUAGGGGAGACAACCGUUGUGUGGCAAAACCUGCUUAAAAAACUGUAAUCACAGAACAACAAACCAAUUUGCAUCAUCAUGACAGAGGACCUACACGGUUAUGACAGCAACCUAAAUAAUUGCUACACAAAAGCAGCAGUACAUUAUACACCUUGGCAUCCAAACACCGCUACACCACCUUGGCCUCACCUACACCCUUACCUACAUCCACACCUAUACUUCCUACCUUUCACCUUUAUCCCAUUACCCUUCACAAAAAGACCUCCACGCCUCACUUUAUCAACUAAUAUACUUGUCAACAAAGAGAGCACCAAAGAAUGACCAGCAAAGGACCACUAAACAACAUAGAGUCUUCCACUUAUAACUCCAGCUCUAAGUAACCUCUCUAUCCAUCUCCAACCAGCAGCCACACAAGCCCUUAUGUUCAUAGCCAUCCACUUCAAACCAGCCAAGAGCAUGAUGUAGCACUAGGUUAAACGCCACACUUCCACACUAAUAGCAGGACCGUGUCUUGCACUCACUGCACGACAGCAUCGCUCUACUGCUUCAAACUGUUUUUGUACAUCCUGCUAGAAGUCUUACUUCCAAUCUGUUUUUGUACACCCUACUAAAAGCCUUACUUCAGCUGCUGCCACACCUGGUGUGCGUGACACGACUCCAGCAGCAGCUGCCACCUCCACAACACUUUCAUCGACCAUAUCUGAACAUCUCCAGCUAGAGCUGACUGGGUCUAAGAAUAAGCAGCUACUACCCUGGACUACACUGCAGCAUUGUACAUCUUCUUUGACUGCUGGGGCACCACAACCAUACCAACAUACUUGCUUUCCUUACCUAGAUGCUCUCCAUUUCCAGCAAGCAACAUGUUCCUGCAUUCACCACAAUAAAAACCACCCCGAAACGGGUUACAACACUACAUAUUCCCGCUGUCCAGACAUACUCUCUCAUACCCCCAAGGAACUCAAUCCUGCUCCAUAACAGGGUCCUACCAAACCAAAUACUUCACAUGGAGAGCCUAACAGUCUAGGUUUUCCAAAUCCAUCACCUCUGAACAGAACAAGAAAAAAGAGUGCGUCCUCCUUCCAAUUAGCAGCUUUUAAUGCAGAUUGUUGGAUUGAGAACCCAAUCAACAAAGGAAUAAGAAAACGAAUGCGCUUUAUGCUUCAUCCACAGCCAAGACUUGAGUUGAGCCCUCUGAAAAAUCUCCUCUGCAUCUACUACCCCUUGCUGGAAGGUAAUCAGGUUCCUUUGAUCCCAGAUGCAUCUAAUGAUGUUUGCCCAUACCCCUUUCCAGAUUUUAUUUUGCUUGUUGCUAUCUUGAAACAAGUGGAAACUUUGGAAAUGCAGCCUUAAAUCAUUAUGCUGGACGAAGGAGACCAGACCCGUUGGGCAUGAUGACACUCCAAAAAGAGAUGUUGACAAGUCUCCUCCUCUAACUGACACAAAGGGCACACCGUUGAGUUCAACAUCACCCCUCUCCUACUCAAACUCGCUCUUGUAGGAAGUUUACCCAUCAAAACCCUCCAGGCUGUCACUACCACGUUUGGGAACGCCUUCACCUUCCACAAGAGCUUAUACACUUCACUUUGGUUGCCUCUAUCAUGCUUAGCUAAACACUCAUAAGCAGAGUUCACCGAAAACAACCCCGGUACCUCCUUCCCCCACACUUGGAUGUCCUGGNNNNNNNNNNNNNNNNNNNNNNNNNNNNNNNNNNNNNNNNNNNNNNNNNNNNNNNNNNNNNNNNNNNNNNNNNNNNNNNNNNNNNNNNNNNNNNNNNNNNNNNNNNNNNNNNNNNNNNNNNNNNNNNNNNNNNNNNNNNNNNNNNNNNNNNNNNNNNNNNNNNNNNNNNNNNNNNNNNNNNNNNNNNNNNNNNNNNNNNNNNNNNNNNNNNNNNNNNNNNNNNNNNNNNNNNNNNNNNNNNNNNNNNNNNNNNNNNNNNNNNNNNNNNNNNNNNNNNNNNNNNNNNNNNNNNNNNNNNNNNNNNNNNNNNNNNNNNNNNNNNNNNNNNNNNNNNNNNNNNNNNNNNNNNNNNNNNNNNNNNNNNNNNNNNNNNNNNNNNNNNNNNNNNNNNNNNNNNNNNNNNNNNNNNNNNNNNNNNNNNNNNNNNNNNNNNNNNNNNNNNNNNNNNNNNNNNNNNNNNNNNNNNNNNNNNNNNNNNNNNNNNNNNNNNNNNNNNNNNNNNNNNNNNNNNNNNNNNNNNNNNNNNNNNNNNNNNNNNNNNNNNNNNNNNNNNNNNNNNNNNNNNNNNNNNNNNNNNNNNNNNNNNNNNNNNNNNNNNNNNNNNNNNNNNNNNNNNNNNNNNNNNNNNNNNNNNNNNNNNNNNNNNNNNNNAGGUAUUGUUCCAUUGGAAAUUUGUCUGGACGAGCACCUGUGAGUCCCGUAUCCUGCAAAAUAUCAAGCGCAUAUUUUAUCUGGGACAAGUAAAUACCAGCUUUGGAACGGGAAAAUUCAAUCCCUAGAAAAUAUUUUAGGUCUCCAAGAUCUUUAAUGCGAAAUUGUUGUAAUAAACAAUCUUUAACACGCUGAAUUUCUGUCAAAUCAUUUCCUGUCAGAAGAAUAUCAUCCACAUAAAUCAAAAGGGUAGUAAAUGAUGAGUUAUUUUGUCUUGUGAAUAGAGAGUAAUCUGCAUUGGACUGUUGAAAUCCUACAGAUUUAAUCACAUGAGAAAAUGUUGAAAACCAUGUUCGAGAUGCUUGUUUGAGACCAUAAAGGGAUUUGUUGAGUCGACAUACAAUGUUCUCCCCCUGUCGAUGAUGUCCGGGUGGCAAGUCCAUGUAAAUAAUUUCAUGCAAUGUGCCAUGUAAGAAGGCAUUUUGCACAUCUAGCUGGUGAGUAAACCAAUUUCUGGUUGCUGCAAUGGUGAGGAGUCACCUCAAAUUUGUUAAUUUUGCUGUUGGUGAAAAAGUUUCAGAAUAGUCGACACCUUCAAUCUGAGUGUACCCCUUUGCGACAAGGCGCGCCUUAUAUCUGUCGACGCUACCAUCUGAGUUGUACUUUAUUUUAUAGACCCAUUUGCAUCUGAUGGGUUUCUGUCCAGCAGGUAAUGAUGUCAAGGUCCACGUUUGAUUUAGCUGCAAGGCGGAAAGCUCUUCGUCCAUUUCUUUUUUGCCAAUUUGGAUCAAGGAUAGCUUGAGCAUAAGUGUGAGGUUCUUUGGUGNNNNNNNNNNNNNNNNNNNNNNNNNNNNNNNNNNNNNNNNNNNNNNNNNNNNNNNNNNNNNNNNNNNNNNNNNNNNNNNNNNNNNNNNNNNNNNNNNNNNAAAGAAAAUGAUGCAUAGGAUACCUGGUUCCAUUCGAUCGGUCUUGGGCAGUGGUCGAAUGAUUGGCUUGGGAUCCCGUUACGUAGUCUUGAGCCAGGAAGGUUGGGUUGAUGUGCGACUGGAUCGUCGAACUUGAAGGUCGGUUGGAGAAGGUUUGGUAAUGGGUGCUAAACUUCUUGGCAUGGGAGAAGAAGGUUGGUCUACUGGAGGUUCAGGUGUAUUAUGACGAGUAGGAGAAGAAGGUUGGUUUGAUGGAGGUUCAGGUGCAUUGUGACGAGUAGGAGAAGAGAGUUGGUUUGAUGGAGGUUCAAGUGUAUUGUGACGAGUAGGAGAAAAAGGUUGGUUUGAUGGAGGUUCAGGUGCAUUGUGAUGAGUAAGAGAAGAAGGUUGAUCGAGUGAAUGUUGGACAGGAGUGGGUAAGUCAAUGUCAAUAGUGGGCAAAAUACCUUGUAGUGGAGGUGAGGAUUGUGUCUGUGACUGUUGGCAGAAUGGGAAAACACUUUCAUGGAAGAUGACAUCCCGACUUGUAAAAAAAGUGUCUGCAUCUAUAUCAAAUAAUUUGUAUGCUUUUUUACUGUGAGGAUAACCAAUGAAGAUGCAUUGUCGGGCACGCGGAUCAAAUUUUUGCUUAGGUGAAACAACAGUUGCGUAACAGAGGCAACCUAAAGUUUUUAGGUGAGAAAGUGAAGGUGGUUGAUUAUAUAGUAGCUCAGAAGGUGAUUUAUUUUUUAGUAAAGGUGAUGACAAGCGAUUAAUAAUAUAUGUGGCGGUUAAAACGCAUUCUCCCCAAAAUUCUAAUGGUAAAUUGGACUGAAAUAGGAGGGCUCGUGCUGUGUUUAAAACACGUCUAUGUUUGCGUUCUACUACCCCAUUUUGUUGAGGAGUGUAAACGCAAGUGCGUUGACAUUCAAUACCUUUUUGAGAAAAAAAUCAUACAUUGAAAUAAAUUCCAGUCCGUUGUCAACGCGGAUGGUUUUAAUAGAUGCCUGAAAUUGAUUUUGUGCAAAUGUAAUGAAUGACUCUAAGAGAUGUUGGGUUUCAGAUUUUUGAUUCAUAAGAAAUAGCCAAGUACAUCUAGUAUAGUCAUCUAUUAUAGUGAGAAAAAAACGUUUUCCAAAAUGAGUUGGGGUUUUAUUAGGACCUCAAAGAUCACAAUGCAAUAGAUUAAAUGGAGAAUGAGAUUUUAUUGUGCUUAAAGGAAAGGGUAGCCUUGUCUGUUUAGCUUUGGGACAAAUACUACAAUGAUUAUGAAUGGGAAUAAGAUUUUUACUGAUAGGGAUAGGUAGUAGGGAAGAUACAAGUUGUAGACACGCUGGAGAAGGAUGUCCAAGGCGCUUAUGCCAUAAAUCAGGAUCGGUCGAUAUUUGAGAUGCGUGGGCUUGGUUUGGAAGAGGGGACAUGUAGUAUAAGCCUGCGUGUUGUUUACCCGAGCCAAUCAUCCUCCCCGUAGCCAAGUCCUGUAAAACACAACCAUGUGGAGUAAAAACGACACAACAAUUUAGUGAACUGGUUAUCUUGUGAUGGGUUGCUCCGCUAUCCAAAAUCCAUGGUUUUGUAAAAGCAGAAUUAGAAGAGGAGUUAUGGGCAAGCAGACCUGCAGAGCUAACAAACGUGGAGAGACUGUCAGGGCACCAAGAUCGGUGCUCUGAUACCAUGUUAAGAAGUGGGCUUUAAGCCUAACUCAACCCCAUAAAACCGGCUCAUAGGGGUGAGGUUUGCACCCAUUUAUAUAUUAUGAAAUGUCCUUAUCUCUAGUCGAUGUGGGAUUUCCAACACACCCCUCACGCCGAGGCUACCAACUCAUGCGUGGAGAUAUAUGUUAUGGGUGGUCCGAUAACGGCCCGAUAGCGGGUGGACUGAUAAACCCAACAAAUAUUCGCUAGGAUAGGCUCGAAAUGGAUCUGAUACCAUAUAAAAAAAUGAUAAAAAAUGGUAAGAAGAAAAGACGUUUCUUAUUCUCUUAUGUGUAUAUUACAUCACUCAUGUAUAGGAAAUAUAUAGGAGUUUCUCUCUCCCAAAUUACAAUCUAAUUAGGUAGGAUACUAAUCAUGAGAUUCUAUAAUUAUUAAAUUAAUUGCAUAUAAUUGGGUACAAUAUCGUCAAAUAUUGCAUACAAUAAUUGCAUAUAAUUUUAUAAUUAUUAUUUCCUUAAUAGAGAGCUUGAUUAAACAAGCGUAUAUCCUUACACCCGAACCCUCCCUCCUCUUUUGGUCUGCAUACGUCUUUCCAACUAGCCCAAGCAAUUGGCUUAAACAGUUUCCCCCAACCCCACAAGAAUCUUGUUUGAAUGCUUAUAAUCCUUUUACACACCGAAACCGGUGCUCUGAACAAGGAGAGGUAGUACAAUGGGACGGCAGUUAGAACAGAGUUAAUUAGACAAAUCCUCCCUGCCAAGGAUAAGAACCUCCCCUUCCAAGCACUGAGCCUUGCUUUAAGCUUGUUUAGAACUGGUUCCCAGAACUGCUUCUUCCUUGGGUUCCCUCCCACCUCCAGUCCCAAGUACUUGAAGGGUACCUCCAUCUGAANNNNNNNNNNNNNNNNNNNNNNNNNNNNNNNNNNNNNNNNNNNNNNNNNNNNNNNNNNNNNNNNNNNNNNNNNNNNNNNNNNNNNNNNNNNNNNNNNNNNNNNNNNNNNNNNNNNNNNNNNNNNNNNNNNNNNNNNNNNNNNNNNNNNNNNNNNNNNNNNNNNNNNNNNNNNNNNNNNNNNNNNNNNNNNNNNNNNNNNNNNNNNNNNNNNNNNNNNNNNNNNNNNNNNNNNNNNNNNNNNNNNNNNNNNNNNNNNNNNNNNNNNNNNNNNNNNNNNNNNNNNNNNNNNNNNNNNNNNNNNNNNNNNNNNNNNNNNNNNNNNNNNNNNNNNNNNNNNNNNNNNNNNNNNNNNNNNNNNNNNNNNNNNNNNNNNNNNNNNNNNNNNNNNNNNNNNNNNNNNNNNNNNNNNNNNNNNNNNNNNNNNNNNNNNNNNNNNNNNNNNNNNNNNNNNNNNNNNNNNNNNNNNNNNNNNNNNNNNNNNNNNNNNNNNNNNNNNNNNNNNNNNNNNNNNNNNNNNNNNNNNNNNNNNNNNNNNNNNNNNNNNNNNNNNNNNNNNNNNNNNNNNNNNNNNNNNNNNNNNNNNNNNNNNNNNNNNNNNNNNNNNNNNNNNNNNNNNNNNNNNNNNNNNNNNNNNNNNNNUUCUACCUGACAACCCAUUUCCGGUAUUUCGGUUUCUAACCGCCUGGUGGGUUCGGUCUAUAUUGCUCAAGCUUAGAGGGGUCCCUCACCUUCGGGAUUAGCGCAAUAAACGAAGCGUUACAGCCCUUCGGGAUGUUCCCAGUCGCAUGAAACAAAACCAUUGCUUCCAUUAACUCCUCUUUAAUUAGGUCCCAGCUUUUCCUGAUAAAGUUGAAAUUGAAUCCAUCUGGACCAGGACUCUUAGAACCUUCGCAUUGCCACACAGCGUCCUUAAUCUCUUUCUCAGUGAAACCAGCCACCAGCCCCUCAUUAUCCAUUGUGGUUAGGGUCUUAAACUCUACCUCAUCCAACCUUACCCCUAAAUCUUUCGUAGCAUUGAACCUAGCUUCAAACAACUUCUUUGCCUCUAAUCGAACAGUGCCUGGUUCCUCACACCACCGGUCCCCCACCUGAACACCCUUCACUUCAUUCCUGAGUCUUCUCCAUCUCAAAGAUGAAUGAAAGAACCUAGUACACGCGUCCCCAAUCUUAAACCAACUUGCUCUAGCCUUUUGGCAUAUGAGAGAUUCAAGUUUCUUAUCGUUUUCUACCAAACGGCUAGUCAGCUCCAUUCUGGUUAACCUUUCACUUUCCUCAAGGUCCCCAUUACAAUCUCUGUUGUCAAGAUCCUCCAAUUCCUGUAGGAUCCUUCUCUUUGUGGUAUGAAGGUUGCCAAACACCUCCCUGUUCCACACUUUCAGAUCUGACUUGAGAAGUUUCAUUUUCUCUUUCAGUUUUGCUAUUCCGUUCCCCUGGACUGAGAAAGACUUCCAUUUAUCCUUAACCAUGAUGUUGAACCCCUUCUCCUGGAACCAAGCAUCAAUCGAUCUAAAGGGUUUGGGUCCCCAAUCCUUCUCCACGGAUUUAAUCACCAGUGCGCAGUGAUCAGAAACCUCCCUUCGAAGAACAUACUGUUUGCACAUAGGCCACUUCUGCAACCAUUCUUCCGUGACUAACGCUCUAUCAAUUCUGCUCUUAGCUGUUCCAUCAGGUUUAAACCACGUAAACUUCUUACCAACCAAAGGCAGGUCAAACAAGGAAUUGGAUUCAAUGAAAUUGUUGAAGCCAGAUAUCUCUCUUGACUGAUCUCUCUUAUCCCUGAUACCUUUCCUUUCACUUCUACUUCUCACAGCAUUAAAGUCACCAUAAAAGAACCCGACUGAAUCUUGUGAAGCCAGUUUGACAUUGGAGAGCUCCUCCCAUAGGGUCUUCUUUGCAUUCAAUGCACAGGGGGAGUAAACAUUGGCCACAACACACCUAGAAGACGAUUUUAGAUGUAGACCGAUGACCACAAUAAAACCUUUCCCCAUCAGGUGAUUUUCAUAGCUAAAGACUUCUUUAUGCCACAAGGACAACAAGCUUCCACUCCCCUCUUCUCCUUUAUUGUGAAUCCAACCUACUUUAUUAUCACCCCACCAAGAGAAGCACCUAGCAUCCGAGAUUUAUAAUAAUAAUAAUAAUAAGAUGGUGGUGUAGUAACUAGAGGUAAGAUAGUGGAUUGGAAUUAAUGGACCAAACUCACAAGAAAAAAUAGAUUAAUUUAUUUACUCGUCCACUUUAAAAAAUUAUUAUGAAACUUUAAAUUUUAAGUUUCUAAUAUGUAAUUUGUUAAAUUUAAGUUAAACAUUUUCAUUUUAAUUAUGAUUAGUAUGAAGAAAUAUUAGUUUGUAAUUAUAUUUAUACAACUUUUUUUUUCUUAGGACCUCUUUUCAUGCAUAUUUGUUUGUGCAUAUGUCUAUUUAGCAACCUAUUGCAUGUGAUAAGUGUUCCAACUUAUCAAAGUAUUCAUUUUCUUGUAUCAUGUGUCUAGCAGGAAAACAUAAUCAAAUAAGAUUUUUCACACCCAAAUUUACAUUGUGUUUGUGUUCGAGGAGUAGUGUUUUUGCGAAAAGAGAGGUAAGUUACUCUCAUGUUUGUAUGAGCGAUUGUGCGAAGAAAAGGAGACACAAAUUUGAGAGUGAAUACAUUUGGUUUUCCUUACAUUGUGUGAAGAAAGUUGUGCAAAGACAUCUUGAGGAGAUGACAUUAGAAAUAUACCUUUGCCAUAAUAACCCCUUCUUGUUGUAUUGAUGUAAAUAUCAACAAGUAAACUCAAACACUUUUAUUUUCAUACAUGUUUUUACUUUGCAUCAUCUAUGGUUGCAAUGUGUAAAUCAUUUAACAUUGUAUGAUUGAUAAUGGUAAUAUGGUAGCAAUUUUUUUAUUUCAACAUUGUAUGGUUGAUAGUGGUAACAUUGACACAUUUAGUUUAGCAUACAUAGUUUAGCGUACAUGUGACUUAUGAUUGAUUAUGAAUUUUUUAUUUAUUUAUUUCAGUUCUUUGCAUGACAAUUUUCUUGGCUGGAAAAUGAUUGCAGUGAAAUUUUCAAAUUUAGAAAACUAAAAUCAGAGUGGUGGUUUAUAUGAAGAUCAAAGUCGUAGUUUAAUUUGUUACACUCACUUUCAUACCUGUUCCUCAUCAUUUAUAACCAAGGAGUAAUAUACCAGAAGUUUAUGUUCUCGUUGUAGUCAAAUUAAUAAAAUAAAAAAUAAUUCUCAUAUUAUAAAUUAUCGAUUACCUUCAAUCCAAUAACACAAGAAACCUUUGAAGUUUAAAAAUUAUGAUUAUUAAAAAUACCUAAAUUUGAUUUGAUUAGGUUAAUAAGAAUUAUAUGAUUUUUUUAUAACAAUAAAAAUUUUAUUCAAAUAUAGAGAAGUUAAAUCAUUGUAUUAAGUAAACCAAUAAAUAUAAUAUGACACUUUUAUAGAAUUUAAAGUUAUCUUUUUAAUCUAAAAAUUAUAUUUUCAGUUUUCUUAACAAUAAUUUGUAUGAAAUAUGUACAUAUUUUCUAUAAAAAUCAACUGUUUUAUGGUAUUGAUUUAACAGUGUUUAGUUAAAAAAACAUAAUCAAAUAUGGUUUCAAUAGAAUAUGUUGUUUCUAUAUGUCUUUGAUUUUUUUUUAUCAAAUAACAUAUAUCAUUUCCAAUUUAUUGAUUAUGUGCUUGUAUAGACAAAGUAGACCUAGAUAGAACCUAAAAUUAGUUGUACAAAUUGUUGACGUCUUGUUCGUUUGGUUGCUUCCUUAUUUCUCACUUCAAGUCUCUUUCUUUAAUUGUUGGUGCUCAGUCGAGGUAGACUUGAAAAAGUUAUUCCGACAAUCAAGUAAGUAUUCAAUAUACAGAGUGUAUAUUAAAAACUGACUGAUUCAAAGCGUCUCUUACACCUAUGUGGAGGGUUUAUUUAUAAUAUUUAGUUAUGGGCAUCUGUUGUGAUGGUGUUGAAUUUAUCAUAUAUCAACGUUAACUUGAUUCUAAGGAAGUUCCCUAAUUUCUUAAGGCUAAGGCGUUACUCGAAUUUUAUAAUAUAUGUUCCAUAUAUCAUAAUUGUUUUAAAUGUGUUUUCGACCUGUCGAGGCUUGUCCGAUUACUAAGCGGUACAUAUCCAAAAUGGAAAUUAGGUUAAUUCAUAUGAGAUUGAAAUUUAUAGAGAUUAAAAUUUAUAUGAAUUUAAGUUAAGAAAUCUGCAUAUGAUUAUGUAAAUAUUUUGAAAUUAAUAUACACUUAUUUAGAUUACGGUUUUAACUUUAAUUUUUUUAUGUUAUUUAAUCUUCAAUUUUAUUUUUUAAAUAUAUAUUUUCUACAUUUUUAUACGUAAGCACAGUAUCAAAUAAUUUAUAAUUAUUUUUCGACCGAAAUCUCAUAUCAUAACGGGAGUUAUAUUUUAACUAAAGUCGUAAUAUAUAUAUAUAAAUAAUCAACUCUCAUUCUAAUAUUUUAACACAAUGAAAAAAUAAUAAUUUUACAAAAUUUAUUAAUUAAAAAAAUAAUUUUAACUUGUUAUAAUUAAUUAAAUCAAUCACAAAUUUUUAUAAUUUUUUUCUUAAUUCUGUUUUAAUUUAUAAUACAACGAUAAACAAUUGACUGAAUAAUAAAACAUACAUUUGAGCACCACUACAUAGAAAUAAAAAAGUAACAUUUUAGUUAUUUAUACCUGUACAUAUGACUUUUAAAGAUUACUUUUAACUAAACAAAUUCUUUAAAUAUAAAAAUUAUUACAGUCAAAUAAUUUAUUAUAAAGACCCUUUAUUUUAGAACUGAAAUAGCUGAGUCAUAUUUGUUCAACUAUAUUCUAAUUACUCUAUAAUUACUCUAUAUUUUACGUACAGAUGAGUCUCUCUUCUUAAGUCCACAAGUCCCUAUCCCCAAAAAUUUGCAUGAUAAAAAUUUGUGUCUCUAUAUUUUAAAUGGGUUUUAAUUUUUACAAACUGUAUUUCUCCCACAAAAUCUGUAGGUUAUUCAAUCCGUUAAAGAAUACGCAUGCAAUCAAUCAAAUAAAAAAAAAUAAUUUUUUUGAUUGAAUUAAUCUUGAUAAUAAAGCUUAGCCCUAAAAUUCAUGUAACCUAUAUAUCGAAGAGGUUGGGUGUAGAAAACUUAGACCAAAAAUUUUCCAAAAAAACAAAACUCAUUGCCCACGUAAAGUAAGUUGUGGGUUACAAAUGAUCAAAUGCACAUGUAAGUAAAUAACAAACAAACAUAUCUGCACCAUUUUGGUACUAAAAGAUGUACAUGAUGAAUGCACCUUUGCUUACAGGCACUUACGUAGAAGGCAGUUCCAUGAGCGAGAUGAUCCUCGCCGGAUGCUCUCUGCACGCAAUUACGAACAUACAUUAAUGCACAGACUCACAGUAAGGAGAAAUUAAAGAAAAUGAUACAAUCAUUUACUUACCACAAAAUCUUGAAGUCUUUUCCUCUCGGAGUGGGAAUGGGUCGAGUAAUAUUUUUGGAAUGUGGUUUAUGUAUUGCCAAUCCUCUCCCGUAUCCCUCUUGCACCGCUUCGUCAGAUAAGGACAUCCGCGUAUACUUAAAGAAGACAAGUUGGUGAGGCGUUGAAUGCUACUUGGUAGUGAUCUCAACUUUACACAAUAAUGAAUCUUUAAUUCUUGAAGAGAAGUGAUGUCUCCUAGCCAAUCAGGCAAUGAACUAAACAUGCAAACAUCUAUAUUCAAAGUUCGUAGGCAGGGGACACAUUGUAAGCCAUAGGGUAAUGUGGAGCAAUUAUUGAUUGAGACAGUCCAAAGGGCAGUUAGUUGGGUCAUAUUGCUUGGUAGAGUCACCAGCUCAAAACAACAUUCGAUACUCAAACUCUCUAGACAUAUCAAAUAUUGCACACCUUCAGAUAAGGAUUUUAAGUUAUAACAUUUGUAAAUACUCAAAUAUCGAAGAGAGGUUAGACCUUCCAACGCAUGUUCUGAAAAAUACUCCAACUCAUCACAAGAUUCAAUGAUUAGUCUCUGUAGUGAACCCAACCCGCUGAGUUGGUCGGUUAAUACCACCAUUCCAUUAAUCCAUUCAAUGUCCAAGGCCUUUAGACAAGGCAUAUUCUCCACAAUCCCUUCCAUGAAGGAAGUCGCAUCGCAAAUACUAAGGUGCUGAACAGAAGGAAGACGUGGAAAUUUAAUGUUGGAGGAGAUGCCAAUAAUUGUUAAAUGAGAAAGACUAGGGAGCAUCUCUACCCCUUCUUCCCUCAAUAUCCUCUCCAAUUUUGGUAAAUUCCUCACCAACAAAUUCUCCAACAAAGGAAAUGCCUUCUCCUCCACACCAUCAUACGACUCACCAUCUAUCCACUUCACAUAUUUCAUUCCACUCACAUGUAGCCUUUUCAACUGUCUUAGUUUACCAAGUGGAGGAAGCUCCUCACAGUUGUCACAGUCCAACAGUCUAACUUCCACCAAGUCUCUCAGAACUGCACCAUUUCUCAUCCAACUCGAUAAUUGUCUCCCCUGAUAUCCUUUCAUCUCAAAACUCUUCAGAGUUGAGGGAGGUUGCAAGGCUUCCAGUACUCUCUCAACGUUAAUAUUAUUACCUUCUGAAUUAGCAUUACCACCCCAUGACAAUUCUAGGAUAUUCAAGUCCUUCUUACCAGUUAAAUUUGCCUGUUUCGCAUCCCAUUCAUUGGGGACGUUCUCAAGGCCUUUGAUUCUCAGCGUGCCUCCAAGCUUUAAGCUAUGCAACUCUGCUAACCCACACCCUGCCUUUGAUCCCACAAAGAAAGUGCUCAGUGUUCUUAGAUGCCUUAACUUGCCAAUAUGCGGAGGCGUCUCUUGUAUUGAAUAACAAUUAUCAAUCACAAUAUGCCUUAGAUCCUGUAAUUGCGUCAAUUCUUUCGGCAGCCUAAAUUGCCUAAUAUUUUGUAGUUUCAAUAUUUGCAAUUUCGGCAACUGACAAAUUAAUUUAUGUAAGCCUUUUCCAGAACCCCAAUUCCAACUCAAGUAUCUCAAAUGUCUUAAAUCCUUGAGUGGGAACAAAAAAGAAGAACAUGUGCGCAAUACUCGGAGACAAUGGUUUGAUGGCAACAGGCCAAUAUGACCCAAAUCCAGAAAUGUCCGCAGGGAUUGAACUUUCUUGAAAGCAGUCAUAUCAACCUUAGAAUUUAACAAGCUUGAAUAGUGAACUCUAGUUGACAACGGAGUCAACCUUCCUUUCUCAAUAAUCACACAUUCUUCACCAUAAUAGACUGGGCAAGAUCAUGAAAUAGAUCAUGCAUCUUGCAACUUCUAAUCAUACCAAGCCUAUCAAACUUUGCUUCUUGAAAAAAUGAUCUACGGUAUAAUUUUUUCCACAAUUUAUUUCCAACAUCCUCCACUUCUACAUUUCCUUCAGAUUUAAUAAAUCCAUUAGCCAUCCAGAGAUGAAUUAGAUCUUCCUUGUCUAUCUCAAAAUCUUUGGGGAAAAUUGCACAAAAAGAAAAGCAUCUCCUCAGAGACAACUCCAAAUUAGAGUAGCUCAGUCUCAAAGCACGCAUGAUAGAAUUUUCCUCACAUGUCAUAGAACUACUUUCCUCUCGUAUAUUCCAAAUCUCACUUUCUUUUACAUUUUCCCAUUGGCUUACCUCACUUUUAUCACGCAAAAGACUUCCCAUUGUUUUGAUUGCAAGUGGUGAACCAAUGCAUUUUCUCACUAUCUCUCUGCCAAUUGCCACAAGCUCUUCUAUUUCUUCUCUGUUUUGAGCAAACGCAUGGUGUUUGAACAAUGACCAACUGUCGUCUCCUGACAAUUCUUUCAAAUGGUAAGCAGGAUGCGUCUCCAUGGUGGAAGCAACUUCCUCGAGUCGAGUGGUAACCAAAAUGGUAGCUCCUUUUGCUGCCCUUGCACACAACAACUUUCCCUUCAACUGCUUCCAUUUCUCUUGGUCUUCAUUCCACACAUCAUCAAGAACAAGUAAAUACCUUUUGCUGUCCAACACUUCUUCAACCUUUUUCCGCACUGCUUCUAUGGUUUUGAGAUUGGGAUUUUUUCCAGUGCAACACUCUAUUAUGGAUUCUAGAAUCGUCUUCGCAUUGAAAUCAUCAGAAACACAAACCCAAAUUGUCAAGUCAAAAUGGUUGCAUACCUUGUGAUCAUUGAAGACCUGCUUGGCAAGUGUUGUUUUUCCAAGUCCACCCAUACCAACUAUGGGAUAUACGGAAAGUUCUUCACUGUUACUGACAUCUUCCAGGAGAAACUUCACAAUUUCCUCUCGAUCCCGGUCUCGGCCAUAGGCUAUAGGUUCUGUAAUGUCAGAGCUAGUUUGGCGCCAAUUAUCAUCAUCAUUCACUGCUUGCUUCUCUGUUACAUCAUCACGUAACUCAAACAUGCUUCUUUCUUCAUUAAUAUCAUGAAAUCUUUGGGUGAUGUCUUUCAUCCUCUUUCCAAUAUGAAAACGAAAGAGAAUGUCCUUGGGAUGCACAUGGGCCAAGCAUGAAUUUCGCUCGUCAUCAGAUAGCACCUUUUUGGAUUGAAAUGAACAUUCAUCCAAGAUAUCAUCCAGCACAUAUGUUGCAUCUGUGAGUUUCUGCAGCCAACUCUUCACAGCAUGACUUAUUAUUUGCUUACUCUCAGCGUCUCUAAGAACAGCAUGAAUUGCAGUGAGAUUGCUGGAAAGCUUUUGAGUCUGCUGGUCUACACCCCAAUAAGUUACAAGUUGGUUUUGAACUAAAGAUCCCAAAUUUUCAAUCACGAUUUUCAGUAAAGCCUCGGCCAUUUGCAGAAAGGUGAGUUUUUUGGGAUGAUUGUGGUUGUGGAGAAGGAAGUACGUUGAAGAGUGCUAACGUAGAAAAUGAUCAAUUUUCAUUAACAGUUGAAUUGACAAUUGGUGGCGAUGGCAAUAAAAGUUGUCGUUUUCUUCCUUGGCAAGUGGCCCCCUCUUUGCUUGUGUUGACGAAGAAUGUUGAUACGAUGAGUGAACUCAAACCAACCAUAUUAAUUGCAUACCAACCAUAUUAAUUGCAUACCAACCACACCGACUUGUCCACUCACUUUCUCUAUUAUUUCAGCUCAAAUUUCCCAACUUUUUCCACAUAUUUAUCACUUUUGUCGAAAAUAUUUUAUAAAAUAAAAAUACAGAAUUAUACAUAAGUUAUCAAAAUUAGGGGAAAAUAGUUUUUGAAAUUAUGUAUAAGUUAUCUCUAUGGGGGUUUUGUUAUCUGCUGAGUGCCUUCUAUUCUUAUCAUAUUCUAUCUCAUCUAUGUUUCAUCUCUAAGUCAAAAUAAUAAUAGUUUCGUUUGCCAGCUUAAAUAAUUUUCUCCUACUUAAUAUUUUACUGAUUUUUUGUUUUGAUAAUUCAAUAAAUUUUAUUUUAAUUGAAUUCUUUAACAAAAUAUAUUAUCUUAGGUUUUUUGUCACAAUUAUUAACUCUAUUGUCCACGUCUUUAUUAGAUUGACUAUUAUGUUUAAUAAAUUAUUUGUAUUAAUUUUCUUUCUUUACUCGUAUCAACAUAUAUAUGAAGGAAAAAACAUAUUGGUUUUUAUAAUAAAUAUAUAUAUAUAUAGAUCAAAAGAAAAAUUAAAGGAUAUUUAUAUAUAAUGACUAAAAUAUCUAUGUUGAAUCAUAAAUUAGUUUUAUUUUCUUCUUCUUAUUAUUAUUAAUUUUAUUUAUUUUUUAUUAUUAUUGUUUAUUAUAAUUAUUUUAUAAAUUUAUUAUUAAUAAUAUUAUUUUUUAUUAAUAUUGUAUUGUUAUUAUUAUUAUUUUAAUAAUCAAAUUAUUAUUUUAACAAUUCUUAUUAUUAUAUUUUUAUUAUGUUAUAUUAUAUAACAAUUUUAUUUAUUUUAUUAUACCGAAAAUAUAAAUAUUAAUAAAAUUUAUUAUAUAAAAAUAUAAUAUAUAUUUAAUCUAAUAAUUAUAUUUAUAAAUACAAUAAAAUAUUUAUUAUAUAAUUAAAUUGUUCCGCGGCAACGACAUCAAACACUUUAUGAUGCACCGCGUUUGUCAGAAGUAAUAAUUGUCCCUAAGGAAGGAUAUCGAUCCCACAAGGAAUACUUGAACAAUCAAAUAAAAUAUUCACCAAAUAUAAAACAGAAUAAUAAAAAGUGUUUUGAAAGUAAUUAGAAAAAUAGGGAUUGGGUUUUGUACCGUCCCACGAGGUCACUAGGAAUUACACCGACCCGCCUAUUGAAUCGACCGAAAUGGUUAUCAAGCAUGACAUCAACCUUUGUGACUAGCCAGCUUGGCACAAGGAUGAGGGGUUGUGUACCGUCCCGUGAAGUCACUAGGAAUUAGGUCGACCCGAUCAAUGGGUCGAACGAGCUCUUGACGUAUAUAAUAGAUGACACUCAUAAUAUUCCUGGUUACACUAUAAAUGCUGAAGCGAUAUUCCUUAUUACACUAAAUGCUGACGCGAUAUUCCUUAUUACGUUAUGAAUAUUCUGCGAUUAUAUCACGUGAUGGGAAAACUUUAUGACAAGUUACCACAAUACAGGAAAUUAAUGCUGCGAAGAACUGGAGACAAAGGUCCAGGGCCACAAAGACUUAUAAAUAGAUUAUCACUCACAUGGAGUAUCUCAACUCAUAUCUUCGCAUUAUAUUCACUACAUAAAGCAUAUCUUGUGCUCUCAUUGACUUGAGCGUCAGGGUGUCAUCGCAAGAAGAGCUCCCCUUGUUCCCUGAAGGUUGAAUCGCUAAAGCUUGAAGGGAGACAACCAAGAGCUCGUACAGAUUCCGACCGACCUCGAACCGGUGAGAACAUUUGGCGUCCACCAUUGGAUCGUUAAAACUGCGCCCACGACUAGAAGAACUGGAGAGAAGAGUCAGAAACCACAUCAUGAGGACCAGGCAGACACAGAUGCCAGAAGGUGGAGAGGCAUUCAUUCUGCAACAGGUGGUAGAGGCAAUGCAAACUUUGCAAUGUGAAAACGAGAAAUCUAGGAGGCAAGUUUAGGAAUUCUAAGCAGAGCAGAAGUGACUCCGUGUGGAAUUCCUGGCUGAACAACUGAGACUAAGCCGCAAGAUGACUGAUGGAAGAAGCCCUCAAAACGAACGAGGAGUUACAAAAAGCAAAUGAAUAUUUGAGGAGGACAUUUCAGCAACGACUGAGACAAGUGGCCGAAUAUCUGGUCGGAAGGAGAAGAAAGGCGGAUCCCCGACCAUUCAGCCAGGACAUCAUGGAGGAACCCAUACCACAUCAUAUCGCAAUGCCCAAAAUGCCCCAUUCUCGGGAGUCGAGGACUCGAAAACCCACCUAAAGAUUUUCCAAGCCCAAAUGCUGAUUUCUGGGGGCUCAGAUGCGGGCCGAUGCAAGAUGUUGCAGGAAACUUUCACGAGAACAAAUCUGCGUUGGUUUAUCGGAAUCCCCGACGGGGCAAUAAGUUCGUUCUAGGAGUUCUCUUAGAUUUUCGAAGAACUAUUCAUGGCCAACAUUAUCAUGCGUGUAGAACCUAUGGUGGUAGACGCGUUUGUAAAAGGUCCAAAUCCUUUUAGCGACUCCCUGCUAAGAGAACGAAAAAGAGGCCAUCAGAAAAAAGAAGUUGGGCGAGCGACGGGGUGAGGGAAGAUACAAAGAACGGAUUCGGGAAACUCAGCCUAGGCAAACCGAACAAGUUGUCAAGUGGUCGGAGAAAAGGUACGUACCUUAUGUAGCCCAAAAGGAGGAGGCAGGAAGGAAUGCACCAUGGUUACCACCGCCUGCGCCUAAGCCCACCUUGAACCUCACUGUACCUCUAGCUCGCCUGUUGGACGACCGAGCCGUAUCCUCCAAAUUAGAGUUCCCGAGGAAGACUGAUCGCAUUUUGGGUCCCAAAAAGUCUGCUUGGUGCGCAUUUCAUCAAGCGCGCAGUCAUGAUACGAAAGAAUGCCAGGCGCUGCGACACUAACUGGCGGGGUCGAUAGAAAGAGGUCACCUCAGGAAAUUUUUGUGACUUGAAGCAGAGGGUGAAAUCGUCUGAAUAAUGGAGCAACAGGACGACAAUCAUGUAACUCCCAUUGGGAGAUUUCAAUAAUCGUCGGGGGUUUCUCAGCGGGAGGACUAACCGCAGCUAGUCGGAAACGCAACUCCAGAGCGGACCUAGUUUUCGAAACGAUGGAGCUAAAAUCAGUCACGACCCCUAACCUCUGCUUUACGAAAGCCGAUCUCGAAGAUGUGUCUCCCCAUCAGGAUGACCUAGUGGUAAUUACGAGAAGUUGAUUAUGAGAAGGCCUGUUGGGAGUUCAUCUUUUAUACCUUAGGUAGGUUGGAUUUUUGUGAUAAAUGGAUUAGAAGGAUCAAACCGUGCUUGAAAUCUUCUUCUGUUUCGGUGUUAUUAAAUGGCACUCCAACUAAGGAAUUCUAUCCUCAGAAGGGUAUUCGUCAAUGCGAUCCUCUUGUGCCUUUUUUGUUCUUUAUUGUGGCUAAAGGUUUGGUAGGGGUGUUAAGGAAAGUAGUCGAGUGAAACUUGGUUGAAAGUUUGGAGAUCGGGGUUAAGAAGGUAAAGGUGAAUAUGCUCCAAUUCGCUAAUGAUAUUUUGUUCUUUUGUGAAGCCAAUAAUAAAAGCGUGUUCACUAUUAAAGUAAUGUUGAAUUACUUUGAGUUAGCUUCUGGCCUUAAGGUUAACUUCUUGAAAAGUAGGAUUGGUGGGUUGGGAGUGGAUAAGUCUUAGAUCCAACGUUUUGUUGUGUUACUUAAUUGUGACGUGAUGAAUACUCCUUUUAAGUAUCUGGGGUUGCUCAUGGGAGGUUGUCAUAAGAGAAGUGCGUUUUGGGUCGACGAGUUAGAAAGAAUGAAAAGCAGACUGGGUAGGUGGAAAGGUAGAUUCCUAUCACUAACAAGGAGAGUUUGUAUGAUUAAGUUUGUUCUUUCUUCCAUUCCAUUGUUUUACGUUUCUUUGUUUAAGUUGCCUUUUUCGCAGUUGAAGGAAAUCAUGAAAUUACAGAGGAAUUUUGUGUGGGGUUAAGGGUCGGCUGGAAAGAAGAUUGCUUGGGUUUCUUGGAAAAAGGUUUGUGAGCCUUGGGAAGCUGAUGGUCUUGGUACUUUGGACCUUCGGUUAUUCAAUGUGGCCUUGUUGAGAAAAUGGAUUUGGCAUUUGGGUUCUAACAAGGGAGGGCUCUGGAAAGAGAUUAUUGAUUCAAAAUACGGCAGUUGGAGGAGUCUGAAAGAGAAUAAGAGUUCUUACAAUGAGUCUUUGUGAUGGAGAGAUUUGAAGGGGAUUUGUGAGAUGGAGGAGUGGGGAAGAAAUUUUGAGGAUUGCUUCAAGUGGACAAUUGGUAAUGGAAAUAAUGUUUUGUUUUGAGACGAUGUGUGGUUGAGUUCUGGAGCUUUGAAGAGUAGAAUUUCAAAAUUGUUCUUAAGCACUAGCAAUGAAGAUCACUUGGAUUCUUUUGGGGUGUGGGAUUGCAGCUCUUAGAAUUGGGUUCUUAAGUGGAGAAGAGAUUUGUUCGAUUGGAAAAAGACUCAGGAAUUUCAGCUUUUGCAGAAGCUUCAAGGCUUACGUCUCGUCUUGGGUAGGGAAGCUAGAUGGGUGUGGAAGGUUGACCCGAUUUCACGGUUUUCUGUUAGUUUGACAUAUAGUAUUUUAAGGAAGACUUGCAUCAAAGACAUAUAGAUUUUAAGGGGAUUUUUGGAAGAUUAAAAAAUUUAUGAAGAAAUAUCAAUACAAAGAAAAUUAAAUAAAAUAUUUUAUUGAUAUAUUAAAUAAAAUAUUUUAUUGGUAUUUUGAUGUAGGUAAAUAUUAUUGGUGAAAUACAUGUAAAUAUGUAACAUUAUUUUGUUUUUUAUUUUUAUUUUUAUAAUAAAUUUGAAUUGUGGAGAAUAAAUUAUAAUAUAUUUGUAAAUAUAUUUUUAUAAUAAAAUUCGGAUGAAAAAAUUAUAAAAAAAUUAUAAUGUUGGUACUAAAUUAAAUGUUGGUAUUUUUUGUUUGUUAAAAAGAUACUAAAAUAAGUAAUAGUAAAAAUUAAAUAAAAUUGUUUGGAUAUUUAAAAAAAAAUUAACUAAAUGGUUUAAAAAAUUAUAAAUAAAAAUUAAGUUAUUCAUUGAUUGAUUGAUAUGUUGUAUGUAAUAAUAAAAAAAAUUAAGUAUUCUUAGGUUUAAUAAAAAGAAAAAUGUAUAAAUUACAAUUUUAAAAUAAAAAUUAAGAAAAUAAUUAUAUUUAAAUUGAAAGACUAUGUAAAUAAUGAAUUAUAUAUAAAUAUAUGUCAUAAAUGAUAAUAGUUAAUGUUAUAUAAUCAUAUUUAAUUAUAAAUCAAUAUAAAAAAAUUAUAAAGAGAAAUGAAAUAUGUGAUAAACACUAAAAUAAAAUAAUUUUUAAAAAUAAUUAAUAAAUUAAAAAUAAUUGAUCACUUUAAUUUGGGAUGCAUUAAAAAAAUAAAUGUAUUGGUUGUAAAAAAAUAUUUUUAAUGUUUAAAAUAGUUAAAAAUAUAAUUAUUGAAGAAAUAAAAAGUAAUAAUGAUGUGUCCCAACAUUACUCGAGAGUGUCCACUUCUCGUCAUUAAUUAUAUUUCAUUUUGCACAAACUAUUUAAUGUACCAUUGAAGAAAAUAUUAAAUGAAUGAUCAUAUCUAAUUUUUUUUCUUUUUUAUGUUCACUAUAUACUACAUCAUUUCUAUAAUUAACAACAAUUAAAACUAAUAAACAUGAAACAUUUAAAAACAAUUCACAUUUAUGUUAUUUAAAUCUCAUAUAUUUUCUUUUUUCCACCUUUAACUAAUAUAUAAAUUGUAUUUUAAUUAGUGUUCACUACAAAUUUCAUUUCUCUUUAUAAUUUUUUAUAUUUAUUUAUAAUUAAAUAUGAUUAUAUAAUAUUUAUUAUUACAAUUUAUGACAUAUAUUUAUAUAUAUCUCAUUAUUUACAUAAUCUUUCAAUUUAAAUAUAAUUUUUUUCUUAAAAUUUUUUAUUUUAAAAUUAUAAUUUAUACAUUUUUUUAUUAAACCUAAUAAUAAAUUUAUUUACUUAAUUUUUUUAAUUAUUACAUACAUAUCAUCAAUGAAUAAUGUAAUUUUUAUUUAUAUUUUUUUAAACCAUUUAUUUAGUUAAUAAUUUUUUUAUAAAAUAUCCAAACAAUUUUAUUUAAUUUUUACUAUUACUUAUUUUAAUAUCUUUUUAACAAACAAAAAUACCAACAUUAUAAUUUAUUAUAAUUUUUUCAUCUGAAUUUUUUAUUAUAAAAAUAUAUUUACAAAUUUAUUAUAAUUUAUUUUCCACAAUUCAAAUUUACUAUAAAAAAUAGAAAAAAAGCAAAAUAAUGUUACAAUUUUAUAUUUAUUUUACCCAUAAUAUUUACUUACAUCAAAAUACCAAUAAAAUAUUUUAUUUUCUUUUCUUUUGUAUUGAUAUUUCUUCAUAAAUUUUUAUAUAUUUAAUUUUUUAUUUUUAAAUUUUAAAUUUUCUUCUGUUUAAAUUUUAUAAAUAUUUAAAUUCACUAAAAAAAUUAAUGCAAAUGCUACACUUGCUUAAAAUGAGAAGAGAAAAAUAAAAAAAUAAAAAAAUAUAGAAAAUAAAAACAACAACAAUAAAAAAACAAAAAUAUAUAAAAUAUCUCAAUUUUUUUUAAUUUAUUAAUUUCUUAUUACUUUUGAAACAGUGCUAGAUGCUAUAUAGAGAAAUAAAAAUAAAAGGAUGUUAAAUAAAAAAAUAAAAAUAAAAGAAUGUUAAGAUGAAAAAAUAAAAGUGAAAAUAGUGGUAUACGAGGAAAAAUCUUAAUUUAGUAAGUUAUUUAUAUAUAAAACUUAGAAAUAAUUAAAAAAAAAUUAACACAAUUAAGAUUGUGCAUUUGUAAGUGUGAAAAUGUUAUGUAAGUAGCAAGAUCAUAGUAGAGGUUAAACUCUGCGGUAGUUAGAAAUCCUUACUUUAGGAUAGCAAUGGAUGAAUGAUUGGUAGAAUGUAAUCCCAUUUUGGUACUUAAAGAUGUACAUCAUGAAUGCACCUUUGAUUAUAGGUUUAUGUUUUCAGUGACUGUAGCAUACAGGACAGUGUUAAACUCAGCACAAAUACAUAUAAUUCAUCCACCAAUAUCAGUCAAAGCUAUACAGAGCAACAGGUGAUUAAUUGAAUAAAACAGUAACACAUUUGUGAACCACUUUAAUAAUAUAAGGCAAAUUUCAAAUCUGCAUUUUAUAAAUUUAUCUAGCUAGGGUACUGGGAUGUGGAAUCAGUCAUUUACUCAUCUAUUUUGAUGGUUGCAUAGACUCACACAGUAAGGAGAAAUUAAAGAAAAUGAUACAAUCACUCACUUACCACAAAAUCUUGAAGUCUUUUCCUCUCGGAAUGAGAGUAUUAUUUCUGGGAUGUGGUUUAUGUAUUGCCAAUCCUCUCGCGUUCCCUCUUGCACCGCUUCUUCUUCAGAUAAGGACAUUCACUUAUUAUAAAAGAGACAAGUUGGUGAGGCGUUGAAUGCUACUCGGUACUGACCUCAACUUCCUACACUUAAAAAUCUCUAAUUGUUGAAGAGAAGUCAUGUCUCCCAGCCACUCAGGCAAUGAAGUAAACCUGCAAGUUACUAUACGCAAAAUUUUUAGGGAGGGAACACAUUGUAAGCCAUAUGGUAAUAUGGAGCAAUCCAUGAUCGAGACAGUCAGAAGGGUAGUUAGUUGGGUCAUAUUGCUUGGUAGAGUCACCAGCUCUAGACAAUACCAAUCCAACUUUGCCAAAAACACAUUUUUGAGAAGCAAGAUCAGUUUUCAAGAUUGGAUUGGCCUUUGGAAAACUUGUCCAUGGUUUUUAAAAGGUAGUGCACUUUGUUUUCAAGUGAUUCACAAUUUUCACAAAAGUUAGAAUCACACUUGCAAGAAGAAUUAUUGUAAAUCAUUUCCAAAGUUUCAAAAUCUGUUUUUGAAUUGUUCAACUCUUCUUGCAAAGUUUUGACUCUGUUUUCCAACCAGUUGUUUAAAUCUUUCAACCGGUUGUUUAAAAGGGCCAACCUAUUAGCUUCUUCACGAAUCUCAUUGAAGGCUUCAAGAAGUUCACUAUAAUUUUCAAUAUCAAUGGAGGAGCUUGAACUUACACUGCUUGAUUCAGAUUCUUCCUUUACCAUGAAACAAGGAUUGACUUCCUCAUCAUCCUUUGAUGAAGAACUUGAAGAUGAAUCAUCAUUGUAUGCUCUUCUUGAUUUGCCUUUCUUCUUAUACUUCUUGUAACUCCCUUUCUCUUUGAUCACAUUGCUUGGACAUUCAACCUUGAUGUGUCCCUGUUUACCAGAUCCAAAACAAGUACAAUUUGUAGAAUUAAAUUCAUUAACAUUCUUGGUAUUGUACAUGUUUGAUGGCUGGUUUUUGUCCUUGCUAUUCUUCACUUCAAUUGCACCUUCAUGGAAAUCCUCAAGGAUGUCCCACAUCUCCUUUACAAAAGCACAUUUUGAGACCCUGAAAAACUCAUUGGAAUUUAAGGCAGAAGAGGUGAUAUUCUUAGCAAUGCAAUCAUAUUGAGCCUUUUUAGUUUCACUCUCAGUUCAUUGGGACCAAGGUUUCUUAAUGAAAACAUUAUCUGUUUUUAACUUUAGGAAUAAAUGGGCCAUUUACAAUAGCAUCCCAAAUUCCUCUUGAUUCAACAAAGAUUUUCAUUCUAACCUUCCAUAAUUGAUAAUUCAAUCCACAAAACAGAGGUGGCCGGUUUAUUGAAGCACCCUCCCCAAAGGGUAAUUUUUCAGCCAUUUAAAAAAGGUUUAGGAUCAAAACUCGAAUAACUUUCAAGAACCUUACUCUUGAUGCCAAUUGUUAGAAUUAUAGGGCUAUAAAAAGGAGGGGGGGGGGGGGGUGGAAUUGUUUUUGAAAGAUUUUCGCCAGUAUUGAAGAUAGAGUGAAAGGUUAUGAAGAAUUAAUCAAUGGAAAAACUAUCCAGCCAAAUAUGAAAUUGUUUUAAGCUUGAUGCAGAAAUUCAACCUGUUGUUUUUACGAAAUAACCGGUUGUUUUUAUCAGCAGUUUUAUCAAAACAAAUUUAAAGCAAUUUAAAGAGUGUAAGGAUAGAGAGAUUCACACAGAAUGUUUAUACUGGUUCACUCAACACCUGAGCUACAUCCAGUCCUCGGAAACCACUAAGAAUUCACUAUUUAAUCAAUCACAGAUUACAAAUUACACAACCACAAAGAGGUGACUUUGAAUCCCACAAAGCCCACUCACCCUCUUUGCAAUACCACACACCUCAAGCCAGAAUCUCACUAACUUUACAGGAUUUCACACUCCAAGAAUGUUGAUCUUGAUCCCCCAAGAACACAGAACACUUCUUGGAAACACCAAUACAAAAAUACAAUUAUUAAGAAGGAAGGGAAUAGAAAACACCUGGGUAAAUCACAAGAUCAAAGAUCAGAAUACAAGACCCAAUCCUAUUCCACACACUUGAGAUGAUCCAAAGCUCUUUCAAAACUGUUUUUGAUUGAUCUCUUUCUUCGUUUUAAACAUAGGAGCGUAAAAAACACCUUUUUAUCUUUCAAUCAAAUGGUUAAAACAAUUUACAACAAUAGCCCAAAAGCAGUUGGAAUCAUUCAAAAUAGAAAAACCACCUAACAACAUUUUGUUAAGGUUUUCAGCAAAACAGUCGGCUGGUUUUUUUAAAUAACUGAUUGAAUGUUUUUAGACAACAUUCAAAAUCAUUAAGUGUCAAAUAACCUGUUGUUUUGAAAUUUUAACCUGUUAAAAUUUGUUUGACAGCAAAGGCAAAGACAGAGCUUUUCCAAAUCAGUUUGAAAUCUGCUAAGUGUCAAACAACCUGUUGAAACGAAAUUUCAACCUGUUGAAUUUUGUUUGACAGCAAAGGCAAAGACAAAGCUUAAAAUCCACUGUGUCAAACAACCUGUUAAAUCGAAAUUUCAACUUGUUGAAAAUUCACUUCCUUUUAGAAAAUCCAUCUUUUCAAAAUGUUAAAGAUUCGAUUGAGCUUGGAUCAACAUAAGGAGUGAAUUAACAAGUUUCAAACAACUAGACACACACACAACAACAAGGUCUUCAAGCUUUCCACUAGGAUUUGGAGACAUCAAAGCAUCUGGUUCAACAAUAUUUACGUCCACGGUGGAGGUCCAAGGGAGGACUCGGAACUGUUCACUAUGGGAUUAGCUCUUCAUCCAGGUUAAGUCUAUGCUCUAAUGCUUAAUCUAACAGUGAUAUUGUUAAAUGUAUUCAUCGUUUGAGGAUAAAACAAAAUGAUGUUGAAUCUUUUAGGCUGUGGGGGUUGGGUAAACACUUGGGAAUGAAGUGUUCAGAAGAUGAAGAGGUGGUCAUUAGAGAAUUGGAAGGUUUGGAGGUCAUGGAUAAUGAAAUUAAGAAGUUGCUUGAGGAGGGUGCCAUAAACGAUGAAUUAUGAUUAUUGUUAAUUUGAAUAUUAGAGGUAUAAAGGGGGCACUAAAGCAUGUUACUCGAAACACAUUAUUGCUAAGGAGAGUGCAAAAUUCUUAUGCUUACAAGAGACAAAAACGACUAAUCUAUCAGAUAAUAGAUGUUUUUUUGUUAUGGGGGGAUAACAAUGUUGAGUGCAUACAUAACGAAGGAGUAAAUGAAGCAGGGAACAUUUUAUCUUUGUGGCACAAGGAAGCAUUCUGAUAUGAAAACCAUGUAGUAGGAAGUGGCUUCAUUGUUAUCAUGGGACAACACCUUAAAUCAAACAAGUUAUGUGUCGUAAUUAAUGUAUAUGCAACAUGUAACAUAAGUGAUAAGGUUGCUUUAUGGGAAGCUCUGACGUAUUUAAAGAGUUCACAUCAGAGUAUGACUUGGUGCUUUUGUGGGGAUUUUAAUGUUUUUAGAAGGGAUGACGAAAGGAAAGGGAUCGGAGGGAGUUCUAGUAAAAAAAAAGGAGAUUAUUGGCUUUAAUCGUUUUAUUGAAACGAAUUUUCUGGUGGAAUUACCAAGUGUAGGAAAACAAUAUACUUGGUAUAAAUCAGAUGGCACAUCUAAAAGCAGAUUAGAUAGAAUUCUUGUCUCCGAAGAAUGGCUUCAAAUUUGGCCAUCAGGCAAGCAAUGUAUACAACCAAGGGUGGUUUCCGACCAUUGUGCUUUAGUGGUGAAGUAUUUAGUCAGAGAUUGGGGUCCUAAACCUUUUAGGACCAUUAAUGCAUGGUGGAUGGAGCCUGGUUUCAAGGACUUUGUGAAGGAGAAAUGGAGGUUAUACAACAUGCAGGGCAAUAGUAUAUCUAAAUUCAAAGAUAAGUUAAAGUUAUUUAAGGAUAACCUUAAAGAAUGGAACGAUAUUGAUAAGUUAAAGUUGCUUAAUACUGAUAAACAACUUCAUUUUGAGUUUCGGACCGAAGGAAUAGUAAAAUAACUUUUGAACAAGCUAAUAAUGAGUUUCAGACUGCUAGAACGGUAAGAUAACUUUGAGCGAGUCGUGUUAGACCGCCUGAAGCGUGUUAUCUCGUUUGUUUUAGUCGCAUUAGUGAUGAAUUUUUAUGGCAAGUGCACCGCGUUUGUCAGAAGUAAUAAUUGUUCCUAAGGACGGAUAUCGAUCCCACAAGGAACAGUAAAUUAUCAAAUACAAUAUUCGUUAAAUAUAACAACAGAACAAUAAAAAGAGUGUUGAAUUGAGUGUCUUGGCACUGAUCAAUAAGAAAACAAACAAAGAAUUAGUUGCUUCAGUUGGAAAAAUAGGGAUUAGGUUUAAUCUCUCUCACUCUCAUGUAUUUUGAUUAGCAUGUCAAUAUUAAGUUCCUUGAUUGAAAUUGAUGCCCGUAGAAAAUUCAUUUAUAUCGAUCUCUCGCAUAUAAAAUUCUUAAGAAUGAUUCCUAAAUAUCGAUAUCUCGCAUACCUAUAAAAACAACUUAGAAAUCACAAUCAGACGUUAAUGGCAAUUAACAUUUCAAGUCUAUCUUUAACACUCAAAUAUGUUAAGUAUUGAUGUUUAGGUCGGAACCCUAAAAAUACCUCUCGGUCAGAUUUAAGAUUCUCAAUUUUUCACGGAAAGUUAAAAGUAAAACAACAAUACCAAUAAUCAAUCAAGAACUGAAUAUUAAUAUAUAAGAUAUCACUUCAAUACAUAAGAGUUUAAGCAGAUUACUCUGAAUCUCAAAGGGUAGAAUUAGCCACGCAUACUUCUAGCACCUUCCAUUCUGCCAAUUGGGUUACAAUUCACUCUAUGGUGUUUUCCUCUCAAUUUGGCACGCUAGAUUUGAGCCUCUAGCCCCCUAUUUAUCCUAGUUUUCUAGGGUUAGGUCGCUUCUUGUGUCGCACUAAUGGGCUAAGUGAUAAAACAUAAAAAAGGCUCAAUCUUUCUUUGCAUCUUUUCCAUUAUGGGACCUUCCAACUUUCUCUUUUUAGCUCAAAUUAUUCUCCUAUUCUCCAAAUCUUCAAUCCUCCCUAAAAAUAUGCAAUUAAAUCCAAAUUUGGGAACAAAAUGCUCUUAUUCAAAUAAAGCUCAUAAAAAUGUAAAAAGGUAUAAAUUCAUAAAUUAGGGAUUAUUUUAUAUGUAAAUUAGCAAUAAAUCCUCAUAAGUGCCUACAUUUUAAUAUGAAAUAUUACUGAAAUUUGACACUUAUCAAUUAGGCGAUGUUAUUGUUGUGUUGAUUGCUUGAUGCGAUAAUAAUAAUACUGAUCGGUUCGACCGAUAAAAAAUGCACAGUUUGAGAUUAUUUUCUCAAUAUAUAUUUGGUUUCUGGUCACAAUUAGUGAGAUUUGAUUGAGUUAGCAGGAGGAUAACUAUUUCCGACCGACCGGAUGUGAUGAAAAAAAUAAAGAAAGAUAUAAAAUACUGGAAUGUUUAAAGUGCCUCCUUAAAACCUUCUCGAUUGAAACCCUCCUUAGGGAUAAAAUAACCGAGCGAAGAAAGAGUACACUAAUAAUGUUUAUCAGCUAUAAUUGAAUUUGAUAUGUGUGGCAUUCCAUGUUCUUGGUACAGUUUUUCCUUAUAAAUAUUCUAAGUGAUAAGCACCUCUUGCUGCUGUGUCAGCAAUUCGAAAUGGUCCUUCCCAAUUGCUGGAGAAUUUACCUUCCGCCUUUCGGGCAUCGCUGCGCAUUCGCCAUACUAAAUCUCCUUGGUGAAAGUUUCUUGGUUUUACCUUUGAAUUAUACUGUUUGGCCGCCCUCAAUUUGCAUGCUUCUUCUCUUAUUAUGCUUUUAUCCCCGAGUUCAUUAAUGAGGUCGAGGCCAACCAAUAAGCUUUCUUUGUUCAAGUUCAAAUCUAGUGUUUGCCGACGUAGGGAAGGUUCCCCUAUUUCGACAGGUAUCAUAGCUUUUGUACCGUAGGUUAGGCUAUAUGUCAUUUCUUGAGUUGUAGACUAUGGUGUACACUGGUAGGCUCACAGGACCUCAAGAAGUUCUCCAGUCCACUUUUGUUUAGCGGGGUCGAGCCGUUUUUUUAACUCGUUGAGGAUGACUUUAUUGGCGACCUCAACUUGGGCGUUAGUCUGAGGGUGUUCUAUUGAAGUCGUGACAUGUUUGAUAUCAAGUUUCUCGUAAAACUGGGCCAAUUCUCGAUCAGUAAAUUGAUGACCGUUGUCAGUAAUAAUAGCGUGAGGUAGACCGAACUAGCAUACAAUAUUCUUCCAAACGAAAUUUUUGACAUUUCGUGCGGUGAUUGCCAUUAAGGGUUCGACUUCUAUCCAUUUUUUGAAGUAGUCUAUACCAACUAGCAAAAAUUUGCAUUGACCUUUGCGCAGAGCGAAUGGUCCAAUAAUGUCCAUUCCUUAUUUGACAAACAACCAUGGGGAAAGAAUGUAGUGGAUAUUUUCAGGUUUCUGGUGGAAUAAACUUCCAUAUUCUUGACAUUUCACGCAUUUUCGUACAUAUUUUGUGUAAUCACCCUGUAUGGUCAGCCAAUAAUAACCUACUCUCAAUACUUUAGCAGCCAUCAUUCGUGCUCCUAAAUGGGUGCCGCAUAUCCCUUCGUGUAUUUCUUGCCUAACAUAUGUGGCUUGUUCAGGAGAAAGACAUUUCAGCAGUGGACGAGUAUAGCCUCGUCGGUAAAGAUCUUGAUUUAUUAAGAGGAUAUGUACCGCUUGUCGCCUCAAUGUUUUCUUUGAAUGUAUGUCAUGCGUUCCAUCUAUCAAGAAUUGUUUGAUGGGUGUCAUCCAAUCGAGUAGGGUGUCGAUCGUCAAGCAUUCCUCGGAACCUACGCUAGGUUUAACUAGCGUUAUGUAAACGACUGACCGGUGAAGCCCCUUUUUCAUGGCGGUGGCAAGACGGAAAAGCAUAUAUGCUCGGACGUUAUCCUUUCGGCGUAUGUGUUGAAUUUUAACUUCCUCAAACUUUGUGAUUAAUUCUUGCACGAAAUGGAAAUAAUGUUGUAAAAGUGUUUCACGUACUUCAAACUCUCCUAUUAACUAUCUGACCACUAGCUGUGAGUCACUUUUGUAUAACAAUUUCUUUACUUCCAAAUCUGUUGCAAGAUUAAGACCAGCUAUAAUUGUCUCGUAUUCAGCCUGGUUAUUUGAAGAUUUAAACUCAAACUUUAGGGCUUGUUCGAUAAGAAUGUUACCUGGUCUUUCUAGUACCACUCCUGCGCUGCAUGACCGAUUAUUGGAAGAACCGUCGACGUGCAAAAUCCAUGUAGAAUUACUUUCUUGGUUUUGAGGAGGGCUAAAUUCAAUUGUGAAAUCAGCUAAAGCCUGUGACUUGGUUUCUCCCCUAGGUUGAUAUUGGAUAUGAAAUUCUGAUAAUUCAAUGAACCAUCCUAUCAUUUGUCCGACCAGAUCUGGUUUCGCCAAUAUCUUCAUGAUGGGGUAAUCAAUUUUCACUAUGAUUCGAUGAUUCUGGAAAUACAUACGCAUGCGUCGUGCAGUAGUAAUCAGGGCCAAAACUACUUUUUCUAUCAUUUGAUUUGUACUUUCUGCCCCGUGAAGUACUCGACUCACAAAGUAAACAAGGUGUUCUUCGGUCUCCACUUCUUGGACUAAGACUGCGCUAACUACAUCUUCUGAAACAGUAAGGUAAACAAUAAUAGGUUCCUUGGAAAUUGGCUUUUGGAUGAUCAGAGGGGAGGCUAAGAAGGUAUUCAACUGGAGGAAUAUUGUCUCGCACUCAUCCAUCCAUUGGAACUUUGACGCUUUGCCCAAUAGUUGAAUAAUGGGUUUAGUUUUUUUCGCUAAUCUUGGCACAAAUCUGGAUAAUGCAGUCAGUCGUCCGACUGACCUCUGAACUUCUUUGACAUUUUUUGGGCUUCGCAUCUUGGCUAUGGCUCUAGAUUUUUCGGGGUUAGCUUCUAUGCCGCAGUGUAUGAGCAUGAAGCCUAAAAAUGUUCCUCAUUCGACACCAAAUGCAUACUUAUCUGGGUUAAGACGCAUGCCAUGUUUUCGAAGCACUUGGAAGACUUCCCUUAAGUCGUUGAUGUGUUGUUCGCAUGAAUUAGAUUUGACAACAAUAUCAUCCACAUAAACUUUGAUGCUUCUGCCAAUCAUGUCCAUCAACCGUUGAUAGGUGGCACCGACAUUCUUGAGGCCGAAUGGCAUGACUUCAUAGUAGAAAUUUUCGGAAUCAUUCAUGAAGGUUGUUUUUUUCCUUAUCUCUUGGAUGCAUUUGGAUUUGAUUGUAUCCCGAGUAGGUGUCGAGAAAGCUGAGAAUAUUAUGACCUGCGGCUCCAUCAGCGAAUCGGUCGAUAGUGGGUAGAGGAUAAGAGUCUUUGGGGCAUACUUUAUUGAGAUCAGUGUAAUCCACACACAUCCGUUAUUUGCCAUUGGAUUUCUAAACCAUCACCACAUUAACUAGCCAAGUAGUAUAGUGUGCUUUUUGAAUAAAACCAGCUUUCAUUAAUUUUGUUGUUUCGUAGCGGGCGGCUUUGUGCCUUUCCUCUCCCAACUUACAUCUCUUUUGAGCUAUCGGCCUUGCUUCUUUGUAAAUAGAUAGACGAUAUGUGAUAAUUUCUGGACUUACUCCAGGCAUAUCAGUUGUUGUCCAAGCAAACAGAUCGACAUUAUCCAUUAAAGUGGUGUUGAUCAAUUUACGGUCGUUCGACUUUAGAGACGUCCCAAUCUACGUCUUGUGUGUAUCAUCGUGGAGGGGUAAAGUUUGAAGAUCUUCACCGGGCUCCAUGCGAGGAUCAUCAAGUCUAUGAUCCAAAUCUACGAGUGCAACCAUGUCUCUUCUGAAGUGUCUCUCCUGUGAGUGUUGUUCUGACGAUCGUUCUCGUCUUCUGGGUGAUUGACCGCACAAUGAUGUUUUGUAUAACCUUCUAGUAGGUUCUACUCUUAAGCUUGCAACAUAACAUUCCCGAGCGGUUUUUUUAUCAACAUGGACUAUCGCAAUAUCUCUAGUGGCAGAGGGAAAUUUCAUUGCUAAAUGUGGAGUACAGACGAUUGCUCUCAAAUGGUUGAUGGAAGAACGACCGAGCAAUAUGAUAUAUGAGGUAUUGGCAUUAACCAAUAAGUACCUAACCUUAAUAGUUUUAUUAAGUCCCCCUUCUUCACCGAAUGUGGUAUAUAGGUCGAUAUAGCCUUUGGUAUCUACUUGUUCUCUUGAGAACCCAACAAUCUGUUCGUUAUAGGACUGAAUGUCUGUCUCUGAAAUUCUCAUUUUUUGGAAGGUUCUCCAGUAAAGGAUAUCUCCGGAGCUACCUUGGUCUACUAGUACUUUGGUAAUUGCAAAUGUAUCAAUUUCUACCAUAAUUACCAUGGGAUUGUCCUGUGCUGGAUCUAUCGCAGUAAAAUCAUCAUCAGUGAAUGUUAUUGGAGGCAUUCAGGGUCGUUUCUGAGUUGACGUGGAGUGGAUUGAUUGAAUAGCUCUAAGAUGUUUCUUUUUGGCUGAAUUCGAACAUCUGCCUCCUGCAAAACCUCCAACAAUGUAAUUGACUUCUCGGACUCUUCGUUUAGUCUGAUUUCUACUCUCAGGACUUUCACUCUGAGGUCAAAUCCUCGGGACUGGACUUUCACUUCUUCUAUGUCUAGUGGGUCGCUGAUUGUUGUCACGACGACGCAAGUCUCCUCGUCCAAGUCGAUCGCAAUGUUCUUUUGGGGUCAGUCGUUCCCCUUGGGGAGAUCGACAGUGCGUAGAGACAUCAGUUUUAAUGAACUGACGGAAAUGUCCAGCCUGGAUGAGUGUUCUACUUUGUGUUUUAAUGUCUGGCAUCCUUCGGUUGUGUGACCGUAUUUACGAUGGUAUUGACAACGUUUGGACGUGUCGGUAUUCCAUGGAGUUUGUGAUGGCCUUAAUGCUGGAAUCAAUUCGGCUUGUAGAGCGUCAUCUAAAAUCUUUCCUCUUGGAACAGUCAGAGGAGUAUAAUUACUAAACUGAGGUCCUUGGUUUUCUCUAAAACAAUCCAUCCGGUCGAACAUGGGUCAGUUGCUUUUUUCCUUUUCUUUUCCUUUGUUAGUGUUUUCAGCUUGAUGAUUCCUAUGAUAAUCAAUAUGUUCUUCAAUUUGCAUGAGUUUGGUUGCUCGAUUCCGCAGUUCGUCCAUAUUUUUGGCUGGUCUUUUGAUUAGGCUUUCGGUGAAUCGGCAUGGUCGAAUUGCCCCGACCAAAUGGUGCAUAGCUAUCUCAGGGUUUAAGUUUCUGAUGUUCCUACGUACCUUGCUAAAUCUAUCCAUGAAUGCCACAGGGACUCUUCUCUCUCUUGCUUUACAUUUAGAAGGGAUAAGGAGGACGUGUGAUGGGGUCGACUGGUUGCAUACUGCAUGAUGAACUUUGAGGUUAAAAUCUUAAAGUUUGCCGCUGAGUGGGGAGGUAUCAUGUAAAUCAGUUGAGUGGUCCUUCUUGUAGAGUGGUUGGAAAUGCUUUGCACCAGACUGCCUUGUCUGUUGUAUAUAGGGUCAUUUGGGUUUUGAAGACAUUCAGAUGUACAUAUGAGUCAGUCGAACCAUCAUAGAGCUUGAUAUUUAGACCUUUCCACUUAGCUGGGAAUGGUGUAUCAAUUAUUUCAUCUGUAAAAGGGUUGCCCCUCAUGUCUUCUUCAUUAUCUGGAGUGGUAGGCAUUAUGGAGCUUUGGUGGGUUUGACGAGUCUGGAGAGUAGGUGGAGGCUGUGGAGUAUGGUGAGUCGAAGUGGUCUGACUAUUCGGUGGUGCCUGGUAUUGUCCUUCUCGUUCAUAGUGUUCAAGUCGUUGUUGCAAGCAUCUAUUUUGUUCUUUUAGUUGAGACAUUUCUUCUUCGUAUUGGCGUUGGUUUUCUUCAUUGCGUAGCUGGUCCGCAAUACCUUUUUGACGCAACUCCUCCAUUUGUGCUUGAAGGGCUCUAAUCAUGGCUGCUUGUUCGUCCGACAUGCGGUCGAUGGCGUUAUUCCUUGUUGAUACCAUUGUUGAUCGAUUUGCGGUAGGAGAUUAAAAUUGCUACUUCGAACCCACGGUGGGCGCCAAUUGAAUCUGUACUGGGAAUGAGGGGCCUACAUAGCCCUUUGACAGUUAACACAGUUGCUGACGUACCAGUGAUCUUUGAUUUACUUCAAGCUUCCUUCCUUCGCUAUUGGUGUUCCGCCGGUCGAGGUACCUACGAUUGCAAUCUGACAUUUAAGUCAGUGCUAGGAUUUAUGUAUGUUCUGGUAGAAUAUGAAAAAUGUACCUCACUCUUGAACCAAGGAUUCUAUUUAUAAUGUUGACUCAUGCACUUUUACCUCUAUUUAUGGAAGGGGCCCCAACACCAAUCCAUUAAAAGGCCACCAAACAUCUCAAAUUGAGGCAACCACUAGAGUUAUGGUCAAGAGGGUUCAAGAGGACGCAUUUUACAUGCCAUAAACUCUAGUGUAGAAUAGUUUUUAAAUUCUUGUAAAAAUUAGCAUAGGAAUUUUAUUCGUAAUUUUUCCUUAGAUGAAAUAUGUCACCUAAAAACUAACCUUAGUUAAAUUAGGAUUUCUAAAACACCUAAUUUUAACCAAGGCACAUUUUCCACAUAUUCCAUAUUUAACAUGUGCUAAAUUUUUUCCAUCACAUGUUAAAUAUGCUACAUGUGCUCCAUGUGCUAAGUGUAAAAUAGGCGCCACUUUUAAGUUCUUUUUCAUUUGAAAUUCCCUCCAAUUCUCUUGUUCAAAUCCAGCCCUCACUUGCUAUAUAAUGAGGUGUUUGGGUCAUGUAAAUUCAAGAUUAAUAUACUUAGUGAAUUGCUGCCAAAUUGUGCCAAUUUCACUUCUUGCCCAAAACCUCCUAGGUUAGGCUUUUAAUCUUCAUAAACUUCCCCUUUCCAAGUAGAGUUGGCCUCACCACUCUCAAAUCCUACCUCUCAUGCACCUUCAAGGUCACCACCACUCCUAGGAGGACCUUGCUUCAUCUUCAAUCCAUGAUGCUUUCGCCAUUCACCAACAAAUUCCGAAAAUAUGAAGGUACAUCUCCAUCAUUUGGUAUCUAGAGUCAUGGUCUUCAAGAGCUAAGUGCCUUAUUUCAUUUUAAUUUUUGUGUUCAUCUUGUUUUCGUGUUGUUCUUCAAGUUUUCCUUAUUGUCUUGCUGUUUUUUACAUUUUAAUUUGAUUUAGGUGCUGUUUGGAGAAAUCCAAUCGGUGCAUUGUGUUCAAAUUGUUCUUGAGCUUCUAAUUGUCAAAUUUGUGUAGGAUCCCAUAUAGAUUUGUGUUGCUGUUCUGUUUUUUGGUUUAUUUGAGUCUUAUUUGCAAUUCUAAUCGGUUCAUUGUGUGUUUUGAGUCAUUUUAAUUUUUGAAUCCAAUUGUGUUUUGUCUAGUCAUGUUUCUCCUAAAAUUGUCAUCAAUUCCAUGUAGUGUUGUUUUUGAUAAUUUUGGUUUCUUGAUUUGAUUUGAGUCCAGUUUUAUUUUGAGUUUGUUUGAUCCUUUGGUGCAUUUUUCUUUUUAAUUUUGAGUUCAUAUUUGUGUGUUAGAUCCAUACAAAUUCAUAUACAUCCAUUCCAUUGUGUUUUUGAAGUUUCUUCAAUCUGUUUUUAAUUCCAGAAGUGUCUAUUUUUUUUAUUAUGAAAUUAAAAUACGUUGAAGAAAAAAUAUGUUGGAUCUAUACAGAUUAAUGUAUUAUAAAAUCAAGAAAAAAAAUCAGAUCAAAACACAAUAGAAAAAAAAAUGAUAAAUCAAACAAAAAAUGUGUACAUCGUGGCGCCAACAGAAUCUGUAAUUUGACAAGAAUUUUGAAAAAUUUAUCACAAUUAUUUGGUGCAUAAUUUUGGUGUGAUUCCAGCGCCAAAAGUUUUCUAAGACCUUGAAUUGUUUGUGGUUCAAAUUUCAGAAUCAGAUUUCAAAUAGCCAGCUCAGCAUAAAUUUUAUAAGUCAUGCUUUUUGUACCUAAAAUUUCCGGUAGUACUGUUUUGAUUUUUUUUUAAUAAUUUCUAGUGUCAUUCUCUUGGUUCAAUUUGUGUGCUACCUUUUGUUGAGUGCCUUCUUGUCAAAUUUAUUCAAUAUUCCUUCUAGUUGUGUCCUAUAAAUCAAUCAAUUUGUUGUUGUCCUAUUUUUUAAAUUUGAAUUGUUCUUUGCUUUAACUUCUUGACCUCUAAUUGUUGGUGAACAAAAAUUCAAAUUGGUGCUUGUUAAGUUGGAAUUAACCUUGUGGUGAGUCCAUCCCUACUUAGUAGGUACUGUUUUGAAGAUUUUAAUUUGCUAAUCAUAAGAGGUUAAGGCAAGGAGCUGCAGCAAAUAUAAAUACAAAAAUAUACACAUCAAGGAAGAUCAACCACAAGCCAAAGAGUGCAUAGUUAAGGAAAUCUGAGUUUUAUUUUGUGUAAUUAAAUUUCCUUUGUAUUUCCUUUGAGUUGUAAUUACAUUCAACUUUGAUUAAUUAGUGGAAUAAUUACGUGUAGACGGUGAGUGUGUCUUCAAUGACUCCAAGUGUCUAGAAGCCUCACCUUAGGAUUCGUCUAGUUUAAAGUUUUUUAGUUAGCAAUCUUUAAUUUGUGCUUAGUUAAUUGUUUUGCUUUAAUUACUUGUUUUGUAUUGUUAAUUGCUUUGCAUUGUUUUCUUUGCAUAAAAUUGUGUUUUCAUUUCUACUUGUGAUUUACGUAGUUUACUUAAAAAAAGGUUUGUGACAAGUUUUGAGGGAUAGUUUUUGGCAAGGAAAGACUUGGUACUUAAGAAGUCCUAGUGACUCACCUCUCUUUCCUGGAAAGCUACCUUCACUACUAUCCUUAUCUUUUUUUAGGUAAAAUACUUAGAACACAAGUCUUUAACCAUGUCUUCUCCAUCUCGCAUUUCUAAUGAAAGUGAAGGAACCAUCCUUAAAAAUCUUUUGGAAAAAAUAGCACAAGGUGUUCAAGCACUUUCAUAUAGACAAAUACAAUAUGAGGCCCAAUUCAAAGAAAGUGAUACUCAUUUUUCUUUGAUGCAAGAAGAGUUGAAAAUGGUUAAAGAAAGGAAUGAAUACAACAAAUCAAAAAGAAGUUCUCAUGCAUCUAGCUCUAAGGUAGACAAUUCUUUUGGGAACAAAGCUUUAGAAUUAAUGAAUAUUAUCAACCACUCCCUAGGAGAGCUAGAAAAGAAAGAAAAGAAAGCACUAAGGAGGUUAGGGUAGAUCUACCUUAUUUCCAUGGGAAAGAAAAUGUAGAAGUCUAUCUAGAUUGGGAAAUGAAGGUAGAACAAUUGUUUGCUUGCCAUAGAGUAAGUGAAGAAAGAAAGGUACCCUUAGUCACCCUAAGUUUUCAAGAUAAUGUUAUGUAUUGGUGGAAUGCCCUUGGGAGAAAAAGGCACCUUCAUAAUGACCCUCCCAUAGAGUAUUGGAAUGAUCUUAGGGGAGCUUUAAGACACCGCCAUAUUCCCUCCUACCACAUUAGGAAGUCAAUGGACAAACUCCAAGGACUUCAUCAAAAAAAUCUAAGUGUAGAAGAAUAUUGGCAAAAGAUGAUGCUAUAUAUAAUAAGGGCAGGGAUUAAUGAGGACAACCAUACCACCAUAUCUAGGUUUUUAAGUGGUCUCAAACUUGAGAUAAGAAACAAAGUUGAACUUUUACCCUAUAAAGAUUUAAAUGACUUGAUUCAACUUAGCAUUAAAGUUGAAAAACAAAUUUUGAGAAAACAAUCAAGUCAAAAACAAAGUUCAAACUCUGUAUCUUAUGACAAGAAAGAGGUCCAAAGAGGGGAAGAGCAUAUAAAAGAAACAUCUCUAGAACCUUCCCAAAACCUACCCAAAUACGUGCAUAUCUCACACACUCAAACUAGAGAAAUUCCAUGUUUUAAAUGUUUUGGUAAUGAUCAUUUAGCAUCUCAGUGUUCCAAUGAAAUCUAAGGCAAUGUCUCAUGAACUCUAUACUCUUUUACCUUUUGAAAAUGUUCCAUGGGAAGACAUAAGCCUAGAUUUUAUAUUAGAGCUUCCUAGGACAACAAAAGGUUUUGACUCCAUUUUUAUGGUUGUGGAUAGGCUCUUCUUUAGAGAAGCGGUAAGAUGUCAUGGAUUACCUAAAAGCAUAGUUUUGGAUAGAGGUCCAAAAGUUAUAGGCCAUUUUUUUAGGACUCUUUUGGGGAAAUUUGGAACUAAGUUGAGAAUUUCAAUUUUUAGUCAUCCUCAAACGAAUGGUCAAAACAAAGUUGAAAAUAUAGCUUUUUCUACUAUGUCUAGGAUAAUCAUGAGAGACAACCACAACUCUAGGGAUGAGUAUCUUUUCCAUAUUGAGUUUGCAUACAAUAGAGUAGUUCACAAGACUACCAAUAUUUCCCCAUUUGAAGUUGUAUAUGGAUUUAACCCUCUUACUCCUUUAGAUUUGUUACCCUUUCCUAACCCACAAACUUUUGUGCAUAAGGAAGGCGUUACCAAAGCUGAAUUUGUUAAAAAAAUGCAUGAGAGGAUUAAAGAACAAAUACAACAACAAAUAGAGAAAUAUUAUGAUAAGUUGUCAAAAACAAUAGAAAAACAAAAAGAAUGGCAACUUAAUAGAAUUGAUUUUUAUACAACUCCUCAAACUAACACAUUUGCUUUGUUUGAUGAUUCCCAUAGAUGGACGUUUGAUCUGGGAGGACGAGCAUAGUUGUCAAAGUAAGAGUCUGCUAUCCGAGAUCGACCUGUGGAUCUGAGGAUACAUUUUCUCAAGAAGGAGGAGAUAAUGGACACCAUCCAGACACAUACAUCCCCCUACUAAUGACGAGGACGAAGCCUUGGAUUUGAGGACAAAUCCUUUUCAAGAGGGAGGGGAUGAUGGAAGGGGCCCCAACACCAAUCCAUUGAAAGGCCACCAAACAUGUCAAAUUGAGGCAACCACUAGAGUUAUGGUCAAGAGGGUUCAAGAGGACGCAUUUUACAUGCCAUAAACUCUAGUGUAGAAUAGUUUUUAAAUUCUUGUAAAAAUUAGCAUAGGAAUUUUAUUUGUAAUUUUUCCUUAGAUGAAAUAUGGCACCUAAAAACCAACCUUGGUUAAAUUAGGAUUUCUAAAACACCUAAUUUUAACCAAGGCACAUUUUCUACAUAUUCCAUAUUUAACAUGUGCUAAAUUUUUUCCAUCACAUGUUAAAUAUGCUACAUGUGCUCCGUGUGCUAAGUGUAAAAUAGGCGCCACUUUCAAGUUCUUUUUCAUUUGAAAUUCCCUCCAAUUCUCUUGUUCAAAUCCAGCCCUCACUUGCUAUAUAAUGAGGUGUUUGGGUCAUGUAAAUUCAAGAUUAAUAUACUUAGUGAAUUGCUGCCAAAUUGUGCCAAUUUCACUUCUUGCCCAAAACCUCCUAGGUUAGGCUUUUAAUGUUCACAAACUUCCCCUUUCCAAGUAGAGUUGGCCUCACCACUCUCAAAUCCUACCUCUCAUGCACCUCCAAGGUCACCACCACUCCUAGGAGGACCUUGCUUUAUCUUCAAUCCAUGAUGCUUCCGCCAUUCACCAACAAAUUCCGAAAAUAUGAAGGCACAUCUCCAUCAUCUAUGGGCUGGAUCUUUAGUUGACAACUAACAUGCAUAGUGAUUUCCUAAAAACAGUGGAGUGUAUUUCUCAGUUUGAUUGGUUUUUAUCAUUAUAUUUCCGGUGGCUUUUGGGUUUUGUCUGAUCCACCUGUCAACUACGAGCACAGGUGGCGUGGAUGGAACACAACCGUUGCCGAGCAAAAAUCAGAUUAUGAAAACUUGCAGAACUUACUCACUUCAAUGUGCUUUACAUUGUACAAUAAAAAGGAGGACAUUGUUGUAUGGCAGAAGGCUAAGGAUAAUAGUUGCUAUUUGAAGCUUCCUAAAGAGACCUACCCACCAAAGUGUGAUGACAAAAUAAGUUGCUUCCUACAAGAAGUUGCUGCUUGAGCUUGGCACUGACAAAAUAAGAAAUGUGAUGGACAUGAAUACAGUGUGUGGAGCUUUUGCUGCACCUUGAUCAAUGAUCCCCUUUAGGUCAUUUAUGUGGUCUCAUCUUAUGGUCCCAACACACUCCCUGUGGUUUAUGAUCGAGGCCUUAUUGGAACCUUCCAUGAUUGGUAAGUUUGAACUUUUCAUUAUCAACCAUAAGGUUAUUACUUAUGAAUGUCUUUGUGUCAUUUCCUAUGGUAUGAUAUUUAUUUGAAUUUUAUUAUUUCAUAGGUGUGAGGCUUUCUCAACCUAUCCUCGAACCUAUGAUCUCCUUCAUCUUGAUGGAUUCUUCAGUGCAGAAAACCACAGGUGAAUAUGUAAACUUGUUUACUCUCAUUAGUAACUCAAAUAUGGACUCACUCUAAACUUCGAUUAUUGAAUAUGUUUCUGACAAUAGUUGUUCCUUAACAGAUGUGAAAUGAAGUAUGUGCUGUUGGAGAUGGACCGAAUUUUAAGACUUGGUGGCCAUGCUAUCAUUCGAGAGUCCACUUAUUUUGUGGAUGUUGUUGCAACUAUUGGGAAGGGCAUGCGAUGGAUGUACUGGUAGGCUAAAACCGAGAGGUUAAGCCGAAAGCUAAAUACCAAACAUAACCGAGAGGUUAUACACAAGUGUUGUGCUGAUAAGCUUUAGCCGAAAGCUAGAUACUACACAUAACCGAGAGGUUAUACAAUAAAAGAAUAAGACAAAAUAUAAAUAUUAUUAUAAUAAGGACCAAAUAAGAUAGAAACCUGCAUUAGGGGGUGCGUAAAUAAUAAAAUGGUGUGGAAAGAAAGUCCAAAGGUAAAGUGGAAAGCCCAUUAAAGAAAUCCUAUAAAUAGGAGGUUAACGUAAGAAAAAGGUAAGAGUGAUUUUUAUCUGAAAAACGUUAACCUAUUUCUGACUUUGGCAUCAGAGCGAUUUGCAGGUACACCCCCCAUCUGUGUGAAGGAGAAGCCGAGAGUACCCGCCGUAAGGAGAAGCCGAGAGCAGCCAACGUGAGGAGAAGCCGAGAGUAGCCGAUGUGAGAAGAAGCCGAGAGUAGCCAAUGUGAGGAGAAGCCGAGAGUAUCUGCCUUGAGGAGAAGCCCAGAGAGUCCAUCCCAAGAUUGGAAGAUUUGUAUAAGAGUUAAUCUUGUCAACCUGAUUCCAGUGUUCUUGGUCCCUAUUGUAAGAACAUUUUGGCGCCCACCAUGGGGCCGAGAAAUAGUUGAAAAAGGUAGAAGACAAGAUGAAUCAAAGAGAAGAACAAGGAGGGGAGCAGGCAGAUGAUGUUAGCAUGCCAAUGACAAUGUUGGUACAGCUACAGAAAGAGUUUGAGAUGUUAAAAAAAAGUAAUGAAGAAGAGCUAAGUGUGUUAAGAGCCGAAAAUGCACUCAUGAGGAGAAAGUUACAAGAAGAAACAGUUUUGAACUCAUCCUUUGAAACCGUUGAGCUGAGAGCACAAGUGAAUGAGAGGAUUCAUCAUAAUGAAAGUUCCCAAACAAAAAGAAGAUUGCUCGAAAAUUCUGAAGUUUUCGCAGCGGCAUCUUCAAGAAAACAUCCCUUAUAUGACGUUAUAGUUGAUACUCCACUACCUGACAAUUGGAAAAAUAUGACUAUUGACAAAUAUGACGGAAGCACAGACCCUGAUGAACAUAUCGCAAUAUAUACCACACAAAUUAGUUUAUAUACAUGGAACGAUGUUGUUAUGUGCAGGGUGUUCCCUACGACGUUGAGAGGUGCAACGUUAAGUUGGUUCACACGUCUCCCACCCUUAAGUGUAGACUGUUUUGAUACAUUGGUGGAAAAGUUUGGUGCUCAGUUCGCAACCAGUCGUCCUCAUCAUUUAACCUCGAUUGCCUUGGUAAACAUAAGGCAAGAGAAGGGAGAGUCGUUGAGGAUGUUCAUGGAACGCUUUGGAAGAGUUGCCCUGGGAAUUCGAAAUCUCAGCCCAGAGGUUACCAUGCAUCAUAUGAUAACAGUGUUGAAACCAGGACCAUUUGCUGACAGUCUUUGCAAGAAACCCGCGACCAAUUUGGAUGAGUUAAGACAACGAGCAUCGAAAUUCAUGCAAAUGGAAGAGUUGAGAGAGUUUUGAAAUCAAGUCAGGGUUGAUGGAGGUGAAAAGAAGGCGAUAGAAAGAGAAAGUGGACCUGUGGCUAGAAGAGCUAGAGAAGAAUUUAGAAGCCGAAAGUUCUAGCAAUACACACCUUUAAAUACGAACAGAACAAGAGUCCUGCAGGAAGCCAUGGCGGCAGAGAUAAUACCACCACCUAGAAAAGCAAGAACACCGGAAAGGGCAGACCACACUAAACAUUGUGAAUACCAUAAAAAUCAUGGUCAUCAUACAGAAGAAUGUAUUGGGUUGAAAGAUAGGAUAGAGGAAUUAAUUCAAGGUGGGCAGUUGAAACGUUUUGUUUGAGGAGGAAAUACAAGACUGAGGUUAAGUCCGGAGAGAGGUUUGAGAGGGGGUGAGAUAGGAGAGAGAAGGGUGGAGAGAUUUGAAAGAAGAGAAAAUAAAAGAGUAGAAAAGAGAUAUGAUAGAAGGGGUGGAAGGCCGGAAGGAAGAAAUGAUAGAGCUUAUCAAAACACGCAGUCAGUAAGGCGAAGUAGGGAGCGAAGUCUGGGAAGGCCUGUCAGGGGGUUCAUAAACACAAUUUCAGGUGGUUUCUCUGGAAAGGAAUCCUCAUCAGCAAGGAAACAACAUUGGAGAAGUAUCAGAACCAUUAAUCAUAUUUUCGAAAGAAGAACUUUGCCACCAAUGCUUUUUACAGAUGAAGAUUUUCAAGAAAUUGAUCCUGAUCACGACGACCCUAUGGUGAUAACGGUAGAAAUAGCCGAAUAUGCCGUCAUGAAAACCUUGGUUGAUUAGGGGAGUUCAGUUGAUAUUUUAUUUUGGGAUACUUUCAAGAGGUUGCAUUUAAGAGAAAAAGAUAUUGUACCUUUCCGAGAACAAAUCAUUGGCUUCUCGGGGGAGAGAGUUAGCACGAAAGGAUACGUUGAUUUGAUGACAACAUUUGGAAGAGGCAGUAAAACUAAAAAGAUCAAAAUCAGGUACUUGGUGGUGGAUGCUUCUACAUCAUACAAUGUGUUGUUGGGGCGAUCUUCUUUGAACAAGUUGGGAGCAAUAGUCUCAACACCACACUUAGCCAUGAAAUUUCCAACAGAGAAGGGGGAGAUAGCAACGGUUUAUGUCAAUCAAAAAGAUGCUCGAGAGUGUUAUGCAACGGGUUUGAAGAUGAAUUUGAAAGCAAAUAAAGAUACUGAAAGAAUGGUGGCAAUGGCAGAUUUGGACCCAAGAUUAAAUGACGAAAGGUUAGAACCAAAAGAAAAGACCACAACUGUGGUAUUGGGCCAGGACGAGAAGCAAUGCACUUAUAUAAGUGGAAGUUUGCCCGAAGAAUUGUUGAACAAACUCAUCACAGUGUUACGCAACAACAAAGACUUAUUUGAUCCAGAGGUAAUUUGUCACAAAUUGUCUGUGUGUCGAGAAGCGAGACCGGUAUCUCAAAAACAAAGAAAGUUGGGAGAAGAAAGGCGAAAGGCAGCAAUUGAAGAAACCGAGAAGUUGAUGCAAGCUAGUUUCAUUAAAGAGGCUCAGUACACGACAUGGUUAUCCAAUGUGGUACUUGUUAAGAAACCGAAUGGAAAAUGGAGAAUGUGUAUAGACUAUACAGACUUGAAUAAAGCCUGCCCGAAAGAUACAUAUCCAUUACCCAACAUAGACCGAUUGGUAGAUGGGGCGUCUGGACAAGAGAUGAUGAGCUUUCUCGAUGCCUAUUCAGGGUAUAAUCAAAUACAAAUGUAUGAACCGGAUAUUCCAAAAACAACUUUCACCACAGAUACUGCAAAUUAUUGUUAUAAAGUCAUGCCUUUUGGUUUGAAGAAUGCUGGAGCAACAUAUCAAAGCUUGAUGGACAAGGUGUUCAAAGAUCAAAUUGGAAAGAACAUGGAAGUUUAUGUUGAUGAUAUGGUUGUGAAAUCAGAAGAGGUAGAGAAACAUUUGGAAGACCUUGAGGAAGUGUUGGCACGCAUAAGAGAGUACAAUAUACGUCUCAAUCCAGAAAAAUGCAUUUUCAGCGUCAAAGGUGGAAAAUUUUUGGGCUUCAUGCUAACCAAUAGGGGAAUUGAGGCAAAUCAUGAUAAAUGCGAAGCAAUAAUGAAGAUAGGAAGUCCAAAAAACUUGAAGGAAGUGCAAAGACUAGUUGGAAAGCUAAACUCAUUGUCAAGAUUUUUACCAAUAUUGGCAGAAAAAACUAAACCGAUAGUAAACCUGUUAAAAAAAUUCGAAACCUUUGAGUGGAGUGAGAGGUGUGAACAAGCCUUUUCUCAAAUCAAAAGUAUGGUAGCUGAACCACCAAUCUUAGUUAAACCUGUGUCAACCCAACCCGUCAUAGUGUACUUAACAACUUCAAAUGAAGCCAUAGGAGCAGCAUUGAUCCAAGAGAACCCGGAGCAAAAACCAAUAUAUUUUGUAAGUAGAUCCCUCCAAAAUGCCAAAACCAGAUACCCCAAGGUCGAAAAAGUUGCCUUAACACUGGUGUACGCCGCGAGACGUCUUCGGCCAUAUUUUCAUAAUCAUCAGAUAAUUGUGAGGACAGAUUAUCCAAUAUCUAAAAUUUUGAGAAAACCAGAACUUGCAGGUAGAAUGGUGACAUGGUCAAUGGAGCUUUCAGAAUAUGGAAUCAAAUAUGAACCAAGAGGACCAAUCAAAGCCCAAUCCCUUGCAGAUUUCAUCAUCCAGAUGCCGACAACAGCACAACAGGAACAGUGGACAUUAUAUGUAGAUGGCGCGUCAAGCAAAAAAGGAAGCGGAGCAGGGAUAGUACUUGAAGGACCAGACAACUUCCAAAUAGAGAUGGCAUUGAGAUUCGAGUUCAGAACAUCCAACAACCAAGCCGAAUACGAAGCUCUUGUUGCAGGAUUAUUAUUGGCCAGAGACAUGGGAGUCGAAAAUGUCAUUUGCAAAAGUGACUUUCAACUCUCAGUGGGACAGGUACGAGGAGAUUAUCAGGUAAAAGAUCCAUUAUUAAUGCAAUAUUAUCAUAAGGUAUUAAAUAUUAUGCAAUGCUUCAAUAAGGUCGAAAUAAAAUAUAUUCCGAGAGAAUUGAAUAUGAAAGCAGAUUCAUUAUCCAAAUUAGCAAGUCAACAACGACAACUACAACAUAACUCAGUCAUACAACAAACCCUCAGUCAUCCGACAGUUGGUUUAGAGGAAUGCUUCCAUAUUGCAACAUCAAAAGAUGAAUGGAUAAAAACAUAUAUAGAAGUGAUAAAGAACCAAGAGCAAGGUGUUGAACUGGAUACAAAAAUGACAAAGAAUGUGGCUAGUUUUGUCUUAAUUGGAGAUGAACUCUACAAAAGAGGACAUUCAAUGCCUUUGUUAAAAUGUCUCUCAAAAGAGCAAGCUCAGUAUGUAGUGAAAGAACUUCAUGAAGGAAUUUGUGGAUUACACUGUGGAGCUCGGACAAUGGCAACAAAAGUUUGCAGAGCCGGAUAUUACUGGCCAACACUCCGAGAAGAUUGCGAAAUCUAUGUUAAAACAUGCAAGAAAUGUCAAGAGUUUGGAAGUUUAAAUCAUAUACCAGCACAAGAGUUGCAAGGAAUUAUUUCUCCAUGGCGAUUUGCAAAGUGGGGAAUUGAUAUACUUGGUCCAUUUCCACUUGGACGAGGACAACCUAAGUUCAUGAUAGUAGUUGUAGACUACUUUACAAAAUGGAUAGAAGCAUUGACUAAGAUAACAGCUCAGCAAGUUCAAACGUUUGUAUGGAAAAAUAUAAUAUGUCGAUUUGGAAUCCCACACACCAUUAUAACUGACAAUGGCCGACAAUUCAUUGACAAAAAACUUAUGGAAUUUUAUGCAGAUUUGGGGAUCAAGUCAACAAACACUUCAGUUGAACAUCCGCAAACGAAUGGACAAGCAGAAGCUGCAAACAAAGUUAUUCUCAGACAGUUAAAGAAGAGGUUAGGAAGCGCUAAAGGUUUAUGGGCAGAGAAGUUGCCAAAGAUAUUAUGGGCUUAUAGGUGCACACCACAAACUUCAACUGGUGAAACACCAUUCAAUGUCACAUACGGAACGGAUGCAAUGCUACCCGUAGAAGUAAAUGAACCAACACUACGAAGGCAAAUAGAGGACAGGAAUAUUAACAAUGAAUGUUUGAGGACCGACCUUGAUCUUAUUGAAGAACUUAGAGAGCGAGCAAAAAUAAAAGAGGCAGCAGUAAAGAGAAGAGCGAUGAAGAGGUUCAAUGUGAAAGUAAAAUUAAGAGACUUUAAAGAUGGGGAUUUGGUAUGGAGAAUGCGAACUAAUGCACGAAAAGAUCCGUGACAUGGAAAGCUGGCAUCUAACUGGGAAGGUCCGUUCAGGGUAUUAGAAAAUUUGCAAAAUGGAGCUUAUAGAUUAGAAACUUUGGAAGAGAAAGUGAUAUCAAGUGACAAUUUAUCUCGUUCACUUUCAUUUAUUCGGUCUUGGAUGAUUUCACUCCACGUGAAAACCCACCCGAAAAAACAUCUACUCAUAAUACCUUCGGUCUUGGAUGAUUUCACUCCACGUGAAAACCCACCCGAAAAAACGUAUAUUCAUAAUACCUUCGGUCUUGGAUGAUUUCAUUCCAGGUGAAAACCCACCCGAAGAACACAUACUUAUAUUGCUUUCGGUCUUGGAUGCUUUCACUUCAAGUGAAAUCCCUCCCGAAAGAAUAUUGCCUAAUAAAACCAUUGGUCCUAAAUGUUUACAAUUCAAGAGAAAUUCCUCCCCAGCAAAAAUUUUUCAUAUAAUUCUUUCGGUUUCAAAUGCUUUCACUUCAGGUAAAAUCAUUUCAUGUAAAUACUCUUGCCAUAAACUAUUAUCUCGUGAUCCAACAUAAUUGUUGAAUAGUGAUGCCGAAAAAACAAAUAGCGAAUGUUUGCUACAUCGAAUAAAUUAGACUAACAUAUACUUCACAACAUAAUAAGCCGAAUAUUAAAGCCGAAAACGUGAGACAAAAGUAUUUUCGAUCGAAAGAAUAAAUCACAAUCUAAAUCACAAGGAAGUUGUUUUCUUUCGGUUAAACUAAAAAUCAAUACUAAAACCGAAAGGUGGUCUCAGUGCUUUAAAAUAAAAAACCGAAAGGUAAUCUCAGUGCUUUGAAGUUAAAAAAACCGAAAGGUAGUCUCAGUGCUUUGAAGUUAAAAAAACCGAAAGGUAGUCUCAGUGCUUUGCAGUUAUAAAAACCGGAAGGUAGUCUCAGUGCUUUGAAAACCGAAAGGUGGUCUCAGUGCUUUGAAGUUAUAAAAACCGAAAGGUAGUCUUAGUGCUUUGAAAACCGAAAGGUAGUCUUAUUUUAAGGUUAUCGAAAUUGAGAAGUAUAGUUAAGCACUCGUAACCAAAAUAUGGCAUUUAAAACAUUUUCAAUAAAAUAAUCGAAAGAUUAAGCAUCGAGAGGUUAAAACCGAGAGGUUUAUCGUAACAUUUAUUUGUAACUGAAAAACAAAAUUAAUCAUGCAACCGAGAGGCACGACCACGAGUUCAAUAAUAGCCGAAAAAUGAGAAACAUAAAGUAAUAUCCAAUAAAUAACAAACAAAAUAACACAAAUUAAAAAGAAACCGAUAAGCUUUAUACGUACUAAGGUUUCAAAAAAGGGAUUACAUUAAGAAUGCAAAUAUUCAUACAUGGAUCAGCAUUCCAAAACAAAUUCACUCUCGUUAACUAAACCGAGAGCUAUAAACAAAAAUAAGAGCAUAUAUCCGUCUAGCUCUCAGCAUCAACAUCAUCAGCAUCAUCCUCAAAAAUUUCAUUAACAGGUACUAAGUUACCAUUAUAGAAAUCUUUCAUGACAUCAAAAUUGCCUUCAUCUAUAGGAAUCUUGUAGAAAUACUUUGCCUGUGCCAAAGCCUUUACAAAGCCUAGCUUAUGCUGCGCCAAAAUAAAGUUUUGAGCUUCAAAAACAUCCACCUUCAACUGCUCAAUUUCAUCUUCCAUACCUUUAAUAGUGUUGGUAUUACAAUCCUUCACCGAAGAUAACUCCGAAACUUUCUUCUCAAGAAGUUGAUUAUUAUUACGAAGAUCAUUGAUUUCUUCACCAAUUUUUGAACUCGCAACCUUCAAAUCCGAAACUUGUUUCUCAAGAUUUUCUUAUUCUAUCCCUUGUUGCUUGCUCUGCAAACUCAUCUCUUCCAAUUGCAAACUUAGUGCAGCAUUUUUCUCAUUACUCUCGGCAAAAUCAUUCUUUAAUUUUUCAAAUUCAGCAAGAGUCACACAAUUGCCAUUCUUUGCUUUCAGCAUUUUACCAAUCAAAAGCGUCCUACUUGAAAGCUCGAUGAUAGAAUCAGCUAAAGAAGCAUAGUCCUCAGCUUUCAACAGGUUGUAUGAAAACUCAGUAAACGAAGUUUGAACAAACUUGGCAUACUUCAUAGAAGCACCAAAAAUGGAUUCGGGAAGAGGCUCAGUUGAAAUAUCCUCACAAUGACGAUGGCGUCGAGAAGAAGAAUGUGAUUUUUUGCUACUUCUACCACGUUUCUUGGACUUUUUCGAAGGACCAGCAACAUGGUCAUCCUUCGCAGUUUCAGGGGCUUCAGUACGAGAAGGAGGUUCCGCAGUUUCCACCUCCAAUACCGGAUUGACCACAUUUUUAUGCCGCGGAGUAACAUCGCCAGUUCUGUUAAGAAGUUUUGUAAAAUAUGAACGACCUUUCGGAUCGAUGGCCGCCAUUAAUGCUGAAAACCAAUGAAAAAUUUAGCAAAGUUAAAAACCUCAUGCUAUAAAACAAGAAAAAAUCGAAACAAUCACAUACCGAUGAAAUCCUCUUGCGGACUCUUCGAAGUAUAUAACUGUAGUAAAGCGCGAGUGGGAAUCCGAUACGAGAAAUGACCAAAAACUUCAAUAACACGACGAUCAGCAGCAUUCAUCGAGUGGCACGACCACGAAUUGAACCUUAAUGGAUCUUGCGUCCAAUACAAGGGAAAUUUUGGAGUGUCCCCAUCAAAAAAACACUCUCUUCCUUCGGGCUCUAUUAGGAUCUUGAAAAAAUUUCCUUUAAAAUCCUUAUAUGACGACGUAAAAGGCUUAAGAAAGCAAAUAUCAGACUUACUAAUCAAAGACAACCAACUCGGUCGUUUACCUGGCUGAGAGCUAUAAUAAUACAAAAAAGAUCUAGGGCUGGGAGAGAGUGACAACAAUUUACACAAAAUACUAAAAGCUUGCAUUGAUGCCCAACCAUUAGGAUGAAGCUGGGUGGGAGCAAUAUUAAGAAUGUUAAGAACGCCCAUUUGAAAAUCAUUCAAGGGCAAUCGAAUAUGGAGGUCCCUAAAAAAGCAAGCAUAAAAAUAAAAAAAAUCGUUGUUAUCGCCCUCUCGACCAUGACAGACAUUAUCAACAUCACCCACACGCCGAAAGGAAAUUAUAUCAUUCUCAAAAUCAGAAUAAUCUGAGAAUUAGAAACAAAAUCACGAAGCUCAUUAGCAGAGCGAUAUCGAGAGAAGAAGUCUCGGACCUUAGGAUUAACCCAGUUGUAACCUGGACGAAGAGUCUUCCUUGGAGAAAUCAUUCUAACUCUUUCGGCAACAGUUGCGAUAACGACAUCAUUUGAGUCUUUCAUACAAAAAAGGGUAGCAGAAGAAGACUUUGAUUCAAGAUCUUGUUCUCCUCGUACCACUCGACCAGUGGACUCACCACCCGCGCUUGAAAAAUCACUCAGAUCAUCUGAACUAGAAGAAGAUUUCGGAUUAGACAUUGUUACCUUUGAAGAAAGAAGACUUCAAACGUCCUAGCUCUCCGCAAACAAUACAAACCGUAGAAAAUGAUAACAGCUUGAAUACAUUGCCUAUUUAUAAUAUAAACAAAACCCUAGAUACUGAAAAGUCACAACCCUUCCAAGCCGUUCAAAAAAUCAAUCAUCUAAGGGUUCAAAGAGUCUUGAUGUCAAAUCAUUCAGUCUGAGAAAGCAAAACACAGUAAACGAGGCAUUUAAUUCAAAUCAAAUCAUAUCUCAAAACCAUAAUUUUAGACAUAAACAAUUUUAUUUUAUUUCUUAAAACCUUUAAAUUAAAUUCUUUAUGCCUAGGGGGCCAGUGUACUGGUAGGCUAAAACCGAGAGGUUAAGCCGAAAGCUAAAUACCAAACAUAACCGAGAGGUUAUACACAAGUGAUGUGUUGAUAAGCUUUAGCCGAAAGCUAGAUACUACACAUAACCGAGAGGUUAUACAAUAAAAGAAUAAGACAAAAUAUAAAUAUUAUUAUAAUAAGGACCAAAUAAGAUAGAAACCUGCAUUAGGGGGUGCGUAAAUAAUAAAAUGGUGUGGAAAGAAAGUCCAAAGUUAAAGUGGAAAGCCCAUUAAAGAAAUCCUAUAAAUAGGAGGUUAACGUAAGAAAAAGGUAAGAGUGAUUUUUAUCUGAAAAACGUUAACCUAUUUCUGACUUUGGCAUCGGAGCGAUUUGCAGGUACACCCCCCAUCUGUGUGAAGAAGAAGCCGAGAGUACCCGCCGUAAGGAGAAGCCGAGAGCAGCCAACGUGAGGAGAAGCCGAGAGUAGCCAAUGUGAGAAGAAGCCGAGAGCGGCCAAUGUGAGGAGAAGCCGAGAGUAUCUGCCUUGAGGAGAAGCCCAGAGAGUCCAGCCCAAAAUAGGAAGAUUUGUAUAAGAGUUAAUCUUGUCAACCUGAUUUCAGUGUUCUUGGUCCCUGUUGUAAGAAUAAUGGAUAUGUUGCAAAGAAAAGACUGAGUAUGGAGUUGACAAAGAGAAGGUUUUGAUAUGCCAGAAAAAGCUAUGGCCUUCAUCCAACACAGGUUCAAGAUGACAAACUCUGGAACCUCUGGAGUGGCUAGAAUCGUAAAUCCAGAAGCAGAAGUUAAGGGAACGACUUCAGAGCCACCCUCUACAAAACAUUGAUUCAUUCUAUAAUUUAAGUCAAGAAUCGGUCGAUUUCAUUUAUCAGAUGGAAAAUUGGUAACUCAAUAAUCUGAUUUUGCUAAGUUAAUUAUAUAGAAAAUUUUCAUAUAGAUACUAUUCUUUAUAUGGCAUCAAUUGUAUCAGGUAUCUCUCGUAUACCUACUUUGUUGUUGUUGUGUAAUAUCUAGUGAACUCAUGUGAAAAAAUAGAAGUUUUGAAUUCUACAGAAAGCAUAUGAUCUGCUACUAUUCAUGAAUUGGAAUUCCUUAACAGAGAAAAUACAAUGUGUUGUAUUAAUGCUGGGUAGUAUUACAUUAGUACUCUAUGAUAAUUUAAAAUUGAAUGUCGUAUUAUAAAGAUUUUUAUUAAUAACAGCAUAAGCAUGUAACAUAAAAACCAUAAACCGGUGAGAGCAGAACAAUUUUUCUUUUUUUUCCGCAAUAAUAUCGUAUAUAUAGUCAUAUGAUUCAUUCAUAUGAAAGUGAAAUUAUUAUCGCUGUCUUCCAAAUUACAAUACACAGUUUCAAGAAGAUAAUUCUCCACUUACGCUGUAUGUUAUUUUGGGUGUAUAAGUUGAUAUUUGCAUUUUCUUUAAUCAAUGGAAGAGUGAAGAACCUUCUUGUUUCUCGUAUGACUCGCAAAUUUCAUUUUCAUGGUACGGAGAACAUCAGGUUCAGGUAAUUUCAAAUUUGUGUUUCACAAAAAACAUUCAAAUAUAAUUAUCUACUACGGUAAAAAAGUACCUUUGAUGAUUGAUGGUUGAAUUUUACAAGUCCCUAAAUGUUAAAGUAGAUUAAGUCAAAAGAUUGUUUUACAUGUGAUUGAAAUUACAUAAAAUAGAAUAAGGCAACAUAGUCAUUCUAUAAGUAGAAAUGUUUCUAAGCUUAAAAUGUUACAAAACAUUAAGAGGAUAAGAUUUCAUGGUUGAAGAAAAAUACAUUUGAGUAAAAUUUAGGAGUUAGUAUUGAAGGAGAUUCUGUGAGCUCAUAUAAGGAAUCAAUCACCUUUAAUGUUCUGACAUCCUGUAUGGAAUACACGUUAGAUAAAAAAACAAGUGAGCAAUGUAGUAAGUUUGGUCACAAAAAUCAUAUUCAAAGAAAAAUUUGACAAAUAUAAAAGUUGGGCCAAUGUGAGAUUUGGAGUGAGACAGACAUUUCUAUUUAAUAACUUGUGUAAAACAAAAUGAUGAUAAAUAAAAGUCCUACAAACAUACUUAAAAUCACAUCCACUAGCAUGCUGUCAUCGGAAACUUGCCCAUUGGCAAUUGGUAAGCAACCGUACGUCACAGUAAAAGAUUACCAACUAAAGUAAACGAAAUAAUCAUACCCAUUAUCAAAUACUUGUAUCGUGAAAUUUGACACUUCAUGAUGAGUGCUUAACAUCGAUUUGUGCCCAGAAAAUUCCGUUAUGUCCAGAAAAUUUACCAUUGAUUUGUGUCCAGAAAAUUUAACAUCGAUUUGUGCUUAACACCUAAUAGUCGUGUUUCUUUACCAUGAUAUAUCUUUGAUCAAAUUUUUAAUCGCAGAAUUUAAGACAAUCAGGACACUGCAAUUUCAUAUUCUGUAGUAGCUGUUUCUUCUUGCACCGGUUUUUUAGAUAAGGAUAUUCGCGUAUCCUUAAAGAAAACAAGUUGGUGAGUAGUUGAAUGCUACUCGGUAGUGACCUCAACUCUUCACAGCUAAAAUGAUAUAUAUGACAUAUAACAUUAUAAUAUAAGACUCAUCAAAUCAUUUCUUUUCCUGCCUACAAUCAUAUCAAAGAGUAAUUAUUAAUGGUCUAAGUCUUUCAUUUUUCUGCCAAAGUCAUUGAGAAAAUAGAGAUUCUUCUAUGUAAACAACACACUAGCUCUUAGUUAUUAAUAGAGCACUAAGCAAGCAAUUAGGAACGUACGCCAAUAACAUAAAUAAAUCCAGCUUAGUAUGUAAAUUUUAAACACAAUGGAGAUCUAAUAACUUCUCUGCAAAAAACCAAACAGUACAAGGUAGUGAUUGUUUGAUCUCUUCCAAACGAAAUAACAUCCUAGAAGUGUUCAUAUGAAUUUGGUAGAGCAUUAAAAAGAAUAUGAACUUAUCUUCAUUCUCCAGUUUCAUUUCAAGAUUCUCUAUAUGUGAAGGCACUGACAAAGGACAGUGGCAGAAGAAAUACAUAAGUGCAUCUUUACUUGGUUUUAAACCAACAAACUACCAACCAAAACCAUUUAUUAAAUUGCAAAUAUCUUCUGCUACUCGUAGCACCGCGACCAUACAAAACUUAGUAACUAGCCAUUUCUUAUCGAUAUGCUCUGUUUCUCAAAUGAUAUCUUGCCGCCUAGUAGAUAUAUCCUUGUAGAAUUGCACACACAAACAAUUAAAUCCAAAUUUUAAGCCUACGCAGUUAUUUUGAAUCAAAUUAAUGAGUGUCCAUACUAGUGUUAGUAAGCAAUUUUUUCAAAAUCAAAUUUUAUACAUGUUAAAUAAACCAUUCAAAAAUAGAAUUUUGUACAUGUUAAGCAAACAAUCACAAAUAUCUCUUACCACUUACACUUUCAAAACAAUUCAGUAAACAAUAUUUGAUCCUAAACAAAUUCAAAACCAAUUUUAUACCAAUUUGCUCUUGCAUCCAAUUCUAUAUACAUUGAGAUAGCUACAUUCAUCAUGUAUUUUAUUCAUGAAAAACUUGCCCUCAUUUUCCAAUGCCUGUAUUUAUGUUGUCCAAUGUUUUAUUCUGUACUUUGCAUUUUCUGCAUUGCACUACAUUUAUUUUGUUUCAUGGGUAACUUUGCACCUACUGCAUUGCAGUGCCAGUGAUCUUGGUGCACUUCAGCAACUCUUGGUUGAUCAACCAAUGUCCAGACAGAAGAAGGUAUGCUAGAAUUAUCUGUGGGGUAGUAGAAGUUAUGUUUUAAUCAUUAAAUAAAAAAUGGAUAUAAUCAUUAAAUAAAAAAUGGAUAUGCAUGUCAACGCCAUUAAUUUCAACUAAUACUUAUGAUAAUCAUUAGGAAUGCUUCACUUGGCCUCUUAAUGCUUCUAGGACCUCCUAUAUGAUCUUUAGAUCACUGUUGGAGCAUUGAUAAUUUUUUAUUUAUUUUGAAUUGAGCAUUGUUAAUGAAUAGAAUCUACUACUAUACUAUAUUUACUUACGAAAUCUGGAUUGCUAUAUUUAGACAUUAUAAGAUGUCAAAUUUAAUUCAACGUUUUUAAAGUAAACUGGAGUUCGUAAAAUUAUUUUGUUUAAGGAAUUUAUAAACUAAAACUCUAAAAGUCUGGUGCUACCCUUAUUCUGUUUUCAUUCUGGCAAUCACGUUUUAGGCUUAUUAAUACUGCUUACCCUUAAUAGCUUGGUAGGCAGGGCAUUAUGGUUUCAACUCAUGCUCUAUGAAACUAGAAAAAGAAAAACAAAACGGUGAAAGUUACAACUUGUUUCUUAUUCAGAUAAUAGUUCUACAAUCAUUUUUUAUUUAGUUCCUCUCCUAAAUUUGUUUAUUUUAUCCUUGUUUCAAUCUUGAUUUCAGUAAUUUGGGAAGUCUAGGCUUGCAAGUGGCCAGAUUAGUCUUUUGUCAGAUUUGGUAAGCCUGUAAGUAUCAGCAGCCAAAUUUUAUAUAUGGUAGUCUUCUUUCACAUGAUGUGGUUAAAUUGAUAUCUGGUUGUCAUGUUAUAAAAAUAAGUAUAGUUUCCAUUAUUAUUAUGUUCUCAUUAUAUUUUGUUUAGCUUAUAUAUGUGUUUGUUCUAUCAUAAUCAAGGUUGUCAACCCAAAAGUCUAUGUAAACUUGAUGUUUACGAAGAUUUAAAAACCUCAACUCAAACUCAUAAAAAAAGUUUAACAUAUUGGUUCACAUAACAAUUAUAAUAGAAAAGCAAGAUUAAAGAAAAUAAUUGCAUUAUAGAAAGUUUUAUAGUACAUGUCUUACGCAUACAGAUAGAUUUUGGUGUUUAAGGCACCUUAAUCUUAUUUGAGUAUAGUUCAUGAAAGUGUGAAAUAUAAGCAGCAGGAUCACAACAGAGGAAUUUUAGACAUGAGAUUGUGCAUUAAAUCCUGCAGUAGUUAGAAAUCCUGACUUUAAAAUAGCAAUGAAUGAAUCAUUUGUAGAAUGUAAUCCCAUUUUGGUACUAAAAGACGAGAGACGUACAUGAUGAAUAAUGCACCUUUGCUUAUAGAUACAAGAAGUUCAUUCUCCACUUACGCUUUAUGUUAUUUUGGGUGUAUAAGUUGAUAUUUGCUUUUUCUUUAAUCAAUUGAAGAAUGAAGAACCUCAUUUCUGAAUUUGAAGUUGGAGAAGUUGAAGUUGUGUGUGAUGCAAUCUGAAGGUUUAAAAAAGCACUAGACUUUGUGCCUUUUAAUGGUAAGGAAACGUAGAAGUGAUAACAUAGAAAGGUAUACAUAUGUCAUUGAAAUUACAAGUAUCCGUAAAAGAAUAAAUCCAGACAACAUAGAAAUGUGUCUAAGCCUAAAAUAUAACAAAGCACUAAGAGGGUAAGGAGAUUCUGUGAGGAAAUACAAGUCAUCCACUUCAUCUACGGUCAGUCAUCUUCAAAGUUCUGACAUCCAAUAUGGGAGAUGAUACAUAAGAUAAGAAAACAAGGGAGCAAUGUAGUAAGUUUGGUCACAAAAAUCAUAUUCAAAGAAAAAUUUCACAAAUAUAAAAGUUGGGCCAAUGUGACAUUUGGAGUGAGAUAGACAUUUCAAAUGAGUAGCUAGAAUAACAUCUAUAUUUAAUAACUUGUGUAAAACAAAAUGAUGAUAAUUUAGCAUUGAUUUGUGUCCAAAACUUUUAAUCAAACAUAUAUAUUGCUUACACUUAAUAGUACUGUUUCUUGACCAUGGAAUAUCUUUGAUCAAAUUUUUAAUCUCAGAAUUUGAGAAAAUCAGGACACUACAAUUCAUAUUCUGUAGUAGCUGUGUUUGUAUCACUUUAAUCUUGAAAUUUCUUUGAGUUUUUGUUUCUUCUCUCAGGGUAGAUCCUUUUUAAGGCAUGUUUUCUUAUGACAAUGAAAACAUUUAAACUUGCUUUGUGAUUGAUUUAUGGAUUUAGAUCUAUGCUUGUUUAGUUUGGAAUUUCUUUUCUCUGAUCUGCCCUACAUAAUAUUCAAACAUUCUGCAUUAUUUUUAGUAGUCAUAUCUUCCGCUUUUUGAGAUUUCUUUAUUUGAAUUGAGCACUGCACAUGAAAAGUGAUUGUUUGAUCUCUUCCAAACGAAAUAACAUCCUAGAAGUGUUAAUAUGAAUUUGGUAGAGCAUUAAAAAGAAUACGAGCCAUAUCUUCAUUCUAGAAAAAAAAAGAGGUUAAAGAAAGAAUAAGAUGAUUUUAUAACAGGCAUUAUAUCACCUAGAAAGUGCAUAUAAAAAAACUGAUUUCCUUUUACUACUUUAUCUGGACAAAAACAUUACUGUCUAAGCUAAAUCAUAAGAUACAUUUUAUGAAAUGGGAAGACAUCAAACAUAAAAGUGGGUAAAACUGAAACCUUGUUUUAUUAUUCAGUAUAUACACUACGCAAAAGGCUACCCAAUUUUUGAAGGACAGAGUGACACAUUAGGGAGAGAAGUAAACAAAACACUCUUGAAUUUACCACAAAAAAGUCGGUUUCGUUUUGGAAAAAAGUUGUAUUUCUGGAAUGUGGUUUAUGUAUUGCCAAUCGUCUCCCGUUUCCCUCUUGCACCGCUUCUUCAGAUAUGGACAUUCGCUUAUAUAUAAAAGAGACAAGUUGGUGAGGCGUUGAAUGCUACUCGGUACUGACCUCAGCUUCUCACAGUCCCAAAUGUGUAAGUUUUGAAGAGAAGUCAUCUCUCCCAGCCAGUCCGGCAGUGAAGUAGACGUGCAAUUUGUUAUAUUCAAAGUUCUUAAGGAGGGGACACAUUGUAAGCCAUACGGUAAUGUGGAGCAACCCAUGAUUGAGAUAAUCCGAAGAGCAGUUAGUUGGGUCAUAUUGUUUGGUAGAGUCACCAGCUCUGGACAAUACCUGAUCUUCAAACUCUCCAGACAUGUUAGAUAUCGGACACCUUCAGAUAAGGAUUUAAAGUUAUAACAUAAUAAAAUGUGUAAAAUUCGAAGAGAGGUCAGACCUUCCAACACAUGUUCUGGGAAAUACUCCAAAUCAUAACAACAUUGAAUGUGUAGUUCCUGUAGUGAACCCAACCCGCUGAGUUGGUCAGGUAAUACCACUAGUCCUUUAAUGUUUCCAAUAAACAAGGUCUUUAGACAAGGCAUAUUCUCCACAACCCCUUCCAUCAAGGAAGCCGCUUCGUCAAUCUUCUCAACACGAAGUUCCUCAACAGAAGGAAGACAUGGAAAUGUAAGGUUGGAGAUGCCACCAAUAUGUAAUUGGGAAAGACGAGGGAGCAUCUCUACUCCUUCUUCCCUCAACAUCCUCUCUAAUUUUGGUAAAUUCUCCACCUUCAAUUUCUCCAACGAUGGAAAUGCCUUCUCCUCCACACCAUCAUACGACUCACCAUCUAUCCACUCCACAUUUUUCAUUCCACUCACUUCUAGCCUUUUCAAGUGUGGUAGUUUACCAAGUGGAGGAAGCUCCUCACAGUUUUCACAGUCCAAGAGUUUAACUUCCACCAAGUUUCUCAGAACUGCACCAUUUCUUAUCCAACUCGAUAACCGUCUCCCCUGAUAUCCUUUCAUCCCAAAACUCUUUAGACUUGAGGGAGGUUCCAGGGCUUCCAGUAUUCUCUCAAUGUCAACAUUACUACCUUUUGAAUUAGCACUACCACCCCAUGACAAGUGUAGGAUAUUCAAGUCCUUCUUACCAAUCAAAUUUGCUUGUCUAGCAUCCCAUUCAUUUGGGACAUUCUCAAGGCCUUCGAUUCUCAGCGUGCCACCCAACUUUAAGCUAUGCAACUCUGCUAACCCACACCCUGCCUUUGAACCCACAACGUAAGUGUUCAGUGUUCUUAGAUGCCUUAACUUGCCAAUAUUCGGAGGCAUCUUUGAUAUUGACUCACAAUUAUUAAUCACAAUAUGUCUUAGAUCCUGUAAUUGCGUCAAUUCUUUGGGCAGCCUAAGUUGCUUCAUAUUUUGUAGUUUCAAUAUUUGCAAUUUCGGCAACUUACAAAUUAAGUUAUGUAAGCCUGCUCCCGAACCCCUAUUCCAACUCAUGUAUCUCAAAUGUGCUAAAUCAUUGACUGGGGACAACCAAUAAGAAGUUGUGCACAAUGCUCGGAGACAAUGGUUUGAUGGCACCAGGCCAAUAUCACCCAAAUCCAUAAAAGUCCUCAAGGAUUCAACUUUCUUGAAAGCGGUCAUAUCAACUGACACCUUAGAAUUUGACAAGCUUACAUAGUGAACUCUAGUUGGCAACUGAGUCAACCUUCCUUUCUCAAUAACCACACAUUUUUCACCCAUAAUAGACUUGGCAAGAUCAUGAAAUAGAUCAUGAAUCUUGCAACUUCUAAUCAUACCUAGCUUAUCAGACUUUGCUUCUUGAAAAAAUGAUCUACGGUAUAAUUUGUUCCACACUUUAUUUCCAACAUCCUCCACUUCUACGUUUCCUUCAGAUUUAAUAAAUCCAUUAGCCAUCCAGAGAUGAAUUAGUUCUUCCUUGUCUAUUUCAAAAUCUUUGGGGAAAAUUGCACAAAAAGAAAAGCAUCUCCUCAGAGACAACUCCAAGUUAGAAUAGCUCAGUUUCAAAGCACGCAUGAUAGAAUUUUCCUCACUUGUCAUAGAACUACUUUCCUCUCGUAUAUUCCAAAUCUCACUUUCUUUUACAUUUUCCCAUUGGCUUACCUCACUUUUAUCACGCAAAAGACUUCCCAGUGUUUUGAUUGCAAGUGGCGAACCAACGCAUUUUCUCACCAUCUCUCUGCCAAUUGCCACGAGCUCUUCUAUUUCUUCUCUGUUUGCUCCAAACGCAUGGUGUUUGAACAAUGACCAACUGUCGUCUUCUGAUAAUUUUGUCAAAUGGUAAGCAGGGUGCGUCUCCAUGGUGGAAGCAACUUCCUGGAGUCGAGUGGUGACCAAAAUGGUAGCUCCUUUUUCUGCCCUUGCACACUGCAACUUCCCCUUCAACUGCUUCCAUUUCUCUUUGUCUUCAUUCCACACAUCAUCAAGAACAAGUAAAUACCUCUUGCUCUGCAACACUUCUUCAACCCUUUUCCGCACUGCUUCUAAGGUAUUGAGAUUGGGAUUUUGUCCAGUGCAACAUUCUAUGAUGGAUUGUAGUAUCGUCUUCGUGUUGAAAUCAUCAGAAACACAAACCCAAAUAGUCAAGUCAAAAUGUUUGCAUACCUCGUGAUCAUUGAAGACCUGUUUGGCAAGUGUUGUUUUGCCAAGUCCACCCAUACCAACUAUGGGAUAUACGGAGAGGUCUUCACUGUUACUUGCAUCUUUCAGAAGAAACUUCACAAUUUGAUCUCGAUCCUUGUCUCUGCCAUAGAGUGUAGGUUCUGUAAUGUCAGAGCUAGUUUGGCGCCAAUCAUCAUCCACUGUUUGCACCUCGGUGACCCCAAGUUCUAAAUUAAACCUGCUCUUUUGUUCAUGAAUGUCAUGAAAUCUUUGGGUGAUGUCUUUCAUCCUCUUGCCAAUAUUGAAACGAAAGAGAAUUUCCUUAGGAUGGAGAGGGGAUAGGCAUGAACUAUGUCCAUCAUCAGAGUGCAUCUUUGUGGAGUGAAUUGAACAUUCAUCCAAGAUAUCAUCCAGCACAUAUGCUGCAUCAGUGAGUUUCUGCAGCCAAUUCUUGAGGACCUCGCUUGUUAUUUGCUUUUUCUCAGCAUCUCUGAGGACAGCACGGAUUGCGGUGAGAUUGCUGGAAAGCUUCUGAGUCUGUUGGUCAACACCCCAAAACGUUGCAAGUUGGUCUUGGACAAAAGAUUGCAAGUUGUGAAUUACAAUUCCCAGCAAAGCCUCAGCCAUUUGCAGAAAGGACAGUUUUUUUGGAUGAUCGUGGUUGUGGAGAAGGAUGUACGGGGAAGAGUGCUAACAGUGAUUGGAAGGAUAUUUUGUGAUGAUCUUAGAAAAUGAUCAAUUGGCAAGAAAAAGUUGUUUUCUUCCUUCCCAAGUGGCCCCUCUUUGCUUUUGUUGACGAAGAGUGUUCAUAGAAUGAGUCAACUCUUUUGUCUAAUAUAUUUCAUAAAAUAAAAAUACAGAAUUAUUUAUAAGUUAUUAAUUAGGGGAAAAUACUUUUUCAAAUUAUGUGUAAGUUAUCUCUAUGUGGGGUUCGUUAUCUGCCGACUGUACUACCAAAUGCUGAAUAGGUGUAUUAUCAUAUUUUAUCUCAUCUAUGCUUCUUUUCAUCAGUAAGUCAAAAUAAUAAUAGUUUUCCCAGCUUAAUAUAUUAUUGAUUUUUGUUUUGAUCAUUCAACAAUUUUUUUUUAUUUAAUUAUUUAACAAAAUAUUUUUUAAGGCUUUUUUUGCACAAUUAUUAAUUCUAUUGUCCACGUGUUUAUUAGAUUGACUAUUAUGUGACACGAUCGGGACUCUUAAUAAAUUAUUUGUAUUCAUUUUCUUUCUUUAUUCAUGUCCGCAUAAAACAUAUAAUGGGAAAAAAUCAUAUUGGUUUUUAUAAUAAUAAAAAUAUUGAGAUAAAAAAAAUAAAAUUAUAUUUAUAUAUAAACACUGAAUUACCUUUGUUAUCAUAAAUUAAUUUUAAUAAAUAAUAAAAUAUAAUUUUAUUAUUAUUAUUAUGGUUAUUUCAUUUUGUCUAUUUGUAUUAUUCUUGUUUAUUAUUUAUAUUAUUUUAUGUUUACAAUUAUCUUAUUAUUAUAAUUAUUUUAUAAAUCUAUUAUCAAGAUUUAUUUUACUAAUGUUUUACUGUUUUUAUUUUAAUAAUAACAAUAUUAUUAUUUUAACAAUCAUUAUUCUAUUAUUUUUUUACAAAAGAAUCACUUGAAAAGGUUUAACUUUUCGUAUAAAGGCAAAAUAAAAUAAUUAUAAAGAGAAAAAGAAACUAAAAAGAACAUAUAAAGCUCUAAUUAUUAUUACUAUAUUAUUAUUAUUUCAUAUUAUAUAAUUUAUUUUAUUAUACUAAAAAUAUAAAUAUUAAUAAAUUAUAUUUAUAAAUAUCGAUUUUUCUAUUUUAAUAGAUUAAAUCUAUUCUUUGUAAAUCUUUGCAACUAUAUAAAGAAAACUAUAUAAAGAAAGAGUAAUGUAAUUUUUUUUAUCUCAUUUUCUAUUUUUAAUUAAUUUUUAUUUUUUGAUUUCUGCCUUUAAAGUGAAUCCUCCCUUUUGUUUAGUUUCGUAGUUAAAUGUUGUUGGGAAUCUCUCCCUCCUUAAUUUAAUGGGGGACAUAACCAAUGAAUAUUGGUAAUUGAUCCAUUGAGUAUAUUCAAUGAUGACAUUCCAAAGUCUUGAAAUUAUAUCUCUUUGAAGACUUUGAAGCUCAGCCUAGAAAGUUGAAGAUAGUAUUUCAAGGUAUUUUGAAAAUAAGACAAACAUUAAUUAUCCAUUAUUUUUCUAUGAAGAAGUCUUCCUCUCUUUCUCUAUAUAAAGGGAACUUGUGAGAAAGAGAUGCAAGCAAGAGAGAAGAACAACAUUGAGAGAAUUGAUAUCCACCAUAAUGUGAGAUUAUAAAUCCUAGUGAGAUGCUAGAGAAACAUUGUAUUCCAUCUUUGUUAGGUGAAAUUGAGUGUUAUCCUUAUAGAGUGAGAGAAACAAUUAUUGUAAUCCUACUUUCUUAGUGGAAACAUGAGUGUCAUUAUUCUAUUUUGUUCUAUUUUCUUUGUUUGCUUAUUGCUUGUGCAAGUGUCCAUUUUGUAUCUACACCAAAGGGGGAGAAUUAAUUAUGAUCUUUCCAACAAGUGUGAUGUACAAGUUCAAACGUUAUUGACUUAUCCCCUAAGUUUUAGGAUGGCAUGACUAGAGUGAUCUAAUUUAUCAAGAGUUUGUUUCAAGACAUUCGAGAUUAGUGUAUCCUGAACUGUUUAUUUAAGACACAAACAUGUAGGAAUAAUCAUUUGAUUUCAAUCAUACUAUAUCAACACAAAUCUUAAGUACACAACCUUAAGUCAAUGAGACAAAAACUAAUAGAAGAUUAUAGGUGUAAAACUCGUAUCAAUAUGAAUGAUUCAAUAGUUGAUUAAUAGGGAAUAUAUGAUAGUACACAACCUUGAGCCAAGAGAAUUGAUUCGAUAAAAAACUACUAAUGCAUUAAUCAUUGUACACAGUCACUCAGUCUCAAGUCGAUGCAACGAAGAGAUUGCUCAUAUUUUUAAGAAGUAGAAUCCAAAGAUUGCUCAUGUGAUGCAAUCACAAACAAUGAAAGAUGCAGUUGUGAGAAUAGAAAAAGAGUUCUGGUCACUUGGACAUGACACACUCAUACUCAACCAUAUAGUCAAACAAACUAAAUUUACCCAUGCUUUCCCCGUUUCCCUGUUGUACAGCUUCUUCAGACAUUGAAAGCUACUUGGUACUGAUCACAAUUCCUCACAUCCCAAUAUCCUUAGUUCCUGUAGUGCACCCACACCCUACUCAGUUGCUAUGGCAGUACCUUCAGAUCUUUCAUGGAUGCAAUUAGCAGCUUCUUUAGACAACCCAUAUUCUCCCCCAACCCCUUCCAUGAAACAAGUUGCUGCCUCAACUAUGAUGGUGACAACAAUAAUAACAAUGAUAAUAAUAAUAAUAAUAAGAUAAUAAGAUGGUGGUGUUGUAAGUAGAGGUGAGAAAGGGAAUUGGACUUAUUGGAUCAAGAUAAAGGGGUCACUCACAAGGUAAAAUAAACUAAUUUAUUUACUCGUUCACUUUAAAAAAAUUAUUACGAAACUUAAAUUUUAAGUUUCUAGUAUCUAAUUUGUUAAAUUUAAGUUAAACAUUUUCAUUUUAAUUAGGAUUAGUACGAAGAAAUAUUAGUUUGUAACUAUAUUAUACAAACUUUUUUUUUUCUUAGGACCUCUUUUCAUGCAUAUUUGUUUGUUUAUAUUUUCUUCUUCUUCAUAGUGUGCAUAUGUCUAUUUAGCAACGUAUUGCAUGUGAUAAGUGUUCUAACUUAUCAAAUUAAUCAUUUUCUUGUAUCAUGUGUCUACCAAAAAAACAUAAUAAAAUAAAAUAAGACUUUUCACAUCCAAAUUUACAUUGUGUUUGUAUUCAAGGAGUAGUGUUUUUUUGGAAAAGAGAGAUAAGUUACUCUUUAGUGUGUAUGAGCAAUUGUGCAAAGAAAUGGAGACACGAGAGUGAAUACAUCUAGAGGAGCAAUCCUUGCAUUUGUGUGAAGAAAGUCGUGCAAAGACAUCUAGAGGAGAUGACAUUAAAAAUAUACUCUUGCCUUUUUAAAAAUCCCUUCUUCUUGUAUUGGUAUAAACAUCAACCAGUAAACUCUCAAACACUUUUAUUUCCAUACACGUCAUCCAUGGUUGAAAUGUGGUUUGCAUGAAGAUUAAAUAGUCAUAGUUUAAUUUGUUACACACUUUUACUAGGUACUCAUCAUUUAUAGCACUGUUAUUAUUGCCGAUAAAAAAAAUCAUUUAUAAUAUACCAAAAGUUUAUGUCUUGUUGUGAUCCAAUUAAUAAAAUAAUAAAUAAUUCUCAUAUUAUAAAUUAUUGAUUACAUUCAAUCCAAUAAGAUAAGAAACUUUGAAGUUUAAAAAUUAUGAUUAUUAAAAAUAACUAAAUUUGAUUUGAUUAAGUUAAUAAGAAUGAUAUGAUUUUUUGUAUAACAAUAAAACUUUUAUUCAAUUAUAGAGAAGUUAGAUAAUUGUAUUAAGCAAACCAGUAAAUGUAAUAUGACAUUUUAAUAGAAUUUAAAGUUGGCUUUUUAAUCUAAAACUUAGAUUUUCACUUUUUUAAAAAACAAUUUGUAUGAAAUAUGUACAUAUUUUCUAUAAAUAAUCAAUUGUUUUGGUAUUGAUUUCACAGUGUGUGUUUAGUUAAAAAGAAAACAUAAUUUUCAAUGGAAUAUGUUGUUUCUAUAUGUCUUUGAAAAAAAGAAAAGAAAUUUGAUCAAAUAACAUAUAUAUCAUUUCCAAUCUGAAUAAUUGAUUCGAAAUGGAAAAUAGGUUAAUCCACCAUUUGUAUAUAUGAGAUUGAAAUUUAUAGAGAUUAAAAUUUAUAUGAAUUUAAGUUAAGGUGUAAAUAUGAUUAUGAAAAUAUUUUGAAAUUAAUAUACACUUAUUUAAAUUACGGUUUUAAUUUGAAUUUUUUUAAGUUAUUUAAUCUUCAAAUUUAUUUUUUAAAUAUAUAUUUUUUACAUUUUUAUAUGUAAGCACAGUGUCAAAUAAUUUAUAAUUAUUUUUCAACCGAAUUCUCAUAUCACGGGGGAAAUAUUUUAAGUAAAGUCGUAUAAUAUAUAUAAAUAAGUAAUCAACUCUCAUUCUAAUUUUUUUAACACAAUGACAAAAUAAUAAUUUUACAAAUUUUAAUUAAAAAAUAAUUUUAACUUAUUAUAAUUAAUUAAAUCAAUCACAAAAUUUUAUAACUUUUUUCUUAAUUCUGUUGUAAUUUAUAAUACAACGAUAAACAAUUGAGUGAAUAAUAAAACAUACAUAUAAGCACUACUACAUAGAAAUAAAAAAAGUAACAUUUUAGUUAUUUAUACCUGAACAUAUGACUUUUAAAGAAUACUUUUAACUAAAAAAAUUCUUUAAAUAUAAAAACUAUUAUAGUCAAAUAAUUUAUCAUAAAGACCCUUUAUUUUAGAACUGGAAAUAACUGAGUCAUAUUUGUUCAACUAUAUUUUAAUUACUGUAUAUUUUACGUACAGAUGAGUCUCUCUUUUUAAGUCCACAAGUCUCUAUCCACAAAAAUUUGCAUGAUAAAACUUUGUGUACUCUGUAUUUUAAAUGGAUUUUAAUUUUUAUAAACUGUAUUUGUCCCACAAAAUCUAGGUUAAAUAAAUGAGUUUGCAUUAAAUAAUCAUUCAAAUUUUUUUAACAUUCAUUUGUAUAAGAAAAAUUUAUUCAAUCCAUUAAACAAUACGCAAUCAGUAAAAAAAAAUAAUAUAAGACUUAUGCAGAAGGCAGGCGAAGUUGAUGUUUACAGAGAUUGUAGCAUAGAGGGCAGUGUUAAACUGAGCACCAAUAUAUACAAUUCAUUCACCAAUAUCAGUCAAAGCUAUACAGAGCAACAGCAUGCAGUUUUGGAUAUGAUGCAUGAUGAGUGUGAAGCGAAAAAACAUGGAACAAAGGGACUUUUCUCUAUGAAGUGCUAGAGAUUUUGGUGUUUAAGGCCCCUUAAUCUUAUUUGAGUAUAGUUCAUGGAAGUGUGAAAUAUAAGCAGCAGGAUCAUAGCAGAGAAAUUUUAGACAUUAAAUCCUGCAGUAGUUAGAAAUCCUGACUUUAGGAUAGCAAUGGAUGAAUGAUUGGUAGAAUGUAAUCCCAUCUUCGUACUAAAAGAUGUACAUGAUGAAUGCACCUUUGCUUACAGGCACUUAAAGGUAUCAUAAAAAAAUAAAAGACAUAGGUAGAAGGCAGACCAAGUUGAUGUUUUCAGAGAUUGUAGCAUACAGGGCACUGUUAAACUCAGCACCAAUAUAUACAAUUCAUCCACCAAUAUCACUCAAAGCUGUACAGAAUAACAGCAACAGUUGAUUAAUUGAAGCACAUUAAUAAUAUAAAGGGAAAUUUCAAAUCUGCAUUUUAUAAAUUUAUCAGUCAUUUACUCAUCUACUUUGAUGGCAGGUUUGAAGCAGUUCCAUGAGCGAGAUGAUCGCUCGAUGCUUUCUGCACGCAAUUACGAACAUUAAUGUAUGCAUAGACUCACACAAUGAAGAGAAAUUAAAGAAAAUGAUACAAUCAUUCACUUACCACUAAAUGUUGAAGUCUUUUCCUCUCAGAGUGUGACGAGUUUUAUUUCUGGAAUAUGCUUUAUGUACUGCCAAUCCUCUCCCGUUUCCCUCUUGCACCGCUUAUCCAGAUAAGGACAUCCGUAUAUUUCUAAAGAAGACAAGUUGGUGAGGCGUUGAAUGCUACUCGGUACUGACCUCAACUCCCUACAGUACCAAAUCCUUAAAUUUUGAAGAGAAGUCAUGUCUCCCACCCACUCCGGCAAUGAAGUACACAUACAAUAUAAUAUAACCAAAAUUCGUAGGGAGGGGACACAUUGUAAGCCAUAGGGUGAUGUGGAGCAACCCUCGAUUCUAACAAACUGAAGGGCAGUUAGUUGGGUCAUAUUGCUUGGUAGAGUCACCACCUCUGGACAAUCCAUGAUACUCA